rnacentral:lncRNA from 1 species
GUGAUUGAAUUCAUGGCAUAUAAACAAAAGAAUUAUACAAUUUGAUUUUGUCAUUCUGUUUCUUUUCCCUCUUUCUCGAGUAAGGGAAAAAGGAUUACAAGCUAGGAGAUGCCUAUUGUACAAAAUUUGUCCACUAAUCUAUGUCAGUCUUCAAGAGUGAGAUAUAUUGUCAAUUCAAGAAAGAAGUUAUACGUUGGAAGACGUCUUCGGUGCAAGGAAUUGUGAGGCCACCCAUGGGAUGAUCAUAUCCAAAUUCAUCUUCAGCCUGACUCAACAAGCCUUGAAAUGAAGGUUGGUUCAAGUAUGAUAUGGGAAUCAUAAACCGCUUUUGUUUCUCUCCAACAUACACUGCAAGAUAGCCCUUUGGGACUUCUGAAGAUUUUGAAGCUGCUUGGCUAGCUGUGAAUGAUGCUCGUCGAAUAGCAGGUAAUCGGAAACCCAUUUUUUGUGCUUGAUUGAAUGAAGUAGAAGAAUCUCAAAUCUUGAAGGAAGGAAUCCAAGUGUUGAAGCUGGAGAGUUGCAAUGGCAUGUGUUGUUUGUGAAGACAAGGGAUAGUGUAUAUAUAGUUUUUAAGAUUGUGUGGGAAGGAAACCCAAAUCCCUGAGAAGAAUAGUGUUAAAGGAUAUAGAGGGCAUAGGCAUGAGAUAUCACAUGGUAUUGUCUUCAGUGCCUCUAUCAAGGAUAGAGUUGAAUGGACGUGUGAAACCCCACCUUAUUAAACAAUGAUCAACAUAAAAGUCUCCACCUAUUGUUCAUUCAUUCAUCGGUAUUCCAUAAUUUUAUAGACAUGCUGUAAACAUGUUUUCUCACAUUAUGUUGUUUGCAGCUGGAAUGUAUUUUGUUGGUGAUGAAUUAUAAAGCAAGGGAUACCGAAAUAUCAUAGAUCAUUAUAUAUGUUUCUAUGGUUACAUUUGUAGUUUCUCCAAUGUUGUAGGUCAUGAAGGUUUUUAUUAGGAAGACUACAGGAGUGGAGGAAAAUGAAUGAAGAGAUUAUUUACAUGCAAAAGAAUAAGCCGCCAUGGAGGGGUGUAACAACCUAAGGAUAAUCGGUUGGGGAAGUAGGAAUGCAGACAUGUUUCCGAUUCAAAUAUUCUCAGGCUCCGAAUGCUUCCCAAAGAGGUUUUUGCACGAGAAUGGUUCAUUCAUUUGCGAAGAGUAGGAUUGGAGGGACGGGGAUGGACCAGGCCACACUUCAGAGAUUUGCAGCGAUUCUUAGUUGUGAUACGAUAGCCCCUCCGUUCAUUUACUUGGGUCUGCCUGUCGGAGGGAGCCACAAGCGCGGUGCGUUUUGGAACAGGGUGAUUGAGAAAGUGCAGGCUAGGUUAAGCAGGUGGAAGGGUAGAAGUUUUUUCGAUGGCUAGGAGAAUUUGUUUGAUUAGGUCUGUGCUUUCUUCUAUUUCGUUAUUUUAUAUGUCUUUGUUCAGAUUGCCUACUGGGGUGGCAAGGAAGUUGAUCAAGUUGCAAAGGGAUUUUCUUUGGGGAUGGGGUGCAGAAGGGAGGAAGAUUGCUUGGGCUUCCUGGAACCUGGUGUGUAAACCUCGUGAGUUUGGGGGGCUUGGAAUAACAGACCUAAGAUUGUUUAAUUUGGCUUUGUUGGGAAAGUGGAUAUGGAGGUUGGGUUCGGUUGAGGUAGGUCUUUGGAAGGACAUCAUUUUCUCUAAGUACCGGGGGUGGAGAGAUCUGGGGGUGGCAAGUAAUGGUAAUAGUUGUUCUCUUUGGUGGAAGGAUUUGAAGGAAGUUUGGUAUUCGAAGAGGAGGGGGAGAUGUUUCGAAGACAGUUUUGAGUGGAAGGUUGGGAAUGGGAUGGACAUUUGUUUCUGAAAGGAUAGCUGGUUGAUGGGUGAGGCGUUGAAGAAUGUUUUUCCACGACUUUUCUCAAUCAGCUCUAACAAACAUGCAAAACUGUCGGAUCUUGGGUCUUGUUCUGAUGGGAGAUGGGUUUGGGGAUUUGAUUGGAGAAGGCCUUUUUUCGAAUGGGAGAAACCGGCGGCGGAUCGUUUAAGUCAGCUCCUGCUUGGGGUUGAGGUUGUUCUUGGAGAGACUGAUAGGUGGAUUUGGAAGGGUGGGGGUUUUCAGUCUUACACCGUUAGCUCUGCUUACAACCUUAUCAGGAAGGAUAUUGAGGCGGUUUCUUCGCAGGAGCUUAGGAAGUUGUGGAGGAGUAAAGCAAUUCCUUCUGCAAUGGUUUUGGCUUGGAGGGUGUUGAAAAACAAGCUUGCUACCAGGGUCAAUCUUAGUAGAAGAGGGGUUCUAUUAGAAAGCUUGAGGUGCGUGUUGUGCGGGAAGGAGGAGGAGUCGAGUAGCCAUCUGUUCUUUGGUUGUUCGUUUGCUUGGCGAGUUUGGUGUUUAUGUUUUAAGUGGCUAGGAAUCCAGUUUGUGACUCAUAUUGAACCAAGGUGCAACUUUGAUCAGUUUAGAUUGUGCCCUUCGGAGACGGGUCUGGUUGCUUGGAACACGAUCUGGGUUGGGGUGAUAAGUGAGAUUUGGAGCCACAGGAAUCGUAUAAUUUUUAAUAGAGGAGUGGCAGACGAGAAAGAGGUCUUUGCGUUGGCACAGGUAAAGGCUUGGUCUUGGGUUUUAACAAAUUCCCGGUUAGUUUCGUUUUCUUAUUUUGAUUGGUGUUUGGCUCCUUUGGAGUGUACGAGGUUAGUUUCUUGAGAUUUUUUGCUUGGUUUUGUAAGGGGUAGAAGAGUUGGUUUGGUUUUUGGAAGGCGUUUGUUGGAGCUAGUUUAACUUUUUUUAUGUAUAAGGGUUGAACCACCCCUGAAGUGGUUCUAUUUUAUUUUAUUUUUUAUUACCGAUAAAAUAAAAUUUAUUACGGAAUACAUUGCUCGUUGGCACGACUUCACAUCCAAGAAGUCAUCCUAGGGGCACACGCCUUUCAUUUAGUGGUCAACACAGACCCUUUGUCAAAUCCACAAUUUUGAUUGAAAUCAAUUUGUAUAAAAAUAGUAUGGAACUUAAACAACUUGAUUAAUUUUGGAAUUUAUGUUUAAGUAAAGUCCUGCUAAAAUUGCACGACUUUAGUAUAAAAUUAAUACAACUCUCACGCGCUGCGCUACAAACAAUGCUUAUUUACAAAAACUAUGUUCUCACAAUGCUACAAUUAUAAUUUACAUUUUAGAGUAAAUGAGGAGGAAAAAUCAGACCCUCAAUUGCCUAAUUAUUGCACUAAGAAAUCUCAAACAUUCUUGAUUUUGUAAAUUAAAGUACCCCUUCCGUAAUUCUAUGAUUCAGUUUGAUUAAGGCUAGUCAAGUGCCUUAUCUCAUGCUUCAGACUCUUGCCAAAAGAUGACAUAUUGGUUUAGGAUUUUAUUCAUUAUGUACUUAGAUUGAGAAUGAAGUUGUUACACACCAAGGCCUAACAGCAUGCGAGGCACGUGAGCCCAAAAGACAACCAAAUUCGAUGGUGGAUUUGGUAAUAGGAUAAGCCUGUCUGAGCCUAGUGUAAUAAAUCAUAGGUUGUGUUGUUUAAGUUUAAGCAUUGUAAGGCCCAUUUCACUCCUAUUAAAAGGAUUGAUACAUAUAUGAAAAGGAGGUGAAUUCUGAGUGUACCCUAGUAUAAAAUAGUUGAUCUCCAUAGCUAAGGGAUUCUUAGAGUACAAGUAAAUUGGUGUUUUCAUUGCCUCCUCAUGCCUCCCAAACCUCAAUCAAAGGACGUGGAAGAGGUUUUGCACAAGAUUGUUUGACUACCAUUCAAGUCUAGAUGGAUGAAAAUGUUGAACAAGGGCUUUGAUGUCUCCAAAUCCAUGCAUGAAGUUUGGUUAAAGGCUUAGUUGUAGCUUUUGUGUGUUGGUUAUGGGUAGUUUGAAUUUGUAAUCCCCUAUUGGUUAGAAUCCAAAUCUGAUUUAAAUCAAAACCUUUUUGAAAAAGAGUGUUUUCUAAAGAAGUGGAAAAACAACCUGUUGUUUUAUUGUUUCAAUCGGUUGUUUGACACUUGGUGGGUUUUGAAAAGGAUUUGAAACUAUUUGAAUUUGGUUGACUUUGUUGUCAAACAAAUUCAAUCGGUUGUUUUAAGAUUUCAACCGAUUGUUCUUAGAAAAUCCAUAACAAUAUUUUGUUAAGUUUGGUAAAUUUGUUUUAAAUGUUUUAAAACUGAAUAAGCUCCUUCUUUAAAUGUUUUUAACAAACAUUUGGAAUAUAAAAAGAUUGUUUAACGCUCCUAAGGAAUAUACUACAGAUUAGAGAAUUCAAAUUGAGCAAAGUGAUUUCAUUUUUCAAAGAUUUACUUCAAGCUUUUGGGUUUUCUCAAAGAAUGGAAUAGGAUUGUUAUGUAAUCUUUUUAUUUGAUUUUGAUCAGGUGUAAUCAUUUCUCUUUCUCUCUUGUAUUUCUGGAAUACUUGUGGUGUGUGUAGAAUCAGAGGUUGCUCUGAAUUAUGUGGUGUGGUUGCCAAAAGAAGUGUGUGUUCUUGAAGGGAAGAUCACUUCUUUGGUGUGUGUGGAUUGUAAUAUGUGAUUGAUUGCAUAGUGGAAUACUCAGUGGUUUUUGGGGACUGAAUGUAGCUCUUGGAAUAAGAGUGAACCAGUAUAAAUCUAUUUAUGUGCUUAUCUCUUUCCCUGAACUCUUUAAUAUAUGCUUUAAGUUGUUUUUAUUCACUGCAAAAAAUCAGUUGAAUCGAAAAAACAACCGGUUGAUUUUCUGGAAAUCAACUAAAACAGUUUUGUUGUUUGGUUUCCUUAGUUUCUUAUUUUGUGAUUCUUCAUUGACUUUCAUUAUACCUUCAAAAUUUGCGAAAAUCUUUCAUAAACAAUUCACCGCCCCUCUUGUUUAAGGCCAUAAAUUCUAACAGAAAAUCUCACCUGCCAGACUACACUAGAAGCUUGGAGUGACAAUCUCAAAUCCAAUCCCGCCAUUCUCAUGGACCAGGUAUCUUCCGUUGCUUACCUAGACACAAAAUUACCUCCAUUGAGAAAAGCACUCUCACACCACCUCUUACUAGUGUUGUCCACCAGGCCAACCCUCACAUAACACAAUCCCACUUCCAAUACCAACCCCGUCCACCCUCUACACUCACACCACCUAAACUGGCUUUACCUUUCUUUGAUGGAAAUGAACCAUUUAACAAUUAUUUUUUUUAAUAAUGAAAUUUCCUUGCAUAUUAUUAUUAUGACUGCAUAUUGUUUUAAUUUAUGUAAUAUAAUGAUUAUUAAAGUUUCGUUUCAAAAUUGUUAAAAGACUAUAAACUUUAGAUGAUACUUUGUUAACUUUUAAAUGUUGAUUAUUAAAUUUCAUAAUCACAUUUUUCUUAACAACCUUAAAUUGGAAUGUUUGAGUAAUAACAAUUUUUACAACAAAAAAGUACUGGCACGUUAUACAGUUUGUAUAUCAAUAAGUUUAUACAACAUAUAGACAAUAAAACUAUGAGUAAUUCUUUUAGCUUCCAACUGGAAUAACUUAUAUUCUUCUUUGGAUAUAUGUUUAUUUACUAGAUACCUUCUUCUUCCCUGCACACGUUUAAUAUCAUAGAAUGAUGUUCCAAGUGAUAUAAGAAAAUAUAAAUGUUAGAAAAUGAAAAUAAACUGCUAUUUUGUGCAUAUCAAAUUAUACCAACACAUUAGCAAUAACACAGUAUAUAUGGAAAAAUAUAAUCCUAAUCAUAUAUGUUAAAAUUUACUACAAAGUAAAGAAUAAUAAUGUGGUAAAAAGAACAAGAUUUAAGUGUUAAGAAUUUGUACAGUCAAUUUAUACCAACACAUUAGCAAUAACAGCGCAUAGGAAAAAUAUAAUCGUAAUCAUAUGUUAAAAAAUUAGUACAAAAUAAAGAAUAGUAACGUGGUAAUAAGCACAAAAUGAACAAUAUUUAAGUGUUAAGAAUUAGUAGAGAUAAAUAAUACUUAAUGCUAUACCAACAAUAGAAGGAAUUUAUAUGAACAGUAAUAAGGUUUGAUAUACCGACCACUAUAGAGUGUUGAGCACAUAUAAAUAUGCAACACAUUGAGUUGUAGUUAAAUAAUGCAGUAUGUAUAAAAUUCUUUUGUAAAGCUAAUACAAAAAGUGUCUUUAAUAUGAAGGCGAUCUUACUCUGCUUUGAGCUUGCUUCUGAUCCUAAGGUCAAUUUUGUGAAGAGUACUAUUGGUGGGUUGGGGUUGGAUCAGAGCUUGCUUCAGAGUUUUGCGGCUAUUCUAAAUUGUAAAGUGAUGGUAACUCCUUUUGUUUAUUUAGGGUUGCCAAUAGGAGGGUGUCACAAACGGGGUGCGUUUUGGAGUAGGGUGAUAGAGAGAGUUCAGGGUAAAUUGUCAAGAUGGAGAGGCAGGUGUCUGUCGUUGGCUGGGAGGAUUUGCUUGUUAAAAUCAGUUCUUUCCUCAAUCCCGUUAUUUUUUAUGUCAUUGUUUAAGUUACAUUCUUUGGUGGCAGAGAAGUUAGUUCGAAUACAAAGGAAUUUCCUUUGGGGAUGGGGUUUAGAUGGUAGGAAGAUCGUUUGGGCCUCUUGGAAAAAGGUUUGUGAGCCUCGUGACUAUGGAGGUCUAGGUAUUAUUGACCUAAGGUUGUUUAAUUUGGCUCUAUUAGGUAAGUGGAUCUGGAGGUUGGGUACGGAUAAGGGCGGUCUGUGGAAAGAGAUCCUCGUUUCUAAGUAUGGGGGGUGGAGAAGCUUGAGAGAGGAAGGUAAAGUUGGUAGGGGAUCUCUUUGGUGGAAAGAUUUGAAGGAGGUGUGGGCUUCAGAGGGUUGGGGAAGAAGUUUUGAAGAUGGGUUUGAGUGGGAAGUUGGUGAGGGGAGGGCUAUCCUUUUUUGGGAGGACAGUUGGUUGAGUUGUGGCGCGUUGAAGAGUGUUUUCCCGAGAAUUUUCUCUCUUAGUGUGACAAAAGGUGCAAAGGUGGCUGAACUAGGGAAUUGGAUUGAUGGUGUUUGGGUGUGGCACUUUGAAUGGCGUAGACCCUUUUUUGAAUGGGAGAAACCUCUGGUGGAGCAGUUCUUUCAGUUGCUACAAGGGGCGAAGUUGGAAUCGGGGAAGGCAGAUUGUUAGAUUUAGAAGGCAGGGGGGUUUCAUACUUUUACAGUUAACUCAACCUAUUUUCAGGUUAGGAAGGAUAGAGUUUGGGAGGUUUCUCCAAUUUACAGUAAGUUGUGGAGGUGCAAAGCUUUGCCUUCCGCUUUGGUCACUGCUUGGAGGGUGAUGGAGAAUAAGAUUGCUACUAGGGUAAAUUUGGAAAGGCGAGGGGUGGUGGUAGAGAAUCUGGUGUGUGGUUUGUGUGGGAAGGUGGAAGAGUCGUCCAGUCAUCUGUUUUCCGUCUGCGAGUUUACCUGGCGGGUGUGGUGUCUUUGUUUUGAGUGGCUUGGAGUGUCACUUGUUAUUCACAAGGACCCUUUGGUAAACUUCCAACAAUUUAGGUUGUGUUCGGCUUCUAAUGUGGUUAAUGACGUUUGGGGGGCGAUUUAGGUUGAUGUUGUGAGUGGAAUUUGGAGACAUAGGAACUCAGUGACCUUCGAUAGGGGCGUGGUAGAUGCGCUUGAGGUAUUUGCACUGGUACAGGUAAAUGUUUGGUCUUGGAUUUUUGCAGAGUCCUGUUGUAAUUCCUUUACGUACCCCAACUAGGUUUUGAACCCAAUGGAUUGUAUGAGGCUGGUUGUUUAAUGCUUUCUUGAGUUGGUUUGGUUGUUCCUUAUUUAAGUUGGAAGGUGUUCCUUAGUUGGAGGUUGGUAAGAUGCUAGCUCUUUAUGUAUAAGGGUUGGACCACCCCUGAAGUGGUUCCCAUUUAUUUAUUUUUUAUUGCUGAUAAAAAAAAUGUAUAAAAUUCAUGAUAAGCAAAUGACUAAAUUUAUUCUCUAAAUAAUUAAAACCACUGUGAAGUGGUUCCCAUUUAUUUAUUUUUUAUUGCUGAUAAAAAAAAUGUAUAAAAUUCAUGAUAAGCAAAUGACUAAAUUUAUUCUCUAAAUAAUUAAAACCACUGUGAAGUGGUUAUCUUUUUAUGCUUUUGGGUUUUCCUGCAGAAUAAAUAAGUUCACCCAAAAAAAAAACAUUGGAUAAAAAACAAGAAUAUAAUAGACAUAAAUAUUAACAAUGUUUGAGCAACCUAUAUGAUUGACGACAUAAAGUUCAAAUAAAAUUAAAAAUACUGUCUGUUUUGACCAAGGCUUAAAAUAUUGCCUGGAUCAAAAAACUAUUACGAUACAUAUUAAUUUUAUAAAAAUGACCCUAGUGUGUGCACAUGGAUGGUCAUUAUCUACCUCAAAAAUAAGUUGAUACUCUUCUCGAAGUGAGUGUUCCAUGCAAAAUUCUUUCCAUCCGCUUUCAAAUUUGACAUAUCUUUUAGGAACGUGUAUGAUAAGAACUUUGCAUUUAACUUGUUUGUUUGAACCAUGCAAAUUCACAUUCUUGAACCUACCUCUUUGAAUAUAAACCGUGAAAGGAAGAGGCAAAUCCUACAAAACAAUAAAAAUUAAAUAUAUGCAUGUGUGGCAAAUAAAAUUACAUUUUAACUAAUAUAACUGUUAGAUAUUAUUAGAUAUAAUUAGAUAUUAUGAGAUAUUGUAGAUAUUACUAGAUAUCUCUAUUUAUGUAAUGGGCUUAGUCCAUAUGAUUCUUUUCCUAUAUAAACAUGACCCUAUGCAUUCAAUAUACACAAGGGAUUUACCCAAUUCUUUCUUUUCCUUUAAAUAUGGUAUCUAGAGCAUAGGGUUAGGGUUCAAUUUUUUUGGUGAACCCACUGUUCACUGGAAUUUUCCAGCCACCGCCCCACCGUCUCGCCGGAGCCGUCACUAGAAUCUCGUCGGAACCGCCGCCGGAGACGCCUCUGGAAUUGCUGCCGGAACCGCUGCUGGAGCCUUGAUCUUUGCUGCUCCCGCCAAUUGACCGGUGACUGGAUUUGUCCUUAUCCUCUAUGGCUUCUUCCGCUUUCGCUGCCACUAUGGUUUCUUCCGCUGCCGUUGUUGCUACUUCCGCUGCCAUUAUGUCGGAUCCAUCUAUUUAUACUAAUUAUGUCAAUGUUCAUAUCUCAAUUGACAAAUUGGAUGGAACCAAUUAUGACACUUGGGCCUCAGAUAUUAAGUUAUGGCUUAAGAGUCAAGGUUAUGUUGAUCAUAUUACCCAUCCUAAUGUUGCUGAAAAUGAGGUUUCUCGUUGGUUAAAAGUUGAUGCUCAAAUAUGCAUUGUUACCAAAUCUACCAUUCACUCAUCUUUAAAACAAAUUUUUCGUACCUAUGAGACAUGUUCAAAAGUUUGGGAACAAGAAAAAUUAUUAUACACCAAUGAUACUCAACGUCUUUAUGGUGUGUGUCAAAAUCUCCUCACAAUUGUUGCUCCCAAAUGUCUUGAUGGUACAAUGGCGGAAUAUCUGGGUAAGCUUCAUGCUCUUCUUCAUGAUUUUAAUGAGUUAUUACCUCCUACCCCCACUCCUUCUCAAGAAUUAGAACAAAGAUCGAAGUUCUUCAUGUUAUUUGGUUUACAUGGCCCUCCUGAUGAUUAUUCUCAUGUUCGUGAUCAAAUUUUGGGAUCUCCUAUCGUGCCCAAUUUUACUUCCACUUGUUCUACCCUUCUGCGUGUGCCAAGUAAACACACCAUUGAUAUAACGUCUCAUGUUGAUGACACUUCUGCUUUAGUCUCUCAGUAUAAUGAUCGUACUCGCCUUCACAAAUUGGGCAAAGGGCGUCACAAGUGUGACCAUUGUGGCAAACUUGGCCACAAAAUUGAUAGAUGUUAUGCCUUACAUGGUCUUCCUCCUAAAUCUGUUGUGAUUGCUCAAACUGUUCCUGUGCAACCUUCUACUGUGGACCAUACUUCAAUUGAUACCCCAGGCCAACCUGCUAUUUUCAAUGAAUUUCUUAAAUGGUAUGAGGAUCGUCAGAACUCUAGUUCCACGGCUUCUAUUGCACAUUCAGGUACAUCUUUUGUUGGCCUCACUCACUCUACUUCCCUUGGCCCUUGGGUUCUACAUUCAGGUGUCACAGAUCACAUUACUGGUAAUCAAUCUUUUUUCUCUUCCCUAUCUACUACAGGUUAUUUACCUUCAGUUACCAUGGCCAAUGGAUAUAAGGUACCGUCACAUGGUGUUGGUACUAUUAACCUUUUUCCUUCUUUAUCUAUUAAUAAUGUUCUUUAUGUCCCUAGGUCUCUAUUUAACUUAUUAUCCAUUAGUCGUCUCACUCAUUCCCUUGAUUGUGUUAUUUCUUUUACCAAAGAUUUUGUUUCUUUACAAGAUCGGAAUUUGGGACGGAUGAUUGGCACCGAAUUUGAGUUUUAUGGACUUUAUCAACUACAUAUCUUUGCUCAUGUUGGCACGAUUAUGGAUUCUCCAUCUCUCAUUCAUGCUCGGUUGGGUUAUCCUAGUCUUGCCAAGAUGUAGCAGCUUAUUCCAAGUUUGUCUAAUGUGUCUAUUUUAUCGUGUGAGUCGUGUCAAUUAGGGAAACACAUUUGUAGUUCUUUUCCUAGUAGUGUUUCACAACGUGUUUCAUCUCCUUUUGCCUUAGUUCACUCUGACAUUUGGGGACCAAGUCGUAUUAAGUUUAAUUUAGGAUUUCAGUAUUUUGUUACUUUUAUUUAUGAUUAUUCAAGAUGUAUUUGGGUGUUUUUAAUGAAAAACCGUUCUGAGUUGCUUUCAAUAUUUCAAAUAUUUUACAAUGAAAUUAAAAAUCAAUUUGGAAUUUCCAUUCGCAUUUUGCGCAGUGAUAAUGGACAUGAGUAUCUUUCUCAUUCUUUUAAAAAUUUUAUGGCUUCUCAUGGUAUUCUUAAUCAAACUUCAUGUGCUUAUACAUCUCAACAAAAUGGGGUAGUUGAGCGCAAGAAUAGACAUCUUGUUGAAACAACUCGUACUAUUUUAAUCCAUGGUGAUGUGCCUCAGCGCUUUUGGGGUGAUGUUGUUCUUAGUGCAUGUUAUCUCAUUAAUCGCAUGUCAUCUUUAGUUUUAGAUAACAAAAUUCCUCAUUCUAUUUUAUUUCCACAUGACCCUCUCCACUCUUUACCUCCCAAAGUUUUUGGGUCCACAUGCAUUGUUCAUAAUUUUAGUCUUGAUCUUGAUAAAUUAUCUCAUAAGUCACACAAAUGUGUCUUUUUAGGGUUCACUAGAUCACAAAAAGGAUAUAAAUGUUUCUCACCUUCUCUAAACCGUUAUUUAUUUCACCGGAUGUCACCUUUAGUGAAUCUUCCCUUUACUGUAAGUCUUGUCCUUCUCCUUCUAUUUCUUCAUCUAAUCAAGUUAAUAUUGUUAGAAUAUAUGGCCUUAUACGAGAGGGGGGGUGAAUUGUUUAAGAAAGAUUUUCGUAAACUUUUAAGCCUAGAAUGAAAAUACUUCAAUAAAACCUUGAUUAAGAAAUCAGUUUUUCAAAACAUAAAGCAAAUGCACAAUACUGGAAAAACAAUCGGUUGUUUUACCGAAACAAUCGGUUGUUUAUACCAGUUAUUAAAUGACAAAACUGAAUUUAAAGAGAUAGGGAUAGAGAGAUUGUACACAGUUGUUUAUAGUGGUUCACUCCAAACCCAGAGCUACAUCCAGUCUUCUCAGGAACCCUGAGGAAAUCCACUAAGCAAUCACACCUUGAUCACUUACACAACAACUAAGAGAAUGACCUUGAACACUUCAAGAAACACACUCUCCUUGGUCAACACACCUACACCAAGAUUGUUGAUCUUGAUCCCCUCGAGAACACACAACCAAUCUUAGCAAACACAGAAACAAAACUUGUUUUUACAGAGAGUACAAGGAUUACACUUGUUACAGAAGAUAAUUUGAAAUCAAUACAAGCAGAAUCCUAUUCCACAACUUUGAUCAAUCACACACUCUUAGCAAUCUUAGCUCUUUGAAAAACUCAAAAACUCUUAGCAAAAACUUGUCAAAGAUUGAUUGUCAAAUCUGUUUUUCUGAAUUUAUUCAAAGAUGUAGUUUGUUAUCAAAUCUUAACAAACUCUUAAAUUGCAUUAAAAGAUUGGUCAAAGAAUUUAAUGACUAGAGCGUAAGCAGUUAAAUCAUUUAAAGCUCAGUCAAAGAAAAAACAGUUUUUCUGUUAUGGUCCCAAAACAAACAAUCGGUUGUUUCCUCGAAUCAAUCGGUUGUUUUGGUUCUUAACAGUUCAACCAUUUUAAAAACAAUUUUCAAUCUUUUUCUCAAAACACCUAAGUAUAAACAAUCGGUUGUUUCGACAAAACAAUCGGUUGUUUUAACUUAGUUUGAAAACAUUUUACUUUCACAAAGAUUGAGAUUGCCUAUGCUUUAGAUUUAAUUAAAGGGUGGAUUACAACAUAUAAACUACCUCAGAACUAAGCUAAACCAGCACAGCAACACCAAGCACAGCAAAGGCUUCAACAUCCUUCAAAGGGUUUGGAUUCUUCAAAGCUUGAACAUCACUUGGUUCAACAAAUAUUCCUCUUGUUGUGCCUAGUGCACCGAAAGAUUCACCCCCGCCACCAACUCUUCAGGUGUAUAGUCGUCGUCAAACGUCUCAUCAUCCAUCAGAUGACUCUGUUCUAGUGCCAACACCUCAUCCCCCUCCGACUCUAACAGUUGAACCCCGACAGUUGAACCUGAUCUUCCUAUUGCUAUCCGUAAAGGUAUACGUUCUACCCGUAAUCCCUUUCCACAUUAUACUGCUUUGAGUUACCAUAGACUAUCUCAACCCUUUUAUACUUGCUUUUCGUUGAUUUCAUCUGUAUCUAUUCCAAAAUCUGUAGGUCCUUAACUCCUCAUGGUUGGCGUCAAGCCAUGCUUGAUGAAAUGAAUGCGCUUCAGAAUAAUGGAACUUGGAAACUUGCUCUUUUACCAUCUAGGAUCUGUUGUUGGUUGCAGGUGGAUUUUCGCUAUCAAAGUUGGUCCUUAUGGUACUAUUGAUCGUGUCAAAGCUCGUCUUGUGGCUAAAGGUUAUACCCAAAUUUUUGGUUUAGACUAUGGUGAUACUUUUUCUCCAGUGGCAAAAAUGGCUUUUGUUCGCUUAUUCAUAGCCAUGACUGCUCUUCAACAAUGGCCUCUUUAUCAACUGUAUGUCAAAAAUUCCUUUCUUAAUGGGGAUUUGCAGGAAGAAAUUUAUAUGGAGCAACAUCCCGGUUUUGUUGCUUAGGGGGAGUCUUCUGGAUCGGUAUGUCGUCUUCGCAAAUCCUUAUAUGGCCUCAAGCAAUCUCCUAGGGCUUGGUUUGAAAAAUUUAGCAAUGUUGUUCAACAGUUUGGUAUGACUCGCAGUUUUUAAUCAUCACUCGAGUGCUGGGUGUAUCUAUCUUGUAGUAUAUGUUGAUGACAUUGUUCUUACAGGCAGUGAUCACUAUGGCAUCUCACAAGUAAAACAACACCUUUGUCAAAAUUUCCAGACCAAAUAUCUUGGCAAACUCAAAUAUUUCCUGGGGAUUGAUGUAGCACAAUCCAAUACUAGUAUUGUUAUCUCUCAAAGAAACAUUGGAUAUUUUAGAGGAAAUUGCACUAGUGCAAAAAGAAUAAAAGGAUACGCUUUAUUUAGUGCGGCUUUUGCGCUACCCGCUUUCGUAAAAAACGCGGUGGCAUUUUUGAAAUUAUUUUGAUUUACGAAUGCGGUUAUUUGAAUAGCCGCAUUCGUAAAUCAAAGCACUUGAUUUACGAAUGCGGUUAUUUGUAUAACCGCACUUGUAAAUCAAAGCAUUUGAUUUACGAAUGCGGCUAUUUUUAUAGCCGCAUUCGUAAAUCAAAGCACUUGAUUUACGAAUGCGGUUAUUUGAAUAACCGCAUUCGUAAAUCAAAAUUCUUUGAUUUACGAAUGCCGUUUUACCUUUAACCGCAUUCGUAAAUCCUUUUUCACCCUAAAUUUUGAAGCGCGCCACACACAAUUUCAAACUUUAUUUCUCGUCUUUGCCUUCGUAUUGUUAGAAAAGAUGGCUUUAAACUAGAGGGCGGGUGAAUUGUUUAAAGAGGUUUUCAUAAACUUUUCAAAGCUAGAAUGAACUUAUUUCAGAAACCAAUUGAUUAAGCAAUUCAGUUAGCCAAAACAGCAAGCAAAACUGUAAUACCAGGAAAAAAAAUCGGUUGUUUCUUCGAAACAAUCGGUUGUUUAUACCAGCAAACAACAAACAAAAUAAAAUUAAAGAGUUAAGGAUAGAGAGAUUGUACACAGUUGUUUAUACUGGUUNNNNNNNNNNNNNNNNNNNNNNNNNNNNNNNNNNNNNNNNNNNNNNNNNNNNNNNNNNNNNNNNNNNNNNNNNNNNNNNNNNNNNNNNNNNNNNNNNNNNACAACAACAACCAAGAGAAUGACCUUAAACACCUCAAGAAACACACUCUACUUGGCCAACACUAAGAUUGCUGAUCUUGAACACCUCAAGAACACACAGCCAAUCUGAGCAACACAUACAAACAGAAUUGUUCAACAGUUUACACAAAUUACACUUGUUACAGAUGAAUAUCUGAAAUCAAUACAAGUAGAAUCCCUAUUCAGCACCUUGAUCAAUCUCUCAACUCUUUAGCAAUCUCAGAAUACUUUGAAAAACUCUUCUUGGAUCAAAACUAUGUUUCAAGAUUCUUAAUAUAUCAAAACUGUUUUUCAGAAUAUAUCUAAGAAUAUAGUUUGUUAUCAAAUCUUAACAAACUCUUAAUUGCAUUUAAAAUAGAUUGGUCAAAGCAUUUAAUGACUGGAGCGUAUUUAGUUAAAGCAUUUAAAGCUCAGUCAAAGAAAACAGUUUUUCUGUUAUGGUUUUAAAACAAACAAUCGAUUGUUUCCUCGAAUCAAUCGGUUGUUUUGUUACUUAACAAAAACACCAUUCAAAAACAGUUUUCAAAUUUUCUUAAAACACCUAAGUGUAAACAAUCGGUUGUUUCGACAAAACAAUCGGUUAUUUCAACUUAGUUUGAAAAACAUUUUGCUUUGAUAAAAUUGAGAUGCUAAUUGCUUUGAGAUUUAAUCUAAGUGUUGAUUACAACAUAGAACUACCCCAGAACAAGACUAAAACAGCACAGCAACAUCAAGCACAGCAGAGGCUUCAUCAUCCUUCAAAGGGUUUGGAUUCUUCAAAACAUUGAACACCACUUGGUUCAACACGUUUCGCGUUCGCACUUUGAGUUCGUCUCCUUCUGCUGCAUCUGCAUUCCAUUUGUGCAAUGUAAGUUUCUUGAACUCUCUUUCUUCCUCUUCAUCUUCACAAAUAUAUGCAUAAAUGUUUUUCGUUUUUCUUAUAUAUUUUUUUUCCUUGCAUUGGUGGUCUCGAAGCACUAUUUCGUUGGCUGACAUUCGUUUUUCUUACAUUGUUUGGUUUCUCGCAUUGCUCAUUACUCUUUCAUUGUCUUCGUGGUUUCUUGUGGAUUUUUUGGUUUGCUCCGUUGCUGCUUCCCUGUCCGCCGUCGCUUCUGCUGUCGUCACCGUUGUUGGCGCUUCCGUGACUCUUCAUCAACAUUGGCUUCACACAAGAUUGACGAUGUUUUAAAAUUUUUAUUUUUUUUUAAUGAUUUGGCAUAUACAAGUGCGGUUAAAGCAAAUAACCGCAAUUGUAAAUGGUAUUUAUAAAUGCGGCUAUAUAGCCGCAUUUAUAUUUCUUGAUUUACAAGUGCGUGUUGAUCAAAUGCGGCUAUAAAGCUGCAUUUAUAAAUUCGAAAUAGCCGCAUUUGUUUUAUGUUUCUGCACUAGUGUUGGGUUGAUGAAUUCGAAAUCUGUUAAUACUCCCAUGGAUCCCAAUGUCAAGCUUCUACCCAAUUAGAGGGAGCCUCAUUCAGAUCCUGAGAAGUUUUUUUUUUUUUAUCAGCAAUGAAUAAAUAAAAUUAAAGGGAUACUUCAGGGGUAUCCCAACCCAUAUAUAGUAACCAGAAGUGGACUUCCUAUAUCAUCCACAAAAGAAGCUCUCCUUUAUGGUUGGAGCAAAACAACCUUAAAGUGAGGAAACCGUACCCAAAAAUAUAACCAGCAGGUUACCUCUAAGCAACACCCAACUUUACCGGAACACCCAGGACCGAGGCCACCUACAUUCAGAUCCUGAGAAGUACAAGAGAUUAGUUGGAAAUUGAACUAUCUCACUGUUACUCAUCCUGAUAUUUCCUUUGCAGUCAGUGUGGUCAGUCAAUUUCUUAAUUCUCCAUGUGAAGAUCAUUGAAAUGCAAUCAUUCAUUUACUGAAGUACAUUAAAGGCUCUCCUGAAAAGGUUUGUUAUAUGAUCAUAAUAACCAUACUAGAGUUUUUUGUUAUUCAUAUGCUGAUUGGGCAGGAUCUCCAUUUGAUAGAAGAUCAACUUCCAGUUAUUAUGUCUCCAUUAGUGAUAACUUGAUCUCUUGGAAGAGCAAGAAACAAAGUGUUGUGGCGAGAUAUAGUGCAGAAGCAAAAUAUAGAGUUAUGGCCUCAAUUACUUGUGAGCUUUUUUGGCUUAACAAUUACUUAAAGAAUUGCAAUUUGGAGAAAUCACUCAAAUGACACGUAUAUGUGAUAAUCAGGCUGCUCUUCAUAUUAGCUCAAAUCCAGUUUUUCAUGAAAGGACCAAACAUAUUGAGAUUGAUUGUCAUUUCAUUCGAGAAAAGAUUAUAUCAGGAGAUAUCAAGACUAAGUUUGUUAAUUCAAAUAAUCAAUUAGCAGAUAUUUUUACUAAAUCCUUACGAGGGCCUCAGAUUAAUUGAUUAUAUUUGUAACAAGCUAUGUACAUAUGAUCUAUAUGCACCAGCUUGAGGGGGGUGUUAGAUAUUAUUAGAUAUUAUUAGAUAUUAUGAGAUAUUACUAGAUAUCUCUAUUUAUGUAAUGGGCAUAGCCCAUAUGUUUCUUUUCCUAUAUAAACAUAACCCUAUGUGUUCAAUAUACACAAGGUUUUUACUCUAUUCAAGGUUUUUACUCUAUUCUUUCUUUUCCUUUUAAUAAUAACUAAACCAAAAGUUUGUUAAAAAAUUACCAAAAUGACUUGCGGUGAACUGGUAAGCAGACAUGGUUAUUGUAAAAUGUACCAGAUGAUUAUAGGUUAUCGUAGUAUGUUCGCUCACCUUACCCUUAAAUAUUGUUAUAUGAAAAUAAUUUUCCCCCACGUAAUGGAAGAUGAUGUCAUGAUAUCCUUCCAAGACAUAGAACUGACACUCUUCAUCCCAGCCUUCAAUGACCAUCGAACAGUGCAUGUCCAUAUUGUAAGUUACCUUGUGUAAAUUUUCUUUAUGGUCAACAAUAGUCCAUUUAGAACCUAGUUCUCUAUUAAAUAUUAUCGUAAACUCAUGGUGGACAUUACCUUCAAACUUGUAAAGUGAAAGAUUAAAAGCUUAAAAGUAUUAGGAAUCAGUAAAAGAUUAAAAGCAAUGCAUAAUAAUAAUAUAAAGGAAGUGCAAAAUAAAACAUACCUCAUCACGUACAAUGAUUGUCUUGAACGUACCCAUUGUGUUUCGGCUUACAAUGUCAGAUGGGUUCUCCAUUUUAGUUGGUUUACAAAGUAAGUAAACAAAGGUUUACAAAAGGAAGAAAAUAUACAGAGGGGAGGGGAUGUUAGAGUUCAAAAACUUGAGUGUGGAAAGGGCUGUAAUUUAGAACUCAUUUAUAUUACAAAUUAAUAAUAAAGAAUAAAUUAAUUUAUAAUAUAUUAAAAAAUUUAUUAAAAAAUACAAAGGGAAAAGAGUCCUCACGGUAUUCAAUUGGUGAAGUGAAAUUAUCGGAAAUGACAGUAAGCAUUAUCAUAAUUACUAUAACUGACGUUAGGACUUUGCAAAAGAAAACUAUUGAUCUUCCAAAUCAAACCCCAAAUAAUUUUUCAGAAGCUAUAAUUAUAAUAACUUCAUACUGGAAAGGUUGCACACCAAUUUAAGCCAAUGAGGAGUAAGUAAGGUAUAUGUUCAUUUGAACUUACGCAACAACUUUGCAAAAGAAAAAACUUUCUCUACCAAAUCAAAACCCAAUUUCUUUUUGUGUCCCUACUACGUUUUUUUGAAAAAGAAGGAAAUUUGACGAAUUGUGAAGAAGAAGAAACAACAGUGUAUUUCAGAAUACUAAAAGAUUUUUCUAUUUGCCAGUAUUUGGUGUGUUGAUCAAUCAGUCAAAGCAUAGGUUAAAUAAGCAAGAUCAUAAAUAAAAAAAAACACAGAAAUCCGUAAAUAUAAACUAACAAUAAAACUUUGCUUUAGCUGCCGUUGUUGUGUGCAACGAAUAAGAAUCAAAGGUUACACAAUCUGAAUAUCUAACAACAUAUAUUCAACGAAUAAGAUUCAAAGGUUACACAAUCUGAAUAUCCAACAACAUAUAUUCAACAACAUAUCUGAGAAAGCAAUUACAAAAUAGGAAGGGAAAAGACUCUAUGCUGCACAGAAUGAUUAGAAAUCAUAAUAAUUAUAAUUAUAACGUGACAACUUUGCAAAAGAAAAUACUCUUGAUCAACGAAAUCAUACCCCAAAUAACUUUUCAGAAGCCUUAAUCAUAAUAAAUUCGUACUGGAAAGAUUGCACAUUCAAUUCAGUCCAAUAAUUCACUACCACAAAUUAUUAAUACUACGACACAAUACAUCGGUUAUAAUAACACCAUCGUUAAAAAAAACAUGGGGAAAGUAGAAAAUCAUGGUGUUUUUCCCUGUGAACCGUCGCUAUAGGUGUACAUAGAGUAAAAGACAAUGACGAUUCUCCUGUGAACCGUCGUUAAUUAUGUGUUUUAGGAAAAAACUGCAACAGUUUCCCUAUGAACCGUCGUUAUUUUCGUGGUUUUUAUUUGCACCCACUCUUUCACAUAUUUCUUCAUUCUUCAUUGUCGCGCUACCUACUUCCUUCUUCAUCUUCACACUUUUCUUCACUCUUCACUGCCAAGACAAAGCUCCCCCGCCCGCACCAUCAGCUCUCCACACCUGACCCGUCGCCACGACCCUGUUAGUCCCUUGCGGUCGACAACCUCCAUUGCGCGUUGGAGCCUCGUGACCUUGCUUGUGCCACUACACCGAUGUCAGCGCCUUCCGUGCGCCACUGAAGUGCUGCUAGCUUCCUUUUCGCGUUACUACACCCCGACAAGUUCCCUCCGUGCGCCCUAAGUGCUACACUUGCACCUCACCGCCAGGGUUCUUCUUCCAUUUUUUUGCGCUCCACUUUCAGGUUACUGUGUUUUUGUUUAUUAUUUAAUAAUAUAUUAAAUUUGACUACGUAUAUAUUGAUCGUGUGUAUUCUAUGUUUGGGGUGUUCGACCUUCAACAAUUUUGAUUUAGUUUUUAAUGAUUAGAUAUUGGUUUUACACAUUGAACGCCCUGAUUCUGAUUCCGGAAGUGUCCGACCUUCGACAAUUUUGAUUUAGUUUUUAAAGAUUAGAUAUUGUUCUUACAUAUUGAAUGCAUUGAUUCUAAGUUCGGAGGCCUGGGCUUGGACAACUCGACAUCGGCCCAGGCCUGGAUGACUCGACAUCAGCUCGGGCCCAGACGACUCGACAUCAGCUCGGGCCCUGUUGACUCGACUCCAACCCUGGCCAGCUCAGCUCGAUAUAGACCUGGGAUUGCUCGGCUCGACAUCGGCCCGGGCUCGGACGACUUGACAUCAGCCCGGGCCUAGACGACUCGACAUGAACCCGGGCCCGCUCGACUCGACAUCCCGCUCGACUCGACAUCGGCCCGAGCUCGCUCGGCUCGACAUUGACCCCGGUCCGCUCACCUCGACAUUGACCCCGGUCCGCUCACCUCGACAUCGGCCCGCGCCUGCUCGACUCGAUAUCCACCCGAGUACACUCAACUCAAUAUCGGCCUUGGCUCGCGAGGCUGGAAAUCGGCCCGGACCUGCUCGGCUCGACAUCGGCCUGGCCUGUUCGGCUCGACAUCGGCCUGGCCUGUUCGGCUCGACAUCGGCCUGGCCUGUUCGGCUCGACAUCGGCCUGACCUGUUCGGCUCGACAUUAGCCCUAGCCCGGUCAUCUGGAUAUCGGCCCGGGCCUGCUCGACUCGAGCCGAAAGCCUUAGCUCGACUAGACAAUGGCCUGGGCCAACUUGGCUCGACAUCGGCCCCGACCGACUUGAGUCGACUCAAUAUUGGCCACUCAACUCGACUUGGCCCAGGGUUGACUCGGCUCGACUUUGGCCCAGAAUGACUUGGCUCGACUUUGGCCCAUACCGACUCAAUUCGACUUGGGCCCGAACGACUCGGCUCAACGUGGACUUGUGCUGACUUUGCUCAAUCUGGACUCGAAUUGUCUUGGCUCAACCUGUAUCGUGUUAAAUCAAAAUCCAACCCAAAAUGCAAUUUGGAUAAUCCAAAAAUGUAUCCAAUAUAUAUCUUAUCCAUAUCCAAUUAAAUGGAUUAGAUUUAAAAUUCAAAAAUAUGGAUUUGGAUUUGAGAUAAAUCCAUUUAAAUGGAUUAAAACUAAUAUGGAUUUGGAUAAUUAAGGAUUGGAUUUUGUAAUUUGAAUUUUUUUCCCACCAGUAUUUACGAGAGUGUCGAUCUCACGAAGUUUGCUGAGUUGCUGCGGAUUUUAUUACUCAUGUUCAUGUUCUUGUUUCGGUAAGUUUAAAGAGUUGUUGAGCUGCUAAGGUCCUAUUGUGGUUUAGGUAAGGCUUGUUGUUUGUGUUAAUGCUUAUUGUUGCUAUUUAAUUUUUUUGAUUGAUUCUCACUGGACCCAGUGUUCAAGGAAUAAACACAGGCAAUUUUGGUUGUUCUAAAGUUGGUCAAAGUAAGAAUUUGGAUGUUAUUAUUGUGCGCUAUUUUUCUGUACGUGUUACACCAUUUCUUGAAUUCUUUUCUUUCAUUUUAAAUCCACUGUCCUUCUACUGAUGUUCCCUAAACAACACAUUCAGGUUCAGGUUAAUUAGGGACUUUGAGAGUACUUGCACCUAGCUUGCUGUCGUCUCCAAAUAGCACUAUCUUUUAAUUACUUUCACAUUCCACUAUAUUUGAAUUGGUGAUUUCCCCACAAUUAAUACUCGUUGGAAUUAAAUAGUAAUAAUUUGGGCGCCCUAGCCCGCACUGAUGUGUGACCUUUCUGACUUUGUUUUACAAUGCAGCUUGUACCCUGUAGAACUGCUUCACUCUGUUGCUGCUUACCCUUGUCUGCCACAAGAUCAUAGCUCAUGUAUUCAGUAAAAUUAGUGUAGUGCUUGAAUGGUUCCUGUUGCGGGAUUUGAGUAUAUUAUAUCUGACUUCUUUCUUCUUUUAAUAUGUAGAUAAAUUAACCAAAUGUUAUAUCUAUGCAACCACAUUUUACUGCAUUAUAUCUUGUUUUUAGUUAUUGAUAGUUUUUACAUUUUUGUAUUGAGAGAAUAACUUAUAUUUCUAAAUAAAUACAAGUGGGUGAAAAAAUGAAGGGGUGUAUAUUUUAAGAAAUAUAGCAAUGUAUGUUGACUUUUGAAGAAUUUUAGUAGUAACCAUAGAAAAGAAGUUGAUUGCAGAAGAAGAGAAGGACAAAAUUGGUGGAUAUUUUGGUUGAAUUUUUAAUGGUGGUAAUAAAAUCCAUGUCAUAACUUUGAGAAAAUCAUUUUCCAGUGAAUAAAUGAUGAUGUCACUUUAUGAAAGAUGCACAAAAUAAAUCACCAAAUUAAUUAAAAAAAUUAAUGAAAAAAGGUUUAGUCAGAGCUAUUGUUAUUGUAGUGUUAUUAGUGUUGAAUACUUUUAACUAUAUUUUUCAUAUUAAUUUAGGCCCAAAAUUUGUAGAAAAAAGUUCAUAAAAAAAAUCAACAAAUUAUUUUUUAUGUGUCGGUCAAAUCCAUUAAAAUAUAUUUAUUUCUUUUGUGUAGACUAAAUACAUAUAUACAAAAAAAAUUAAUAUUUUGAUAAUAAAUUGUGUAGGUUUCAUGUAGGCUAGGUCGACUUUACUUGCGUCUUGUGUGGAUUUAAUGUAGGCUAGGCUGACUCUACUUGUGUCUUGUAUGGACAACAUGUAGGCUGAUAUGUUGACUAAAUCUUUGCAUCCUCGAUUAUUUCGUGACGACUUAUUCAAGUUAAACAUGAAAGAUAUACAUGUUUCAGCUUGUGGAACACUAUUAGAUGAUAAAAAUGAUUUCAUAUAAUAUUUUAGAUUUUCAGUUGUAAUUUGUAACUGUUUUAUCAAUAUAAGUUAUUUUUUAUUUUUUUUAUUUAAAUCCUUUUAUGUGCUAUAUAAAUAUAACAUUCAAUGAGUAACAAUUCUUGAUUAAUAAAAUAUAUAUUUUUUUUAUUUUUUUUUUCCUUUUUCUUCUUUUCUCUAAAUGAGAUAUAUAAAACUAAUAAUAACAUUGUUAUGUAGAUAUAAAUAAGAUUCCUAUACUACUCUAAGGUCAGGGUGGUAAAAGCCUACUCAAUACCAAUGACAAUGAUGCAACACGUUAAAAAAACUUUCAAAAUCAGGUAAAACAAGAAAUUGAAGAGGUUAGUAAAAUAACUCCAGCAACUUCCUUUUAACUAUGUCGAGUGUUACCUAUGUGAAUGCAACCGAAGACAUUAUUUACAUGCCCAUGGCUUCCGCCAAUCCUUAACAAAUUUAAAUUGACAUGUAUCCGGCUACCAGCCUAUAAGUUGUUAAGUGUAGUAAUUUUGUUGGAGAUACUGUAAAAUCAUGGUAAUGUAUGCUAUCGUUGCCCUAUAUUGUAAACAUAUUUUGCAAUUUGUGGUGGUUCUCUUGCAUAAACUACCUUGAACGGGGUCAAGUCGAUGUUAGUAUGAUAUAAUGUAUUGUACCAAAACUCUGCCCACGACCAAUUUUGAGGAGAGUCAUAUUAAAUACAUUUCCAAGCAUCUAUUCAAAAGCCUCUAACUGCCUAUCCGAUUGCGGAUAAUAUACAUUACUCAUACUCAAAGUGGUGUCACUCAACUUGAAAAGAUGUUGCCAAAAUUGGCUUGUAAAAACCUUAUCUACAAUUGUCAUUGGAAAAUUUUACCACGAUUGUCAAAAAAACUUAGCCAGUAACUUACUUAUAUAAGAAGUUUUUCAAUUAUAUGUUUGUUUCCAGUAUAUUUUUAGUAUGUUAAAUUGUUUCAAUAAGCAUAUUAAAGCUCAAGAAUUAAAAAAUCAGAUCAUAAUUUUCCUUUUUGAGAGUUCAAUGCAACAAAGAUGAAGAUAUACUUUAAGCCUAUAAAAAGAGAACGAAAACACGUUGAAGAUACAACAAACAUAUGAUAAGCGUCAUGAGUUAGUGAUAUUUCAUGCAAAAAGUUAGACAUUAGUUUGACAUUUCUUGAUUUUAAUUGUUGAUUAAGAUAUGAUUCAUACUUAAUUUGAAAAAUUAGAAUUUAAUAUAUAUUUUGGAGUUAUAAGAUUAAUAGAAAUGACUUAUUCCCAAUUUUGUGUUAUUUUCAAGAAUUUAAGGAGAGAUGAAGCAAAGGGAUAAAUUAUGAAUAGAGAUGUCACUUAGCCUAAUCUCAAUUAGGUUAAACAAGGAUGUGAGGUAGAAAGAGGGGAGAGGGAGACACAAUAAGAAAAUCAAGAAAUAGAAACCAAUUUUUAGAUACCAAAAUAAUUAGUUGCCAUAGUAACUAAAUUAGAGAUCAUUUUAGAAACUAAAAACAAAAAUUGGUUUCUAAAUUAGUUUAUAUUAUUGUUAAAUAGUUUCUAAAUUGGUAUCUAAUUAGCAACCAAGGUUUUUGCUACCAAAUUUAGAAACUAAAUAAUUUGUAGUUAAAACAUUGGUUGCUAAAUAGAUACCAAUUUAAAAACUAUUUAACAAUAAUAUAAACUAAUUUAGAAACCAUUUUUUUUUUAGUUUCUAAAAUGAUCUCUAAUUUAGUUACUAUGACAACUGAUUAUUUUGGUCUCUAAAAAUUGGUUUCUAUUUCAUGAUUUUCUUGUAGUGAGGGAGGAACCCUAGAAAGAAGUCAUCCAAGGAGAAACAUUUUGGAUCUCUUUCUUUUGCUUUGGUGCAUGUAAUGGCCACCAUGAGUGACUAAUUCCUUUCUUUUGGGAUUGAUUGUAAUCUUUUCAAACAUUGAUGAAUCUUGGUAGUGUUGAUAUAUGAUAUUUUCUUCUUCUUUUGAUAUUGGUAUUGUAAUUUUAUUCUUAAAGCUUGAAGUUUUAUUCAUGAACUUUAUUUUGUAUUUUGUGUUUAAAGCUUGAAUAUUUAUUCAUGAAAUUGAUUCUUGAAUUUAACUGAAAAGUACUUUUAAUAAUCUGACUUAAAUGAGAAUACUUGAUAUGUUUUGAUACUAGACAUAGAUUAGAAUAUAUGAAUUGCUAUAUAACAUCUUUUCUUAAUAAAUUUUUUUUCUAAAUAUUUGAGAAAUUAAUGGCUAUGAGAAAAUCUUAAUAAUUUCAUAAUUGAGAGAUCAAUAUGAAAUACUCUUAUAUGUUGCAUCAACAUCAAUUAAUUCAAAGUAUUGUACGAAAGAUUAACUUCAAUCCCAAUUUUAUCAAUUGCUAUUUUAAUCAUUUACUUUGUUUUCCUCUAAUUUUCAUGCAAAUUUAUUUUUACAAUACCAAUAUUUUCUCAAUUAAACUUUUCACAUCGUUCCAUAUUUAGUGAAUGUUAUACAUUAAAGUCUUAAAAGAACGGUUCCUUGUGGGUUUGAUUUUUGUCUUUUGAAGUCAAAUUAUUACUUCUGACUCAAUACACUUGUGAAACCUGUAAUACAAGCCUGUAAUUCUUCUGAAUCAAUACACUUGUGAAAAUUAUAAGUCAACAACAUACAAGCCUGUAAUUCUUCACUGUGUGAAGCCUUACCUUGUGAGCUUUACUUAUGCUAUUUCUAAGAGUGUUCUUUUGUUAUCUUGAGUGGUCUUGUUCUCUGGGUGAGAUAAAGUAGAUAAAAUCAGAAGUGGUUGGUGUACUCAUUUGUAACUUGAAGAAGUUAGUGUACUCAUCGUAAGCAAUUGUUUUGUUCAGUGAAACCUCUAAAGAUGCCUAUUUAAGCGAGAACUGGACAUAGUCCAAUUUUGAAGUUAACCACACUAGUGAAAAAUGUAUAAACAAGUGCGGUUUAUUUCGUGUGGCUUUACGCUCAAACGCUUUCAUAAAAAACAUGGUGGCAUUUUUGUAAUUAAGUUCAUUUACAAGUGCGACUAUUUGUACAACUGCCCUUGUAAAUCAAAACGCUUGAUUUACAAGGGCGGCUAUUUGUAUAGCUGCCCUCGUAAAUAAAAAACGCUUGAUUUACAGGGGUGGCUAUUUGUAUAGCCGCCCUUGUAAAUCAAAACGCUUGAUUUACAAAUGCGGCUUUAAAAAUAACCGCCCUUGUAAAUCAAAACGCUUGAUUUACGAAUGUGGUUUUACAAAUAACCGCUUUCUUAAAACCUUUUUAACCCUAAUCCAGAAACGCGCCACUUACGUUUUGAUACUCUCAUUUCUCUCGCGCUUCGUUUCUCUUAUGUGCCUCCUCCAUUAACUGUGUUCCCUCUUUUCUUCCUCUCUUCUUUGCAUUGUCUUCGUGCCAUCGACAAGCAUUGUCUUCCUCUCUUCUUCUUCACCAUUGAUUUUUGUAUUUUUUGCGUUUCUCUUAUGUUUUGUUUUAUGCCAUUUCUAAGGUGAUGCUUGGGAAGGUUUUUGUUUGCGCUUUCUGUUGUGCCUUCCUCGUCAUUGUUGCCACCUUGCUCCGUCAUAUAUUUGUGUUUCAUUGGAGAAUUUUUAUUUGCGUUUUCUGGACGUCUAUUGGGAUGAAAUACGAAGAUGUGUAAUAUGGAUGCACCAAGAGAUCAAAAGAAAUGAUAAAAUAAUGACCAUGUUCUUCGAAAAAGAUCAAAGUUAAGAACAUUGAUUAGAAACUCAAUCAACAGCGAAACAGAAAAGAAACCCUAAACGUCUCUCGUAAAUGCGAUUUAUAAAUGCGGCUAUGUAAAUAGCCGCAUUUAUAAAUUGAAUUUACCAAUGCGGCUAUAUAUAUAACCGCCUUCUUUUCUCUUCCAUUUACAAAUGUGUGCUCAUCAAAUGUGGUUAUAUAGUCACCCUUAUAAAUGUAAAAUAGCAGCACUCGUUUUGCUUUUUUACACCAGUGCCAGUACAAAUCUUCAUUGUGUUGUUUGUUGUUUGAUCGAUGAUCUAGUCUAGUUUGUUGAAAAGAGUUUACAGGUUUUAUUCAACCCUUUCUAGAGCUAGUUGUUUCAAUAAAAAAGCAAUAUGUGAAUCAGAUCCCCCUGCCUCUCUCCAUAACUAAAUAUUUAUAUAUUGGUCCCUGCGCACUCAUAAUCCUUGUUAAGUAGAGUGAGUGUUUUGAUUCUUCCACUUAUUCCUAUUUUCUAUGCGCAUUUGCGGCCACCUGGCCAUCAGUCAUCACCUCUUCAUAUCCUUUUGUGUUUUCCUCGUUUUCCCUUUCUAUAUUUUUACUGGUUAUAUACAUAUAACCAUACAACAAAGAUUAAUAAACCUAAACGUAUCUUUACUUUCACCUUUAGCAAACCUAUAUUUCAAUGCCAUGCUUUGAAGUUGAUUUUUCACUCUCAAACAGCUAUUGGCUCAAUUUUUCUUCAAAAAAUUUAAGUAAUUUCAUAAAAGGUAGGAAAAGGUUCAAUUACAGGAACUCAAACGGAUGAAACCUCGUAAUACAAUCAUUUUCCAACCUUAAACAAACUCUCCCCGCUUCCUAAUCAUAAACCCUUUCUUAACCUAUAACCUUCCUCUAACAAGCCAUUAAUUUAUAGAUUGUUUCCUUUUCUGCCAACAUAUUGAUUCAUUUUCAAUCCAAAUAAAUAAUGACUACAAACCUAAAUAUAAGUCAGAUUAUAUUUGUUAAAGAUGUUGUUAUACUAAAUAUUGGUCAAAGCAACAGACGUUUAAACAAUGUCUAAUGUUGGCAUUCACAUUUUGAAUCUUCGAAAAGAAUUAUACCAAGAAACAAAGAAAAAAUCCUCAAAAUAAAAGAAAAUGCUUUCUGCACAAAAAAAUUUCAUCUAACUAUCUAUAUGUCUGCAUCAGUCUAAUUUACAGGUCACUCAAGUGAGAGAUGACGGUUAGGAACUCAUCCUCCUUUGUGAGACAAUCCAUUGGAUGGUGAUACCCAAAUUCCUCCAAAGCUAGUUUCAAAAAAUCUUGAAAGGAAGGUUGGUUCAAGUAUGAUACAGGAAUGAGAAAUCUGUUCAUUUUCAGUCCAACAUAGACUCCAAGGUAGCCCUUCGGCACAUCCACAGCUUUUGAAGAUGUUUGGUUUGAAACAAACAAUGUCUUUCUAAUUCCAGGUAAAGGAAAACUCAAUGUCAUCGUUUGUGUUUACACUUGGGAAGGGAAUGUGAGAAAGGCCUGUGUGAAGAAGCUUCAAGUCUUUGAACUUCAAAAUGUUUUAGGAUAUGAACGAUUUUGGUUGUCCUAAAUGCUUGCAUCAACGAACAUAUAUAUAAAAGAAAUUAUUUGUAACAGAUCGUUGGCUACAUGAAUCAAAGAGGUAAGAGAACUGUGACGCAAGAUUCAUGGGAGCAACAGGGAGACAAGGACUUUCUCUACUGCUUGAAAUAUAACAGAUGCAUUCCACAUAAUGAUCUACGAUAUUUCGUUAUCCCUUUCUUUAUAAUUUAUCACCCACAAUAUACAUUCCAGCUGCAAUCCAACAUAAUUUGAGAAAACAUGUUUACAGCAUGUCUAUAAAAUUAUAGAAUACCGAUUAAUGAAUGAACAAUAGUUAGGAUUCAGUUUUGUUACAUGUGGAAACUUUAUGUUGGUCAAUGUUUAAUAAGGUGGGGUUUCACACGUCCAUUCAACUCUAUCCUUAAUAGAGGCAGUGAAGACAACACCAUGUGAUAUCUCAUGCGUAUGCCCUCUAUCCUUUAACACUAUUCUUCUCAGGGAUUUGGAUUUCCUUCCCACACAAUCUUAAAAACUAUAUAUAUAUCCCUUGUCUUAACAAACAACACAUGCAAUUGCAACCCUCAAGUUCAACACUUAGAUUCCUUCCUUCAAGAUUAUAGAUUCGUCUACUUCAUUCAAUCAAGCACAAAAAUGGGUUUCCGAUUACCUGCUAUUCGACGAGCAUCAUUCACAGCUAGCCAAGCAGCUUCAAAAUCUUCAGAAGUCCCAAAGGGCUAUCUUGCAGUGUAUGUUGGAGAGAAACAAAAGCGGUUUAUGAUUCCCAUAUCAUACUUGAACCAACCUUCAUUUCAAGGCUUGUUGAGUCAGGCUGAAGAUGAAUUUGGAUAUGAUCAUCCCAUGGGUGGCCUCACAAUUCCUUGCACCGAAGACGUCUUCCAACGUAUAACUUCUUUCAUCAAUUGACAAUAUAUCUCACUCUUGAAGACUGACAUAGAUUAGUGGAGAAAUUUUGUACAAUAGGCAUCUCCUAGCUUGUAAUCCUUUUUCCCUUUCUCGAGAAAGAGGGAAAUGAAACAGAAUGACAAAUUCAAAUUGUAUAAUUCUUUUGUUUAUAUGCCAUGAAUUCAAUCACUAAAGCAGCUCCUCCGUAUUUUCUGUUUAGUUUCAGUCUGUACUCUUUGCUUAAUGGAUAACAAAUUUCACAAUUUAGGAGACUAACAAUAGGCGUCUUCUCAACAUGUAAACAUCUCCCUUUCUAUGGACAAACCUUUAGAAUCACAAAUUCAUAUUUCGUAUAGCAUAUAUUUACUUGGUUAAUUAACAAUACUAUGUCAAUGAUACAUAUACCGCUAUGCAUCAUUGAACCGAGUAAAAAUUCUUUCGCAGGGAAUUCAAUUGCCACUCUCUCUCUGGAUCUCUUCAUUACUACUUUUCUAUUUAACUUGUAAUGUAUAAAUCUUUAAAUUAUAACUGUGACUCUUUUCCAUUGGAUAAAUUGAUUAAUAACAAGUGCAAAGUGCGAUAUGUGACUUUGAAUGAUCUGCAAAUUUUUCUGAUGGAGAUAUCAAUAGAUUAGAGAAAAGAUUUGUACAUAUGGCUUUUUUUUUUAUUAUAUACUCAUAACACCAUCAUUCCAAAAUUUAACUUGAUACAUAUAUACCAGCGUGAGUCACAAUUUUGAUGCAAAUGAAGAAACGGUUUUGCUCAUGACUCUUGUUCUAUUCGUUUGAUAACUUUAAACCUAUGCUUCUUUCAUUGUAAGAACAUAGUUUCUGAAGGCAUAGGAUUACAAUGAGACAUAGCAUUCAUGAAUGAUAUAAGAGAAAGCUUUCGUAACAGGAGUAGGCCACCUCUAUUAUUCAUAAAAGAAGAAAUUGAUGUAAAGCACAAUUUUAUGUUUUCCUUAUCAGUAUAAAGUCUUGCUUUUUAGCAGAAUUCAACCAUGGUCAUACAAGUGCAGAUUUAAACUUAAAAAGAAACUACGGAGGAGCCGCUUGAGUGGUUGAAUUCAAUUUAAUUAAAAAAAGUUAUAUACAAGGAUUUUUAUCAUCUUUACAAGAAAAGGAGAUGUUUACAAACUCAGAAGAUCCUUAUUGUGCAAAAUGCCUCUACUAAUCUAUGUUAGUCUCCUAAAGAGUGAGAUAUAAGGUCAAUUCAAGCAUGAAGUUAUACGUUGGAAGACAUCUUCGCUGCAAGGAAUUGUGAGACCACCCAUGGGAUGAUCAUAUCCAAACUCUUCCUCAGCUUGACUCAACAACUCCUGAACCGAAGGUUGGUUCAAGUAUGCUACGGGGAUCACAAACCAUUUCAUUUUCUCUCCUACAUAGACUGCAAGAUGGCCCUUUUGUGCAUCCACUGCUUUAGAAGAUGCUUGAUUUGCUUCGAAUAAGGCCUUUCUGAUAACAGGUAAACGAAAACCCAUUGUUGUAUUGAUUUGAGAAGAUAACGGAUAUAGGAGAAGUCUUGAGAACUUUGAAUGGUUUCGGAUGCGAAUGAUUUGUAGUGAUCCUAAAUGCUUGAAUAAGUGAAUAUAUAUACAGAUAAAAGGUUAUGAAAAAACUAUGAAUUGGUUACUUGAAUUAUUGGCGAAGGAGGGAAAUAAAAUAGGACUCAUGGGACCAAAUGAGAGACAUGGCAUGUGGCGUUGUCUUUGAGGGCUUUCUGAAUAAUCAACGUAUCAUGUUAGCAUGUACAUAAUAGAAAUGACCCACCUUUUGGAUCUACGAAAAAGAAGUGUAAUUUGAUCUUAUCGACACUAGCUUACUCAGGGUGGUGGGAGCGAGGAACUUCUUUUAUUCAAAUUUCAUGUUAUGUUUGUUGGAAUUUGAUGUACAUAAAAUGUGGUUCAUAAUGCCUCGUGAUGCGGACAAUUAUUCAACGUUGGUUCUCUUAUGAUCACAGUGGAGCUAUAAGGUAUAGGACAGAGCCAAACCUUAUAUAUAAUGUUCACAGUUGGCCAUGAGAUGACUCAAGAAAACAACAUCACACGGUAUGGCCGCAGAAGUCGUUUUCAGGGAUUAGGACACUGAGUGAGAGAGCAUUGCGAUAAUGAUCGUGAAAUUACUCACCUAUGUUUGUCCAUGCAUUGCCAUAAAGCUAAUUUAAUGGUGGAUAAGCUUUAGACAUACCACAUACUUCCUCAAAUAUUUGAGAUGACAUUUCCAUUCAAAACUACAUAUCUCGGAUGUAUCAUCAAAUAGUAUCACAGUGACAGACAGCAACUACUAAACCUUAAUCAGACAACACCAUGUGCCCUUGUCUUUCAAUUGGUCCAAUUACUCCCAUUGCGUAUCCCUCCUUCAAUAAUUCAUGCAGCCAAUGAUGUCUUAUCUAUUCAUUUCUCUAUAUAUUCAUGGCUAAUUUAUAGGAUCAACGCAGAUCAUUGACAUCCAAGAGCAUUCAAAACUCAAGAGCUUAUUCUCAAGACUUUUCGUAAACCAUUCUCAUCCCAAAUCAACACAAUGGGGUUUCGUUUACAUGGUAUCCGAAAGGCUUUAUUUGCAACAAAUCAAGUAUCUUCAAAACCAGGGGAUGUGCCAAAGGACUAUCUUGCAGUCUAUGUCGGAGAGAAAAUGAAGCGGUUUGUAGUCCCCUUAUCAUACUUGAAUCAACCUUCAUUUCAGGAUUUGUUGAAUGAAACUGUUGAAGAGUUCGGAUAUGAACAUCCCAUUGGUGGCCUCACAAUUCCUUGCAGUGAAGAUGUCUUCCGACGUAUAACGUGUUGCUUCAAUUGACAAAUAGUAGUAUACUUUUGGACACUGACAUAGAUUAAUGAAGACAUUUUUUAACAUAGACGUCUUCUCAACUUGUAGAGAUCUCCCUUUCUUGAGGAAGAGAGGGGAAAGACCAUUCAAAUGACAAAUUCAUAUUUCUUAGAGCAUUUCUUUGUAUGGUUAAACCGCACUCUGUCAAUACUAUAUACACACAAACCUUCCUUCUGUGUCAUUGUAAUGAUUUACAAUUGUUUCAUACAAUUUAUUUUCUCUCUCUCUAACACCUGUGCCUUCCUACUUUUCUCUUUGACUCAUUUAUGGUCCUGAUUCCUUUAGCUUAAAGUCUACUUUGUAUCAGAAUGCAAAAACUGGGACAUCUUCCUAGCCAGUAAUAGUUUGCAGGAUCAUUGACUUCUUAACGCCAUAUCAGAAUCUAUUUUUAAGCCCGUUUAAAUUCACUUCUAAAUAGUUAGUCUAGAAAAUGUGUUCUGGAAGUUUCUAUAUGAUUAUAAGUAUUUGAUGGUAUUUAUAAUCAAUUUUACGUUGAAUAUUAAACCAAUAAUUAUUUGUCAAGUGGCUGUUAUACAGUGUGGGAGUGGUUCAAAGUUAGGAAUUAUAGAAGUUUGGAAAUUUGAUUGUUUCAAGUGCAUGCAUGCAUUCUGCUAAUGCAUAACCGAAUAUCUAUAUUGGGAAUGACUGUCCUCUCUACCAAACAAAGGGACUAUUUACUUGAUAAUUACAAAAUAUUUUAUCCAUACAUCCAUACUGGGAAUAUGUUAUGAUAUUAUUAUUAAUUUAACAUUGUUAUUAUAUAAUAAUUUAACAUUGUAGUGAUUGAAAGUUUUAUAUAAGUAUCUAUAUGAAUAUAAUUAUUAGCUUAAUUAUUUUAAAGUGUAUAUGUUUUUGUAUUUAUGUUCGAUAUAACUUAGAAAGUAAAUAUGUAUUAUAAAUUUGAUUUAGAAGAUUCCAAGUUUUUAUUUGAUUAUGCAUUAGCAAUUUUCCUGCACAGUUGAUAAAUCUUUGAAAGCUCCAUUUUUUAUUGCUCCAAAACUUUUCCAACACGCACAGUCCUCUUGAAAGCUAGUUUGGCAGUAUGGUUGUUGGAAGCAUCUACGCUUGACAAACAAUUUGUCCAUAACAGCACAACAAGAGUCUAAUUUCGUAGGUACGUGCUUUGAGAUUUAAGUAUAAAGCUUAAAACUAAUUUAGAAUUCAACGUUAACAUACCUAUAUAAACACCAGAAACAAUCCUAAAUACCAUAACAAAUCUUUCACACACUUCACUCAGCGGCAAAGUAGUUAUUCCAAUUACUGUCACACUACACAAGCCACCAUGGUUUCAAAAAAUCAAUUCUAUCAUAUUUCAUUGGCGUUGCUUUUCUGCAUGGGAUUCUGGGGUUUUCAAGUCACAUGUCGCACUCUCCAAGAUGAUGUCUCCAUGUAUGAGAGGCAUGAAGAAUGGAUGACUCGUUAUGGCAGUGUGUACAACGACCCUGAGGAAAGGGAAAAGCGUUUCAGGAUAUUAAAAAAAAAUGUGAAUUAUAUUGAAACCUUCAACAAUGCUGCCAAUAAACCUUACCAGCUAGGCACUAAUCAAUUUGCAGACCUCACCAACGAGGAAUUCAUAGCAGGCAGAAACAGGUUCAAGGGGCACAUGUGUUCCUCAAUCCUAAGGACAACCACUUUUAAGUAUGAAAAUGUGACUGCAAUUCCGUCCACAGUAGACUGGAGGCAGAAGGGUGCAGUUACACCCGUGAAGGACCAAGGUCAAUGUGGUAAGAAAAUGCAUCAUUCUUCAUUCACAUUUCCAUGUCAAAUUAUAAACUCAAUGAUUGUCUAACUAUUAAUUUAUCUUGUAGGAUGUUGUUGGGCGUUUUCAGCGGUUGCAGCAACUGAAGGAAUCCAUGCACUGACUUCUGGAAAAUUGAUCUCUUUGUCAGAACAAGAACUUGUUGACUGUGACACAAAAGGUGUGGACCAAGGGUGUGAAGGUGGUUUUAUGGAUGGUAUUUCAAAUUCAUCAUAAAAAAUCAUGGAAUAAACACUGAAGUGAAUUACCCCUAUAAGGGUGUAGAUGGAAAGUGCAAUGCAAAGGCAGAAGCGGUGAAUGGUGCAACCAUUACUGGGUACGAAGAUGUCCCCGUUAACAACGAAAGCGCCCUUGAGAAAGCUGUUAGCAGUCAACCAGUUUCUGUAGCAAUUGAUGCCAGUGGAUCUGACUUUCAGUUUUACAAAAGUGGUGUGUUCAGUGGUUCGUGUGGAACUGAGUUGGAUCACGGUGUGACUGCUGUGGGAUAUGGUGUUAGCGAUGAUGGGAAGAAGUAUUGGUUGGUAAAGAACUCAUGGGGAACAGAAUGGGGUGAAGAAGGCUACAUUAGGAUGCAAAGAGAUGUAGCUGCUGCAGAAGGACUCUGUGGGAUAGCGAUGAUGGCAUCUUAUCCUACUGCAUGAUUAUAACUUGUACACUACUCUUCAUACCUAAACUUGUGUUUAACACUGUAUUCUCUAAUCAAUUAUUCACUAAAAAGGAAAUGAAAUUUAGUCAUGUGAGUAAUGAUUUUAUGGUGAUGCAUAAUUUAUAUAUGCUUUAUAUCUAUUUAUUUAAUUAGUAAUUGUUAACGAACAUCUAACGCGCGCAAUAGUAUAAAAGGUUAGGCUUUCCUCCCUCAUUGUGUUCGGAAACAAUGGCAGAAGAAUUACCAACCACGAUUCCGUGUUGAAUAAACUUUAACAUAAUAAACUUUCAAUGUUAGUUUGUGAGUUUUAAAAUUAGAAGUUGUUCCGUAUUCUUUCAUAAGUCCUUACUGACUUGUGUCGGAGUGCAAACUGCCAUAAAACCUCCUUUGUCUCUACAGGUAAAGCCUCCAACAACCAAGAGAAGUGCAGAUUCAAGGGGAGACAAGCGGAGCCUAAACUAACCAUCAGAGUCAACCGACGACCAUGUCAACCGGCAAGAACAUUUGGCGUCCACCGUAGGGCCCGAUAAAACUAGGACCCAUCCACAUUGGUAAACAAAGCAAUCGAAAGGCAUGAGAAAUACUCGACAAAGCGGUCCCGCUGGAUCUGAAGAAGGCGAUGCCCCCACAACCCAGCAGCUUAUGGAGAUCAUCACAACUCUCCAAGAGACAGUGGCGACAACCAGGGCUGAGCAGGUUCAAAACCAAGACCAGUUUAGGACUGAGUUGGAUGCAUUGCAGGAAGCUAAUGAGGAACCAAGCAGAGCUAAUGAGGAAUUGCACAGGAAUUGGAAGUGCGCCACGGGCGAUCAGUACCCACCUGUCCAAAAUAGGGCCCGCACAAUGCCCUUCUUGUAAAACAAGCAAUCACUCACACUUGAAUUUUCUCUCUAAAGAACACACUCUUCUUUGAAUUUCUCUCUAUUGUAUUUCUUUUUGUGGUGCAUAUUACAACUGAGAGAGCAUCCUAUUUAUAGGCUUUAGGAAGCUCUUCUAGAAAAAUCUUCAUUAUGGCCUUAAAACCCCACUAACAACAUAAUUAAAAUCCCACUCACAACCUUUGACCUUUUACAUAUCCAAACUCUCAUUCUACUCUUUUCUAGUAACUUCUAAUUUUAAAACCCACAAAUUACAUUAAAGUUUAUUCAACAAAACUCCCCCAUAAACUUAAAUGUUUCUACCAUCCAUCAUGCCAAUCAUCUUCUUGAAUUUGUCGAAAAGGACUUUCGGUAGUGGUUUUGUGAAGAUAUCCGCAACUUGAUCCUGACUUGCCACAUGCACCAAUUCCACACUUCCUUUCUUCACAUGAUCACGAAUAAAGUGAAAACGAACGUCAAUGUGUUUGCUUCUUUCAUGGUUCACUGGGUUCUUUGCCAACUCAAUUGCUGAUUUGUUAUCAACUUGAAUCACGGUUGCACCUAGUUGCUUUAGCUCCAUCUUGCUCAACAAGUUUCUAAGCCAUAUCGCAUGACAUACACACCAAGAUGCUGCCACAUAUUUAGCUUCACACGUCGAUAGCGUCACGAUUGGUUGCUUCUUUGAAAGCCAAGAAAAUGCUGUGUUUCCCAUAAAGAAUACAUAUCCCGAUGUACUUUUCCUAUCAUCUAUGUCUCCGCACCAAUCUGUCAGAGUAACCCACCAACUUGUAAUCUUCUGCUUUUGAGUAGAACAAUCCGAGUGAUACAGUACCUUGGAUGUACCGUAGGACUCGCUUCAAAGCCUUCCAAUAUGAGUAAAUCGGUUCCUCCAUGAAUCGACUUAUGAUGCCGACACUUAAUGAAAGAUCCGGUCUCGUGCAUGUGAGAUAACGAAGGCUUCCUACCAAACUCCGGUAUCUACUUGCAUCGAAACGUUCUCCUCCAUCAAACUUUGAGAGUUUCGCACCUGGUUCCAUUGGUAUUGAUACUGGGUUGCAAUUUUCCAUCUUGUACUUCUUCAAAAUCUCUUUUGCAUAUGUCUCCUGUGAUACAAAAAUACCUGUCUUUUCUUGUCUAAACUCCAAACCAAGGAAAAACUUCAUCAAUCCCAAAUCUGUCAUCUCAAAUUCCCGUCUUAUUGUGCCCUUAAAUUCUUCUACCAUCUCAUUAUUGUUACCCAUAAAAAUGAGAUCAUCAACAUAAAGAGCAACAAAUAUCAUGUUACCUCCAUCGUUCUUUGUGUAAAGAGCAUGCUCGUAAGGACAUUGCUUGAACCCGUUCUCCUUGAAGUAUGUAUAGAUACGAGUAUUCCAUGCCCGCGGUGCUUGCUUCAACCCGUAAAAUGCCUUCUUUAAUUUUAGCACCUUCUUCUCCUCUCCGAUUUUCAUGUACCCGGGUGGUUGUUCGAUGUAGACUUCUUCUUCAAGCACACCAUUCAAGAAUGCCGACUUGACAUCCAUUUGAAAUAUCGUCCAUUUAAAUUGAGCCGCUUGGGAAAUGAGCAAUCGAAUUGUCUCCAUUCUUACAACGGGAGCAAACACCUCAUCGUAGUCAAUUCCCUCCUUUUGUUUGUAUCCCUUUGCAAUGAGUCGCGCCUUGUACCUCUCUAUCUCACCUUGAGCAUUCAUCUUUUUCUUGAAUACCCACUUCACACCAAUGGGUUGACUUCCCUCUGGCAAUUCUGUUAGCUCCCAUGUGUUGUUUCAGUCAAUCGCUUUAAUAUCCUCAUCCAUGGCAGUUUGCAACUUCUUGUCUCACACCGCCUCUUCAAAGCUGAUAUUUUCUACAUCUGCCAAAAGACAUACAAGGUGUACCUCAUUUGUCGAAUCAUACAAAUCAUGCAAACUUCGAAUUUUAGGUUGUCGUGGUUCAUCUUCAUCAUCGGUUGUUUCGGAAUUUAUACUUGUCGGUGCAACUAUUGAUGAUUCUCCAACAUCAAUCAUAACCUCUGAAGAAUUGUUCCAAUCCCACUUGCUUGUUUCAUUUAUUCGCACAUCAUGACUCACUAUCACCUUCUUGCUUAUCGGGUUAAAGAGCUUGUAUCCUUUUGUCUUCUCAUCAUACCCAAUAAAAACAUACCUUUUGCUUUUGUCUUCGAGCUUCGUUCUUCGUUGAUCUGGUACGUGUGCAUAAGCCACACUACAAAACACUUUGAAAUGAGAAACUGUUGGCUUUUGUCCGCUCCAUGCCUCUUGUGGUGUUUGAUGAUCUAACUUCACAUGUGGACAUCGAUUUUGCACACAGAUGGCACAUUGCACAACUUUCGCCCAAAAUUCCUUUGGCAUGUUUUUGCUCUUAAGCAUUGAUCGAACCAUGUCGACAAUGGUCCGGUUCUUCCUCUCAGCCACACCAUUUUGUUGAGGAGUGUAUGGUGCAGUUAGAAAUUGCCUUAUGCCUUGCUCCUCGCAAUACUCCAUGAAAGUUGUUGAAGUAUACUCGCCACCUCUAUCAGAUCGUACAACUUUGAUCUGUUUAUCAGUUGCCCUUUCCAUCAUCACCUUGAACUUUUUGAACACCUCAAAUGCCUCGGAUUUUUCCUUCAGAAAAUAAACCCAAGUCUUUCGUGAGAAAUCAUCGAUAAAGGUAAUGAAAUACCUUUUACCGCCGAAGGAUUCUGGAGUAAUUGGUCCACAUAUGUCGGUAUGAAUCAAUUCGAGAGGUUGCUUAGCCCAAUAUUGAGCCUUCUUUGGAAACGAGGUUCUCAUAUGCUUGCUAAGCACACAUUCUUCACAAAAUUUUCCCUCGUAGUCCAUGUUCGGUAGCCCGUGCACCAUAUUCUUCUUCGCUAACUCUUUUAGACCACCAUGAUUGAGGUGACCAAAACGGAGAUGCCACAGUGAUGCCUUAUCUUCUAUGUUGACUUGCAAACAUUUUUCUCGUAUGCUUCUCAAAUUAAGCAUGUACAUCCGAUUUCUUGCCAUCUCGAUUUGAGCAACCAAACGCCCUUGCUUGUUCUUCAAGUGUAGUAGCCGAUCUUUCAAAAAAAUCGAGUAACCUUUCUCCGUGAGUUGCCCCAUACUCAAAAUGUUGGUCUUGAGGUCUGGUACGUAAUAAACAUCUUGGAGUGACCCAAUUAAGCCAUCCUUUUGUAAGUAGCAAACGUACCUCGCCCUUUGACCUCCACCUUUGAUGCAUCUCCAAAUGACGCAUGACCAUCUUCAAUCAUUUGCAUAUCUUUGAAUAGGUACUCAUGACCGCACAUAUGGUUGCUUGCUCCUGAGUCGAGGUACCACAGAGUGUCACUAUUAAUGUUGACUUCAUCUUGAGCCAUCAAGAGAACACCUUCAUUCGUUUCGACUUUCAUGGCUAGGUUGGUUGUUUCUUCUAUCUUUAUAUCAGCUCGACAAUUUUUUGCAAAAUGCCCCACUUUAUGAUGAAAAUGAAGAUGAAAAAGAGGCCAACAUUCAAGAAGAAGAAGACGAAACUCAUGGAGAAGCCCAAACCCACUCCAAUCAAAGAAUCACUAGGAGCAUGGCUAGAUCAUUGGGAAGAUAUUGCUAAAUGAAAUCUCUCUUUGUAAUAUCUCUUGUAUUAAAUUGUAAAUAGGAUAGGAUAGCCUUAGGGAAGUGCCUAAAUAGGAAAACAAAAGAAACUAUGCAUGUAAAGGCACUUUUAGUCACUAGUUACUUAGAAAUGGCUAGGAAGGUCACCAUUUGGCCUAGUUAGGCGCCUUUUGUUCAUAGAAGGAACUUGAAGGAGCCUUUCCUUCCUUCCUUACCUAGAGGGCCGGUCAUCUCUCACCUUAUAAAAGGAGAGCCUUGCCUCAUUGUAAAACAAGUUGAAAUUGAAAGUAAUGAAAUUCUAGUGAAUUUUAGAGAAAGUUGUGAGGCUUGACUCUUCUUCUCUCCUUAGUCUCAUCUUGUGAGCUCUUGGGACUCUCAAGUGGCGGCACCACCCACUCAUCUUGGAGCAAACCACCCUUCAAGUGGCGUGAAGAUCCUCCCUUGGUCUACAACCCCAUAAGUCACUUUUUCCAUCUUCCGUUUUCUUCCAUUUUUGUGUUUCUUGCUUGUGUUUUCUAUUCCAUUCGGUGGAAUCUGUUCUUUGUUGUUUUCCCUUUCAUUUUCUGCACUUUAUUUCUCCUUUAAGCAGUGCAGUUUGGUUGUUUCCUUGCUGUUCUUGGUUCGUCCCAUUUUGGUAAUUACAUGUGAUAAUCUUGUUGUUUUCAAGUUCUUUUCCAUGGGUUAUGUUGUUUAACUUGUUUCAAUCGGUAGUUCUUUGUAUGCUGCGUUAAUUUAUGUUCUUGGCACGGUUCUUGUGUUCCUUGAGCUGUUCUUGAGUAGUUCUUGGGUUUUACUUGCUGUUUUAGAGUUACCCAUUCAUUCUAUAUCCAUAUCAUGUUAUUGGAAUCGCAUCAUGCGGUAUCAUGAGUCUUAGGUUUGUUCUUGUGUGUGUUUGAGUUGUUUUGGCACUUUUAAUUCAAGAACUUUACAUUCUUGUCUUUACCCUUCUGUUUUAUGUUUAUUUUUUGACUAUUUCUUGCUGUUUUCUUGUUCUUAUUACAUUGUGUUUGUGUCAUUUUGAUUUUUGAAUCCUUAUUAGUUUUGUCAAAGUCAUGUUUCUCCAAAAUGUUAUCAAUUCUAUUUAGUCCUUUUGUUGAUAAUUUUGGUUUCUUGAUUUUGUGUUGAGUACAGAUUUAUGUGUUUGUUUUCUUGAUCCUUUGGUGCUUUUUCUUUUUAGUUUUGAGUUCAUACUUGUGUAAUAGACCUAUACAAAUUCUUAAACAUCACUUCUAUUAUGUCUUUUGAAGUUCUUAAUUCUGUUUUUCAUUCCAGUUAGGUUUCCUCUGUUUUCUUGAAAACGUGCUGACUAUUUCGAUUUAUUGAAAUUUCUUUGCUUACUGGAAAUUUCUGAAAUUCUGGAUUUGAGUUCUUCAAAGUGUUAUAAAAAAGUAGAAAAAAGAAGUACAUCAAAAUUCCAUGUACAAAAAAAAUGAUAAAUGAAAUACGUCCAAUGUGUAAUUCUGGCGAAAAAAAUACGGUAAUCUGGCAAUGAUUUUGCAAAAUUUAUCACAAUUAAUUGGCUUACUGUUUUUGUGUAAUUUCAGUGCCAUUGUUGAGAUAAGAUCUUGAACUUUCUGUGGUUUAAAAUUCAUAAUCCAGUUUGCAUUAUACAGUUCCAGAUAAAUCUAUAAAGUCACGCACAGUUUAUAAAAAAAUUCCAGUAGUUCUUUUUUUUUCUUCAUCUAUUCUAGUGCUUUUCUCUAGGUUUCUUUUGUGUGUCAUCCUUUAAUUGAGUACCUUAUUUUUCUUGCUUGUCUUUUUUUCACUAUUCUUUGAGUUUGUCAUAUAUCUUGUAUUCCUUUUUCUAUAGCCUUUCUUGUUUACACCUUUUCUUGCUUGUCUUUUAUUGUUCUUUAAGUUUUGUGGUGGAUGCACUUGGAUAAAGUGGGUGAGUGCUUUGACAUAUUUCACUUGAGAAUCACCAAACCACAAGAUUAACUUGGAAGAGAAUUGAAUUCUUUUUGGAGUGGAUUGAGUGCAAAUUUUGUCACAAAACCGCAAACAUCUUUGCCAUUUUUCACUUGUUUUACUAACUUUGUUUUCUCUUAAUUGUUUGUUCAUUUGUGUACUGUUUUGUUAUUAAAAUGGAGCAUUAUUCAAGUAGUGGUUCAUCCGAGUCUAACUCUGCACCAAAAGCAUACAUUAAAGAUGAAUUGAAGGAUGCCAAAAAGACCAUUGCACAAAAAGAUGAAGCCAUAAGACAAUUAGAAGCAAGGUUGCAAAGGCUUGAAGAAAAUCAUGCCACAUCCAACAAUUCUGCACAUGGAAGGCGCCAUUCACAUAGAAGUCCUUCAAGAGGCGCUUCUAAUCACCUUGGCCAUGAAGAAGAAUCAGAUGGAGGACGAUACCACCAAACUCACCAACACCACCGCCAUCAUCAUAGAGAAAGAAGGCACCAUGAAGAAAGGAGGCACCAUGAAGAAAAACCUUACUUACCCUAUGUAAAAUUACCUACCUUUAGUGGGGAAAGACAUCCUAAUGUGUACUUAGGAUGGGAAGCAAAAUGUGAGCAAAUUUUUGAUGUAUAUAAGGUCAAAGAAGACCAAAGGGUACAUCUAACCACUAUAGAAUUUCUAGACUAUGCUUUACAAUGGUGGCAUAAGACACUCAUGGACAUUGGACUUAGAAGGAGGCCUCACGUGGACUCCUGGGAUGCUUUAAAAAAAUGUAUGCGCGAUAGGUUCGUUCCACCACACUUUAGGAAAGACCUAAUGUUGAAGCUCCAAUGGCUUCACCAAGGCAUGCUAAGUGUGGAUAGUUAUUUCAAGGAAUUAGAGACGCUUAUGCUUAAAAUAAAUUUGGAUGAAAGUGAGGUAGCAAAGAUUGCUAGAUUUAUAAGUGGUCUUAGAAGGGAUAUACAAGAUGUUGUAGAAAUUCAAGAGUAUUCAUCUUUACAAACCUUAGUUCACCUUGCCAUCAAGAUUGAAAAUCAAAUUGCAAGGAAAAUGGCUUUCAAAAAUUCUACUCAUGUUUGUUACUACAACAACUCUUGGAAAAAUAAAAACAAAUCUUUUUCAAAGUUCCCUUCUAAAGAUUCAUCUUCUAAAGCUAUGGAUUCUAAGCCUUCCACUUCUAAUCAUAAAUCACCAACCAAAUCCUCAAGUAAAAAGUGUUUUAAAUGUUUAGGAUAUGCUCACAUAGCGGCUAAUUGUCCUUCUAAAAGAAAUAUGAUGAUAAAUGUUAAUGGGGAAGUGGUGAGUGAACAUGAAUCCGCAAACUCUAGAUCAUCCACACCUCCUAGGACUCCAAGUGAGUAUGAGAGCGAAAGUCCACAUGAAGGUGACUUAUUGAUGAUAAGGCGAAUGCUGGGAACAAUUCCAAAAUCAUUGGAUGAUACCCAAAGAGAAAAUAUUUUUCACACCUGCUGUCUUAUCACCAACAAGUUAUGUUCCUUGAUUAUUGAUGGGGGUAGUUGCACUAAUGUGGCUAGUACAAGAGUUAUGGAGAAGUUAGCCUUACCCACUAUUUCUCAUACCAAGCCUUAUAAAUUGCAAUGGCUUAGUACCGAAGGUGAAAUCAUGGUUAACAAACAAGUCCUCAUUAACUUUGCAAUAGGAAAGUAUAAAGAUGAGGUUUUAUGUGAUCACUACAAAAAACAGUGUACAUUGUGGCGGUUAUUUUCGUAUAUUAUGGCGGUUUCCCAAAUCGCCAUAGAACUGGCUGCCACAAAGUUUAAUGUGGCGGUUUUACCCUACCCGCCGCAACACCCACCACUUUAAACAUAAUGUAAGUAGUGACGGUUUUUAUAUGUAAGUAGUGUCAGUUAUAAUUGUCGCAAUUUACAUUCAUUGAAGAAGAUUCUGGUGUCAUAGUAUACGUAAGUAGUGUCAGUUAUAACUGUCGCAAUUUACAUUCAUUGAAGAAGAUUCUGAUGUCAUAAUAUACGUAAGUAGUGUCAGUUAUAAGUGUCACAAUUACAUUCAUUGAAGAAGAUUCUGACGUCAUAAUAUACGUAAAUAGUGACAUUUUUAACUAACGUAAUUUUAAUUCUGAAUAAAUAAAAUUUAACCACCACUUUUUAAUAAUCUGUUUUAUACAAUUAUAAAAUUUAACCACCACUUUUUCAUAAUAAAAUAAAAUAAUGUAUAAAGUUAUAAUCAUCCAUUCUUUUCAUUGAAAAUAUAAACACACAUAAUAAUGUCCAAAAAUUUAUAUGUAAUUGAAAAUUAAAACACAUAAAAAGUUCAUACAUCCCUAAUCAAGUUUAAAAUUACAACACAUAAUUGUUCAAAAGUUCAUACAUCCCUAAUCAAGUUUAAAAUUAAAACACACAUCCCUAAUCAAUUUUGCUUCCAGCACUUGAUCCUAUUACUUGAUUAGGUGAAUGAGCACCACUUCCAUAAUCUGAUGCCUGAAAUAAAUAAUUUUAAGUUAAUGAAUGUGUAUGUUUAUAAUUAUAAAAUAAAAGACACCAAUAAAUAUUUAAAUAUAUUAAUAUCUCAUUGGUGGAUGCAUGUUACACUUUAUCCUUCACCAUGCAAAUACCAAGUUUUGUAGUUCUGAGGGAAAGCUGUACAUGUUAAGUGUUCUUGAACUACAUCCAUUGUUUCCUUGCUGUUCUUGGUUCGUCCCAUUUUGGUAUCAAAUUACAUGUGAUCAUCUUGUUGUUUUCAAGUUCCUUUCCAUGGGUUAUGUUGUUUAGCUUGUUUCAAUCAAUAGUUCUUUGUAUGCUGCGUUAAUUUCUAUUCUUGGCACGGUUCUUGUGUUCCUUGAACUGUUCUUGAGUAGUUCUUGGGUUUUACUUGCUGUUUUAGAGUUACCCAUUCAUUCUAUAUCCAUAUCAUGUUAUUGGAAUCACAUCACUUUACCACAAUUGUAACAUUUGUCAGAGUUACAAUCCUUCGCAUAGUGACCAUAUUUUUGACAUUUGUAGCACUCGAUGUUGGAAUAAUUCGAUCGGCCGCCUAUUCCUCUACCACGUCCUCUUCCACGCCAAUUUGGUUGGCUCAACUGUUCCUUCUCCUUAUAGUACCCUUCAUGGUUGUUGCCUUUUCCACCACGACUGUUUCCACGACUUCCACGACCACGCCCUCUAUUUUGAGAAUUUUGAUGAUAGAGUACCUUUUCGUCUUUGAUUGACGCCUUGGUUUGAAGUGCUUGCUCGAGUGUUUCCUCCUUCUUCUUCUUCUUUCGUUGCUCGUGUGCCUCGAGAGAACCGGCAAGCUCGUCGACUGUGAGCGUCGUUAGGUCCUUUGACUCUUCUAUUGCGCAAACAAUACUCUCAAAAUUGUCAGUUAAUGUUCUCAAAAUCUUCUCCACAACUCAUGCAUCGGUCAACUUUUCACCAUUUUGGUUAAGUUGAUUCACCACAGUCUGUACACGCGUAAUGUAGUCAGAUACACUUUCCGACUCCAUCAUCUUCAUGCUCUCCAACUCGCCACGAAGAGUUUGUAGACGCACUUGCUUAACUCGGUCGGCUCCUUUCAACACCUUUUUUAAGAUGUCUCACACUUCUUUUGAAGUAGUUGCACUGACAAUCUUCUCAAAGCCCGACUCAUCAACCGCUCGGAACAACAUGUAUAGUGCCGCCUUAUCCCUUGAUCACAUCUCUUUCAACACUUUGGUUUGAGCCACCGUAUAACCCGUGGUAUUUGUUGGUUCUUCGAAACCUUCUUCGACCACAUCCCAUGUAUCUUGAGAACCGAGAAGAGCUUUCAUUUGAAUGCUCCAAUUAUCAUAUGUGAUGUGAUUCCAAUAGCGAUAUAGAGAAAGGUUCUUGACCUUCUUAGGAAUCACCUUGAGUUGGACAUUAUAGAGGCACUUUUCUUAGAGUUGGAUCAUUGUUCUAAGACAAGAACUCACCAAAAACUAGCACCAAAUCCCAAACUCAUUUGGAUGAACCAAUUUUAGUCAAAUUGAACCGAACAAAAGAGUAAGAAAAGCAAAGGAACAAGAUGAAUGGACAGAAUUAUAAAACUGCCGAACCAAAAUACUCAUAAAAACAGCAAGAACACCAAACCAAACAAAAGAACACAAGCUAACAAAAACAAAUGAAAGAGGAGAAAGGAAGGAGAGAAGAAAUGCUCUUGAAGAUGGAAGGAGGAUGGAUGAUCUCGCCACUAGAAGUGUGGAAUGCUCUUAGAUGAGAGUGAUGCCGCCACUUGAGGACUCCAUUGAUCCAUCAAGAUAAGACUAGAGAAGAAGGCUCAAAGCUCUCCAAAGUUCACUCAAAAUUUGAGUAGAGUUUUCUUAGAUUAAUUCCAAUCUGAAUUUUACAAAGGAAGCACCUCUAUUUAUAGCCUAAGGUGCUGAAAAAUAGGUGGGAAAUUUCAAAUAAACUCAAUUGAAAUUCCCACCAAAAACAAGUCACAUGGGAGGUGUGACCUUUUUCUACUAUGACACCUCCCAAAAACUACACCUACACCACUCUCCUAAGUCACAUGGACAAUGUGACUUUAUUUUACAUUUUCACUUACCUUUAUUUAAUAACCACACCUCCUAAAACUAUACAAGAGUAUUUCAAAGCUUGGCCUUGCCCCUCAUGGGAUGGACUUGGGCUCUUUGGGCUUUGGCCUUCUUGGGCUUGGGCUUGGGCUUUGGGCUUGGGCCUCAUCUUUAUUUUAUGUCUUCUUUUAAUCUUGAGAAGACUAGAAGGAAGAACUUCAAAUGUGAGGGUGGAUGUCCUCUUCCUCCAUUAAUAAAAGCCUCCUUUAUUUGAUUCUCAUCAAUAUGUGGUCGCCUUUGUUAACCGUGGUAGCGGUAUUUGACCCAUCACAUUUGCCAUUGGCUCUGAUACCAAAUUGUAAAACAAGCAAUCACUCACACUUGAAUUUUCUCUCUACAUAAAACAUUCUUCUUUGAAUUUCUCUCUAUUGUAUUUCUUUUUGUGGUGCAUAUUACAACUGAGAGAGCAUCCUAUUUAUAGGCUUUAGGAAGCUCUUCUAGAAAAAUCUUCAUUAUGGCCUUAAAACCCCACUAACAACAUAAUUAAAAUCCCACUCACAACUUUUGACCUUUUACAUAUUCCACAAAUUACAUUAAAUUUUAUUCAACACUUCUCACAAGAGAUCUUAGACGCAAUUGUGCCAAAAAACAUGACGACGCCUAAGAUCACUUUCACUGGUGUCGAAGAUCCGGACGUCCACCUUGCAGCCUUUGAGGCCCAAACAAUGAUUCAAGUUGGCACAAAUGUCGCACAUUGCAAACUAUUCACGGGCACACUCUCAGGCACAACACUGAAGUGGUUUAUUGGCCUACCCAACGGCCUUAUAACCACUUUUGACCAGUUCUCCACAUUGUUUAGGGAAUAGUUCAUGGUGAAUCAAGCACCACCCACUGUUCCUUUUGACCUCUUUGGGGUGAUUCAAAACAAAGGGGAAUCUGUGAAGGACUUCCUAAAUCGAUUUGGAGUGUUGGUGGUACAACUCCACACCCACGACGAGGGAUUGAUAGUACAUGCCUUUGUGAAGGGGAUAAGGUCGGGGCCUUUUAGCAAUUCUUUGAUAACAAAUCGACUCAGGACGCUGGUAGAGAUCAAGCGGCGAGCAGUCGCCCACAUCGAAGCUGAAGAAUCGAUGAGCACGAAGCGUGGGAGCAUGGGCGUAGGGCCAACCAAGGCCCAGGAGAACUGUCGUACCCAACCCUUGAGGGUACACGAGACCACAACGGAGAAGAAGCCAGCGCGGAAAAAACCCUAUGAGUCCACUGGGACCCAAUCCAGGGCGAGGUCAAGCACCAACCCGCCUCCCCAGCCUAAAUUGAAAAUGCCCUAUAGGGAGUUACUUGCCAUCCCGGCUAUUGCGAAAAAAUUGAAGUCCCCACCAAAGACCGAUAAGGUCUUGGGACCGAGAAAGAAUACUUGGUGUGAGUUCCAUAAGGCUUAUGGACACGGCGUUGAGCACUGUUUAGCUUUGCGCUACCAGUUCUCAAGACUGUUGAAGGAUGGUUUCAUGCAUGACUAUAUGUAGGGAGACCAAGAGGGGACAACAAAAGAAGCACCGACGGGAGAGCAAAGGCACAAGGUGCCCAUCCACGGUGAAAUCCAUACUAUAUCUGGAGGGUUCUCUGGAGGAGACUCUUAGAAUAUAUGGCCUUAAACAAGAGGGGAGUGAAUUGUUUAAAGGGGGUUUUUCAAAACUUUUUCAGGUUCAAUGAAUAUUUUUGUAUAAAUCCAGAACAAGAAUCAAGUUAGCCAAGAACUCAAACAGUUAAGCAGCAAUACACAAAAAAAACAAUUAGUUGUUUAUAUUAGAUAAACUAUAAAACAGAAUUAAAAGAAGUUCAGAGUAAGAUAGAAUCACACAAAGAACUUAUACUGGUUCACUCUUAAACCAAGAGCUACAUCCAGUCCUCAGAAUACCACUGGGUAAUCCACUAAGCAAUCAAACCAGAUUACAAACACAAACCACCAAAGUAGUGACCUUGAACCCUACAAGAAACACACUACCUUUGGCAAACCACACCAAGAGUAUUGAUCUUGAACACCUCAAGAACACACAAUACUCAUUGGCAACACAACACCAGAAAUACAGUAGGUUUAGAAAGGAUUACACCUGAUCAUAGUACAAUCUGAAUUGAAUACAAUUGCAAUCCUAUUCCACUCUCUCUUGAAAAUCCAAAGCUUGAUGUGAAUCUUGAAAAUCAUAGAAUCAAAUCUAUCAAACUUAAUUUCUCAAAGUUGUUUCUUAUUUGUUUGAAAAAUAAAAAAACCAUUUAUAUUUUCCAAAGAUUGGUCAAAGCAUUUAGUGAAGGAGCGUAUUCAGUUAGAAAACAAUUAAAACAGAUUCACCAUUCAGAACAAAAUUCUGAUAGGAUUUUCAAAGAAACAAUCGGUUGAAAUCACGAAACAACUGAUUGUUUUGGCUUGACAGUUAAGUCAACCAAACCAAAACAGUUUUCAACCUUUUUCAAAACUCCUAAGAGCAAAACAACCGGUUGAUUCGAGAAAACAACAGGUUGUUAUUCACUUAGUUGGAAAAACACUUGAUUUCAAAAAGGUUUUAAAUCACAUCAUUUUUAGAUUCAACAAAGGAGUGAAUCACACUCUAUUCUACCCAUAUCCCACCCAAACACAGCAGCAACAGUAGCCUUUCAUCAAACAUCUUGGAUUUGGAUUCUUCAAAGCACUUGAUCACACAUGAUCAAUAAUCUCCCCCUAUUUGAUGAAGACAAAUCCCUAGUUGUUUGUGUUGAUCUUGAUUGAAUCUGAAAAAACACCUGCAAAACAAAAAACUAUGCAAUGCAAAGCAUCUCUCAUAGCAGAUUAUAAUGGCACAUAAACUAGUUUUCUACACAAUCAUAACAGUAGAAAAACCAGCCAAAAACCUCAGCUGAAACUGUACCGUCCCGUACCCAAGCGUUGACAAAGUCAAGGUCAAGGUCAACGUAAAGGUCAAAGUCAACGUAAGGUGUCGCCUAGGUGGAGGUGACGCCAAAUACAGACCUCACCAAGAGAAAGCGUCGCCAAGGUAAGGCCUUGCCUAGCAGGACGUCGCCAGGAUAGGGCGCCGCCCAACUGGGUGUCGCCAAGAUGGAAUGGCUCAAGGGCAAGGUGACCACAACGCUGCUCCCCGAUACCCGUGGGUAGGAAAGACCAUGGAGGGGGCGACGCCGGGGGAAGGCCCCAAACCUGGAUAACCAGGGAACAGUAAUAAAGAGAAGAGAAAGGUGGCUUCAAGGCCAUAGAAAUAGCGCCAGUAUAGAGCAACCUGCCUCGUGAAGUGCACCUGCCGUCCAGAAACGCCCUUGGGAUAGGUAUGACCCAGGAGAGGGGUCACGCCCGGGGGCAGCCAGGCACAGGGCACGAGAGGAAGGUAGAUACGCUCUCACAGUGAGUGACUAGAGGCUUGGGGGCAUGAGUUGGCACCCAAAAAGUCANNNNNNNNNNNNNNNNNNNNNNNNNNNNNNNNNNNNNNNNNNNNNNNNNNNNNNNNNNNNNNNNNNNNNNNNNNNNNNNNNNNNNNNNNNNNNNNNNNNNAGGUAAGAGGACUCACGCGAGGAAACACCCUCAGAUAGGGUAAUGGUGCUGUGAGGCCCUCCACGUGUACAGCAGCCAAGUCAGGAUGGAGACGCCACGUUGCCAGGUGUGAGGUAAUUAAGGUUAUUUAACACAUUUUCCGUUUCGAGCGUUUAAGGUACUGUAAAUGCUCCCGCACGUUUCAAACGUCUUAAAUGUGCUGAACAGUUUUAUAAUUAAAUGCGCUUUGAAUAUGGGAAGAGCUUAAAUAGCGCUUUGAAUGUUGGGAACGGGGUUCGAACUUUUGGCAAAUUUUCCAGAAACACUCUAGUUGCUUGCUCGAGCCUUGAGGUUAGGCACAAGGGACUAGGGAAAGAUUGUUUGCCAGAACGAGAAUAUACACACAAUACACAGUCCAUUUUUAAGACCUUCAGAGUGCCAUACGCGGUGCUCAGAGACGGAGGUGCACAGUUUUGGUGUUUCUCGCUGGCUGACUUGAGCGUCGGAGUGCAAACGACCGCUAGGGCGCCCUCUUGUCCUCUUUUGCAGGGAUCCACAGGUAACCAGUGGGAAGGAGUCCCUAGCUGACGAUUGAGGUCGCGCACGAAGACGUCCCAGUCAACCGGACGGAACAUUUGGCGCCCACCGUGGGGCCGAUAUAAAACAUUGGUCCCAUCGCAAGUUCGAAAAGUCUAUCAAGUCACGAUCGCAUUUGAGGAAACAGAGAAGGAUGGCCACCACUAGACGAGGUACCGCACGCGCUGCGGGAGAAGAAAUGUCCAUGCAGCAGGUCCUGGAGAUAAUGCGGGGGCUGCAGGAUGAUAUGGCGGAUUCGAAGAUAGAGCAAGAGCGCAUGCAGGCGGAUCUUGACGGCUCACAUGUGAGAAACGACGAGCUCCGUCGCGUGAAUGAGGAGUUGCGUCGGAGUCUGAGGAACAAUCAGGUGCAGCGCGAGAACGAAGAGGGGGGGCAUCUCACUCCACCAAGGGAGUUCUCUACUCCCUUCUCGCAGGAGAUCCUGGACGCGCCGAUCCCCAACACCUUCGCAGGACCUAAGGCGAUUUUCACUGGGAUGGAGGACCCUAAGGCGCAUCUCACGGCGUUCCCUUACAAAUGGUGUUAGUGGGCGGUUCUGACGCCGCAAGGUGCAAGCUCUUCAUGAGUACUUUGACAGGAAUGGCCAUGGAUUGGUUUAUCAGCCUUCCUAGCGGCCAUAUCACCUCUUUCUAACAGCUGUCCCAGUUGUUUAGAGAGCAAUACCUGGCGAACAGGACCCCGCCGCCGGUAUCUUACGAUCUGUUUGAUGUGAAGCAAUACCAAGGGGAAAGUUUAAAGGAGUAUAUCAACCGUUUCGGGUCCCAGGUGGUGAAGGUGGGCAUGACGGAGGAGCCCAUGAUUGUGUAUGCCUUUAGGAAAGGCGUAUGUCCUGGCCCUUUUUGCGAAUCUAUUAUUCGCAAUCGACCAAGGACUUUCGCUGAAAUACGGCGUCGGGCGGUGGAGCAUAUCGCCUCUGAAGGAGAGGUGUGCGAGAAGCGCACCAGCGUGGUACCUUCGCGCCCGAGAGCGCAAGCGCGGGCUCAGCCUGUCAGGGUCAAUGAGACCACGACGGGGAGAAAAAAGCCAGAGGGGAGACGCCCCUAUGAGACCAGGAAACCCCAACCCAAGGGUCCAGCAGGAGGGGAUCGCCCAGUCAGAGAGAGGGCGAGACCGGCGAGGUACAACUUUGCGGUGGAGCUGAAGGACCUGAUCGUCGUGCCUAAUAUAGCUGAGAGGCUGAGGCGACCGGCGAAAACUGACAAGGUGUUAGGGCCACGGAAAGACUCCUGGUGCGAGUUCCACGAGGCUUUCGGUCAUCACAUUGACAACUGUCUCUCAUUGGGUUAUCAGCUUGAUGAGCUGGUGAAGAGCGGGUUUCUGAAGGAUUACGUCGCAGAACCCGCCGCGACCGCCGCCCUGCCGGCGCCAACAGAGGAGCAAGCACACGAGAUGCCUGUACUUGGCGAGGUCCACACCAUUGCUGGAGGUUUUUCCGACGGGGGACCCACCGCCUCCCAGCGGAAGAAAUACGCGAGGGGGGUCAAUUCAAUCGAAGAGAGAAUCUCGGGUGAGCCAUGGGAGUCGGACCUCGUGUUCACGAGAGGAGAUCUCCGAGAUGUGGUACCCCACGACAACGACCCCGUUGUCAUCUCAGUCGUCACAGCCGGAAGAAAGGUGCAUAGGGUUCUGGUCGAUCAGGGAAGUUCAGCAGACGUCAUGUUCUUGUCGACAUUCAACAAGCUGUGAUUGUCCCCUGACCUUCUGAGGCCCUACACAGGCUGCCUAUAUGGGUUCGCAGACAACCAAGUGGAAGUCCGAGGCUACUUGGAACUGCGGACGACAUUCACAGAUGGGGAAGCCUCGCGCACCGAAAGCAUACUAUACUUGGUCGUGAACGCUCAUUCCGCCUACAACAUCUUGUUGGGGAGACCGGCGCUGAAUAGGCUCAAUGCGGUAUCCUCCACACGUCAUAUGAAGAUGAAGCUACCAGACCUUAGCGGCAAGGUCAUAGUUAUCAAGUCGGAUCAGGAGGAAGCGCGAAAGUGUUAUGAAAACAGUUUAAAAUCGAAGAAGAGCGUGUUCAUGGUGUUUGAACGACCGCCAAGUGUCGAUGCGACGAUGAUAGAGGCAACGCCCUCCGGGUCAACGCCUGUUGGGGCCACGCCCGAGAGGGCGACGCCCGAGGUAGAUACACUGAUGGAGGAGAGACCUGACGAUACGACGCCCGUGGAAGAGGUGGCGCUCAUCCAGGGAAAUAGCGGGGAUCAACAGGCGGCUAAUGCCGUGGAGAGGGAGAUUGGCGGCAAGACGUUUAAACUAGGGCGUCUGCUGGGCCAAGAAGAACAGGAAGCAGUGGCAGAGGUGAUCUCACGCCAUUUGGACGCCUUUGCGUGGUCUGCCUCGGACAUGCCUGGCAUCGAUCCUGAUUUCUUAUGCCAUCACCUCAGCAUGGACGCCACGGUUCGCCCCGUGCGCCAAAGGAGGAGAAAGUUCAAUGAAGAGAGGCAGCUGGUGGUACGCGAAGAAACGCAGAAGCUGUUGAAGGCUGGCCACAUCAGGGAAAUCCAAUACCCCGAGUGGCUAGCCAAUGUCAUUCUAGUAAAGAAGGCGAAUGGGAAGUGGAGGAUGUGCGUGGACUUCACAGACCUAAACAAGGCGUGCCCAAAGGACUCGUACCCGCUGCCCAGCAUUGACGCGUUAGUAGAUAGCGCCUCCGACAGCAAGGUGCUAAGUUUCCUAGAUGCUUUCUCAGGGUACAACCAGAUUAAAAUGCACCCGAGAGACGAAAGCAAAACCGCAUUCAUGACGGAAACCAGCAGUUAUUGUUACAGGGUGAUGCCUUUCGGUUUGAAAAAUGCGGGCGCCACCUACCAAAGGCUGAUGGACAAGGUCCUAGCACCUAUGUUAGGAAGAAACGUAUACGCCUACGUGGAUGAUAUGGUAGUGGCGUCGAAGGAUAGGGCACAGCAUGUGGCUGACCUGGAGGAAUUAUUCGUCACUAUAUCCAAGUACCGCCUCAAACUAAACCCCGAGAAGUGUGUCUUUGGGGUAGAGGCCGGGAGGGUCCUAGGUUUCAUGCUCACGGAGAGGGGGAUAGAGGCGAAUCCCGACAAAUGCGCAGCGAUCAUCGCCAUGCGAAGCCCGACGUCAGUAAAGGAAGUACAGCAGCUGACGGGGUGGAUGGCGGCGCUCUCGAGGUUCGUUUCUGCCGGAGGAGAGAAGGGGCACCCAUAUUUCCAGUGCCUUAAGAGGAAUAGUCGUUUCGCAUGGACGGAUGAAUGCGAAGUGGCUUUCAUCAAGCUAAAAGAAUACCUGGCGGCGCCACCGGUCCUCUGCAGACCGGUAGAGGGCGUGCCUCUCCGACUGUAUUUCACGGUGACGGAACGAGCUAUCAGCUCUGUGUUAGUCCAAGAACAGGACCAGAUUCAAAGACCUAUCUACUUCGUAAGCAAGGCCCUACAAGGUGCGGAGAUGAGGUACCAGGCAUUGGAGAAGGCAGCGCUGGCGGUGGUGUUUUCCGCCAGGAGGCUUCGUCAUUACUUCCACAGCUUCACGGUGGCAGUGAUGACCAACCUCCCCAUACAGAAGGCACUGCAAAAGCCCGAUGUGGCUGGAAGGAUGGUGCGCUGGGCGGUGGAACUUUCAGAAUUCGACAUCCAGUAUGAGCCCAGAGGAUCCAUUAAAGGGCAGGUAUACGCAGAUUUCGUUGCAGAACUCUCGCCCGGAGGCGAACAGGAGUUGGAGGCAGGCUCGCAGUGGUCGCUCUCAGUGGACGGCUCUUCCAACCAGCAAGGAAGUGGUGCGGGAAUAGUCUUGGAAGGACCAGACGGUGUACUGAUCGAGCAGGCCCUGCGCUUCGCUUUUAAAGCCAGCAAUAAUCAGGCUGAGUAUGAAGCCCUGAUUGCAGGAAUGCUUUUAGCCAAAGAGAUGGGCGCGCGGAACCUCUUAGUGAAGAGUGACUCUCAACUAGUUACAAGGCAAGUGUUGGGUGAGUUUCAAGCGAAAGACCCGCAGAUGGCAGCAUAUUUAAGGUACGUCGAAUCGCUAAGAGGAGCCUUCAGUGCUCUUGAACUGGUGCAUGUCCCAAGGGAGCAGAAUGCCAGAGCUGACCUGCUCGCCAAGCUGGCCAGCUCAGGCAAGGGGGGCAGGCAGAGGACCGUAAUCCAAGAGACGCUUAAGGCUCCGAGGAAAUUCAUAGAGGAUAACAGGGUGGAUGUCCUCCACGUAAGCGCCGCGAGAGGAAGGCCAAGAAGUCAUCGUUCCUUGACUCAGGAUACGUUGAAGGCACCUCACAUUAGUGUAUACACGGACACGCCCGAAGGAGGGAGGCGAGCGCAGAUACAUGUUUUAGCCGAAGGAGACACCUGGAUGACCCCCUUCAGGCGGUACCUGGCGGAUGGGGUUCUCCCAAUGGAGCCUGAAGAAGGUAAGAAGGUUAAGAGAAAUGCGGCAAGGUACACCCUGAUAGACGAAGUGUUGUUCAGACACGGUUUCACUCACCCUAUCUUAACAUGCGUAAGCGGCGACGAGUGUACCAGGAUAAUGACGGAGCUCCACGAAGGCGUUUGUGGGAGCCAUGUAGGCGGAAGGUCCUUAGCUUCUAAGGUGGUGCGCGCAGGGUUUUAUUGGCCAACAGUAAAGGAAGAUUGCGUGUGACACGCCCAGCGUUGUAAGCAAUGCCAAAAACACGCAGACUGGCACAAGGCGCCGCCAGAGGAGCUGCGAUCCAUAUACAGCCCAUGGCCUUUCCAUACCUGGGGGAUCGACAUCCUAGGCCCGUUUCCGUUGGCGAUAAGGCAGAUGAAGUACUUGAUCGUCGCCAUCGAGUACUUCACCAAGUGGAUAGAGGCGGAGCCCGUGGCCCAGAUCACUGCGCACAAAGUCCAGCAUUUUGUGUGGAAGAACAUUGUGUGCCGCUUCGGCAUACCUAGACGCUUGAUAUCCGAUAAUGGGACCCAGUUUGCCAGUCAGCAGUUGAGAAACCUAUGUGCUGAAGUAGGCAUCAAGCAGGUGUUCGCAUCAGUUGAACACCCCCAGACUAAUGGGCAGGUAGAGUCAGCAAACAGAGUUUUGCUGAGAGGGCUAAAGAGAAGGCUGGAAAAGGCCAAAGGAGCAUGGGCGGAGGAGGUGCCAAGGAUCGUGUGGGCAUACCACACCACGCCCCAAUCUUCCACCAUGGAGACGCCUUUCAGCUUGGUGUAUGGGUCGGACGCGAUGAUCCCGGUUGAGAUUCACGAAAGCUCACCACGUUUCCAAAACUUUGUGGUGGAAGAAUCCAACGAAGAAAGGCGGGUGAACCUAGACCUACUGGACGAAGCCAGGGAGGAAGCCAAAAUAAAGGCCGAAGCAGUGAAAAGAAGAGUAUAGCGACAAUACAGCUCUAAGGUAAAGCCGCGACAGUUUCAGAUUGGCGACCUAGUUGUGAGGAAGGCUCAUCCAUACGAGCUGGAGAAUAAGCUAUCUCCCAAGUGGACCGAACCCUUCAGAAUUACCGAGGCUAAGGGCAAUGGUUCGUACAACCUAGAGACCUUGGAGGGGGGUCCCAUCCCACGCAGCUGGAAUGCAGCCAACUUAAAAUUUUAUUUUAGUUGACUUAUGUAAGCAGCCAUGUAACAACUUAGUUGAAGGGGACACUCUUUUUCCCUCUCGGGGGUUUUUUAAUGAGGUCACCCGAAUAAAAGAAAAAAAAACAAGUUUCAGAAAAAGCCGUGCCUUGGUUUUCAGCCUUUACUUUUCUCCGUUUGAAGUAGUGUGAGUCGUCGCCAAGUCAAGGCGUCGCCUAGGUGAAGGCGUCGCCGAGAGAGAAGGCGUCGCCAAGAGAGAAGGUGUCGCCAAGAGAGAAGGUGCCGCCAAGAGAGAAGGCGUCUCCAAGAAGACAGGUGUCGCCUGAGUACAGGCGCCGUUGAGGAACAUGAAGAAGGAAAAGCGCACAAUAUACGAAACGUAUGCAAAGUAAAGCGGCGUUGCAAAAAAUCAAGUAUGCUAUAGAAAAGUUGACGUUACAGGCAAUGUUCGAUACAAAUGGGCGUAAUGCGGUUAGGGCAAAUAUUACAACUCAUGCAAAACACAAACGAGCCACUUCUCAGUGGCCAUCGGAGUCAGCACUGGAGGAAGACGAAGCCCUGAUCCCAGCCCGCAGAGCUCGGGCAAGUCGUGUCCUCCUCUCUUGGUUUAUUUCGAACCUGCACCAAAGGAUAUAAAUGUGUCAGAGACACCAGGAAGCAAGACAUGCACAGAUAGAAAGCAAUAAAAGCCGAAGUUUCUAGGGCAGUGACUCAUACAUAUGUACUUUUCGAGAGUCCCAGCGUUGAACUCCAAGCUGAUCAAGGUGGCGGAGUCAAAACUUCCCGCCUCAGCAAGAAUCCGGCAGGCCACCUGGUCAUUCGGGGCCAGCUUCUUGAAGGGCUUGGUUUUGAGAACCCUCGCCUCUCUCACCCAGUACAGAGGAAAACCAUCCAGAGCGGUGGGAACGAGGUCAGUGCAGCAGAUCUUGAAGAACCGGCCUUUCCACCCGGUAAAUGAGUUUUGGAAGGGGGUGAGGAGAACUCUCCCAGGAACGUUACUGAGAGUUACCCAGAGGUUGUGCCUUUGCCUCUUCACCUCAAAGAAGUGAAGAAAGAGGUCAACCGAGGGAGCACAACCCAGAAACCCGAAGAGGAUGUCAAAGGCUUUGACAAAGGCCCAGCUGUUGGGGUAUAACUGGGCCGGAGCGACAUUGAUCUCCGUCAGCAGUUCCUUCUCGAACCGAGAGAAGGGCAGGCGCACGCCGAUGAUCUUGAAAACCACCUGGUAGAAGUAAAAGAAGGGGACCCCAUCGUUGGCCCGUUCAUCCCCGCAUACUGGCUCCUCUAGAGUGCAGGGGAGCACAGCAAUGUCGUCAUCAUGCCUCCUCGCGAAGGCGCGGUGAUCAUAGGAGCAUGAAUCCCCUUUGUGUUCCCUUAUUGCCCUGGUGGCGAGUAAGCAUGAGCAUUCGUCAAGAAGCUCACUUGAAGCCCAAGGGUACAGGUCCUUGGGAUUGACCCUGGGAGAAGUAGCAUGUGAGGACAUUCUUUAACAAGAUCAGGGAUUGUCGAAGGCGUAUGACCCGCCGGUAACGCAAGAGUCGAGCGAUGGUGGGAGCGAACGCUGGAAGAACCCUUCGCGAAAGGAGAAAGGGUGCAAGAAGAGAAAGUGUAAGUAGGAUACAAAGAGUGCAAAAUGAUGAGAACAAUUUCAGAGUUUGAAGAGUUAAAUAAAGCGGUUAGAGCGCCAAACGACGCAAGUAGAAGUAUUGCAGUUAGAGCAUUAAACGACGUGAAUGGAUGCACCGCACGAUCGAGCCACGUGGCAGAAGAUGAAAGGAUGGCCCUGGCACCGCUGGUUAAACUCAGAAAACGUCGUAUCGACAGAAUACCCAGUGGUACGAUGCGCCGUCGAAAGUGGGUCAGGGGAACAGUAGGAGUCAGGACUCAGUCGAAUGACUGAACGUCCCAUCAGCCAUACAAGAAGCGCCACGUGGAUGGCACCGGCGAAACCUCGAGCUUUUCGCUGUCCUCAGGAGUCGACCAGGGCCAAGGUCACAGUCAAUGCCAAGGUAAAGACGGCGCCUUUGGCGACGCCAGCAUGAGACGCUCGAGGCGUCGCCUAGAAAGACGCAAAGGGUGACGCCAGCGUGAGACGUGCGGGCAAAGUCAAUGCCAAGGUAAAGACGACGCCUUAGGCGACGCCAGCAUGAGACGCCCGAGGAGUCGCCAGGAAAGACGCAAAGGGCGACGCCAGCGUGAGACAGUGCGGGCGUCGCCAACCCAAGUAUCAGUAGCGUCGCCGAUACCCACAGGCAGGAAAGACUGUGGAGGGAGACGAAGUCGAAGAAAGCAGAGCUAGUUAGCGGCGUCGCCUCCCCGAUACCCACAAGUAGGAAAGACUAUGGAGGGAGACGAGAUCGCCAAACGCCAACGAAUCACUGGCAGGGUUGUUCCCCGAUACCUAUGGGAAGGAAAGACCAUGGAGGGAACGACCCCCCCCAGAGCACUCGGCGUUUUAGACACCAGGGGAUGGUACGGCGCUGCUGUAGCAGGCCUCUCCUUAGGCGUGGGCGCCGGGCAUUAAGAAUCAAGGGACGGAUCGCUUGGUGUUGAGACACCCCAUGGACGAUACGGCCCCAUUAGACAAGCCUCUCCAUGGGCGUAGGCAUCGACGCGUAACGAGUAUAGUACAGGCAAAACAACUGAAGCACGUGAAGUCAAAGGACGGAAGUAAAACCACACAUGCGGAAUUCUAUAUCACAAAGACACGAAGGUAAUCAUACAAAAACCCAGAGUUGUAACAAACGCGCAGACAGUUCAAAGAAUCACAAGUUCAACAGAAAGAGUCAAAAACAGAGGUAAAGAGUAAAAGGAAUAAAGCUUGAAAGGUAAAGGUGGCGGGUGAGAGACAGCGGUUCAGUCAUCCAAGUCCAUGGGCACGACCUUCCCGUCGAUGACAUGGUGUGUGGGGUCGCAGUUUGAAAUAUUGAUGCCAGGGUUCUCGCAGGACGCCUGAGUCAGAGCCUCUUGGAAGCCCUCUUCAAACGCGCCCGCCAUCUCCCCAGUCAAUUCUUGGACCUCCCCCUCUAGUUCCGCAACCCUAGAGUCCAUGGAUGUCAACUGCUUCUCCAGAAAUUCCUUCUCCACGCGGAGCUUGUUAGCCUCGGCUUGGAGAAGGCUCAAGGCUUCGACCUUCGCAGCCAAGGCGUCCUCUCUCUCACCUAGUUUCUGCCUCCAAGCAGCAUCCAGUUCUUCAAGUUUUCUCCGCUGCACUUCGGAGGCAAGAGCCGCCUCUUGGAGGCCAAUGCUUUGGAUUUGGUAGGAGGUGAGUUGGGCCAGUUGAUCGGCAUGCGCCUGUUCGAGUUCGCGCGCGUACGUCUCAGCCCCCUCCCUACCCUCGUGGGCCAGUUUCAGCAAAGAUUGGGAAGUUUCCUCCUUGAGCCCCCAGUUUUGUUUCUCCUCUUUCAACGCUCCCUCCUCUUGUCUCAGUUUGCGGAGAGCCUCCCUCCCCUUGAUAGCGUUUCGAGCCUGGGUGCGCCACUUGAGUGCCACCGCCAGGAAUGCCCCCAUAUAAUAAGGCAUGCCUCCCCCCUUUUGAGGAUCAGUCGGCGACAUUCCUUCGGUGAAACCCUGCGUCAACUCCCUAUGAAUGGGGCGAGGAAUUCGGGGUUUGCGAGAAGUCAAGGCAGGGACUGAUGCAGGAGGGGCGGAGCCCGAGGCCUCAGCGGCGUCACGAUGCGGCAACGGCGAGAGCGGGGGAACCGAGUCAAUCCUUUCUUCUCGUUCCUCGUGGGCUGGUGGAGGUGGAGGUGAUGUGGCACUUGGAGGAUCGUCCCUGAGAGAGCUCCCACCACCGGGAGACGCGGCUGAUGAGGCAGGAAGGCCCGUAGCCCUCCUCUUAUGGGAAACCAGGGUAGUGCCCGAGUCUUCCCUGUCAGAGUCUACUACCAGCACCCUUUUUCCUUUGUUGGGGCGUGCUGGGGCAGGGGUCGACGCCAUGGCUAAUGGAACCGUGGCGAUGGGAGAAGGAGAAGCCGAUGGUGGAGGAGUCGGCAGGGAAGCGACGGUGGGCACGUCAGAGGCGACGGCGUCUCCACCCUCUUUGGCAGAUUUUGCCUUCUUCAAAAAUUUGGCAAGAGCGAGUCGCCUCGAAGAAGUCAUCACUGAACCUGCAGCAGCGAAGAAUAGCAGAGCAAAGAUUAAUUCCGAUAAAACAGAAGGGGAAUUUUAUAGCCAGACACGUGCAGAUAACCACAAGGGUUCAAGCAAGCAAGUGAAUCCGUAUAACCACAACAGCUAAUGCAGUAUUAAUCAAGGGCAGAUACCAAAGUAGGUAGAGAGCCCAUGGGCGUUGAAUUUAUUUGCGAUGAGCUUGGCAGUAUCGAAGACUACCCCAAGCCCCGUCAAGGCUUUGCACACGUCCCGAUCAGCGGAGGCGAGCUGAUCCAAAGCCAGGGCCUUCAUGGUUAUGGGCUUAUCCGUCCAGUAUAGGGGGAAGCCUUCUAGGGUGGUAGGAUCGCGCUUGGUCGCACGUACUUUGAAGAACUUCCCUUUCCAUCCUUUGAACGAAUUUUGGAAGAGCGUGAGGAUGAUGCGCCCGGCGACGCCAGAAAAGCUCAUCCAUAGGCUCUUCCCCUGUUUCUUUACCUCGAAAAAAUGAAGAAAAACGUCCACGGAAGAGGGGACACCCAGAUAUCCGCAGAGAAUCUGAAACCCCCUUACGAAAGCCCAGCUGUUGGGGUGGAGCUGGGCUGGGGCGAUGUUUAUCUCUGUGAGCAGUUCCCUCUCGAAGGAAGUAAGAGGCAGACGCAGGCCCACCCUCUUGAGUACCAUUUGGUAAAGGAAGAAGAAGGGGCUUCCCCCAGUGUCCCUAGAGUCCACACAAACGGGUAUCCCAGGUCUCACCCGGCAUACCAGGACGUGGGAGUCGUGAGUUUAAUGGAAGGCGUUGAAAUUGUAAAGCGCGAGGUCCCCCCUGUGGGCCUUCACGUCCUCAACAGAGUUUAGGGUGGAGCAUUCGUCGAGGAGAUCGUCGAGGGCCCAGUCAUACUCACCUUUAUAGUAAGACUCAGGGAGCGGAGGAGGCGCGGCGGUCUUAGUUUUCGCCAUUGAUGCAAGAGCUGAAGAGCAAAAGAGGAAAGAAAGGGAUCAGAGAAAAAGGGUUUGGAGAAGAAAAGGGGAAAAAUGGAGGAAUCCUAGGAGAACCCUACCCACACGAGAGAAAAGAGGAACGAGGGGAACGAAGAAGCACAAGAACGAUAUUUGAAGAAAUGCAGUAACAUGGACAGUCCCUGGCAGUUCAUGCAGUAAAGGGAAUCAUCAAGGAGAGGAAAAACCGUACCUUUGGGGGUUGAAGGGCGUGGAGAGCGGAAGCACGAAAGGGCAGGGGUCGUGAGAGAAGGGAUUCAAAGAAGAUGAACAGUGAGGAAAGGCAGAGAAAGUGGAUGUAACAGUGGUUCCAAGCGCGGGGUUUGGGUAACUUAAACGUUACACUUGCAACUCAAGGAGCGUUAAUUGGGGACCGUGCGAUGGUGCCGCAUGUCAAAGGAUGGGGCGCUCAAGGGGAGCGCAAGAGGUUCUCAAGGAUGACCGCGUGAUGAGCCACGUGGCACACGAUUAAGCAUGGCCAAAAAAAGCGUUGCUUUCCCCGUUUCAGAGGAUGUCCAAUCAGCCAUUAAGAGCACCCCAAGGGUUCGGAGAGUGUCAUGUUAAUGUUUUCAAGGAUGCUACGUCAUCAAGAAUGACACGUCACCGGGUGCCACGUGGAUGGCGUGGGUUUAGCCUUAGUCUUUUCGCUGAAGACCAGUCAUCAGCUUAAGACUGGGGGGCUUGUGUACCGUCCCGUACCCGGGCGUUGUAACACUGGGUCGAAUACAUUUAAAGGUCAANNNNNNNNNNNNNNNNNNNNNNNNNNNNNNNNNNNNNNNNNNNNNNNNNNNNNNNNNNNNNNNNNNNNNNNNNNNNNNNNNNNNNNNNNNNNNNNNNNNNCGUCGCCUAGGUGGAGGUGACGCCAAAUACAGACCUCGCCAAGAGAAAGCGUCGCCAAGGUAAGGCGUCGCCUAGUAGGACGUCGCCAGGAUAGGGCGCCGCCCAACUGGGUGUCGCCAAGAUGGAAUGGCUCAAGGGCAAGGUGACCACAGCGCUGCUCCCCGAUACCCGUGGGUAGGAAAGACCAUGGAGGGGGCGACGCCGGGGGAAGGCCCCAAACCCUGGAUAACCAGGGAACAAUAAUAAAGAGAAGAGAAAGGUGGCUUCAAGGCCAUAGAAAUAGCGCCAGUAUAGAGCAACCUGCCUCGUGAAGUGCCCCUGCCGUCCAGAAACGCCCUUGGGAUAGGUACGACCCAGGAGAGGAAGGUAGAUACGCUCUCACAGUGAGUGACUAGAGGCUUGGGGGCAUGAGUUGGCACCCAAAAAGUCACCCCUUGCGCAGUUGCACUCCCAGGUAAGAGGACUCACGCGAGGAAACACCCUCAGAUAGGGUAACGGUGCUGUGAGGCCCUCCACGUGUACAGCAGCCAAGUCAGGAUGGAGACGCCACGUUGCCAGGUGUGAGGUAAUUAAGGUUAUUUAACACAUUUUCCGUUUCGAGCGUUUAAGGUACUGUAAAUGCUCCCGCACGUUUCAAACGUCUUAAAUAUGCUUAACAGUUUUAUAAUUAAAAGCGCUUUAAGGCGCUUUGAAUAUGGGAAGAGCUUAAAUAGCGCUUUGAAUGUUGGGAACGGGGUUCGAACUUUUGGCAAAUUUUCCAGAAACACUCUAGUUGCUUGCUCGAGCCUUGAGGUUAGGCACAAGGGACUAGGGAAAGAUUGUUUUCCAGAACGAGAAUGUACACACAAUACACAGUCCAUUUUUAAGACCUUCAGAGUGCCAUACGCGGUGCUCAGAGACGGAGGUGCACAGUUUUGGUGUUUCUCGCUGGCUGACUUGAGCGUCGGAGUGCAAACGGCCGCUAGGGCGCCCUCUUGUCCUCUUUUGCAGGGAUCCACAGGUAACCAGUGGGAAGGAGUCCCUAGCUGACGAUUGAGGUCGCGCACGAAGACGUCCCAGUCAACCGGACGGAACAGAAACACACCAAAAUGCAGCAGAAUUUUAAAUCAGAGUUAUAGCAGUUUUAAGACAACACAUAAACCAUAUUCUCCCCCUAUUUGUCUUCACAAAUAGACUUUAGGAAGAGAUGAAAACAGAAUAGUCCAAAUAAAGUAAUACAAAUAAAUAAACUUGGCUUUAAUUUUCUUUCCCAUACUGCAGCUCAAAAAGCUGGUUUUGAACAACUUCAAUAUGUUCAUCAAGGGUCUGAAAACAUGUGUCCAUGCUUUGAAGUCUGUUGUCAAAGUUAUGAAAAUUUGUAACACAAAGAUCAUGAAGAUUUCUUUGAUUUUUAGCAAAGCUGUCUAACCUAUUGACCAUGAAUCUCUCAAUGGAAGACAUUGAGGGAAUCCUAUUUCCUUGAUGUUCAACAGCUUCUUGAUCUUCUUCAUCAUGUUCAGCAUGAACUCCACUUGAGGAACCACCAUGUUUACCAUCCUUACUUACCCAUCUUCCAUUAAUCUUGGUAAAACACAUCUUGCUUAGUGAACCAUUGUUCACUUCAUGUGUUAAUUUCACCAACUCAGAUGUUUCAUCCUCAAGAUUCACUUCAAAAUAGUUUAAGAAUUUAGAAAUCAACAUAACAUAAGGAUAAUGAUAGUCACUUAACCUCAUAGAUUUUUGCAUGUGUUCCUUGAUGAUAUGGAUCCAAUUGAUCUUGACUUUGCUCAUUAUGCAGUAUAUGUAGACAAGAUUUUCCUCAGUGAGAACAAAAUGGUUGAUCCCUCUUGGUGUUAGAAUCCAAGUGACAAUGAGAGCCAACAAUCUUUCAUUCAAUUUCAACCCUCCAACAAAACAAGUUCUUACUUGUGCGUGAGGAUUCUUCAAACAGCUUUUGUAAUAUUGAAUUUUGUUGAAAUCUUCCACCACACCAAUAUUCCCUUUAUUGAUUCUUAAACCAACAUACUUUAGGUCAGUCAAAGCAACCCACACCUCAUGAGUGAUCUCCAUAUCCACACCAUUGACAUGAGAAACAAGAUUGUUACCUUCAAACUUUAAAUUGGUGUAGAAAACCCGAAUAAGAUCCGGAUAGAUGUUUCGUUUCAUCUCUAAGAACCUUUUUAGCAGUUGUUCUUUGAGUAUUUUUCUCACAUCAUCCAGCUUUUGAGUCUUCAACUAGCCAAAAGAGACAACUUUUGGAUUAUUUAUCAUUUUUCUACUAGUUUCAAAGCGAUAUUUCUCAAUCAAUUCAUUGUCUCCUGAAAACCAGCCUUCAAGACGCCCUCAUGAUCUUACAACUCUGGUUUUAAUCCUUUUUGAUAGUGGAGGAGUGGAAUCCAUGAUAACAGAAUGAGAGAAAAGUAAAAUAGAGAAGAAUGCAGCAAGAGAUAUGCCAAUGGGUUGUUUUUGUGUAGAAAAACAGCUGCAGAGGGUUUUAUAGCAAAACAUAAAUCCUCUUUUCCUUUGGUUGCAGUGGGUUCCAGUCUUCAAGAAGAGGAAUCUGGUUAAGCUUGCACAGUAACCACGUCAGCCCAUACCAGAAAAAAAACAUGGUCAGCACAUGUGGAUGACUAGUCAUAAAGGCACUUGAAUUUCCAAAAUAUGGAAUAUAUUCCUUUUAUAACAAGAAGUAACUUUCUCCUGAACCAAAUCAGACCUCAUGUUUGUUUUAUGGACUCAUAGUCCCUUUAAAAAGGAAAUCUUUAAAAGAUAGAAUGCAUAAAGAAAUUAAAUCAAUUUUAUGCAGUGCUGUCAGAGAAGAAACAAUCGGUAGUUUCGAGGAAACAAUCGGUUGUUUUUCUGAAGCAGCAACAAGUUUGAAUUUUAUAAAAUAGAGAAGAAUCAAAAUGUAAUUGUACGAAUAUAACACAUAUAGAUGAAGAUUUUAGCGUGGAUUAAUAACAAAAAAUCAAGGACAAACAAAGUCUUAUCCUUUUGUCAUGGAGUCCCUUCAAUGAGUCAUUUAUUCAUGAUCAAGAAGGCUUCUUUUGGCUUUCAAGAGGACUUAAGCUGGUAUAGAGCCUUUAUUCAGUUCCAGAUAAAAUCCUUUUCUUCUAAAAGGUUGUUCUGAUAACUCAAGAGCCCAUGCUUCUUUUAGUAUCCCUGCAACACAACAAAUUCAAGCGACAAGAUUUGGUUCCCUUACAAAUGUCGGUCCUUUUGAUUCAGCUUUAUCACUGGAAACUUCAGAAACUUUGGGAAUCCAUCUCAUAAUACCUUUAGGAACAUAAUAUUUCCUAAUUUUAAAAAAUCAAACUGAGUGGCCUCUCUUCAUGCAGUAAAAACAUGUAACAACCGGUUGUUUCGAGCUUUCAAUCGGUUGUUUUUCUGGCACAUUGAAAAAGGCUUUGAAAUCCCAUUUUUCUUGUUUUGAGGAUUAAACCCCAAACCAGAUUUUCCAAAAAUACAUAUUUGGGAUGCCAAAACAGUUUCAAAGUUGGAUUUACCCUCCCUUUGAAAGUUUAUUCACAGUUCUUACAAGAUAGUGGACUUUACUCUAAAGAGUUUUACAAUUUUCACAAGCUUUUGAGUUACACAAGGAAGAAGAAUUUUUGCAAUGCAUUUCAAGUUUUUCAAAAUCAGUUUUUGAAUUUUCCAAUUCUUCUUUAAGUGUCUUGAAUCUAUUUUCAAGCUAGUUAUUCAUCCCUUUCAAUCGGUUGUUUAAGAGAGCCAAUCAGUUAGCUUCUUCAUGAGUUUCUUUAAAAGCUUGAAGCAAUUGACUAUAGUUUUCAGUAUUUAAGGAAGCACAAGAACUUACACUGCUCGAGCUGCUUGAAUUAUUAUCUCCUCCAGCCAUCAAACACAUAUUGGCUUUUUCAUCUUCACUUGAUGAGGAGCUUGAUGAAGAGACUUCAUUUUCAUCCCAAGCACUAUAGGCUCUUUUUGAUUUCCCUUUCUUUUCCUUAUUGCUUGACUUCUUUUCCUCGCCUUCUUUAUUUGGGAAAUCAGAUUUUAUAUGCCCAUGUUCUCCACAACCAAAGCAAGUGUAAUUAUUAGAAUUGAAAUCACUAGUUUUCUUGUUUCCAUACCUUUCUUUGUUGGAUUCCUUGUUGCGGUUUCUCUUCAAGAAUUUGCUGAUCUUUUUGGACAGCAAACUAAGAGUUUCUUCCUUACUUUCAUCACUUGAGUCUUGGUUAUUCUUGUGCUUGGCAGAUUUCAAGGCAAUGUUCCUUACAUGCUUGUCUUCACUUUCUUGAACAUUGAGUCUAUUCAUCUCCAACUCAUGUUCUCUAAGAUUUCCAAACAAGGAGGUUGUAGUCAAAGAUGUCAAGUCCUUUGAUUCUGAGGUAGCCAUGACUUUAGGUUUCAAAGAUCUAUCAAGACACUUGAGAAUCUUGAUGUUCAACUCCUCUUUGUCAAAGAGUUUUCCAAGACUCAUUAGAUAAUUGACAAUGUGAGUGAAUCUCUUUUGUACUUCAGCAAUUGAUUCUCCUUUGAGCAUUCUGAACAUCUCAUACUCUUGUAUUAGAGUAUGUUUCCUUGCUCUCUUCACAUCAUUUGUUCCUUCAUGGGUGACCUCUAGAGUAUCCCACAUUUCCUUAGCAGAUGCACAUUGUGAGAUCCUGAAAAAUUCAUCAGAGUUCAAAGCAGAGGUUAGGAUAUUCUUGGCAAUGCAAUCAAACUUUGCCUUUUUUAUUUUCAGCAUCAGUCCAUUGGGACCAUGGUUUUUCAAUAGAAGAUCCAUCCUUUUCAAAUUUAGGAAUAAAAGGGUCAUUUUCAAUUGCAUCCCAAAUUCCUUUAUCAAGAGAUUCAACAAAGAUUUUAAUUUUAACCUUCCAAAACUGAUAAUUCAAACCAAAAAAUAAAGGUGGCCUAUUUAUUGAGGCACCCUCCCCAAAAGGUAGUUUUUCAGCAAUAGAAAAAAGAUUUUAGGAUCAAACUUGAAUAUUUUUCAAGUACCAAGCUUUGAUACCAAUUGUUAGAAUAUAUGGCCUUAAACAAAAGGGGGGUGAAUUGUUUAAAGGGGGGUUUUUGAAAACUUUUUCAGGUUCAAUGAAAUUCUUUGUAUAAAUCCAGAACAGAAAUCAAGUUAGCCAAGAACUCAAACAGUUAAGCAGCAAUACACAGAAAAACAAUCGGUUGUUUCUUCGAAACAAUCCAGUCCCCAGAAUACCACUAGGUAAUCCACUAAGCAAUCAAACCAGAUUACAAAACACAAACCACCAAAGUAGUGACCUUGAACCCUACAAGAAACACACUACUUUUGGCAAACCACACCAAUAGUAUUGAUCUUGAACACAUCAAGAACGCACAAUACUCUUUGGCAACACAACACCAGAAAUACAAUAGGUUUAUAAAGGAUUACACCUGGUCAUAGUACAAUCUGAACUGAAUACAAUUGCAAUCCUAUUCCACUCUCACUUGAAAAUCCAAAGCUUGAUGUGAAUCUUGAAAUCAUAGAAUCAAAUCUAUCAAACUGAAUUUCUCAAAGUUGUUUCUUAUUUGUUUGAAAACAUAAACAAACCAUUUGAAUUUUUCAAAGAUUGAUUAAAGCAUUUAAUGAAGGAGCGUAUUCAGUUAGAAAACAUUUAAAACAUAUUCACCAUUCAAAACAUAAUUCUGUUAGGAUUUUCAAAAUCCAAUCGGUUGAAAUCACGAAACAACCGAUUUUUUUGGCUUGACAGUUAAGUUAACCGAACCAAAACAAUUUUCAACCUUUUUCAAAACUCCUAAGAGCAAAACAACUAGUUGAUUCGACAAAACAACAGGUUGUUUUUCACUUAGUUGGAAAAAGACUUGGUUUCAAAAAGGUUUUGAAUCACAUCAGUUUUAGAUUCAACAAAGGAGUGGAUCACACUUUGUUCUACCCAGAUCCCACCCAAACACAGCAGCAACACCAGCCUUUCAUCAAGCACCUUGGAUUUGGAUUCUUCAAAGCACUUAAUCACACCUGAUCAACAGAGACUGUACCGCUUCCCAACAAAAGAGGUAUGUUAGGGAAGUAAUGGAGGUGGAUGCACAAGGAUUAGAACAACCAACCGAACCUGACCUUUGUUUCACCCAAGCAGACUUGAGGGAUGUUGUCCCACACGACAAUGACCUCGUAGUGAUAUCGCUCGUCACCGCUGGAAGAAGGGGGGGAAUCGGGUUCUUGUAGAUCAGGGAAGCUCGACCGGCAUGCUAUUUUCGUCGACGUUCAAUAAGUUGCAGCUGUCACCAGAUCAGCUGAGGCCUUAUGAUUACUGUUUUUAUGGUUUUGCAGGGGACCAAGUAGAAGUGAGGGGGCACGUAAAACUGAGGACGGCCUUCUCAGACGGCGUCUCAUCUCAGACCAUUAAUAUCAGGUACUUAGUCGUGCACGCUUCUUCAGCUUAUAACAUCCUUCUCGGCAGACUUGCCAUAAAUAAGCUAGGAGCGGUGUCCUCAUCGAGGCACAUGAAGAUGAAGUUACCCUCUCAAGAAGGGGGUGUAAUUGUUAUUAAGUCCGACCAAAAGGCGGCAAGAAAAUGCUACGAGUACAGCCUAAAGACCAAGCGAGGAGUGUGCAUGGUCACCACUCGACCAACGGAGGAGUGACACAUCCUGCGCGUGCAAAUCGCCGAUGAUAAGUGACCUGAGCCGACAAACGAGGUUCAGGAAAGGGAAAUCGGAGGUAAGAAAUUCAAGCUUGGCAAGUCCUUGAGCCAAAAAUUGGAAGAUAAGAUUGCUGAGGUGAUAGUACGACAUUUGGACGCUUUUGCAUGGUCUGCAUCAGAUAUGUCGGGUAUUGACCCAGACUUUCAGUGUCAUCGACUCACGAUGGACCCAAAGGUCAUACCAGUCAUUCAAAAGAGGAGAAAAUUCAAGCUUGGCAAGUCCUUGAGCCAAAAAUUGGAAGAUAAGAUUGCUGAGGUGAUAGUACGACAUUUGGACGCUUUUGCAUGGUCUGCAUCAGAUAUGUCGGGUAUUGACCCAGACUUUCAGUGUCAUCGACUCACGAUGGACCCAAAGGUCAUACCAGUCAUUCAAAAGAGGAGAAAAUUAAACGUAAAGAGACGUCUUGUCAUUAAGCAAGAGACACGGAAGUUAUUGGAUGUUGACCAUAUAAGGGAAAUCCAAUACUCUGAGUGGUUAGGAAACGUGGUUUUGGUAAAGAAGGCUAGCGGAAAAUGGAGAAUGUGCGUGGACUUCACGAAUCUCAACAAAGCUUGCCCUAAAGAUUCGUAUCUACUGUCCAACAUCGACACCUUGGUAGAUAGUGCAUUCGGAUGCCGACUUCUUAGUUUUCUAGAUGCAUUCUCGGGGUACAACAAGAUUCGUAUGCACCCUCGAGAUGAAAGUAAGACUGCUUUCAUGACGGAGCACGCUAGGUAUUGCUAUAAGGUGAUGUCGUUUGGGCUAAAGAAUGUUGAAGCAACAUAUCAGAGGUUGAUGGACAGAAUUCUCACCCCCAUGAUAGGGUGAAAUGUGCAGGCAUAUGUGGACGACAUGGUCGUCACCUCGACAGAACAAGAACAACAUGUGGCAGAUUUGGAAGAGUUAUUUGUCACGAUAGCCAAAUACAACAUGAAAUUAAACCUUGAGAAAUGUGUGUUUGGGGUAGAAGCAGGAAAGUUCUUGGGAUUCCUCCUCACAAAGCGGGGGAUAGAAGCAAAUCCCGAGAAGUGCGCGGCGAUCAUUGCCAUGAGAAGCCCUACCACCGUGAAGGAAGUGUGGUAGUUGACAGGAAGGAUGGUCGCCCUCUCUCGUUUCUUGUCAACCGGGGGAGAUCGGGGGUAUCCUUACUUCCAAUGUUUGAAGAGGAAUAAUCGUUUUAUGUGGACAGCUGAAUGUGAAGUAGCGUUUAUGAAGUUCAAGGAAUACCUGGCCAGCCCACGAAUCCUUUGCAAACCACUACUAGGUAUUCCUCUUCGUCUCUACUUUGGAAUCACAGAUCGAGUGAUCAGCUCGGUCGUAGUAUAAGAGCAGGAGCACCACCAGAGGCCAAUAUAUUUUGUAAGUAAGGUGUUACAGAGGCCAGAGGCGCGGUAUCAGACCAUUGAGAAAGAGACCUUAGCAGUGGUAUUCGCUGCUCGGAGACUCUGUCACUAUUUCCAAAGUUUCACGGUGGUAGGGAUGACCGACCUGCCAAUUCGUAAGAUACUGCAGAAAUCAGUAUGAACCCAGAGGCCCCAUCAUAUCCAGUAUGAACCCAGAGGCCCCAUCAUGGGGUAGGUUUAUGCUGACUUUAUGGCAGAGCUCUCCAAGGGAACUACCCCACCAGACGGUGGAGACUUUCAGUGGAUUCUUUCAGUAGAUGGGUCCUCCAACCAACAGGGUAGCGAAGCUGGUAUUAUCCUGGAAGGGCUGAAUGGGUUGUUGAUCAAGAAAGCCCUUAAAUUUGCUUUCAAGGCUAGUAAUAAACAGGCCGAAUAUGAAGCAUUGGAGGCUGGAAUGUUGCUCGCCAAGGAAAUGGGCGCUCAAAGCCUAUUGGUAAAAAGGGAUUCAUUGUUGGUAACUGAACAAGUUACAGCAGAAUACCAAGCCAAGGACCCCCAGAUGGCUUCAUAUUUAAAAUAUGUCAUGCUGUUGAAAGAAGCUUUCCCCGCGUUCGAGCUGAUACAUGUUCCAAGGGAGCAAAACGCACGAGCAGAUUUACUAGCAAAGCUCGCCAGGUCAGGCAAAGGUGGUCGCUAGAGGUCCGUAAUUCAAGAGACCUUGAAGGCGCCCAGAACUGCUACGAAUGAUACGGGCGAUGAACAAAAGGUGAAUUUGGUCGAUACGAGAGAAAGAAGGCACAAAUUCCUGACUCAGGAGACUUUGAGCGUGCCUAAGAUAAGUGGCUACGGCUUGACCGAAAGGGGGUCGUUGGAUGUUUGCCUCAUUGGCAUAGGUGAGACUUGGAUGGCGCCCUAUAGGCGCUAUCUCGCUGAUGGUGUGCUGCCAGUAGAACCUACGGAGGCCAACAUUGUGAAGAAGAACGCGGGAAGGUACACUUUGAUAAAUGGGGAGUUGUUUAGGCAUGGUUACACCCAUCUUACUCUGACUUGUGUAAGCGGUGAUCAAUGUACACGUAUAAUGGCAGAGCUCCACGAGGGAAUUAGUGGGAGCCACAUCGGAGGGCAAUCUCUCUUUCUAAAAGCUGUUUGAGUAGGGUACUGCUGGCAGACUAUGCGGGAAGAUUGUAUGAAGUAUGCGCAACGGUGCACGCAGUGCCAAAAACACGUUGAUUGGCAUCAUGCACCUUUAGAGGAAUAGCGAUCGGUCAGUAGUCCGUGACCCUUUCACAUGAGGGGCAUUGACAUUCUGGGACCUUUUCCGUUGGCCAUUUGACAAAUGAAGUACUUGGUACUGGCUGUUGAAUACUUCACCAAGUGGAUAGAAGCUGAACCUGUAACAUAGAUCACCGCCCAUAAAGUUCAACACUUUGUAUGGAAGAACAUAGUUUGUCGUUUUGGGAUUCCAAGGUGCUUGGUGUCUGAUAAUGGUACCCAGUUCACAAGCCAGCAGCUCGGCAAGUUGUGCACCGAGCUCGGCAUCAGGCAGGUAUUCACAUCUGUAGAACACCCCCAAACCAAUGGGUAAGUCGAGUCUGCCAACAGGGUUUUGCUCAGAGGUUUAAAAACGAGACUUGAGAAGGAAAAAAGGAGUUGGGUAGAAGAGGUUCCGCGAAUUCUAUGGGCCUACCACACCACUCCUCAAACCACUACAAAGGAGACACCAUUCAGCCUAGUAUAUGGAUCGGAUGCCAUGAUCCCAGUAGAGAUAUAGGAGAGCUCGUCGCGGUUCCAGAAUUUCGUGACAGAGGAAUCCAAUGAAGGGAGAAAAAUGAAUCUCAACCUACUUGAUGAAGUACAAGAGUAGGCGUGCAUUAAAGCCGAAGCUUUAAAAAGAAAGGUGGAGCAAAAGCAAAUGUCUAAGCUCAGACCUCGACAAUUCCAGGUUGCCGACUUGGUCAUGAGGAAAGCUGAACCGUACCAGUUUGAAAACAAGUUAUCUCCCAAAUGGACUGGACCAUUCUGUGUGACAGAAGCACUUAGGAAUGGAGCUUACAAGCUCGAGACUCUAGAGGGGGGUUCUAUACCCCGAACAUGGAAUGAAGCCAGUCUUAAAUUUUAUUGCAGCUAAUGUAUAAUGUCAAUCACGAACAAUUAAGAGGACACUCUUUUACUUUCACGAGGGUUUUUAAACGAGGUCGCCCAAUAAAAAAGAUAUUUGAAAGAAAAAGAUGAUUUGUCAUUGUGUCAUCAUUAGAAACCAGCUCAUCGAAGAUUCGGUGUAGCAUGUACGAAACCAAGCUCACCGAAGAUUCGGUGUAGCGUAUACGAAAGCUCACCGAAGAUUCGGUGUAGCGUAUACGAAACAAGCUUACCAAAGAUUCGGUGUAGCGUAUAUGAAACCAAGCUCACCGAAGAUUCGAUGUAGCAUAAACGAAACAAGCUCACCGAAGAUUCGGUGUAGCAUAUACGAAACAAGAUCACCAAGGAUCCGGUGUAGCGCAUACGAAACUAGGCUCACCAAAGAUUCGAUGAAGCACAUACGAAACCAAGCUCACCAAAGAUUCGGUGUAGCUUAAACGAAAGUAGCUCACCAAAGAUUCGAUGUAGCCCGACUGAAAGCAGCUCACCAAAGAUACCGUUAAGCAUUUGGGACCUCAUCCUGAGCGAAGGCACCCUCAAAUUGCAGCUCGCCAUUGUUUUGGUGUGAGCCUGGGAAAAGACCGGUAAAGUGGAAAUGUCAACUACAACCAUCAGGUACAGGUCGUCCUGAAGAUGACUGCGUACGAUAAUUAUCUUGUUUAAAAUAACUAUUUAUAUCCACUUUUGCCAUGCUAAUUAGAUCUAAUCAUGAUAUCCAUUUUGCUUGGACGUAGAGUCUUUAAACACGUUAAUUGGUGUACCGUCCCGUAUCCGGGGGUUGACUAAGUCACGGUCAAAGUCAACGGCUGGAGAGUCAAAGUCAACGCAAGGCGUCGCCUAGGUGGAGAGACGCCAAGUGCCAGCAUCGCCAAGAGGAAGCGUCGCCAAGGCAAGGCGUCGCCUAGGUGAAGGCGUCGCCCAACCAGGGCGUCGCCAGAUCAAACAGUGCUAAGCAAGGCAAUCACGGUGUGAUUCCCCGAUACCCAUGGGUAGGAAAGACCAUAGAGGGGGCGACGCCGUGGGAAGGCCCCAAACCCUGUAUAACCAGGGAACAGUAAUAAAGAGGAGAGAAAGGUGGCUUCAAGGCCAUAGUAAAAACACCAGUGUAGGGCAGCCUGACUCGUGAAGUACCCUUGCCGCCCCAGAGACGCCUUUGGGACAGAUACGACCCAAGAGGAAGGUCACGCCCAGGGUAGACGGGUGCGGGGUACGAGAGGAGGGCAGAUACGCUCUCAAAGUAAGUGACUAGAUGAUUGGGGGCAUGAGUUGGCACCCAAAAAGUCAACCCUAGCGCAGUAGCACUCCCGAGCAGGAGGACUCACGCGUAGAAACGUCCCCAGCUGGGCAGAAACGCCCCCAGAUGGGGUCACGGCGUCGUGAGGCCCUCCACCUGUACAACAGCCAGGUCAGAAUGGAAACACCCCUUGGUCAGGUGCCAGGUAAUUAAAAUCAUUCAAUACAGUUUCCGUUUCGAGCGUUCAGGCACUAUGAUGGCUCCCAAGCGUUUCAACGUCUUAAAUGCGCUACGUUUUCUAAUUAAACGCUUUAAUGAGUGCGUUACGUUUGUGAUUAAAAGCGCUUUAAGGCGCUUUAAAUGCUUGGGAGGUUUAAAUAGCGCGGGGAAUGUUGAAAACGAGGGGGGGAAACUUUUGGCAAAUUUACCAGAGAACUCUCUAGUUGCUUGCUCGUGCUUCAAGGUUACGUACAAGUGACUGGGGAAUAUUUUUGCCUGAAGGAGACAAUACACAGUUAUUUUUACCACCUUCAGAGUGCCAUACGCGGUGCUCAGAGACGUAGGUGAAUAGUUUUGGUGUUUCUUGCUGGCUGACUUGAGCGUCGGAGUGCAAACGGCCGCUAGGGCGCCUCUUUGUCCUCUUUUUUGCAGGAAUCCACAGAUAACCAGUGGGAAGGAGUCCCUAGCUGACGGUUGAGGUCGCGCACGAAGACGUCCCGGUCAACCGGACGGAACAAUUAGUUAGACCAUGAUAGUCAUAUAUGUUAAAGAGCAUACAUUAUAAGUUAGUCGAGUCAUGUAGGAGGAAAACAUAAUGGCAUAAAUAAACUAUGCACGCAUAUAUACAACACAUGUGCAAUUGUUUUGAAGACCACAAAAGGGGUUUGACUACAAGGAAUUUAAGGUUGCUCCUCAUCCUCAUACACCAAGUGCCCGUCCACCAUGACUUUUCCUAGACCGAGUUGGGAGAAGUCAGUAUCAGGGUAGACACUUACGGCUUGGGCAACAACGUCUUUGAAGCCAGUAGCAUAUGAGUUAGCGACAUCAUCCGUGAGCUCCUCCUUGGUUUUAGCCAUCAACUCAUCCUUUUGACCUAGCUCUGCCUUCUAAGUGGCCAACAACUUGGCCAUUUCUUCUUUCAACGACUCCACCUCAGUACGGAGGUCCUUGUUCCUCGCAUAGACGCCCAAGGCCUCUUGAGAUUUGUUGAAGAGGAGGACCUUGGUCUCUUGGUAGAUUUUCCUUGACUCUUCCAACUCUAGAGUGAGACCCUUUACCUGCUAGGCAAGUCUUUCACACUUAGAAGCUUCACCCUGGGCAGCGCUUUUCAGCUUGGCAAGAAAUAUGCGGCUCGUGGCUAGCGCUUGCCCCAGUUGUCUUGUGGUUUGCUCUAGAAUUUGGUUUUCCUCUAGGGGAUCCAACUUCUCUUUUAUUUUAGGAGGAACAGGGCUUUUUGGAUCGUAAGAACGGGAUCUGCGGAAGGGUCCCACAGUCCUUCCUCCUCAGUAUGUUCCUCCUUGCCCUCUAGGAGUGUAACUUCCCUGAAAGUUGAGGGGUAUGAGACUGGAGAAUGAGAAAGUGAAAGAGCGCGUUGCCUAAAAUUGAGUGAGAAAAGGAGGCUACAUUAUUUCGUCUUCUCUUAAAGAGGAGUCCAGAGCCUGUUUCGUCAUCCUCUGAGGCCGCCACUUCAAUUAUGGCCAUUUUAUUGUGGUCCUCGGCAGGAGACACCUCUGCUGCAGCCUUUUUCUGCCUGACCAAAGUAGCUAAGUUCUUCCUCUUCUACGCAUCCAACAUGUUGUCUGAACAAUAAACCAAGACAAAAUCAGCAGUUAUGCCAAGCUAUACAAAAAAACAGCAAUACCUAAGCACAAUAAGGAAUAAAAAGAUACCAAUAUAAGCUUUGAGUAUUACUGGGGAAAACUCCUCUUGAAUCAGGAAGGCAGUAUCAAAAACCACAUUGAAGUUGGAGAGAUGGAUGCACACCUCACGUUCAGGUGGGGGUAGGUCAUCCAGGAGUCUAGGGCCCUGAAAGAUAGGUUUUUGGGUCCAAUACAAAGGGAACCCGUCCAGAAGGGUUGGGUCCCCCUUUGUUGUGCUUCGGAUUUUGAAGAACAUCUUUUUAAAACUCUUAUAAGACUGCUGGAAGAGAGAUAACAAAGAUCUCCCAGCAACCCCAUUGAAGGACACUCAGAGUGUGCGGCCUGGACGCUUGGCCUCAAAGAAGUACAAAAAGACAUCCACCCCGAAGUGGGAACCAAGUAUGGAGAAGGUUCGCACAAACGCCCAACUAUUUGGGUGAAGCUCGGCAGGGGCAACAUUGAUUUCGGUAAGCAAGGCCUUCUCAAAGGAGAAUAAGGGAAGACAGAGGAGGAUUAUCUGGAAGAGGGUGGAAUAAAAGAAACAAAAGGGGCCCUCGGGGUCUGUGGAUUCAUCACUACAUACGGGUUCACCCUCCCCGCAGGGUACUAUGCGUAUGAGCCUAUCAUGCUCCCUACCAAACAUGGUUCUCUUGGGGUGUUUUUUGUGCUCAGCUUUUCUAUAGUCCACUAUUGUCUUACUAGAAGUAAAACCUGAGGUUUCGGUUAAGAGUUUCUCAAGGGCCCAAGGAUAUUUCGACCGAUAAUCCAUCUAAAACCAGAGCAAGCAAACAAACAAGAAACAUAGAUACAUUCAAAUUCCAACUAUGCAUGCAUUCAGAAAAGAGAACAAGUGUCAACGGUAAUAUCAAUAUCACAAGGUGUGAACGAUCCCAGCGCAGUGAGUAAAAGCAAACUGAAAGCAAUAAAAGCACAUUAUGGGAAUAGGGCAAGAUAAAGUUAAUACCUUUGUGAUGACCAAAAAGAUUUGGGAGACAAGAUUAUGUGGACGACGACAAGGGUGCAGCAAGUUUGAAGAGAAGCGCGAAAAUUGCUAAUGAAACAGUGGAGACGUUUAAGUUUCUAGAACUCUAUUGUAUUAGGGGAGCGUAAGCGGCAAUGUUUUGUGACCGUUGAUGAGAGUCACGUGGAAGCGCACGAUGAAGUGUGUUGAGACAUCAACUCAAGGUACUGUGCACGUGGCGCUACUCAUUUACCGCGUAGGUCAACUCGGGUGAGAAAAUAGCCAAAUCGUCGAAGCAAGUUCAACUCGAGCCUGGGGGCUUGUGUACUAGACCGGAACUCGUAGCGCUUAGAGCUUGCCGGUCAGACUUCGGCAUUUCCCUCAGACAGGUCAGCUCGGCACAUGGGUUUCAUUGGCCUUGUGACUGGGCCCCAAGUAUACGUAUAUAUUGACUCUCAUACAUGCAUAUAGGAUAAUCCUUUGUGAAUUGUUGAGGUAAAGACAUUAAAUAGGCCUAGGGGUAUACUUAUCACGUCCAGGUCUAUGGUAAGUGUGGUAGACCAGAAUGAUGGGCCACGCGCUUGGAAUCAGGUACUUGAGUAAUAACCCACAUUCAUGCAUUCGAUAUAAUUAUUCGCGUAUAAGGCUUGGUUGGCCAGCUAAAGGUGUCAAGGGAUCUAGGGGUGCAUUUAGCGCAUUCAAGUCCCGCAUAGGAAAAGCAUUAUGUGUAAGCCCAAGCCCAAGUGCGUUAGGGUUUAUGGAACGUUAUGCAUGCAUGGUGCAGAGGGUCACAAUUAGUUGAUUGUUGCAUGAUAUAAUCUUAGAGAUAGGAGUGACAUUCGUGAUGACUUGCGGUCUACAUCUUAAAGGUAAAAGAUAAUGUUCCCAGUUAUAUUCCAGUUGAGAUUUUAUUCUCUCUGGAGCCAUUGCAUAUGUUAUACGUAAAAGCAGGAAAAUGUACUUGAAAACAGCUUGGACCCCAAGAGUGGUUGCCUUCGUUGAUGCCCAGGUGGUUAUUCUGUUAGGGUUUGUUGCACUCCAAGAAGAUAGAAUUCUACACAGCUGUGUAGAUAAGAUUACGCACACUAUAACAAAAUUCUUUUUAUUGAAUAUACUCUCACUAGAGAUAGGAUUCUCGGGAGAAAAGGUGGUUAACAGUGGUAACCUAGCGAUACUCUAUAAAAGGGGCUUAAGGUCCCAGGUGAAGGUACGCAAUUCUGAAUACACUUUUUGAAUACUGAAAUUAGUUGUUUCUUAUUCUUUGAUAAGCCCUUACUAACUUGAGCGUCAGAAUGCAAACGGUCCUAAGGGCACCCUUUGUCUCUACAGGUAAAGCCUCCAACAACCAAGAGAAGUGCAGAUUUCAGGGGAGACAGGCGGAGCCUAAACUAGCCAUCAGAGUCAACUGGCAAGAACAACCGCCUUCUUAAAUCAAGUUAAUUUAAAAAAUGCCACUGCGUUUUGAAAGACAGUGUCUCACCGUAAAAACGCAUUAAAUGAUGGGUCACUGUUUUAAACUUUUGUACUAGUGGCAAUAUCAUAGAUACCUUGCACAUAUCUUCUGCCAAGCAGACAUCUUAUCUAAAUAAAUAAUAUAAAAUAUAAUUUUGUGUAGGAUGUAAUCUAGGCCGACUCUACUCGUGUUUUGUGUGGACUUCGUGUAGGCUAGGCCGACUCUACUUAUGUCUUGUAUGGACUCCAUGCAUCCUAGGCCGACACACAAAUUACAUGUUGCGAAGCCUAUGUAACCGUCUAGUCGAUGCUACUUGCGUCCAUACAUAGGUCCACAUUAUUGUUUUGUGUGCACAACAUUAGAUUCCAAAAUCCAUGAAACACUAAGUCUACGAUAACUUCCCUUUUGCAUCCGCUAUUUACACUUAACGUUUCCUUUUGGCCCAUGCUAAUAAGCACAUUUCUUGUAAUGAUAACAUAUGCAUUCCUCCAACCUCAGGAACAUAAUGAUCUAUGAUAUUUCGUUAUCCCUUGCUUUAUAAUUCAUCACCCACAAAAUACAUUCCAGCGGCAAUCCAACAUAAUUUGAGAAACAUGUUUACAGCAAGUCUAUAAAAUUAUAGAAUACCGAUUAAUGAAUGAACAAUCGUAAAAACUAUAUAUACACUAUCCCUUUGUCUUCACAAACAACACAUGCCAUUGCAAACCUCAAGCUUCAACACUUGGAUUCCUUCUUUUAAGAUUUGGGAUUCUUCUACUUCAUUCAAUCAAGCACAACAAUGGGUUUUCGAUUACCUGCUAUUCGACGAGCAUCAUUCACAGCUAGCCAAGCAGCUUCAAAAUCUUCAGAAGUCCCAAAGGGCUAUCUUGCAGUGUAUGUUGGAGAGAAACAAAAGCGGUUUGUGAUUGCCAUAUCAUACUUGAACCAACCUUCAUUUCAAGGCUUGUUGAGUCAGGCUGAAGAUGAAUUUGGAUAUGAUCAUCCCAUGGGUGGCCUCACAAUUCCUUGCACCGACGACGUCUUCCAACGUAUAACUUCUUUCUUAAAUUGACAAUAUAUUUCACUCUUGAAGACUGACAUAGAUUAGUGGAGAAAUUUUGUACAAUAGGCAUCUCCUCAUCUUGUAAAGUUUUUUCCCUUUCUUGAGAAAGUGGGAAAAGAAACAGAAUGACAAAAUCAAAUUGUAUAAUUCUUUUGUUUAUAUGGCAUGAAUUCAAUCACUAAAGCAGCUCCUCCGUAUUUUCUAUUUUAGUUUCAGUCUGCACUUUUUGCUUAAUGGAUAACAAAUUUUCAUUACUACUUUUGUAUUUAGCUUCCUUGUGUCGUGGUUACGAUAAUUUAGUUUGUAUUGUAUGAAUCUUUUAAGUCAUAACCAUGACUCCUUUUUCAUUGGAUAAAUUGAUUAAUAAGAUACACGACCAACAGCAGAAAUCAAUGGUGAAAAAGAUACGUAGAAUUGAAAAUAGCUUAACAGGGUCUAAAUUUUAUAAUUAUGCAGUGGGGUACGAUGCUUGCAUGGCUAUGCCACACAGUCCUUCUUCAGAAUCUACACCCCUUUGCAUCCUAAUGUAGCCUUCUUCACCCCACUCAGUUCCCCAUGAGUUCUUAACCAACCAAUACUCAGUUCCAUCAUCGCUGACACCAUAUCCCACUGCAGUGACACCGUGAUCCAACUCUGUUCCACAUGAACCAGUGAAGACACCACUCUUGUAAAAUUUGAAGUCAGAGCCACUAGCAUCAAUUGCUACAGAAACUGGUUGAUUGGUUACAGCUUUUUGCAGUGCCUUCUCAUUGUUGGCUGGGACAUCCUCGUAGCCUCGAAUGGUAGCUGCAUGACUAGAUGCCGCCUUUGCAUUGCAGGUUCCAUCAACGCCCUUGAAAGGGUAAUUGGCUUCAGUAUUGAGUCCGUUAUUUUGGAUGAUGAAUUUGAAAGCAUCAUCCAUAAGACCACCUUCACAACCUUGGUCCACACCCUUUGUGUCACAAUCAACAAGUUCUUGUUCAGACAAAGAAAUCAAUUUUCCAGUGGUGAGUUGAUGAAUUCCUUCUGCCGAUGCAACAGCAGAAAACGCCCAGCAACAACCUACAAUGCAAAGUAAAUUAAUAGUUACAUAGUAAUGAUUCAAUGUAAUUUGACUUGACUUGGGAAUUGAAUUAUCCAGGACUUACCACAUUGGCCUUGGUCCUUGACCGGUGUCACCGCACCCUUUUGCCUCCAAUCCACUGUGGAUGGUACUGAUGUCACAUUUUCGUACUUAAAAGUGGUUGUCUUUAUGAUUGAGGAACGCAUGUGCCCCUUGAAUCUAUUUCUUGGUGCUAUGAACUCCUCGUUGGUGAGGUCUGCAAAUUGAUUAAUGGCUAGCUUGUAAGGUUUAUUGGCAGCAUUGUUGAAGGCUUCAAUGUAAUUCAUAUUUUGCUUGAAUAUCCUGAAACGCUUUUCCUUUUCUUGAGGGUCCUUGUAGACUCUGGAAUAACGAGCCAUCCAUUCCUCAUGCCUCUCAUAGAUGGAGGCAUCUUGCAGAGUGCGAGAUGUGACUUGUAAAGCCCAGAACGCCAUGCAGAAAAGCAUUGCAAGUGAAAUAUGACACAAAUGAAAUUUGGUAACCAUGAUGGGUACUGUAGUGUGACAAUUAUGGGAACAAAUGCUUGAGGUUGGCUAGUGAAAUGUAUGAAAAAUAUAUUGUGUUGUGGUAUUUAUAGUAAAGAUAACUUUGAAUGGUAAACUAAUUAAUGUGCUUGUUUUCAACUCAAGCUCUAAGAGCACAGUGUACCUCUGAAGAAGUUUUGUAUGUAUCUGGACAAAUUAUUUGUCUAAGAGUGAUAACGUAGAGGCACUGACAUGGCAAACGAUGCCAUAGUAGUUUUCAAAGGAAUGCCUUGCGUGUAUCGGAAAUUUUUGGAAUUAUAAAACUCCAGCUUUGACACUUUUAUUGUUUCAUCUCCAUGCAUAAAGCCACACAUAUAUUUUAAGAAAUAUAGUUAAUAAAUUUAGUUUAAAUGUUUACCAUUUUUUAUUUCAUUAAAUAAUAUAACUGUGAUAAAUAUCCCGACUGUGAAUAUUAUUUUAAGGAUUUACAAUGAUAUAAUUUUUUUCUUAAUAUAAUAAUUUUCUUUUAUAAUAUGUAAUUUCUAUCAUGAAUCAGUUUCGACCUCGGCACCGACCGAUCGAGUUAAAGAACAUAUCAAGAUUCAUAAUAAAUAAUAGAAAUGAUAGUUAUAACGAUACUUAAUGAGUCAUAACAGCUAUCCCGAAAUAUGUGGGAAAUAUCUUCGACGAAUCAGCUAACAACUAAUUAACUUUAACUGAAAGAUGCACAUUACUAUCUGAUCCUGCCUGUUGACCAAAACGAUGGAGCUUUGCCUCGUCAAACUUGGAUCGACGUGUGCGCCGUGUUUGCCUCCGUCCUUCACCACGAUCCACCUCAAGAACCUGCAAAAGACGAAACGGCACCGCUGCGGCCGAUCGCGCUCCGACGCCCAAGUCAGCGACUGAACCACCAAUUACUCAAGAGUAAGACUCAAGAACUCUAAGGAACCGUGACCAGUUCUCUCUCAGUGUACUCAAGACUCGCAAGCGUAAAGAAGACAAUCUGAACGUGCGUACCUCAGAAGUUCGUUGAGAACUCUUAUAUACCUGGGCACUUUCUCUCUCCUGGCAGUUACACAUCUGGACACGUGGCUCGCAUCCAGCUGUACACGUGCCUUCAUCUGGAGCAUCCUUGACUUGGGCGCUACUUUUGACUCUUCUUUGGCUAAGUUACUUAUGCAUGAUACUACUCAGUGCAUGGUUGCCUUGGAGCGCGAUCUCUCCUGGAUGGCGAGUUCGGGUGCCUUCGUACACACCUUCCCUGUGGUCUCGCCGGCCGCCUUCAUGAUCUGCACCACCUGUUUCACCGUACACGCUCGAGUAAGCCGUCCUCCGACCUCAUCCUCUGGCCAGCUGGGAAGCGUCCAUCUGCCUUCAUCUUCAACUUGGUUUCGGCGAUCUCUGAUCACUUGGUCGCCUGGAUUCAUACCUGGCGACUUCAUCUUCAACUUGGUGACCGCCGGUAUUGGUAUGAUGGAGAUCGGAGCACGCCAACUUAAUAACUGACGACUACGUAAACCCCCCGACCUCCUUCCCUUCUGCCAGCCAGGUGUCCCGUCCAACACGCCCAUAUAAUAGCUCGACGCCACGUCACUACUCCCGAACACCAGGGCGGUACACUAUCUAUUAAUAAGGAACUUCGACGCAUGUCAGUAAAUUACUGAUAUCCAGCCGAUCAUGGUCAAAGCCCAUGACCAAGGCUAUAAAUAAAAUCCUUUGCGGAGAAGUAAGGUACAUUUUUACUAAUUACUAUAAUAGACUCUUUUCAGAGUACUUACUUGAGCGUCAGAAUACCUUUUGCAGGUCACCCCAUGACCGACUGAGCGCCAACAUUUGAGGACGGAGACUUAAGGGAAACAGCUAGAAGAUUACUCACAUGUUAGCAAUUGUACGCCCACUCACAAGUACUGUCUAAGGCCUUCUGCCUAUACAGGUACAAUUGGUGUUAGAAUAUAUGGCCUUAAACAAGAAGGGGGGGGGGGGGCUGAAUUAUUUAUGAAAGAUUUUCAAAAACUUUGAAGGUAUAAUGAAAGCCUAUGAAGAAUCACAGAGAAAGAAACUAAGGAAAGCAAUGCACAAAGUUGUUUUAGUUGAUUUCCAGAAAACCAAUCGGUUGUUUUUGGGAUUCAAUCGGUUGUUUUUAUCAGCAGUUAAUAAAAACAACUUAAGAUAGAUAUAUGUGAGAUUAGGGAAAGAGAGAAUCACACAAAUAGAUUUAUACUGGUUCACUCUUACACCAAGAGCUACAUCCAGUCCCUAGAAACCACUAGGUAAUCGACUAUGCAAUCAAAACCAGAUUACAAACACCACACACCAAAGUAGUGACCUUGAACCCCUCAAGAAACACACUACCUUUGGCAAACCACACCAAGAAUGUUGAUCUUGAACACCUCAAGAACACACAACUCUCAUUGGCAACACAAUUAAAGAAAUACAGUAAUCAAGGAAGAAGGGAAUAGAAUACACCUGGGUAUUACAAAGCUUAAAGUUCAGAAUUACAACCCAAUCCUAUUCCACAAACUUAAGAAUGAUCCAAAGCUCUUUCAAAUCUUGGGAAAACUGUUUUUGAUAAACUCUUUCUCUUACUCCAAGAUUAGAAGCGUAAAACCACCUUUAUAUAGACAAACCAAAUGGUCAAAAGCAUUUAAUAAAGGAGCCAAGGUAGUUGGGAUCAUUUAAAACAUAUUAAAACCACUUAACAGAAUUUUGUUAAGCUUUUUAGAAAAACAAUCGGUUGUUUUGUCGAAACAAUAGGUUGAAUUGACUUGACAGCAAAGUCAAGCUUUUCAAAACCUUUUCAAAAACUACUAAGGUAAAAUAAUUUGUUGUUCCGAAAUUUCAACCUAUUGAAAUUUCAACAACCUUUUAGAAAAUCCAUCUUUUCAAAAGGUUAAAGAUUCAAAUGAACUUGGAUCAUCUUAAGGAGUGAAUUAACAAGUUUCAAACAACUAGACAACACACACACCCAGCAACAAGGUCUUCAAGCUUUCCACUUGGAUUUGGAGACAUCAAUGUAUUUGACUCUUUAUGGUGUUAAAGUAUCACUAUCCUACCAGAUAAUAAUAGACAACACAAUUUGCGUUAUAUAUAUUUAUUGAUAGAUUUGUGUCCUACUCUUUUCGGUUUUGUAGGUGAUUUGCGGAAGCUACACGGAUUGGAGAUGGAACAAGGUCCUCCUAAGAGUGGUGGUGACCUUAAAGGUGCAUCAUAGGUAGAAUUUGAGAGUGCUGAGGCCAACUCUACUUGGAAAGGGCGAAUUUGUGAAGAUUAAAAGCCUAACCUAUGAGGUUUUGGGCAAAGAGUGAUAUUGGCACAAUUUUGACAGCAAUUCACUCAUGUAUUAAUCUUACAAAAUGAGAGUCAAGUACCUCAAUUUAUAGUGUUUAGAGGGCUGGAAAAUCAAAAGAAAGUGGAGGGAAAUUCAAAUGAAUUCCCUUCCAAAAGUGGAGUCUAAAUGAGCACAUGGGGAGGGGUGUGUCUAGUUUGUAUGCUCACCCCCUCCAUGGGCUUUCUAGACCAGCCUUGGAAAAUUUAGAGGUUUUUAGAAACUCUAAGUUUACCUAGGUUGGUGUUUUAGGUGCCAAAAUUAAUUCUAAGAAAAAUUACAAAUAAUGUUCUUAUGCUAAUUUUGAUAAGAAUUAAAAAAACUAUUCUACACUAGAGUUUAUGACAUGUAGAAUGCGUCCUCUUGACCCCUCUUUGACCAUAACUCUAGUGGUUGCCUCAAUUUGACAUUUUAGUGGCCUUUCAAUGGAUUGGUGUUGGGGCCUCUUCCAUCAUCCCCUCCCUCUUGAAAAGGAUUUGUCCUCAAAUCCAAGGCUUCGUCCUCGUCAUUGGUAGGGGGAUGUAUGGGGCUGGAUGGUGUCCAUCAUCUCCUCCUUCUUGAGAAAAUCUAUCCUCAGAUCCACAGGGUUGAUCUCGGAUAGCAGCCUCUUGCUUUGACAACUAUGCUCGUCCUCCCGGAUCAAACGUCCAUCUGUGGGAAUCAUACAAAGCAAAUGUGUUAGUUUGAGCAGUUGUAUAAAAAUAAUUUCUAUUAAGUUGCCUUUCCUCUUGUUUUUCUAUUGUUUUUGGCAACUUUUUACAAGAUUUCUUUAAGGAGGAGUUCAUAAUUUUCUUUUCUUUCAAAAGCUCAAGAUUUUUAUCAACUCCAAAAUGACUUAUUUGCAAGCAGUUUUCUAUGUGUUAUUUGGGGUAUGCAAAGUUUUUCUUCUGUAAAUAAGUACCCCUCGUAAACAUAAAACCCUCCAUGUGCUCUAUGUUGGUAUUUAGCAAAAGUGGGUGCAAAAUCUUGAUAAAGUUUAGGUAUGUUAUCAAAUCCAAGAAUUUGGGCUCCAAGUUUGAAAAAUAGGGCAUGUUUCCUUGAUAGAGCAUCCACCACAAUAUUUGUAUUUUCCUUCUUGUAUUUGAUAACAUAUGGAAUUUGCUCAAGAAACCCAUCCACUUUGCAUGUAUUUUUAACUUGUGUUGACUCUUUAAAGAUUUUAAAGACUCAGGCAAGGCCCUCACAAGUGUAUAGAGCUCUUUGUUAUAGAUGGGGUAGUUGAGGGUUGCACCAUGAAGUUUUUCAAUAAAAUAUGCAAUUGGGUGCCCACCUUGCAACAACCCAACACCUAUUCCUACUCCCAAUGCAUCACACUCUAGCUCAAAAGUUUUUACAAAGUUUUGUAAAACUAGAAUGGGUGCAUUGGUGAGUUGAGCUUUUAACCUUUGAAAGGCCUGAUCAUGCUUUUCCAUCCUGUUAGAAAAGAUGGCUUUAAACUAGAGGGGGGGGUGAAUUGUUUAAAGGGGUUUUCACAAUCUUUUCAAAGCUAGAAUGAAUUUAUUUCAGAAACCAAUUAAUUCAGCAAUUCAGUUAGCCAAAACAGCAAGCAAAAACUGUAAUACUAGAAAAAACAAUCAGUUGUUUCUUCGAAACAAUCAGUUGUUUAUACCAGCAAACAACAAAUAAACUGAAAUUAAAGAGUUAGGGAUAGAGAGAUUGUACACAAUUGUUUAUACUGGUUCACUCCAAACUAGAGCUACAUUCAGUCUUCUCAGAAACCCUGAGGAUAACCACUAAGCAAUCACCACUUGAUCACUUACACCACAACCAAGAGAAUGACCUUGAACACCUCAAGAAACACACUCUCCUUGGCCAACACUAAGAUUGUUGAUCUUGAACACCUCAAGAACACACAGCCAAUCUCAGCAAAACACACAAAUGAAUUGUUCAGCAGUUUACAAAGAUUACACUUGUUACAGAUGAAUAUCUGAAAUCAAUACAAGUAGAAUCCUAUUCCAGCACCUUGAUCAAUCUCUCAACUCUUAAGCAAUCUCAGAACUCUUUGAAAAGCUCUUAGUUGUUGUUAAAAACUUUGUCUCAAGAUUCUUAAUCCUUAAAAAUAGUUUUUCAUAAUAUAUUCAAGAAUAUAGUUUGUUAUCAAAUCUUAACAAACUCUUAAUUGCAUUUAAAAUAGAUUGGUCAAAGCAUUUAAUGACUGGAGCGUAUUCAGUUAAAGCAUUUAAAGCUCAGUCAAAGAAAACAGUUUUUCUGUUAUGGUUUCAAAACAAACAAUCGAUUGUUUCCUCGAAUCAAUCGGUUGUUUUGUUACUUAACAUAUUUCACCAUUCAAAAACAGUUUUCAAACUUUCUCAAAACACCUAAGUGUAAACAAUCGGUUGUUUCGACAAAACAAUCGGUUGUUUGAACUUAGUUUGAAAAACAUUUUACUUUGAUAAAGAUUGAGAUGCUAAUUGCUUGAGAUUUAAUCUAAGGGUGGAUUACAACAUUAAACUACCCCAGAACAAAGCUUAAACCAGCACAGCAACACACAACAAAGCAGAGGCUUCAACAUCCUUCAAAGGAUUUGGAUUCUUCAAAACAUUGAACACCACUUGGUUCAACAAUCUCCCCCUAUUUGAUGAAGACAAAUCCCUGAUGCUUGUGUUGUACCUGAUUAAAUCUGAAGCAGUUCCUGCAAUAGAACUUUGAGCAAUAUUUUGAACUUCUGAUAUUCUGUUAGCAUACUGAUAAACAUUUAAGGCUUAAAACAAUUAAUAUCAGAAACAAAAUACAUGUUACUUAAACUGUUUUUAAUCAAUAAUGAAAAACAGAGAUAUUUAAACAAACUGGAAACACAAACACAGCAUAUAUCUCCCCCUAUUUGUCUUCACAAAUAGACAAAGAUAAGAGACAAAAUAAGAUAUUGUUUCCAUUACAUCAGAAUAAACCAGCAACAGCAGAAGGAAAGAAAUUUUAAAACCAAAAAAGAAUAGCUUAAAAACAAUCGAUUGUUUUGUUGACCAAUCGGUUGUUUUUCCUUCAUUCUUCUUCAUCAGCAAACUGAAGAUCAAAGAUUUGAUUAUGGACAGCUUCAAUCUGUUCGUCCAGAGUCGUAAACCUUGUUUCCAUGUUGUCAAACCUUGUAUCAAUCCUCUGAAAGUUACUAACACACAGAUCAUGAAGGCUUCUUUGAUUUUCAGCAAAGCUAUCUAGCCUAUCCAUCNNNNNNNNNNNNNNNNNNNNNNNNNNNNNNNNNNNNNNNNNNNNNNNNNNNNNNNNNNNNNNNNNNNNNNNNNNNNNNNNNNNNNNNNNNNNNNNNNNNNNNNNNNNNNNNNNNNNNNNNNNNNNNNNNUGUUCAAGAUGAGUAGCACCACUUGAUGAGGAACCAUGAUCACCAUCCUUACUUAUCCACUUUCCACCUACUUUUGUAAAGCCCAUCUUGCUGAGUGAUCCAUUGUUCAACUCUCGAGUUGACUUGACCAGCUCAGAAGUUUCAUCUUCAAGAUUAACUUCAAAAUAGAGUAGAAACUUAGAUAUUAAAACAACAUAGGGAUAGUGGUAAUCGCCUAACCUCAUGGCUUUUUGCAUAUGUUCUUUGAUUAUGUGAAUCCAAUUGAUCUUCACUUUCUUGGUGAUGCAGAAGAUGUAAACCAGAUCUUCUUCAGUCAGUACAGAUUGGUUACUCCUCCUUGGAGUUAGAAUCCAAGUAACAAUGAGAGCAAGCAAUCUUUCAUCAAGCUUCAAACCUCCAACCGAGCAUGUGCUAACUUGAGAUUGAUUGUUCUUCAAGCAACUUUUGUAGAACUGGAUUUUGUUGAAAUCUUCCACCACACCAAGGUUUCCCUUGUUGAUUCUCAGACCAGAGAACUUAAGCCCAGCAACAGCUGCCCAAACAUCAUGAGUUAUCUCCAUCUCCACAGCUUUCACAUGAGAGACUAGGUUGUUUCCCUCAAACUUCAAGUUGGUGUAGAAUACCCUCACCAAAUAUGGAUAUAUGUUCCCUUUUAGCUCCAGAAAUUUUCUGAGUGAUUGGUCCUUGAGAAGCCUCCUCACUUUGUCAGCUUUUGACUUUUCAGCCAAUCAAAGCACACAACCUUGGGAUUGUUUAUCUUCUUGACACUUGUUUCAUACCUAUACUUCUCAAUGAGUUCGGUGUCACCAGAAAACCAGGUUUCAAGUCUUCCUCCAGACCUUACAGCUCUGGUUUUGACUCUUUUGGAGGUGGGAGGGGUUGAUUCCAUGACAGCAGAGACGAAAACUCACUUCACAGAAAUUUUGCAAGAGAUGGUGCAAGAGAUAUUGCAAGAGAUGUUGCAAUUGAUUGUUCUUGAUGGAAGAAAUCUGCAACUCAUUUUAUAGUAGAAAGAGAAUCAAUUUGAAUUUAAUUUCAUUCAAUGGGUACCUGAUUUUUCAGAGAGAGGACUUGACUCUGUUCUGCACUGAAAAUGUCAGAAAAAGCUGAAAAUCACAUGGUCUGCACAUGUGAUCUUUGACUAGUCAUUAAGGCUCUUGAAUUUCCAAGAUUUUGGAAUAUAUUCCAUUAUGACUGUUGUAACUUCUUUCUGAUCAUGCUCAGCUUUCAACACAGAUCCUUUGACCAAGAUUCUCCAUUUGAAAUUGAUCUGCAACGGAUAGAAUUUCAAAAAGCAAUUAAAUCAAUUUCUUCACAGUGCUGUCAGACUCAAAACAAUCGGUUGUUUCGAAGAAACAAUCGGUUGUUUUUCUGCAGUAGUUAAAAACUUGAUUUUGAAAAUUUUAACCAUAAACACAAACAGAUUAAAGCACAUGACAUUGAUUAAAAGACAAUUAAUCAUAAGAAAGAACUUUGAAACAGAAAUUGAGAAUAAAUAAAGGAAGGUCUUAUCCUUGUGUUGUUUCUUCAAUGAGCCAAUUGCUUGUUGAUCAAGAAAACUUCUUUUCACUGUUUUGACUUUUUGCAUAGCAUUGAUACAGCUUCAAUGACUGCCUUUUUCUUCAAUAGCUUUAUCAGAUGGGUCAGUUCUUCUUUUUCUCUUCAUUUUCCUGCAUAAACAAAUUCAAGUUGCAAGAUUUGGUCCCCUUACAAAUUUGGGUCCUUUUGGCUUUUCUUUGCUGUUAGAAACAUCACAUCCCUUAGGAAUCCAUUUCAUAAGACCUUUAGGAACACAAUAUUUUCUAUUUUUACAGAAUCUAACAGAGUGGCCUUUCUUCAUGCAGUAAAAGCAUGUAACAACCGGUUGUUUCGUCUUAACAAUCGGUUGUUUUUCUGAUUUUCUUAAAAAAAAAUUUGAAAACCUAUCUUGCUUGUUCUAUGGAUUGAAGCCUAAACCAGCCUUUCCAAAAACACAGCUUUGAGAUGCCGAGACAUUCUUAAAGUUUGAUUUCCCUUUUGAAAGCUUGUCCACAGUUUCAACAAGAUAGUGAACCUUUUUCUCAAGAUUUUCACAAUUUGUGCAAAUGAGAGUAUCACACUUGCAAGAGGCAUUUUUUAAAUGAUUUUCCAGUUUUUCAAAAUCAAUUUUUGCUUUUCUCAGAUCCUCUUCAAGUGAUUUAACUUUCUUUUCAAGCCCAUUGUUAAGAUCUUUCAAUCGGUUGUUUGAAAGAACCAAUCUAUUAGCUUCAUCAUGAGUUUCUUGAAAAGCUUCAAGCAAUUCACUAUAGUUUUGUUCAUUUAAGGAAGCACUUGAACUGCAAGAAUCAUCAUCAUCAUCCUCAGCUACUGUACCGCCCAGGUGGUCGGAAGUGAUGACGUGGCAGGAAGCUAUUAUAUAGGCGUGUUGAACGGGGCACCUGGCAGGCAGAAGGGAAGGAAGUCGGGGGGCUCGUGUAGUCGCCAGUUAUUAAGUUGGCGUGCUCCGAUCUCCAGCGCACCUAAACCGGCGGUCACCGGGUUUGUGAUGAAGUGAUCAGAGAUCGCCGAAAGGAGGAGAUCGCCGAGGGAUCAGGGAAGCUUGUUCCAGGCUUUCGAAGCAGAAGAUGAAGUCGUCAGAUGGUCAUUCCCUAGCUAGCCAGAGGUUGGGAUCGGGGAACAGCUUACCCGAACAUGCACGAUGAAGCAAGUGAAGUAGAUCAUGAUGGCGGCCCGCGAGACCACAAGGAAGGUGUGUAUGAAGACACCCGUACUCGCCACACAGAAGAGAUCGCGCUCCAAGGCAGCUUUACACCGAGUUACUCCUUGCAUGGAUAACUUAGUCGAAUAAGCCUGAAGAGUAAGAAGUGACGCCCAAGUCAAGGAUGCUCCAGAUGGUGACACGUGUACAGCUGGAUACGAGCCACGUGUCCAGAUGUGUAACUGUCAGGAGAGAGAAAUGCACAGGUAUAUAAGGAAUCCUAACGAACUUCUGAGGUACGCGCGUUUUAGAAUACUUCUUUUACGCUUGCGAGAACUUGAGUACGCUGAGAGAGAAUUUUGCACGGUUCCUGAAGUUCUUAGUUUUCUCUUAGUAUUUUGGUGGUUCAGUCGCUGACUGGGGCGUCGGAGCGUGAUUGGCCGCAGCGGCGCCGUUUUGUCUUUUGCAGGUUCUUGAGGUGAAUCAAGGCGGAGGACGGAAGCUAACACGGCGCAAAGUCGAUCCAGAUUUGACGAGGCAAGGCUCUUGCGUCCUGGUCAACAGGCAGGAUCAGUGAGCUUAAAAGGAAUUGCUGGGAGAUCGAUCCUCUCUAUAUUCCAGCAAUCUUACAAAGAUUGGAAGGGAAAGUUCGUCCAAGUGCGCCAAAAUGAUCAAGACCCUUCGUUGCUCGAUGGCUUUCCCUUGUACUGGGUAAACAAGGGAAGUAAGGACUCCAAAGAAAGCUUUAGAAGGCCAAGAAGUCCUGACAAUAUGGGCGAGUUGGACAAGGAUCUAUGCCUCUUCUGGAAAAGCGUAGCAGCCGCUAACAUCACCUUUCCCACCUCCGCAAUAAUCUCCUUCGAGUUCCUCGAGGGCAAACUCGAAGCUCACAUAGGUUAGCGCUUGCCUCGACAUUUAGGUUUUCGUCUUGUGCUGCAUUUCUGUUAUCUAUUAUUGGGCGUCCUGCUUGUUGCGCACUAGACUUGGUUUUUAUUUCCUGCACCAUUUGUUUGUAUCAUUCGCACCCGUACUCGUAUAUUUUACUUUUUUCCUUCGCGCUUACUUGUAUAUUUUUGCACUGUGCAGAUCUCAUGUUGGGCAAAGGCAAAUUGGCUGAACUGAGGGCGCUCGUCCGAACCCACAAAUUGGCGUCGGGUUCUCAAACCGUGCCAAACUCGGUGGUGGAGAUCGCCGCUGCCCAGGGCAGAUCGCCCCCUCAAGGCCCAGCUCCUCCAGAGGCACUGCCCGCCACUCAACGAAAGAAGCUCGUCUUAAAGAAACCAAAGAGGAAAACUCCUCAAGUGGUUCAAGAAGAGGAGGAUGAGGAUGAUGAGGCGACUGAGGACGGCCUCAUUACCAAAAGGAGAAGGGUGGCACCUUCUUCACCACCUGCUCUACCAACACCAACACCACCCUCUCCCCCAGCUCCAACACCGCCAGUCCAAGCAAUACCCUUGGCAGCUGCACUUCCUGCGGUUGAAGGCAACGAGCCCAACUUCAUGGAGAACCCUCCGAGCGCCUCCACGCCAUUCGUAUCUGCUGGAGAGGGUCCUCCUUCAACUGCCUCAAUCGCUAAAGCUGCACCAGGUGGGGAUGAAGGCGCUCACAACUCACCAAUACUCAUAACCGAGUCCCCCACAUCACCACCACGCCAGGAAGCCCAACCUCAUCAACCAAUUCAAGAGGGUGGUGGUGAGAGUCAGCACCAGGCUCCUUCAGCACCUUCACCGACAGCAGCUGCAAGCCUUCCCCCCGUGGUCAAAGAAAUCUGGGGGCCCUUCACAGCUAAACUCAAAAUGAUGGCAGAGGACCUCCCCUCCAUCAUAACAAAAUCUGUGGAGAGCUCCAACAAAAAACUUCAGGAUGAUAUCUCCACACUCCAAGAGGAGAAUCGCCUGAUAAGGAUCGAGGCGGAGAAGCUGUCUUGCAACCUGAUGAUGGCGGAGAUCGAUCACUCAAGGGUGGAGGAUGCCAUGAGUGCCGAGCUGAGGGUUGCACGCAAGGAGGCCUCCGAUCUACGCCAGAAACUGCACCUCCUAGCUCAAGAGAAGAUCGAGCUGGAGAGUAAGCUGGUUCCCUUCCGGCUCAAGGUGGCUGACUUGGAGGCAUCAAUAAAAGCGGAUGCAGCCAAGGUAGAGAACCUUGAAAAAGGUCGGUUGAUCGGGAGGUUCUCCUUGGAAAGGUCGAAAAGGAGAGGGAUGACGCCGUGGCUGAGCUCGCCGAAGCUAGAGAGGAGAACAAAAGAACUGUUGCAGAGCUGGCCCUGGCGCGGGAGGAAAGCAAAAAGGUUGCUAAAGACCUCGUUCAAGCUCGUGGGAAAACUGAAGAACUAAAGAAACGAGCUGACGAGCUGAAACAGCAAACCGAGGGGCUCAAACAACAAAACGAAGAGCUCGAACUAAGCUCCGCCCAAGUCCUCGCCGUUGGGUUCGACGCCGCCCUGGAGCAAGUCGCCUGCCAGUACCCCGAGCUCGACCUCUCCAUGGUAUCAAUAUGUAAUGAAGUGGUGGAUGGGAAGAUCGUUCCUUCUGAAGAUUAGUCGUCUCCCUCCAUUACUUAUUCACUGGGACCCCAUGCUUGUUUCCUUUUGUACAAACUUUACCUGUAAUAACUUUUCUUUUCUUCUUAUGCAUUUCGAACUGAUACCACCUUUAUUAUAAACUUUUCCGCUUCCGCAUAUGGUUUCUCUGUUUACUCUGCUUUUCGUAGUAGAAACCGCUUAAGGAAAUUAACUUAGCGAUCCUGCGGGCUCAAUCGUUCAAUUACUGCUUCAAACUCGAGCAAAGUAUCAACUUUCAAACGAUGGCGCUUUAAUAACUUGUGAACUUAAGACAACGAACUUCAGCGUGAAACUAUUUACUAAACAGCAAGUUUCAAUCCAACUGAUAGUUUAAGAUAUAGUUCACCUGAUCUGCUCUAUCAAAAUGGGCCCUUACUCUUGCCAUCGCUUGAAUUUCUUCUGAUCGCCAGAGGGUCCCGGCGAUGUAAGCCCCCUUUUGCCUUCGUAACUUGGCUAUUGUUCCCUCAUCUGGGGUAGAGGCGCCUUUCGGAUCCUUCUCUACCUCCCUGAGUUUCAGAACAAUAAGUCGGACAGCUAGGCGUUCUCUUCGAACCUACCUUAGCCAUCCUUUAAACUUCUUCCACCCUCCACACCGUACCUGAACUCGUUCGAGACGAGAAGGAUUUUAUCUUGCCUGAACUCGCUCGACGGUGAGAAGGUCUUUAUCUUGCCUGAACUCGCUCGACGGCGAGAAGGUCUUUAUCUUGCCUGAACUCUCUCGACGGCGAGAAGGUCUUUAUCUGGUGCCUCUACAUUGCCCAGGGAUUAUAUCUCCUCCUCCCUAGAUGCAUUGAGGACUUUUAACUUUUUCUCGCCUGCACUCGCACAAAGUCGAGGAGGACUUUAAUCUCUUUCUCGCCUCAAGACGCGCGAGGGCGUUGAGGUCUUUUAAACGUUGCUGGUGCCUCCGAUCACCGAAAGACGAUGAGGACUUUAAAACUUUAACUGAUGCCGCUAGUCGCCGAAAAACGAUGGGGACUUUUAACUUUAACUGAUGCCGCCAAUCGCCGAAAAGCGAUGGGGACUUAAAAACUUUUUAGAAAGCAUGCAGCAUAACUUCAAACUUGCCUUAAAUCACAUACGAGUGACAAGGUCUUUUUCUAAAACUUUUGUAACAACAAGCAUGCAAUCUAAAAUACUUUAAACUUUGAAAACUCUUCUUUAUUGGGUAGCCUCAUUAAAAACCCUCCUUAGGAAAAAAGAGUGCCCCCUUCAAACUGUUUUAACAGAAAGCUUGCAAAACUCUUCGUGUUUGUUUUUACUUACAAAGCUUCAACUGUAAUAUAACUUGAGGUGCGUGGCAUUCCAAGUGCGAGGAAUCGCCCCUCCUACCAAAGUUUCUAAGCGGUAGGCGCCGUUCCCGAGCGCCUCGGUUAUUCUGAACGGUCUCGUCCACUUAGGCGACAACUUGUUCUCCAUCUCGUACUGGUGGGCCUUCCUCAUCACCAGGUCGCCUUCUUUAAACUGCCUUGGCACCACCUUCGAGUUAUACCUUCGUUCAAUCCUUCUUUUCACUGCCUCGGCUUUUACUCUUGCCUCCUCCCUGACCUCAUCCAGCAAAUCCAGAUUCAACCUUCUUUCCUCAUUCGAGUCUUCCGCUACAAAGUUCUGGAAUCUCGGUGAGCUCUCCUGGAUCUCCACUGGAAUCAUUGCGUCGCACCCAUAGACCAAGCUAAACGGGGUCUCAUGGGUUCCUAACUGCUCGGUGGUGUGGUACGCCCAAAUUAUGCGGGGUACCUCCUCAGCCCACGAUCCCUUGGCUUUCUCUAACCUUCUCUUCAAGCCUCUUAGCAAUACCCGAUUAGCGGACUCUACUUGGCCAUUUGUCUGGGGAUGCUCGAUGGAUGCAAACACUUGCUGAAUUCCCACCUCUUCGCACAGCUUCUUCAACAGGUGACUUGCAAACUGAGUCCCGUUGUCCGACACCAGGCGCUUAGGCGCACCAAACCGGCACACGAUGUUCUUCCACACAAAGCUCUCGAUCUUGUGUGCGGUGAUCUGGGCUACUGGUUCUGCUUCGAUCCACUUGGUGAAAUAUUCCAUCGCCACCACCAAGUACUUCAUCUGUCUGAUCGCCAAUGGGAAAGGUCCCAGAAUGUCGAUCCCCCACGUAUGAAACGGCCAAGGGCUGUAAAUCGACUUCAACUCCUCGGGAGGCGCUUUGUGCCAAUCGGCGUGCUACUGACAUUGCUUGCAACACUGUGCAUACUUCUUGCAGUCCUCCCUCAUUUUUGGCCAGUAGUAACCUGCACGGAGGGUUCUUGCAGCCAGAGCUCGACCCCCGACGUGACUUCCGCAUAUCCGUAGCGCAGACCUGCGUCGUGUUCACCCUCUCCCCCCGACAUGCUCUUAUUCUCGGCGAUCUCAAGGUCUCCUGAGUCAAAGACCUGUGACUCCUCGCCGCUUUCUCCGUCGACUUGCUUAUUUGAAGAACCAGGUGGUCUGCCACAAAUGCUCUAGGCGUUUUCAGAGUUUCUUGGAUCACCGUCCUCUGCCUACCCCCCUUGCCUGAACUGGCGAGCUUAGCUAGAAAGUCAGCUCGGGCAUUCUGCUCUCUGGGCACAUGCACCACUUUAAAGGAGACAAAGGAACUCUUCAACUCCUGCACAUACUCCAGGUAAGCCGCCAUUUGUGGAUCCUUGGCCUGGAACUCGCCUGUUACUUGUCCCGUGACCAACAGCGAGUCACUCUUAGCCAUCAGCACCCUAGCUCCCAUCUCCUUGGCCAACAAGAUUCCGGCGAUCAGCGCCUCAUAUUCUGCUUGAUUGUUGCUGGCUUUGAAGGCAAACCUCAGGGACUGUUCAAUCAGCACACCGUUGGGCCCUUCCAGGAUGACUCCAGCACCGCUACCCUGCUGGUUCGACGAUCCGUCCAUCGAGAGCACCCAACGGAAAUCAUCCCCCUCAACUCGCGCUGCUUCUGACGAGAGCUCAACCACAAAAUCGGCGAAAAUCUGCCCCUUGAUCGGACCUCGGGGCUCAUACUUGAUAUCGAACUCUGACAACUCCACCGCCCACUUCACCAUCCUCCCAGCUACAUCAGGCUUCUUCAGGACUUUCUGGAUGGGCAAGUCGGUCAUCACUAGUACUGUAAAACUGUGGAAAUAGUGGCGCAACCUCCUCGCCGAAAAUACCACAGCCAGUGCAGCUUUUUCCAAGGCUUGAUAUCUCACCUCCGGGCCCUGCAGCACCUUGCUGACGAAGUAAAUAGGCUUCUGAGCCUGGUCUUGGUCUUGAGCGAGCACCGCACUCACCGCCCUCUCAGUCACAGCGAAAUACAACCUGAGAGGGGUCCCCACCAACGGUUUGCACAAAACCGGCGGGCUCGCUAGGUACUCUUUAAGCUUGAGGAAGCCUCUUCACACUCUUUGUCCAGGCAAACUUGUUGUUCCGCCUUAAACAUUGAAAGUACGGAUGGCCUUUCUCUCCGCUAGCCGAUACGAAACGAGACAGGGCGGCCAUCCGACCUGUAAGUUGCUGCACCUCCUUCACGGUAGCCGGUCUCCUCAUCGCCAAGAUGGCAGCACACUUAUCAGGAUUGGCCUCUAUUCCUCUUUCAGUUAAGAGGAAUCCCAAGAACUUCCCUGCCUCCACGCCAAAAAUGCACUUCUCGGGGUUCAGCUUUAACCUGAACUUGGCGAUUAUGGUGAACAACUCCUCCAAGUCCGCAACGUGUUUGCUCUUCUCCGGCGAGGUCACGACCAUAUCAUCCACAUACACUUGCACAUUCUUUCCCACCAUUGGUGCAAGUACCCGAUCCAUCAACCUUUGGUACGUGGCCCCCGCGUUCUUCAGCACAAAGGGCAUCACCUUGUAGCAGUAGCACGACCUCUCGGUCAUGAAGGCGGUCUUCUCUUCAUCCAUGGGAUGCAUCUUUAUCUGGUUGUACCCCGAGAAGGCGUCCAGGAAACUCAGCAACUUGCACCCUGCAGCACUGUCGACCAGGGCGUCUAUGCUUGGCAAAGGAUACGAAUCCUUUGGGCAAGCCUUGUUCAGGUCAGUGAAAUCGACGCACAUGCGCCACUUCCCAUUGCUUUUCUUUACCAGCACGACAUUGGCCAACCACUCAGGGUACUGGACUUCCCUGAUAUGGCCUGCGGCGAGGAGCUUCUGGGUUUCAUCCCUGAUCGCCUGCCUUCUCUCCUCGUUAAACUUCCUUCUUCUCUGUCGCACCGGUCUGACCUGGUUGUCCAUUGCUAGAUGGUGGCACAAGAAAUCGGGGUCGAUUCCCGGCAUGUCUGAAGCAGACCAUGCAAAAGCAUCCAGAUGCCGCUCUAUCACCUUGGCGAUCUGGUCUUGGAGCUCAGCCUCCAAGGAUCUUUCCAACUUGAAGACCUUUCCCCCGAUCUCCCUUUCGAGCCACUCCUCGACGGGUUUGGGUCUAGCUUCCCUGGCGAUUACCGCCCUGGCGAUUCCCAGCUCCCUCGCUUCCUCUGGGCGGUUCCGCGCCUCUUCCUCCCGAUCGGCGUCCUCUCCCUCAGCCUCAGCAUCCAGCAUGGUGACAUCGCCUCCGGCGGCCACCUCCAUCGCCGCAUCAACAACUCGCCAUUCUGUUGGCUUGGGCUUCACCCCGGGAGGCGGCGUCGUUGUGAUGUAACUUACUGACCUCUUGUUUUUCAGGCUAUUCUCAUAGCAUUUCUUCGCUUCCUUCUGGUCAGAUUUGAUGGUGAUCACCACCCCCUCCAUCGACGGCAACUUCACCUUCAUGUGCCUGGUUGAAGGCACAGCUCCUAUUCUGUUGAGUGUUGGUCUUCCCAACAGAAUAUUAUAUGCUGAGGGAGCAUUCACGACGAGGUAUUUGAUUUUCUCCGUCCUCGAGCCCGCCUCAUCCGUGAAUGUAGUUCUUAAUUCUAUGUACCCCCUGACCUCCACCUGAUCGCCAGCGAACCCAUAUAAGCACCCUCCAUAGGGCCUCAGCUCGUCAAGGGGCAAUUGCAGCUGUGUGAAAGUCGGCCAGAACAUCACAUCUGCCGAGCUUCCUUGGUCCACCAGAACCCUGUGGACCUUCCUUCCCGCUGUGACAAGCGAGAUGACUAUAGGAUCGUUGUCAUGAGGCACAACGUCCCUGAGAUCUUUCCUCAUGAACGUGAUGUCCACAUCUGGCGAGUGGUCCUCGAACAUGUCCACCGUCAUCACAGACCUUGCAUAUUUCUUCCUCUGUGACGCGGUGCAUCCACCACCCGAAAAACCCCCAGCGAUGGUGUGGAUCUCUCCAUGAGUGGGCAUCUCGUGCUGCUGAGCCUCACCACCUGCCGGCUGGGAGCUCGACGCGCCCCCCGUUCUCCUGUCCAGCAGGUAAUCGUUCAGGAAACCGCUCUUGACCAGGUCGUCGAGCUGGUAUCCCAAUGCCAAACAUGAAUCGACGGUGUGACCAAAACUCUGGUGGAAUUUGCAUCAGGCGUCUGGCUUUAGUCCUAACACCUUGUCGCCCACUUUCUCGGGUGCCUUGAGCCUGGCUGCUAUAUUGGGAAUGGCGAUCAGGUCCGCCAACCCCAUAACAAACUUAUGCUUUGGUGGGCGAUUGUACUCCCUGGGGCGCCGUGGGACCCUGCCCUUGUUUCUUCUUGGGUCAUAAGGAUGGCGAGUCCUUUGAUCCCUCUUGGCCGCCGCUGUCUCCAGCACCCUCUGUGGAUGGAUCCUGGUCUGGGCACGUGGCCUAGCGGGGGCCACGCUCCCUCUCUUCUCGGCGACCUCACUUUCAUCGGCGAUGUGGGCCACCGCAAGUCGCCUAACCUCAGCAAACGUGGCGGGGUGAGCCCUGAUCAGUGCCUCGCAGAACGGUCCCGGCAGCACGCCCUUUUUGAAGGCGUAUACCAGAAUCUCUUCGUCCUUGGCCGGUGAGCGGACCAUCUGCGCUCCAAAGCGAUUCAAGUAGUCCCUGAGGGACUCUCCCUGGUACUGCCUUAUGUCGAAUAGGUCAUAAGACACCCUAGGUGGCGCCUUGUUCACUAUGUACUGCUCGACGAAAAGCUUCGAAAACUGCUGGAAAUUGGUUAUGUGACCGGUAGGCAAGCUCACAAACCAUUCCAGCGCUGUUCCCUGGAGCGUGCUCACGAACAUCUUGCAAUACACAGCAUCCGAGCCUCCUAACAGCAUCAUCUGCGUGUGGAACGUGGUGAGAUGUGCCUCAGGAUCCUCCACGCCGAUGAAAGUAGCCUUCACGGGUACCACACUCGCAGGGAUAGGCGUGUCUGUGAUCGCCUGUGCAAAUGGCAUGGGGAAAACGCGAGGUGGCGACGACGGUGCGACCUCCUCAGCGACUUGGCGCCCUCUCUGCUCCUGAAGAGCUUGGCGCAACUCCUCACUCACUUUGCUUAGCUCUUCAUUCCUGGCCUGAGAGGCGGACUAGGGUCCUCAUGCAUCCUUGCCUGCUCUAUGCGCGAGGCCUCCACAUUCGCCUGCAGCGCACGCAUGAUCUCUACCAUCUGCGCCAUAGUCAUGGCGCCUUCAGCAGCAACUGGCACAACUGGACUUGAACGGUUGCUUCUCAUCUUUCUCCUGAAAACUUCACAGACCACAACGAGCGACGAACAAAACCUCCUUUAGCAAUGAUCGAUCCAGCAAUCAACCGGUUAGAACUUCGCGAACUCCAAAGAACUUCAAGAACGCAAUCUCAACAGCAAAGACCUUCGCAGAAACUCGCAAUCUCAGCACGAACCUACCACUCCUCCACCAAAACAUCUGAUUCACCAGUCAAAAGUCCGAACGAACGUCGAAACUUCGAUCUCACCGAUUAAAACUCGCGUAAACAGCGAAAAACCUCUCCUCACCGAACAAGAACUCAACAAGCGGGGAAAAACCUCAAUUCUCUGAACUAAACUUCGAACGAACGGUGGAAAACACGAAUUUACCGAACAAAGCUUGAAUGAACGGCGGAAAAUGGUUGCACCAGCACAUAACCACACAGAAACUGCAGAAACUCCAAGAACUCACGCUGUGGAUGGGAACAGGUUUUACACGGCCCCACGGUGGGCGCCUGAUGAUCCUGCCUGUUGACCAGGACGCAAGAGCCUUGCCUCGUCAAAUCUGGAUCGACUUUGCGCCGUGUUAGCUUCCGUCCUUCACCUUGAUUCACCUCAAGAACCUGCAAAAGAUAGAACGGCGCCGCUGCGGCCGAUCACGCUCCGACGCCCAAGUCAGCGACUGAACCACCAAAAUACUAAGAGAAAACUAAGAACUUCAGGAACCGUGCAAAAUUCUCUCUCAGCGUACUCAAGUUCUCGCAAGCGUAAAAUAAGUAUUCUAAAACGCGCGUACCUCAGAAGUUCGUUAGGAUUCCUUAUAUACCUGUGCAUUUCUCUCUCCUGACAGUUACACAUCUGGACACGUGGCUCGUAUCCAGCUGUACCCGUGUCACCAUCUGGAGCAUCCUUGACUUGGGCGUCACUUCUUACUCUUCAGGCUUAUUCGACUAAGUUAUCCAUGCAAGGAGUAACUCGGUGUAAAGCUGCCUUGGAGCGCGAUCUCUUCUGUGUGGCGAGUACGGGUGUCUUCAUACACAUCUUCCCUGUGGUCUCGCCGGCCGCCAUCAUGAUCUACUUCACUUGCUUCAUUGUGCAUGUUCGGGUAAGUUGUUCCCCGAUCCCAACCUCUGGCUAGCUAGGGAAUGACCAUCUGACGACUUCAUCUUCUGCUUCGAAAGCCUGGAACAAGCUUCCCUGAUCCCUCGGCGAUCUCCUCCUUUCGGCGAUCUCUGAUCACUUCAUCACAAACCCGGUGACCGCCGGUUUAGGUGCGCUGGAGAUCGGAGCACGCCAACUUAAUAACUGGCGACUACACGAGCCCCCCGACUUUCUUCCCUUCUGCCAGCCAGGUGCCCCGUUCAACACCCCUAUAUAAUAGCUUGCUGCCACGUCAUCACUUUCGACCACCUGGGCGGUACACUCACCCAGGGGCGGCCUCCAGGAUUCUUAGCCUCGAAUAAGAAAAGGAAGACGUCUACCGAGGCCGGUAGUCCCAAGUGUGCGCACAUGAUUUGAAAUGCCCGCACGAAUGCCCAGCUGUUGGGAUGGAGCUGGGCAGCGGCAAUGUUGAGCUCGGUUAAUAGUUCCCGUUCAAAACGGGUGAAGGGAAGCCUGAGUUUCACCUUCUUGAAGAGAGUAGUGUAAAUGAAGCAGAACAACUCGCCGUUGUUCCCCUUGUCAUCCGCGCAGAUUGGCACGUCAGGAAGGCAAGGCAGCACCAUCAGUUUGUCGUCGUGCUCCUUGUGGAACGAGAGGUUGGGUUCGUCCCCUUUCUUCAACCGUAGCACCGCCAACGUAGAGUUUACUGAAGAGGUCUCCUUCAGUAAAGUUUGGGGUGGCCCACGGGUAAAGUUUCUUGUAGUCUGGUGUGGGAAUGGAGGCUCCUCCGGCGACUGGUGGAGUUGCCUGAGCGAGGUUGGGACGAGAGGUUGCAGGCCUCUCAGCCUGGGAAGAAGGAGCACCAGAUGCUCGUGGUAGGUUAUGCGCUUGGGAUGGAGGGUUUCGUGAUGAAGGAGGAGGAUUCGCGGUGGUUUUUGUACGAGCCAUCGCGGGAACUGCAAAGGAAAAAGAAGAAAGGAUGAACAAGGGUUGUAGAGAUCGACUCGAUUGUGGACGCAGAAUGAAGAACGAACGAACGAGAGUUCGUUGUGAUGAAUGUAAUGGAAGACGAAGCCCUAAGUUACGAGAAGGAAGAAGAAGAGGAAAACAACCCACAGCGUAUGCACCAGACAGAUAAUGGAUGAUGCGAAUCGGUUAAAAUGCAGCAAGAAUCAACAGAAGAAGUAAAAGAGGUACCUUUCGAUGAUCAGAUGAGCGUUGAAGGGAGUUGAAGAUUGAGGGAGCUGAGAAGCGCUGUGGGUUUGCAGGGAAAACUCAGAGCGUUUUGAGAAGGCAGAUAGAUGAUGAAACAGUAAAAAUGAAAGGGUUUAAGGGUUUUUCAAACGUUUUUGGAAGCGCAAACGACAGCUAAAGAUGACCGUUGAUGAAGCCACGUGUCGAACGAUUGGAAAAAGGUGUUUGGUGGAGCGUCAGAAAAGCAGAGGGUACGAGCGUUUGGAAUUCUGUGCCAGCGCCACGCAGAUCGGCAGUGACGUGACCUCUUAGUCUUUUCGCUGGACAAGUCUUCGCUUAAGACUAGGGGGCUUGUGUACCGCCUAGGUGGUCGGAAGUGAUGACAUGGCAGCAAGCUAUUAUAUAGGCAUGUUGAACGGGGCACCUGGCUGGCAGAAGGGAAGGAAGUCGGGGGCCUUGUGUAGUCGCCAGUUAUUAAGUUGGCGUGCUCCGAUCUCCAGCGCACCUAAACCGGCGGUCACCGGGUUUGUGAUAAAGUGAUCAGAGAUCGCCGAAAGGAGGAGAUCGCCGAGGGAUCGGGGAAGCUUGUUCCAGGCUUUCGAAGCAGAAGAUGAAGUCGUCAGAUGGUCAUUCCCUAGCUAGCCAGAGGUUGGGAUCGGGGAACAGCUUACCCGAACAUGCACAAUGAAGCAAGUGAAGUAGAUCAUGAUGGCGGCCGGCGAGACCACAGGGAAGGUGUGUAUGAAGACACCCGUACUCGCCACACAGAAGAGAUCGCGCUCCAAGGCAGCUUUACACCGAGUUACUCCUUGCAUGGAUAACUAAGUCGAAUAAGCCUGAAGAGUAAGAAGUGACGCCCAAGUCAAGGAUGCUCCAGAUGGUGACACGGGUACAGCUGGAUACGAGCCACGUGUCCAGAUGUGUAACUGUCAGGAGAGAGAAAUGCACAGGUAUAUAAGGAAUUCUAACGAACCUCUGAGGUACGCGCGUUUUAGAAUACUUCUUUUACGCUUGCGAGAACUUGAGUACGCUGAGAGAGAAUUUUGCACGGUUCCUGAAGUUCUUAGUUUUCUCUUAGUAUUUUGGUGGUUCAGUCGCUGACUUGGGUGUCGGAGCGUGAUCGGCCGCAGCGGCGCCGUUCUGUCUUUUGCAGGUUCUUGAGGUGAAUCAAGGCGAAGGACGGAAGCUAACACGGCGCAAAGUCGAUCCAGAUUUGACGAGGUAAGGCUCUUGCUUCCUGGUCAACAGGCAGGAUCAGCUACUAAGUAUAUGUUGGCUUUUUCAUCUUCACUUGAUGAUGACACCUCAUUUUCAUCCCAAGCUAUGUAGGCUCUUUUUGUCUUGCCUUUCUUCUCCUUGUAGCUUGUCUUUUUCUCUUUGCUCUUGUUGGGACAAUCUGCCUUUAUGUGACCUUUCUCACCACAACCAAAACAAGUAUAGUUAUUUGAAUUAAAUUCAUUGGGUUUCUUGUUUCCAUACCUAUCCUUGUUGUUGUCUUUGUUGCGGUUUCUCUUUAGAAAUUUGCUGAAUUUUCUUGACAGCAAACUUAGAUUUUCCUCAUCACUAUCAUCACUUGAAUCUUGCUUUUCCUUAUGUUUGGAUGCUAUCAAGGCUAUGCUCCUUGUGUGCUUAUCUUCACUCUCUUGAACAUUGAGUCUAUUCAUAUCUAGCUCAUGUUCCCUAAGCUUUCCAAACAAAGAAGCAACACUUAAUGAUGUUAGAUCUUUAGAUUCGGAAAUAGCAGUUACCUUUGGUUGCCAUGCUCUAUCAAGACAUUUCAAGAUCUUGAUGUUCAGCUCUUCUUUGUCAAACGUCUUGUCUAGGCUCAUAAGGUGGUUGAUGAUGUGUGUAAACCUUUUCUGCACUUCAGCUAUGGUUUCACCUUUAAGCAUUCUAAACAUCUCAUACUCUUGGAUGAGAACAUGCUUUCUAGGUCUUUUCACCUCAUUUUUUCCUUCAUGAAUGACUUCCAAAGUAUCCCACAUUUCUUUUGAUGAUUUGCAUUGUGAGGUUAUAAUUUAAAGCAGAGGUUAUAAUAUUUUUGGCAAUGCAAUCAAAUUUGGCCUUUUUACUUUCUGCAUCAGUCCAUUGAGACCAUGGCUUCUCAAUGACAACACCAUCUUUUUCAAACUUUGGGAUAAAAGGGUCAUUUUUCAAUUGCAUCCCAAAUUCCUUUGUCAAGAGAUUCCAUAAAUAUUUUCAUUCUAACUUUCCAAAACUGGUAAUUCAAACCAUAAAACAAGGGUGGUCUAUUUAUUGAGGCACCUUCCCCAAACGGUAGUCUAUCAGCCAUUUUAAAAGAUUUUAGGAUCAACUUCAAUGACUUACAAGAACUAAGCUCUUGAUGCCAAUUGUUAGAAAAGAUGGCUUUAAACUAGAGGGGGGGUGAAUUGUUUAAAGGGGUUUUCGCAAUCUUUUCAAAGCUAGAAUGAAUUUAUUUCAGAAACCAAUUGAUUCAGCAAUUCCGUUAGCCAAAACAGCAAGCAAAAACUGUAAUACUAGAAAAAACAAUCGGUUGUUUCUUCGAAACAAUCGGUUGUUUAUACCAGCAAACAACAAACAAACUGAAAUUAAAGAGUUAGGGAUAGAGAGAUUGUACACAAUUGUUUAUACUGGUUCACUCCAAACUAGAGCUACAUCCAGUCUUCUCAGAAACCCUGAGGAUAACCACUAAGCAAUCACCACUUGAUCACUUACACCACAACCAAGAGAAUGACCUUGAACACCUCAAGAAACACACUCUCCUUGGCCAACACUAAGAUUGCUGAUCUUGAACACCUCAAGAACACACAGCCAAUCUCAGCAAAACACACAAAUGAAUUGUUCGGCAGUUUACAAAGAUUACACUUGUUACAGAUGAAUAUCUGAAAUCAAUACAAGUAGAAUCCUAUUCCAGCACCUUGAUCAAUCUCUCAACUCUUAAGCAAUCUCAGAACUCUUUGAAAAGCUCNNNNNNNNNNNNNNNNNNNNNNNNNNNNNNNNNNNNNNNNNNNNNNNNNNNNNNNNNNNNNNNNNNNNNNNNNNNNNNNNNNNNNNNNNNNNNNNNNNNNGUUUGUUAUCAAAUCUUAACAAAAUCUUAAUGCGAUUUAAAAUUGAUUGGUCAAAGCAUUUAAGGAUGGGAGGGUAUUCAGUUAAAAGCAUUUAAAGCUCAGUCAAAGAAAACAGUUUUUCUGUUAUGGUUUCAAAACAAACAAUCGAUUGUUUCCUCGAAUCAAUUGAUUGUUUUGUUACUUAACAAAUUUCACCAUUCAAAAACAGUUUUCAAACUUUCUCAAAACACCUAAGUGUAAACAAUCAGUUGUUUCGACAAAACAAUCGGUUGUUUCAACUUAGUUUGAAAAACAUUUUACUUUGAUAAAGAUUGAGAUGCUAAUUGCUUGAGAUUUAAUCUAAGGGUGGAUUACAACAUUAAACUAUCCCAGAACAAAGCUUAAACCAGCACAGCAACACACAGCAAAGCAGAGGCUUCAACAUCCUUCAAAGGAUUUGGAUUCUUCGAAACAUUGAACACCACUUGGUUCAACACAUCCAACAAAAUGGAGUGUCUUUCUUCAGUAACUCAUGGAGUGGUAAAGCUAGACUUGAGAAGUUAGGAUAAAUUCUCCUAUAAUAACUUGCUAGACCAUGAAAACUCCUAACAUCUCCUACAUUUUGUUGUGUUGGCCUUUCUUGGAUGGCUUUGAUUUUCUCGAGGUCAACAUGUACCCCAUUUUUGUUAGCUAUAAAACCCAAAGACACUACACUAUCAACAUAGAAAGUACAUUUAUCACUAUUAGCAAACAAACUAUUAGCCCUAAACACUAAGAAAACUUCCCUAAGGUGGCUUAGGUAAUCAUAAACUACUACAUAUUUACCUAUGCAAUCCCUCUUUAAAGAUUCUAUUUUUACUAUGCUUGUAAGGGGUGUUUUAAGAUAUUCAUCAUUCUUUGUAGAACCCUCUUCUUCUUUUUCAAACAACCCCUCACUUGACUUUUCUAUUUCUUUCUUCUUUUUCUUCUCAUUUUCUUCACUCUCACUAGUUUCUUUUUCUUGGCUACUAUUGUUAGCAUUGUUCCUUAAGAUCAUAGAUCUUUCAUUUGAACAAUGAGAUGCUAAAUGACUCUUACCAAGAUAUUUUAAACAUUGACUUAUUCUAGCGUGAGUGUGUGAGAUAUGCUCGGAUAGCUUUUGGGAAAGUUCUAGAGAUGUUUCUUUUAUAUGUUCUUCCCCUCUUUGGAACUCAUCCUUGUCAUAAGAUACAGAGUAUGAACUUUGUUUUUGACUUGAUUGUUUUCUCAAAAUUUGUUUUUCAACUUUAAUGCUAAGUUGAAUCAAGUCAUUUAAAUCUCUAUAAGGUAAAAGUUCAACUUUGUUUCUUAUCUCAAGUUUGAGGCCACUUAAAAACCUAGGUAUGGUGGUAUGGUUGUCCUCAUUAAUCCCUGCCCUUAUUAUAUAUAGCAUCAUCUUUUGCCAAUAUUCUUCUACACUUAGAUUUUUUUGAUGAAGUCCUUGGAGUUUGUCCAUUGACUUCCUAUUGUGGUAGGAGGGAAUAUGGCGGCGGCUUAAAGCUCCCCUAAGAUCAUUCCAAUACUCUAUGGGAGGGUCCUUAUGAAGGCACCUUUUACUCUCAAGGGCAUUCCACCAAUACAUAGCAUUAUCUUGAAAACUUAGGGUGGCUAAGGGUACUUUCCUCUCUUCAUUUACUCUAUGGCAAGCAAAUAAUUGUUCUACCUUCAUUUUCCAAUCUAAAUAGACUUCUAUGUUUUCUUUUCCAUGAAAAUGAGGUAGAUCUACCCUAACCUCUCUUGGACUCUCUUGUUCUUUUCUUUCUCUUCUAGUUCUCCUAGGGGGUGGUUGAUAAUAUUCAUUUAUCCUAAGACUUUCUUCCCCAAAAGAUUCAUGAUUGUGAGAACUAGAUGCAUGUGAAUAUAAUUUUUUAGAUUUUUGAGAGCUUUCAUCCUUUUCUUUAGCCAUUUUCAACUCUUUGAUUUGUACCUCAUGUUCCAAUUGUCUAUAUGAGAAUGAUUGAAAGUCCUUGGCUAAUUGUUUUAAAAGAUUUUUAAUGGACUUUAUAUCACUUUCACUAGAUUUCGAAGAGUGAGUUGACAUGACUAAAGCUUUGUGUUUAAAAGUAUUUUACCUCAAGAAAGAAAAGGAAAGUAAUGAAGGUAGCUUUCCAGGAAAGAGAGGUGGAUCACUAGGAUCUCUUAAGUACCAAGUCUUUCCUUGCCAAAACCUAUCCCUCAAGACUUCACACAAUUAUUUUUCUAAGUAAUUUACUUAGAUCACAAUUAGAAAUGAAAAGUCAAUUUUUAGGCAAAGGAAAACAAUGCAAAGCAAUUAAUUAAUGCAAAUCAAGUAAUUAAAGUAAAGCAAUUAACUAAGCACAAAUUAAAUAUUGCUAACUACAAAGCUUUAAACUAGACGAUUCCUAAGGUGAGGCUUCUAGAUACUUGGAGCCAUUGAAGACACACUCACUGUCUACACGCAAUUAAUCCGCUAAUUAAUCAAGGUUGAAUGUAAUUACAACUCAAAGAAAUAUAAAGAAACCGAAUUACACAAAAUAAAAUUCAGAUUUCCUAAACUAUGCACUCCUUGGCUUGUGGUUGAUCUUCCUUGAUGUGUUCUACAAUGUGUAUAGGUUUGUAUUUAUAUUUGCUGCAGCUCCUUGCCUUAACCUCUUAUGGUUAGCCAAUUAAAAUCUUCCAAACAGUACCUACUAAGUAGGGAUAGACUCGCCACAAGGUUAAUUCCACUUAACAAGCAUCAAUUUGAAUUUUGUUCUCCAAUCAAUUUAGAGGUCAAGAAAUGAAAGUAAGAAACAAUUCAAAUUUAAAAAAUAGGACAACAACAAAUGGAUUUGAAUUAUAUGACACAACUUAGAAGGAGUAUUGAAUAAUAUUGGACAAGCAAUAAAAAUAGGCACUCAACAAAAGGUAGCACACAAAUUGAACCUAGAGAAUGGCACUAGAAUUGAUUAGAAAAACCAAAACAGUACUACUGGAAUUUUUAGGUCCAAAAAGCGUGACUUAUAAAAUUUAUGCUGAGCUGGCUAUUUGAAAUUUUAUUCUAAAAUUUUAACCACAAACAAUUCAAGGUCUUAGCAAACUUUUGGCGCUGGAAUCACACCAAAACUAUGCACCAAAUAAUUGUGAUAAAUUUUUCAAAAUUCUUGUCCAACUACCAUAUAUUUUGGCGCCAGAAUGCACACUUUUUUUGUUUUAUUUAUCAUUUUUUCUCCAUUUUGUCUUUUGAUCUGAUUCUUUUUUUUCUUGAUUUUCUAAUACAUCAAACUGUAUAGAUCCAGGUUUUCAUAAUUUUUCUUCAUCGUAUUUGAAUUUCAUAACAAAAAACAGCCAGCACAGAAUUUGAAAAAUAGAGUAAUCCUAAUUCUGGAAUUUAAAAACAGAAUGAAGAACUUCAAAAACACAAUGGAGUGAAUAUAUAUAAAUUUGUAUGGAUCUGGACUCAAAUCAAAUCAAGAAACCAAAAUUAUCGACAAAAUCAACACUACAUGGAAUUGAUGACAAAUUAGGAGAAACAUGACUUAGACAAAACACAAUUGGAUUCAAAAAUUAAAAUGACUCAAGACAUAUAAUGAACCGAAUAGAAUUGCAAACAAGACUCAAACAAACUAAAAAUAGAACAACAACACAAUUCUGUAUAGAUUCCUACACAAAUGUGAAAAUUAGAAGCUCAAGAACAAUUUGAACACAAUGCACCGAUUGGAUUUCUCCAAACAACACCUAAAUCAAAUUAAAAUGCAAAAAACAGCAAGACAACAUGGAAAAUUGAAGAAAAACACGGCAAAAUGAAGAACCAAAAAUUAAAAUGCAAGGAGACACUUAGCUCUUGUAUAACCGUAGCUCAUGAUACCAAAUGAUAGAUUUGUGUCCUCCUCUUUUCUGUUUUGUAGGUGAUUUGCGGCAGCCACAUGGAUUAGAGAUGGAACAAGGUCCUCCUAAGAGUGGUGGUGACCUUGAAGGUGCACGAUAGGUAGGAUUUGAGAGUGGUGAGGCUAACUCUACUUGGAAAGGGCCAACUCUAAGAAAAAUUACAAAUAAAGUUCCUAUGCUAAUUUUGACAAGAACUAAAAAAACUAUUCUACACUAGAGUUUAUGACAUGUAGAAUGUGUCCUCUUUGACCAUAACUCUAGUGGUUGCCUCAAUUUGACAUUUUGGUGGUAUUUCAAUGGAUUGGUGCUUUGGCCUCUUCCAUCAUUUAUGGUAAUAUGAGAGCGAAAAAUAAGUAAAAGUUAAAAGAAAGUUAAACAAUUCUAAACAACCCACUAUAACAAAAAAAUAAAUUACAUUUUUUUAGAAUUUUUUUUAAAUUAGAAGAAUGCAAAAAAAAAUGUAAGUUUAUAUUUUACCAAUAGUUAAAAUUAAUCGAUAAAUACAAAAAUUUCGUUGAUAAAUAAAAAUUUCGUCUAUAAAUUUAUUGAUGGAAUUAGAUCCUUUAAUAAUUAGUAACAAACACAAAUCUGUCAAAUCCUUCGAUAAUUAAUAAUAUUUUUAUUAAUAUUUUUUAUAUUAUUAUAUAUUUUUAUUAUUUAUCAUUAUUAUUUAUUACUAUUAUAGAUUAUUUUUAUUAUUAUUAUUAAGAUAUUAAAAGUUAACAUUAUCAUUUUUGUAGUGUAGCUCAUAUUUUCAGAUUUUAAAAGUGUAAUAAUUUUUUUUAUUUAUAUCAGUAAUUACCAACAAACACCAGUUCAUUAUCUAAAUCUAUCGGUAAUUUCAUCUGUAAAUAAAAUUGUCUGUAAUUAAAAAUUAUUGACAAACAAAUUUUUUUUAAGUAACUUUUAGUCGAUAAAUAAAAAUUUCUUGUAGUGAAAGGAGAUAAGGAGUUGUUAUAUUACAAACUUAAGAACACUAUAUUAUAUUUAUACUAUUGUAUGCCAAAUACAAUUUAGAAAAAUUUAUCAUUAUAGUAUAAUUUAUUGAAAAAAUAAAAAAAAAAGUAAAUUGUAAAAAAUUAAGUAAGUUCCGUUUUUCAAGCACAACUUUGUAUUGUCUUCAAAGGUCAAGAAAUAUAAUUAAAGAAUUUAUAUUUUUUUUAUUCUUCCUUUUUUAGCAUAUGUUGUUACACAAUGAGAUAAUUUUAUUAAUUUCAAUCGACUAAGCAUAUUGUGUCGAUUCUUUUUAGUAAGUUAUUUGAAUUUUUUUAUUUUUCACAAUAUAAAAGUCAUAUUUAGUAUAUACAACUUUCAUUAUCACUAUUUUUUUAUACUAAAAUUAUAUUUGGUAAGCACGACUUUUAUUUAUUUUUUACUAUAGUCGUGUUAUGCACAACUCUAAUACAAUAACUAGAAUAAAAAUUGUGCUUUCCAAACAUGCUUAGUAAAACUUCAGGAAAAAAAAAAAUUUAUAUGUGCUAAACACUACUUUAAUAAAAAAAUAAACAAAAUCAUAUAUGCAAACACGACUUUUCUAGUGUUUAAAAUAAAAAUUGAUCAAUGUAUGAAAUGUUGAUAUAUACACUAGUGGAAAAACGCUUAUUUACAAUAGUUAAUAUAUAAUGUUUCACUACCAAAUGUUGUCUAUCAAAAUGCGGUGACAUUUUUUGAAUUAAAACGGGUACAUAGAAAACAAGUCCUCUUAUAACCAUUGUCUAUACCCUCGUUAUUAAUCUAAUUCGAAGCCCCGCACUACUUAUGCUUUCGUUCUCUGCCUUUUCUUUCUUCUUCUUUGCACUCUCUCUUCAACUCUUUUGAACAUUCUCUUCACUCAUUGUCUUUGUAAGUUCUUCCUAUACUCAUGCUUAUUCCUCCUCCAUUCUUCAUAGUGGUUCAUUGCUCAUUCUUCCAUUGGUUCAUUAUUUAAGGUUCUCGUUAAUUGCUCCACCACCGCGCUUCGCUUUCCCUCCACCGUUGUCCCCGUUACCUUUGUAAGUUCUUCCUAUCUUCAUAGUUUAUUCUUCCGCUUUAGUUCUCAUCUUAUUUUUCCUCCAUUCUUCCAUUGGUUUAAUUCUCAUUCUUCCAUUGGUUCAUUGUUUAAGGUUCUUGUUAAUUGAUCUACCACCGCACUUCGCUUUCCCUCCACCAUUGUCAUUGUUGUCUCCGCUACCCUCCACCGUUGUUGUAGCUGCUACCAUCACCUUGAGGUUGGUGUUGUUCUUAUUUAUUUUUUUAAUAUUUUUUGUGUGUGACUUAUAGACGGCGGUUCUACAACCAUCGCCUAUACCUCAAUAGAAUAUACCACGUGCUGAUAGACAACGGUUUUAAAACCGUUAUCGAAUUGUUAAAAGAACCGUUGUCUUUGACUUUUUCUACAAUAGUGAUAUAUAUUUGAGGUAAUAUAUAUGUUGAUAUCUUUAUGACAUGUUUUGGAUACUAGUAGCUUGUGUGAUGGAGUGUUAAACAUGUUUGUUCAUUAAGUAAAAGUGAUAUUCUAACUUCAUUAAUAAUUUGAUCACGUAAAUUAAAUCAUCAAGUGGUGAGAAGUUGAAAAAUGUUCACACAUUAGGUUUGGAUAAAUAGGUUUAUGGACUACUCUAGCCUAUGGUAGGUGUUAGAUUUUGGUGAGACAUUUGAGAAGGCGUCUUGUUGUGGUCGUUAAAUUGUACAUUGAAUAUAUGACUAAUGAUUAUGGUACCUUGUUGAUGAUAUUUUAGCAAAUAUUGUUCAUUGGAGGUAUUGUUAAGGAUAUCUUCAUCUUAUUGAUAAUGCAAUGGUGUAAUUCGCAAGUUGUAUAUUGAAUAUAAUGUAUCAUGAUAUAUGUGUGAGUUGUGUGAUGUUAUUUAUUGUGUAUGAGAUGUUUAAAGUUAAAGUAUCUCACUCUUACACGUAGGUGGUUGACUAUUAUAAUCGUAGUUGGUAUGAAAAUAUAUGAUGUUACAAGUCAUAGUAGCAAGACUACCAUUUACAUUUGUAAUGCAAUGUAAAUACUUUUUUGGAUGACUUUAUAGUUAUUAUGUAAUAGAUAGAAUAUAAAACUAUAUAUCCAUGCGUAUAUUUGAUUCUAUUAUGGACUAAUUAAACAUGAGACAUUACAAAGAAAUGAAGUAUUGAUAUCAUGUACUUUCUUCACAUUAAAACAAUGAGUUGAAGCGCAAAAUAUUAGUACAAAGGAUAAUCAAUCAGACAUGUUCACCAAGCAUGUUCCUAUAAGUUCAUGCAUUCUUUGCAUAUUUGUUAAUUUAUAUCUUGUCUUUUCUUCAUACGCUAUGUUCGUCUAAUGAGAACGUCAAGCUCAGAAGCGUCUAAUGGUUGGUGGUGCAUUUUGUUUGAUUAAGGGUCUGGUCAUAGUUGUUAUUAAAUGAUUGUUUUGUUUAGUUAGUAAGGCUUUCUGUUUUCCUAGUAAGUUAGCAUUGUAACUAGUCAAUAUAUAGGUGAUCUCAUCUAACUUAACCAAGAGUUGGAAAGUUAACCGAUACACACUAAUGUAAUUCAUAUUAAUCAUUUAAAGGUAAUUCAUUCUUUCUUUUUUUAGUGUGUAUUUCAUAAACUCCUUUGUAAUCAAUAUAUUUUGUUCUUGUAUGUGUUUAUUAAUAACGAAUUUAUAGAAUACAUCAUGUCUUUGAUUACUUUUGUAUUAUAAAUGUACAUCGGUCAAAGAUCAUCUAUAGUGUUCUUCCCUUAUACCAUGUGACCUUCUUAAUUGAAUAACCCAAUAUUGUUCCAUCAUUGAACUUCUUUGAUGUUAUUAGGAGUUAGUUAAAUUUAUUAAUAUUUUUUAUUUCACAAAAUAAAAAAUAUACUUAACUAAAAGAAAUAUACUUAAAUAAUCUUCAAUCAUGUUUACUGGAAGGAAAAUGUAGGUUGAACAACCGCUUAUCUCAUUGCUCCAGUGUACAACUGUCCAGGUGGCAAAAAAAAAAAAUAUUAAAUUGUUGUUGCGGGGCCCACAAUUUUUUUUGAAAAGGUUUAAUCUUUGGUUCAAAUUUCCAUUAGGGUUACGAAACUCUUCCUCUUUCAAUUUCUUCUUCUUUUGGUGGCUGAAGUCUCCCUCUUUCAAUUUCUUCUUCUUUUGGUCCCGUGGUUCACCAGUGCACCGUUCCCUCUUUGAAUUUCUUCUUCACAAAGGUCUUGUGGUUCUCCAGUGCAUUGUUCCCUCUUGUAGUUUGUUGUUGUAUUGGUUUCCUGUGUCGUGGUUCCGUGGUCUUGUUCUUCGUCGUCGUCGUCGGCCGGUGUUUGCUCGGUGGACGCCCUUCAUCUCUUUUCACGGUGGUUAGGUGAUAAAGGUAAUAUAUUUUUGAUUCAAUGGAUUAUGAAGUGAAACAUUGUUGUUGUGUGAUUUUGAUGUUGUUGUAGAACCUAUUUUGAUUCAAUUUUAGUUUGAGUUUCGUGUUGAAGGAAUUUUGAAGCUUUUCUUCCUUGAAUGCUGAACUGUUGGUAUUGUUUUUAUUACUUGUACCGCCCUGGUAGUCGGAAGUGAUGACGUGGCAUCAAGCUACAGUAUCGGCGUGUUGACAAGACGCCAGGUUGGCAGAAGGGAAAGAAGUCGGGGGGCUCGUGAAGUCGCCAGUUUUUAAGUUGGCGUGCUCCGAUCUCCAGCAUACCAGAACCGGCGAUCACCGGGUUAAAGAUGAAGUCGCCAGAUGUAAACUCAGGCGACCAAGUGAUUAGAGAUCGCCGGAGCAAGCACAUCGCCGAAGAUGAAGGUGGUGCAGAUUAUGAAGGCGGCCGGCGAGACCACAGGGAAGGUGUACGAAGGCACCCUAACUCGCCAAUUCCAGUAGAGAUCGCGCUCCCAAGUUAGCUAUGCACUGGGCAGUACCACGCAUAAGUAACUUAGCCAAAAGAGAGUCAGAAGCAGCGCCCAAGUCAAGGAGACUCCAAAUGAUGGCACGUGUACGACUGGAUGCGAGCCACGUGUCCAGCUGCGUAACUGCCAGGAGAGAGAAAGUGACCAGGUAUUUAAGGGUUUCCCAACGAACUUUUGAGGUACGCACGUUCAGAUUGUCUUCUUUACGCUUGCGAGUUCUUGAGCAUACUGUGAGAGAGAACAUUGCACGGUUCCUUGAGAGUUCUUGAGUGUUUGCUCUUGAAGUAUUUGGUGGUUCAGUCACUGACUUGGGCGUUGGAGUGCGAUCGGCCGCAGCGGCGCCGCUCUGUUCUUUUGCAGGUUCUUGAGGUGGAUCGUGACGAAGGACGGAGGUUCAAGCGGUGCGCACGUCGAUCCAAGUUUGACGAGGCAAGUUCCAACGUUUCGGUCAACAGGCAGGAUCAUCAGGCGCCCACCGUGGGGCCGUGUAAAACUUGUUCCCAUCCGCAGCGUGAGUUCUUGGAGGUUUUCGUAGUUUUCUGCGUGGUUGUGUGCUUAUGCAACCAUCGUUCGCUGUUCGUUUGAGAUUUGUUCGGUGAUUUCGCGUUUUCCACCGAUCGUUUGGGUUUUUGUUCGGUGAAGUGAAGUUUUCUGCUGUUUACGCGAGAUUUGUUCGGUGAAGUUUGAGUUCUUUGGCUCGUUUGGUUUGUCGUGGGAGAAGCGGUGGUUUCUGGUGGAGUUGCAGGUUUCUGUGGAGGUUCGCUGUGUUCUUGAGUUUCUUGCGGAGUUUUGCGAGGUUCUGACCGAUUGAUCGCCGAAUCAAUCGUAGCUGAAGUAAGUGUUGUUCGUUGCAUUCUGUGAUUCGCCAAGUUUCAUGAGAAAAAUGAGAAGCAAUCGUUCAAGUCCAGUUGCGCCCGUCGCUGCUGAAGGCGCCGCCGCCAUGACUAUGGCGCAGAUGGUAGAGAUUAUGCGCUCGUUGCAGGCAACUGUGGAAGCCUCGCGCAUAGAACAGGCGAGAAUGCAUGAGGACCUGGCCGCCUCUCGGGCCAGGAAUGAUGAGCUUAGCAAGGUGACUGAAGAGCUGCGUCAAGCUUUUCAGGAGCAGCAAGGGCGUCCUAUUGCUGAAGAGGUCGCGCCGUCGACGCCGCCUCGUGUUUUUCCUAUGCCUUUCGCUCCGGCGAUUACUGACACGCCUAUUCCUGCGAGUGUGGUACCUGUCAAGGCUGUUUUUACCGGCGUAGAGGAUCCUGAGGCUCAUCUCACCAUGUUCCAUACGCAGAUGAUGCUGUCAGGAGGAUCAGACGCCGUAUACUGCAAGAUGUUUGUGAGCACGCUCCAGGGAACGGCGUUGGAGUGGUUUGUGAGCCUGCCUAACAGUCACAUAACCAAUUUCCAACAGUUCUCGAAGAUUUUCGUCGAGCAGUACAUCGUGAAUAAGGCACCGCCUAGGGUGUCUUACGAUUUGUUUGAUAUAAGGCAAUAUCAGGGAGAGUCCCUCAGGGACUACUUGAAUCGCUUUGGGGCGCAGAUGGUCAGAUCGCCGGCUAAAGAUGAAGAAAUGCUGGUCUAUGCAUUUAAGAAGGGCGUGCUGCCGGGACCAUUCUGCGAGGCGUUGAUCAGGGCUCACCCCGCCACGUUCGCUGAGGUGAGGUGACUUGCGGUGGCCCACAUCGCCGACGAGAGUGAAGUCGCCGAGAAGAGAGGAGCGUGGCUCCCGCUAGGCCACGCGCCCAGACCAGGAUCCAGCCACAGAGGGUGCUGGAAACAGCGGCGGCCAGAAGGGAUCAGAGGACUCGCCAUCCUUAUGAUCCAAGGAAGAACAAGGGCAGGAGCCAAGGGCGCCAGCAACCAGCACGCCGGGAAUACAAUCGCCCGCCUAAGCACAAGUUUGUCAUGGGAUUGGCGGACCUGAUCGCCAUUCCCAAUAUAUCUGCUAGGUUGAAAGCGCCAGAGAAGGUGGGCGACAAGGUGCUGGGACCAAAGCCAGAUGCCUGGUGUGAGUUUCACCAAGGCUUUGGCCACACCGUGGAUUCGUGUUUAGCUUUAGGAUACCAGCUCGACGAUCUGGUAAAGAGCGGGUUCCUAAAUGACUAUUUGCUGGACAGAAGGACGGGGGACGCGUCGAGCUCCCAACCAGCAGGUGGAGAAGCCCAGCAGCACGAGAUGCCUAUGCACGGGGAAAUCCACACCAUUGCAGGGGGUUUCUCAGGAGGUGGAUGCACCGCAUCACAGAGGAAGAGGUACGCGAGGUCUGUGAUGACGGUGGAUAUGUUUAAAGACCACUCGCCGGAAGUGGACAUUACAUUCACCAAGCAGGAUCUUCGGGACGUUGUGCCUCAUGACAACGAUCCCAUAGUAAUUUCUUUGAUCACUGCAGGAAGAAAGGUCCACAGGGUUCUGGUGGACCAAGGAAGCUCGGCAGACGUGAUGUUCUGGCCGACUUUCACGCAGUUGGUGCUGCCCCUUGACCAGCUGAGGCCCUAUGGAGGGUGUUUGUAUGGUUUCGCUGGUGACCAGGUGGAGGUCAGGGGAUACAUAGAAUUGAGGACUACGUUUACAGACGAGGCGGGUUCGAGAACGGAGAAAAUCAAAUACCUUGUUGUAAACGCUCCUUCAGCCUACAACAUCCUGUUGGGAAGGCCCACGCUCAACAGGAUAGGUGCCAUACCGUCGACUCGGCACAUGAAGGUGAAGUUGCCGUCUAUGGAGGGGGUAGUGAUCACCAUCAAAUCCGAUCAGAAAGAAGCGAAGAAGUGCUAUGAGAAUAGCCUAAAAAACAAAAGAUCGGUGAGUUACGUAACAACCACCCCGCCUCCGGGUGUGAAGCCCAGGUCGACGAUAAUAGAAGAGACCGCCGGAAGAGACGUGGAGAUGGUGGAUGCUGAGCUAGGGGAGGGGAAUGCCGGUCUGGAGGAAGAAGAGGCAAGGAAUCGCCCUGAGGAAGCGAGAGAACUGGGAAUCGCCAGGGCGGUGAUCGCCAGAGAAACCAGACCAAAACCCGUCGAGCAGUGGCUCGAGAGGGAGAUCGGGGCAAAAAUCUUUAAGCUGGGGAGGUCCCUGGAGGUUGAGCUCCAGGACCAGAUCGCCAAGGUGAUAGAACGGCAUCUGGAUGCGUUUGCAUGGUCCGCUUCGGACAUGCCCAGGAUCGAUCCCGACUUCUUGUGCCAUCAUCUGGCGAUGGACAACUUGGUGAGACCAGUGCGACAAAGAAGAAGAAAGUUUAACGAGGAGAGGAGGNNNNNNNNNNNNNNNNNNNNNNNNNNNNNNNNNNNNNNNNNNNNNNNNNNNNNNNNNNNNNNNNNNNNNNNNNNNNNNNNNNNNNNNNNNNNNNNNNNNNNNNNNNNNNNNNNNNNNNNNNNNNNNNNNNNNNNNNNNNNNNNNNNNNNNNNNNNNNNNNNNNNNNNNNNNNNNNNNNNNNNNNNNNNCCUGGUGGAUAGUGCUGCGGGGUGUAAGUUGUUGAGCUUCCAUGAUGCCUUCUCGGGGUAUAACCAGAUCAAGAUGCAUCCCAUGGAUGAAGAGAAGACUGCCUUCAUGACCGAGAGAUCGUGCUACUGCUACAAGGUGAUGCCGUUUGGGCUGAAGAACGCGGGGGCCACGUACCAGAGGUUGAUGGAUCGAGUACUUGCACCGAUGCUGGGAAGGAACGUGCAAGCGUAUGUCGAUGACAUGGUCGUGACCUCGCCGGAAAAAAGCAAGCACGUUGCAGACUUGGAGGAAUUGUUCACGACGAUCGCCAAGUUCAAGUUGAAGCUUAAUCCAGAAAAAUGCAUUUUCGGCGUGGAGGCUGGAAAGUUUUUGGGUUUCCUCUUGACUGAAAGAGGCAGAGGCCAACCCGGAUAAGUGUGCCGCCAUCUUGGCGAUGAGGAGCCCGGCUACCGUGAAGGAAGUGCAACAACUAACAGGUCGGAUGGUCGCCCUGUCUCGUUUCGUGUCAGCUAGCGGAGAGAAGGGCCAUCCCUAUUUUCAGUGCUUAAGGAGGAAUAACAAGUUUGUUUGGACGAAGGAGUGCGAGGAAGCCUUCGUCAAGCUAAAGGAGUAUCUGGCGAGCCUGCCGGUUUUGUGCAAACCGCUGGUGGGAACCCCUUUCAGGUUGUAUUUUGCUGUAACUGAGAGGGCGGUGAGUGCGGUGCUCGCCCAGGAUCAAGAUCAGGCUCAAAAGCCUAUUUAUUUUGUUAGUAAGGUGUUGCAGGGCCCCGAAACGAGAUAUCAGGCCCUGGAGAAGGCUGCGCUGACUGUGGUGUUUUCGGGGAGGAGGUUGCGCCACUAUUUCCAUAGCUUCACAAUUCUGGUGAUGACUGACUUGCCCAUCCAGAAGGUCUUGAAGAAGCUCGACGUUGCGGGAAGGAUGGUGAAGUGGGCAGUAGAGCUGUCAGAGUUUGAUAUUAAGUACGAACCCCGAGGCCCGAUUAAGGGGCAAAUCUUUGCAGAUUUCGUGGUCGAGCUUUCGUCUGAGGCGACACGAGUUGAAGGGGACGACUUCCGUUGGGUACUCUCGGUGGAUGGAUCGUCGAACCAGCAGGGUAGCGGUGCUGGAGUCAUUUUGGAAGGACCCAACGGCGUGUUGAUCGAACAAUCUUUGAGGUUUGCCUUCAAAGCCAGCAACAACCAAGCAGAAUAUGAGGCGCUGAUCGCCGGGAUUUUGCUGGCAAAGGAGAUGGGAGCGAGGGUGCUGAUGGCUAAGAGUGACUCGCUGCUAGUCACAGGGCAAGUAACAGGCGAGUUCCAGGCUAAAGAUCCACAAAUGGCGGCUUACUUGGAGUAUGUGCAGGAAUUGAAGAGUUCCUUUGCCUCCUUUGAAGUGGUGCAUGUGCCCAGAGAGCAGAAUGCCCGAGCUGACUUGCUAGCUAAGCUCGCCAGUUUAGGCAAGGGGGGUAAACAGAGGACGGUGAUUCAAGAAACUCUGAAGACGCCGAGAGCAUUUGUAGCAGAUCACCUGGUUCUUCAGAUAAGCAGGUCGACGGGAAAAGCGGCAAGAAGUCACAAGUCUUUAACGCAAGAAACAAUGAGAUCGCCGAGAAUUAGAGCAUGUCGAGGAGAGAAGGUAAACAUGACGCAGGUCUGUGCUACCCAUGAGCCAGACACCUGGAUAACACAGUACAAGCGGUGCUUGGCAGAUGGCCUUCUCCCGCUAGAUCCGACAGAGAAUAGGAAGAUAAAGAAGAAUUCUAGCAAGUUCACAUUGAUUGAUGGCGAGUUGUACAGGUUUGGGUUCACUCACCCACUCUUGGAAUGUGUGCAUGGCGAGAAGUGCACGAGAAUCAUGGCAGAGCUCCACGAAGGGAUAUGUGGANNNNNNNNNNNNNNNNNNNNNNNNNNNNNNNNNNNNNNNNNNNNNNNNNNNNNNNNNNNNNNNNNNNNNNNNNNNNNNNNNNNNNNNNNNNNNNNNNNNNUUACAGUUAAGAGCUUUGUAAGUAAAGACAAACACGAAGUUAUAUUACAAUGUCUCUGUCAAACAGUUUGAAGGGGGCACUCUUUUUUCCCUAAGGAGGGUUUUUAAUGAGGCCACCCAAUAAAGAAGAGUUUUCGAAGCUCAAAGUUGUUUUAGAUUGCAUGCUUAUUGUUUUCAGAAAGUUUUGAAGAAAGACCUUGUCACUUAUAUGUGACUUAAGGCAAGUUAAAGAUAUAUUGCAUGCUUUCUAAAAGGUUUUAAGUCCUCAUCGUCUUUCGGCGAUCGGAGGCAUCAGUUAAAGUUAAAGUUAAAGUCCUCAUCGUCUUUCGGCGAUCGGAGGCACGAGUUAAAAGACCUCAACGCCCUCGCGCGUCCUGAGGCGAGAUAAAAGACCUCCUCGCCGUCGAGCGAGUGCAGGCGAGGAAGAGUAAANNNNNNNNNNNNNNNNNNNNNNNNNNNNNNNNNNNNNNNNNNNNNNNNNNNNNNNNNNNNNNNNNNNNNNNNNNNNNNNNNNNNNNNNNNNNNNNNNNNNUUCUCGCCUAUGAGCGAGUUCAGGCGUGUUAAAGACCUUCUCGCCUAUGAGCGAGUUCAGGAAAGAGAGAAUCCUUCUCGUCUCGAACGAGUUCAGUUAUGGUGUAAAGGGUGGAAGAAGUUUGGAGGGUGGCUAAGGUAGGUUCGAAGAGAGCGCCUAGCCACCCGGUCUCUUGUUCUGAAGCUCAAGGAGGUAGAGAAGGAUCCGAAAGGCGCCUCUACCCCCAGAUAAAAGAACAAUGGCCAAGGUAUGAAGCCAGAAAGAAGCUGAUAUCGCCAAGUGAGUCUUUGGCGACCAGGAAAAGUUCAAGCAGUGGCGAGAAAGUUAAAGACCCGUUUUUGAUGAAGCACAUCGGGUGAAGUGAUGUUUUAAGCCAGUAGUUGAGUUAAAGUUCGUUGCUUGAAGAGUGAUUUUACGUUAAGGUUCAUGGCCUUGAGAUUACAAGUUGUUAAAGCGUUAUUGUCCGAAGAUCGGUGGUUCGAAAUAGUUAAGUACACGAUUGCGCUUACGAAAUUACUAAGUCAUUUCUUUGAAGUAAAUCGCGCAAGGAAAGUUAAAGCAGACAAAGAAGUUACAAGAAGAAAUACGAAGGUCUUGUCAUUAAGUAAAUAUCAGUUCGGGGCACAUAUACAGAAAAAGAAAAAAGUUCAUUACAAUUAUAUGCAAAGGGAAGGCGUAAAGGUAGUGGAUGGAGGGAAUUGAUCAGUCUUCAGCGGGAACCACCUUCCCAUCCACCACCUCGUUGUUGAGGGACACCAUGCUAAGAUCCAGAUCGGGGAACAAGCAGGCGAACUGUUCCCGUGCGGCCUCGAAUCCAGCAGCCAGAAUUUGGGCAGAACUCAGAUUAAGUUCUUCAAUCUGUUUCUUGAGUUCUCCAGUUUGUUCCUUCAGCCCCUUGUUCUGCUGCUCCAGCUCUUCAGCUUGCUUCUUGAGUUUUUCGAUGGUUUCCUGAGCUUGGAGAAGGUCUUCAGCAACCUUCUUGGAUUCUGCCUGCGCCUGGCCCAAUUCAGCAGCGAUCUUCCCCUUUUCUUUGUUGGCUUCGGCAAGCUCAGCCAUGGCGUCGUCCCUCGCCUUCUCCACCUUUCCCAGGAAGACCUCCCGAUCGGCUAACCUUUGUUCCAGUUUCUUCACCUUGGCGGUGUCAGUUUUUAUUAAGGCCUCCAGGUCAGCCACUUUGACGCGAUAAGGUACAAUCUUGCUCUCCAGCUCAAUCUUCUCUUGAGCCAGAAGCUGCACCUUAUGGCGUAGAUCGGUGGCCUCCUUGCGCGCCAUCCGGAGCUCGGUGCUCAUUGCAUCUUCUACUCGGGAGUGUUCAAUCUCCGCGAGUGUCAGAUUGCAGGACAACUUCUCCGCCUCAAUCCUUAUAGUGCUGUUCUCAGUUCGAAGGGCGUAGAGGUCGUCCUGGAGCUUCCUGGUGGAGCUCUCCACAGCUCUAAAGAUAAUGGUGGGGAAGUCCUCUGCCAUCAUCUUCAGUUUGGCCGAGAAAGGCUCCCACAUCCUCAUGACCUCGAGAGAGAGGUUUUCUUGUGGAGGCACCGGAUGGGCUCGUUGUUGGCUCUCGCCGCCACCUUCUUUAGUUGGUUGCUCAACAGGUGCUUCUUGGCGUGGUGGCGACGUCGGGGAUUCAGUAAUCAGAAUUGGAGAGUUAUGGGCAACCUCAUCCCCGAUUGGAGCAACGUCUGCGGCUGAGGCAUUUGAAGGAGGACCCCCUCCAGCUGAUACAUAAGGCGUGGAGGCGCUCGGGGGGUCCUCCAUGAAGUUUGGCUCGGGGGCCUCAACCGCAGGUGGCGCAGACGCCAAUGGAAUUGCUUGGACUGGUGAGGCAGGAGCUGGCGGAGGAGGCAAUGUUGGAGGUGGAGCAGGCGUGGAUGGCGGUGUUGACGUUGGAAGAGGGGGUGGAGCAGGUGGUGAAGAAGGUACCACCCUCUUCCUCUUGGUGACGAGGCCAUCUUCAGUUGCCUCGUCGUCUUCCUCUUCCUCCUCGUGGACAACUUGGGGGGCUUUCCUCUUGGGUUUCCUAAGGACAAGCUUUUUUCGUUGGUUGGCGGGUUGGACAUCGAGAGGAGUUGGGCCUUUGGGUGGCGAUCGGCCCUGUGCGGCGGCGAUCUCCACCACCGAGUUUGGCACGGUUUGUGAACCCGAUGCCAACCUGUGGGUUCGGGCGAGCGCCCUCAGUUCAGCGAGCUUGCCCUGGCCCAACAUAUUAUCUGCAUAGAGCAUAAAUGCAUGGGUUAGCUCAGAGAGAAAAUAAAUGCAUAAGGCAGUAUGCAGCAAAGCAGAUAAAUGGUGCAGAAGAAUAAAACCAAAGUCUUGCGCACAACGCACAAGACGCCCAGAAAUAGUUAACAGAGGUGAUGUUAGAAUAAAGACUUAGACGUUCUAACCUAUGCGAAUUUCGAGUUGGUCCUCGAAGAAUUCGAAGCAGAUGAGCGUGGUGGUGAGGAAGGUGAUGUUGGCAUCUGCCACGCUCUUCCAGAAGAAGCAGAGGUCUCUGUCCAAGGCACCCAUGCUAUCAGGACUUCUUGGCCUCCUGAAGCUACUCUUGGACUCUUUGUUCCCCUUGUUUACCCAAUACAAGGGGAAACCGUCGAGCAACGAAGCGUCCUUGUCAUUGGGGCGCACCUGGACGAAUUUGCCUUUCCAGUCUUUGUAGGAUUGCUGGAAGAUAGAGAGGAUCGACCUCCCAGCAAUCCCGUUCAAGCUUACCCACAAGCGAUCUCCGGGGUGCUUGGCUUCAAAAAGAAAUAAGAAGACAUCCACUGAUGCUGGCAACCCCAGNNNNNNNNNNNNNNNNNNNNNNNNNNNNNNNNNNNNNNNNNNNNNNNNNNNNNNNNNNNNNNNNNNNNNNNNNNNNNNNNNNNNNNNNNNNNNNNNNNNNGGUCGCACAUGACCUGGAACGCCCGCACGAACGCCCAGUUGUUGGGAUGGAGCUGGGCGGCGGCGAUGUUGAGCUCGAUAAGAAGCUCCCUCUCAAAGCGAGUGAAGGGAAACCUGAGUUUCACCUUCUUGAACAAGGUUGUGUAAACGAAGCAGAAGGGUCCACCGUUGUUCGCCUUGUCGUCGGCGCAAACUGGCAGGUCGAGGGGGCAAGGUAGCACCGUCAUCUUCUUGUCGUGCUCCUUAUGGAAUGAUUGGUGAGGCUCAUCCCCCUUCGUCAACCGCAGAACUGCCCCAGCAGAAUUUACGGAACAUGUUUCCCUCAACAAGGUCGAGUUGGCCCAGGGGUAUAGUUUUUUGAAGUCUGGUGGGGGGACGGAGGCUCCUCCGGUGACAGGCGGAGUCGCCUGGGCCAGGUUGGGGCGGGAGGGUGCAGGCCUCUCAGCCUGAGAAGACGAAGCACCACGUGCUCGCGGUGGGUCAUGUGCUUGUGAGGAGGGGUUUCGUGAUGAAGGAGGAGGGUUUGGGGUGAUCUUUGAGCGAGUCAUUGCGGAAGCUGCAAAGGAAAAAGAAAAGGAAAAAUGAUCAGGGUUCGCAGAGGCUGACUCGAUCAUGGAAGAAGGGUGAAAAACGAACGAACGUAGGUUCGUUGUGACGUUGACGGAGCCCUAAGUUACGAGAAAGGAGAAAUGGAAAAAACAACCCACAACGUAUGCACCAGACAGUUAAAGGAUGAUGCGAAUCGGUUAAAAUGCAGGAAAAACCAGCAGAAGAAGGAAAGGAAGUACCUUUUGAUGAUCGGAAGAGUGAUGGAAGAAGUUGGUGAUUCAGGAAGUUGAAGAACGUUGAGAGCUUUUUUGCAGAAGAGAGUUGGAGCGUUUGAGAAUACGAAGAAAGUGAUGGAACAGUGGAGCGAAAUGGGUUUAAGGGUUUUUCGAAAUGGGUUUGGGAAGCGCAAACGUUAACUGAAGGUAACCGUUGAUGAAGCCACGUGUCGAGCGAUGGGUGAGGUGUUUGGUGGAGCGUCAGAAAAGCAGAAAGUACAACCGCUUGAAAUUCUGCGCCAUGCCACGUAGAUCGGUAUUGACGUGACUCUUUUAGUCUUUUCGCUGGACAAGUCUUCGUUUAAGACUGGGGGGCUUGUGUACCGCCCUGGUAGUCGGAAGUGAUGACGUGGCAUCAAGCUACAGUAUCGGCGUGUUGACAAGACGCCAGGUUGGCAGAAGGGAAAGAAGUCGGGGGGCUCGUGAAGUCGCCAGUUUUUAAGUUGGCAUGCUCCGAUCUCCAGCAUACCAGAACCGGCGAUCACCGGGUUAAAGAUGAAGUCGCCAGAUGUAAACUCAGGCGACCAAGUGAUUAGAGAUCGCCGGAGCAAGCACAUCGCCGAAGAUGAAGGUGGUGCAGAUUAUGAAGGCGGCCGACGAGACCACAGGGAAGGUGUACGAAGGCACCCUAACUCGCCAAUUCCAGUAGAGAUCGCGCUCCCAAGUUAGCUAUGCACUGGGCAGUACCAUGCAUAAGUAACUUAGCCAAAAGAGAGUCAGAAGUAGCGCCCAAGUCAAGGAGACUCCAAAUGAUGGCACGUGUACGACUGGAUGCGAGCCACGUGUCCAGCUGCGUAACUGCCAGGAGAGAGAAAGUGACCAGGUAUUUAAGGGUUUCCCAACGAACUUUUGAGGUACGCACGUUCAGAUUGUCUUCUUUACGCUUGCGAGUUCUUGAGCAUACUGUGAGAGAGAACAUUGCACGGUUCCUUGAGAGUUCUUGAGUGUUUGCUCUUGAAGUAUUUGGUGGUUCAGUCACUGACUUGGGCGUUGGAGUGCGAUCGGCCGCAGCGGCGCCGCUCUAUUCUUUUGCAGGUUCUUGAGGUGGAUCGUGACGAAGGACGAAGGUUGAAGCGGUGCGCACGUCGAUCCAAGUUUGACGAGGCAAGUUCCAACGUUCCGGUCAACAGGCAGAAUCAUUACUAGACACAUUGAUAUAAAAUUGAUAAAUUUUUUUCACAGUGAUGAAGUUAGAGCAUAUAAAUUGUAUGGUCUAAUCGUUGAACAAACAAGUUUGGUAAUUGUUGGUUUAGGGUUUAGUAGGAAUAUGUGGUUGGGGUGGGCAUGAAGUGGGCAGAAAGUGCGUUAGAUAAGAUUUUUAGAGUCCAUCAGCUUAUUGAGUGUGAUUGUAUAAGUUGGGAGACCAUGAACAUUUGGCAUGUGCUCCAUUUCCUGCAUCUAUUGCAUGUUGAGCUUUGAGGUUGUUGUUAGUAGAGGAUAAUUGUUUGAAACACUUUGUAGGAAAGACCAAUGGCCAAUGUAAGAAUAUAAUUCCAAAAGCCCAAAUUAAAACAGCUUUUAAUAGAACACGAUAUGGUAACCUCAUCAUAAAAACUACACGCAAAUUACUUAUUACCCCAACUCUGUGUUGUGCACAAAUAUGUAUUAGGUCUUUCAUGCUGUUGACAACCUCCGAAAUUUGUCAAGCAUUGUAGCAUGUAAUAUAUUGGUAGAGAAAAUACAAAGCAUAACAAAUCAAAGGUUUUCUUUUUAUUACUCAACAUUUGACAUACACUUUCAGGUAGAAUUUAAUACCAUACCUGCAAACAUCUCGCAUAUGUUUCAGAAAAACCCAAGUCAUUAAGCGAUUGUAACUCCAAAAUCUGUGGAAGCUAGUGCCAUGCUGUCAAUACCCUGAUGCAAAAUAAACAUUACAUUAAGCUUUGAAGUUUGAGUCCAGUGUCAUUGUAAUUGUUUGUUACCAAGAUGUGACAUAGACUGUUCUAAGCAGCAGAUACCUUUUAACCAAUUAUUGUUAUAAAAUGCUCAAAAACAGAGUGUGGUUGACAAAAGGGAAUGAGAAUCUUAAUUUGUAAUCUAUAUUUAGAAAUUACCAUGAGAUGCUUUUAAUUUUGUAUAACAUGAUUGUAAAAAUAUGAAUUUGUGACUUUGCAUCUCUGUAUGUAUAAAACAUGUUAUUUAUGUGAAGCAGGGCAGUAGAAUGCAACCAAACAUGCCCAUGGGGUAAAAUGUCAUAUUACAAUAAAAUCUUUUUGUUUCCAAUUUUACGGUUAAUGAUUUCCAACAAUACUUUUUUUCCUGUGAUUUUGGCCCUGGUUAUAUAUAGUUGGAUAGCCGUUCAAUAAACCCAAUAAAUAUGAAGAAACAUAGUUUGCACCAUAUCCUUUCUGUUGAGUUGUUGUUAUCCAUCUAUAUAUCGAAAUCACAGUAUGCAGCAUGAGUGUAGGGCAGUGUCCAGUGAUCACAAAUUCACUCAAUUUAGAGGUUUGUUGUAUGUGGUGACCCUAGUAGGAAUAUGUGGUGACCACAUUAGACUUCCUGCACAAUCCCUUUGCAAACUUAUUCAGGAAAUGUGAAGUGCGUGUUGGUGUUGGUUUGGGUGGGCAUGAUGUCGACAGAAAAUGCGUUAGAUCAGAUUUUAGAGUCCAUGAGUGUAAGGCAGUGUCCAGUGAUCACAAAUUCACUCAACUUAGGGCAUUGUUGUAUGUGGUGACCUUAGUAGGAAUAUGUGGUGACCACAUUAUAGUUCCUGCACAGUCCCUGUGCAAACUUAUUAUGUAAAUGUGAAGAGCGUGUUAGUGUUGGUUGAGUUGGGCAUGAUGUGGGCAGAAAGUGUGUUAUAUCAGGUUUUGAGAUUCCAUGAGUGUAGGGCAGUGUCCAAUGAUCAGAAAUUCACUCAACUUAGAGGAUUACAGUAUGUGGUGACCCAAGUAGAAACAUGUGGUGACCCGCAUUAGACUUCUUAUUCGUGGGAAUUUGUUUUUAGGUGAUGUUCUUUGCAACGGGGUUGUUCAUGGUUGAUCAACUUCAAAAGAAUGGAAAGGUCCAACGUUUUUCCUUUAACCCUUUUUUUUGCUGUAAGUGGAUUGUGGAAUUUAAGUUUUUGUUUUCAUAUGUAUAUUUUCUAUUAAUAGCACUACAUUUUUUUUUGCAUAAAGGAUCGUGUUAUUGAAGAAAUAAAAACAACUUCGGAAAAGAAAGAGUGGGACACGAAGGAUUACUGUUCGUUUGCAAAAGAUUUGAUUCCAUUUGAAUCACUAUCAUAUUGCGAUUUUGUAAGUUUGUAUUAUAUAAUUUUCUAUAAUGAUUUUGGGGCAUAAUUUUUUAUGUGUUUAAUUAAGUUACAUUAUUCAUUUUUAGGUAUUCAUCCCAACGGUGCACAAUGACCAUUCGUGGGUCUACGCGUUUAAUUUUCAGAGUAGGGAAUUGCGUGUCUUGGACCCCCUCGGCCAUAGAAGGGGAAAACGCAACAAAAUUGAUAAAGCUAUGGUAAAGAGUAAAAGAUGAUGUUUAGUAAAGAAUGAAGCGAUGAAUUUGGUAUUUGAUUUCUGAUUUCUUGUAUUGUACGGUGCAGGCUGUGCAAGUUGACCAUGUGUACAAAAUUCUUGACAAGUUCGGUGGAGUGAAUAGUCCCCCUAUCAAAGUAGUCAAACAAAAACUUCCUAUACAACCAAACAGGUUAGUAUUGAAAUGAAAACUUUUGUUAUUUUUAUGCAUAUUCAUAUGUAAAUAUUUUUAUGUGCUUUCCUGUAUGUAGUUAUGAUUGUGGAGUAUUGGUUUUGAAAUAUAUUGAGCUAUUGAAUGGUAUGGUUGACUAUGACGGGAAGACGAUGCCUGAAUACAACAGCGUACGUAUUUGUUCCCUUCACUAGUAGAGUACAAGUUAUAAGUUUUAUUCUGCACUGAAAAUUGAUUUUCAAAAUUAAUUUCAGGACGAGCUUCAAGCAUUCCGUCAGGAAAUGGUUUGUAAUUGGGUCCUUGAUGCACGUAAUGCAGAACGAGAAAAUUUGUUGAGGGAGUUCAACUUUAGUGGAACUUCAAAAUGAUGGUGGUUGAGAGUGCGUUGCAUGUUCUGCAAUUGUGUAGUUAUUCAUUACAUGUUUUAGUGUAUCUUAGGAGCAUUCAUAACUAUAGAAAUAUAAUGGAUUACAUACACUUCCAUUGAGUUGAACAAUGUGCGAACUUUUUAAUGCUAAGAAUUGAAGACGAAUAUUGUUGUACCAUAUGAUGCAACAAACCUUCUAAUUACACUUAAAAUUAGUUUCCAUCAUUUGUAAUUAUGAUGACAAGUUUUUCCAGAAAUGAUUUUAUUCGUAUUCAAACUCAAAGGAUCCAUUAGCAGGUGCCACAUAUUGUGGAAGGUUAAUUUAACAGUCGUUCGUGGUUAAGUAUGACCAUGUUCUUAGUUUGUUGGACUCAGUCAAAAAAAAGUUAUAAAUAUUUACAUUUGUCCAUUUUGCUACACUAAAAUAAGUUUAAAGUUAACAAUGUUAAAGUUCAAAAUUUGGCAACUUUUUUACCAAGUCUUUGGGUAAAACAUAAACAACUACGAUCAAAGCGAGGAAGACAAAAUUUCAUGAUACUAUCCUAAGCAACAUUCCAUCAAAAACUUUUCGUGCAAGCUCAAAUGGACCCCCUUUCAGCACUAACCUAUUUUCGCUCAAUCCAAAAAAUUUCGUGUAAGCUAAAAUGGACCCUUCAGCAUUGACUAUUUUCGCACAAUCUAAAAAAUAUCGUGCAAGCUAAAAUGGACCCCUUUAGCACUGUCCUAUUUUUGCUCAAUCCAAAUUAUUUUUGCGCAAGCUAAAAUGGACCCCUUCAGCACUGCCCAUUUUCGCUCAAUCCAAAAUUUUCGUGCAAGCUAAAAUGGACUCCUUCAGCACUGGACUAUUUUCGUUCAAACCAAAAAUUUUCGUGCAAGCUAAAAUGGAAAAUUUCGUGCAAGCUAAAAUGGUCCCAUUCAGCACUGCCCUAUUUUCGCUCAAUCCAAAUUAUUCUCGUGCAAGCUCAAAUGGACCCCCCUUCAACACUGACCUAUUUUCGCUCAAUCCAAAAAAUAUCGUGCAAGCUAAAAUGGACCCAUUUAGCACUGUCCUAUUUUCGCUCAAUCCAAAUUAUUUUCGCGCAAGCUAAAAUGGACCCCUUCAGUACUGCCCCGUUUUCACUCAAUCCAAAAUUUUUCGUGCAAGCUAAAAUGGACUCCUUCAGCACCGGACUAUUUUCGCUCAAACCAAAAAUUUUCGUGCAAGCUAAAAUGGACCCCUUCAGCACUGUCCCGUUUUCGCUCAAUCCAGAAAAUUUUCGUGCAAGCUAAAAUGGACCCCUUCAACACUGGCCUAUUUUCGCUCAAUCCAAAAUAUUUCGUGUAAGCUAAAAUUGACCCCUUCAGCACUGGACUAUUUUCGCUCAAUCCAAAAAAUUUCGUGCAAGCUAAAAUGGUCCCCUUCAGCACUGCCCUAUUUUCGCUCAAUCCAAAUUAUUUUCGCACAAGCUUAAAUGAACCCCUUCAGCACUGCCCCGUUUUCGCUCAAUCCAAAAAUUUUCGUGCAAGCUAAAAUGGACCCCUUCAGCACUGCCCUAUUUUCGAUCAAUCCAAAUUAUUUUCGUGCAAGCUAAAAUGGACCCCUUCAGCACUGCCCCGUUUCCGCUCAAUCCAAAAAUUAUCGUACAAGCUAAAAUGGCUUUCUACCUUAAUAUAACCGUAAACAACAUUGUUAAGGUAUGUGCCUUUCAUUAUAACUAUAGUACAAACAACUGUGCCUUUUGUUACAAUAUUCAUGCUUAUAGGUUUUAAAUUUUAACAUAUGUACACCAUCUGAUUCAUGCAUAUAGGUUUUCAAAUUUGACAUAUGUCCACACCAUCUGAUGAGGAAGUUCGUUGUUCUCAUCUAGUAAUACGCGAUCCACUGACUCUAGGUACAGUUUCAAAAAUUGUCUAUACUUAAAAAACAAUGUCCUAUAUCCAAUAUUUUAAUUCACAUUUCAAUAUCCAAAAUAUAUUCAGAUGCAAAGCAAUUGGAGUUAUUGAAUAAGAUGGAGGAAGAUAGAAUCUAACGUUCAAGGAUGGUUUAAACUUCCACAUCUUACAAACAUGGCUACAUGCACAAUGAAGACUAUUAUUGUAUAAUUGAGGAUACAAAAUUGUAUUUAUAAUUUAUAAGCACAUGUUUGAACAAUGCUUAUUACAUGUGUUAAGUGAAUUUUUUGGUUACUUGUCCUUCUUAGCUUCUAUGAACUUAGUUUAUAUGUGUUGACACUGCCAUACAUUCAAAUUUAAAAAAUAUGUUCACUUCAACCACAUAAAUGGAAGACGAUUAAAAUUAAAUAAAACUUCAAAAAGUCCAACCAAAUUAGAGUUACUAAAAUUACAACGCAACAUGUCUUAAAUUCUCUAACCACAUUACACCCAAUGAAAUAAACAUGUAUCAUUUCUAACAACUACUUCGUAAUAAACAUACUUAAGUACUAAACACGUCAUGUACGAUCCCUUUCAAUUAUGACUAACAAAAUCAUUUUUUCCCUUCCAUACCUAGUCCAUGGUGAUUUAAUCACAGCCGACUUCACACAUUUCCUUGCUCUAUGCUUCACUCGGGUGAAUAUGUUACUUUUUUCUUCUCCCCCAUCUUGGUCUUCGGGUACGUCUUGCUCUUGGGGUACGUCUUGGUCUUCGAGUACGUCUUGUUGUUCGGGUACAUGUUGCUCUUCGGGUAAGCCUUGCUCAUCGGGUAGGCCUUGCUCUUCGGGUAAACCUUUCCCUUCAAGUAUGCCUUGCUCAUCGAGUUCGUCUUUAUCAUCAACGUAAGACAUCUGCAGAUGUUCGUCAUCAUCUACAGAAGGACUAUCACGCACAUAAGAUUUUACACGUGCACUUAAAAAUUCUUGUAACUCUUUCAACUCCUCCAAAUUGUUGAUGACAACCUGUUGUUCCUUUGCUUGGCGAAGCAUAUCAAGUACUUUCACCUUCAUUUUACCAUAGUCUUUUUUUUUACAUGUCACUUGUAAAUCCACGUCGAACUAUCUCAAAUGCUUAUACAACGAAUUCUUUUUGCAACUCUUCAUUGGACGCAGAUAAGUCCACAAUAACCUGUUCAGGCAGACAACAAAUGCCAACAUAAAUAAAUAAAUAAAAUUAAGUAUUGUACAUUAAAUAAAAAAUUUCAAUGUAUUCUACACACCACAUUUUGUUGCAGUCCAGAUGCAAUUUCAAUGUCACCUAGCCUAACAUCCAUCCAAUGUGUGAUACGAGGAUAUCUAUUUCCAAUCAUCGGCAUUUGCCGCUUGUAAGAGAACAAAUGUUCAAGAGCCCAUAUUUACACAAUUCAUGUCAAAUUAAUGCCAGUAACCACAAUUUGUAUGGGAAGUCAAAUCACAUACGAAGUAAAUAUUUUAAAUUACCUGCAUCAAGUACACACAACCACGAACAUGGAUAUAUGCAACAUUAGUUUUCCUCCUCAUACACAUUGAAGUUGAACACAAACUCUGAACCAAAAAGUCAUAAACUAAACCUCCCCAAUUAAACCUACCCAAUUCGCCUAGAUCAUCCACAACCUUAAACAACCCACCAGGAACUAAACUCAGUCUACUUGGAAAUAAAAACUCUGACAUUCCUAACAAGAUGUAUAGCCUGCAAAAGUCAUGUAUGGAACAUUCAUUGCGACGUUUAACAAUUUCAUCAUAAAUCAUUUUGACAGAUACAUGACUACUUUUGAAAAAACUCCUACUCUUACAAUUGUAAUUGUUUUUUGUAAGUCAAAUUUGUCUCCCACAACUCUAAGACCUAUACCUAAACAAACAUCUAACAAAGUAAAUGAGACAACUCUAGAGCUGACUAUAAAACCAUGACUUUUCUCCACCCACCUAGUACAUAACUCUCUUAAAAGGCAGCGACUCAAUUUCAGGUUCCCAUCCAACACAAUUAGCCAACCAAAGGGGGUUGACUGAAUAAUAAACUUUUCUUCAUCACUUAAGGUUUUGUUCAAACUUCCCAAAAAUUUAGGCCUGCAAUAAUGCCUAAAGACCUGCAUUUAUAAAAACGUGUACACUUUACUAAGAAUGUGAUGUCAUCGUAUGCCCAACAAAAUUAAGCAUAUUUGAAAUCAAACCUUAUCAUCCACAAAAGAUUUUGCAUGACUACUUUCUUCACUUGUCAUUAUAUCCUACAAAACAUAAAAAAGCAACAUUGAAUACAUUAUUCAAAACCAAACAACAAUCAAAGAACAUCAAUCUUUAAAAAAUCAAACAAUUUAUAGUUAAUGUAUUCUGUAAAUGUGCUUCUGCAAUAAACUGACUUUGGGUGAAUUUUGUGGUUAGUUUGCACUUUCCUACACUCAUGGGUUUUAAAGAACCCAUUUAACCCACUUUCUCUCCACCUCAUGGCCCACCCUUAACCAACACGAACACUCAUUUCCCAUAUCCAGGAACAAUUUUCACUGGGGUUGUGCACGAAGUGUAAUGUGGGUCACCACAUAUUCCCUAUAGGGUCACCAUUUGAUGAUAUUCUAAGUUGAGUGAAUUUUGUGUCCACUUCACAGUGCUCUAAACUCAUGGCCUCUAAAUACCUCAAUUAAACCACUUUGUCCCCAGCUCAUGCCCCACUACAACCAACACAAACACUCACUUCCCAUUUCUAGAAAAAGUUUACCUGGGUAUGUGCAGGAACUAAAGUGUGGAUCACCACAUAUUCCCUAUAGGAUCACCAUUUCAUUAUAUUCUCUUAGUUGAGUGAAUUUUGUGCCCACUUCACACUGCUCUACACUCAUGGCCUCUAAACACUUCAAUUAAACUACUUUGUCCCUAGCUCAUGCCCCACUACAACCAACAUGAACACUCACUUCCCAUUUUUAGAAAAAGUUUCCCCACAUCAUGCCCAUCCCAACAAACAUGAACACUCACUUCAUAUUUCCAUAACAAGUUUCACUGGGUUUGUGCAAGAAGUAAGAGGUCGGUCACCACAUAUUCCCUGAAGGGUCACCACAUACUGUCAGUCUCUAACUUUACUAAAUUUUGGGGUUAAUUCACAGGGUCCUACUCUCACACCCUCUAAACCCUAAACCCUCUAAAUAACUCAUUUAAUCCACUUUCUCCCCACCUCGUGUCCCUCCCUAACCAACACGAACACAAUUGACAUUUCAAGAAAAAGUUCCCUUGUUAGGUUUGUGCAGGAAAUGUAAUGUGGCUCACCACAUACUGCAAUCGUCUAAGUUGACUGGAUUUCUGCUCACUUGCCACUGCCUUACACUCAUGCCCUCUAAAGUCUUGAUCUAAUACACUCUCUCCCCACAUCAUGCCCAUCCCAACAAACAUGAACACUCACUUCAUAUUUCCAUAACAAGUUUCACUGGGUUUGUGCAGGAAGUAAGAAGUGGGUCACCACAUAUUCCCUUAAGGGUCACCACAUACUAUCAGUCUCUAACUUUACUAAAUUUUGGGAUUAAUUCACAGGGUCGUACUCUCACAGCCUCUAAAUAACUAAUUUAGUCCAUUUUCUCCCCACCUCCUGUCACUCCCUAACCAACACAAACACAAUUCACAUUUCAAGAAAAAUUUCCCCUGUUAAGUCUGUGCAGGAAGUCUCAUGUGGGUCACCACAUACUCCUACUAGGGUCACCACACACUGCAACCCUCUAAAUUCAAUGAACAUUGUGGUUACUUGACACUAUCCUCCUUUGAUGGCCUAUAUAAAAAACUGAUUUAACCCACUUUCUCCCCACCUAGUGUCCCUCCCCAACCAACAUCAACACUAACACUCUUUUUUUAACUUUCUUAUCCAUGUCAACAUUACAAAAUUUCCUUAAAAAGUUUGGUACCUCAUCAACCUAACAUUCCAAACAAACACUUUGCACUAAUUAUAUACUAACACAUAUUUCCAACCACAAUAUUUUCCACAAAAAAUCAAGUCAUACUCCACAAAAAUGGGUCCCGAUUUUUGGACAACUCUAAAUGAGUUGCUCCACCAAUCCCUUUUCUUUGUGUAUCCUAACAUGCUACUAUGAAAUCAAAUACUACAAUAAUAGUGAAAUACAGACCCACAAAGUAAACCCAACAUCAAAUACAAAUAUACAUUUAUCUUAACAGGCUGUGCGAAAAAUCAGCUUUGGCUCAUACAAGCGUCACCACAGGACAAAUAACAAGAAUGACCCAACAACAAAAAUCAUACAACAACAAGGUUUCACUUAAUAAACAAAUGAAAAAAAAAAUAUAUUACCUUUGAAAACAGGAUGUCCAAGAGGAGAACGCCACUCAACCACCGUGAAAACAGGAUGUCCAAGACAACACGGCCACCCAACCACCGUCAAAGGAGGAUGUCGAAGAUGACACCACCGCCAAACCACCCUGAAAAUAGAUGCACCUACGACGACCACGAACGUCGUUGCACAUAAAGGUUGUGGAGAACUUCGAACAAAUACCUUGCAGAGAAGACGAUGUGGUGGAGAAGACGAAGUGGUGGAGAAGACGAGUUCGUGGAGAAGAAACCUAAAUUCAGCCCCUUUCUAAAAACCUAAUUUAACAUUCUACUGCACCCUAAACACUCAAUUUCAGAUUUUGCCUGGACCCCACAAUCCAAAUAAAAUAAUAUUUUCUUGUGCCACGUUGGCAGUUGUAUGGUGGAGAAACAAAUUUAGGGUUGUCCAAAAAUCGGGACCCUUACUGGAAAUAAUAUAUAAAGUUAUGCCUAAUAAUAGUUUUAAGAUAAGAAUAUUAAAUAAAUUUUAUUUAAGUAAAAUUUAAUUAUAUAAUUUAAAUAAAUAUUUUCUUUGUUUGUUUAAGAAUUUCAUCUUAUUCAAUCAAGUUAAUUUAGUUAAUUCCUCUUAUUUUUGGUCUUCUGUAACUUCUCAUAUCUUUUAUUCAUGAGUUCGUUCAUUUUAUACAAAAAAAAAUGAUUAGUUAAAAAGUAAUUUGAUAUAUAUGAUUUUCAGGUAGAUAGAUACCUAGUAAUUUCCCAGGAACACAAAAUCAAAGGUAUACAUUUUUUUUUAUCGUAAUUAAAAGUCAGCUUCCAUUUCAAUAUACGUGUUAUUCUUCAGAAUAUGAACUUCAAGAAAACGAUAAGGUACGGCAGAUGAAAGUUCUUGGUAUUUUCAUACCCGUUGACUUCAUUUAGAUGAUGUAUUCCAAAUUUAUAAAGCAUCAUUUCACACAACACGCGUGUGCACUAAUCUCACUAUACAGAGAUUCAUAUUGAAAAGAUACAUGGCUAGACACUUUGUUCUUGUUGAUGGUGGUGAUGCAAACAGAGGUGAAGAAGGUUUGGUGCUCCACUCUCCACCUAUACUUUUGUUUCUCAUGAUUAUUGCCUCUCUUUCUAUGAUUUCAAUCAUCAUAUUUGCCUGCGGAGACGACAACAAAAAUACCAAGCAUGACCGUGGUGGCGGUGGCGGUGGAUGUGGUGGCGGUGGAUGUGGUGGUGGAUGUGGUGGUGGAUGUGGCGGUUAAGUGUUAGGAAUAAUAUACAAAGUACAUGGAAUGUAAGAGACAAACCUGCAGUCUGGCUUGGAGUUUCCCUUUCUCAAGGUAGAAAUAAUAGUAUUAGUUAUAAGAUGUAAAAGAAGUUUGUGUUUGCAAAAUAAUGCUUUUUCUUCUUAGUAAAUUUCUGCAAAUACAGUGUACCUUUGUAUCAAACCUUUUUGUGUGUGCAAAUACAACAGUAACACGAUAUAGUUUCCUUUUUGUCUUACUAUUUUAGGGUGUUGUUACUCUACUAGUCAAUAUACAUGAACUCUCUACCUUUGUUUUAGAAUUGGAUUUGAUAUAUAGAUUGCAUUAAUUUAUAACAGUUUUUCAUAAUUCUCACAAGCCUUCAUUUGGAUGAUAUAAUUAUUCCAGUCUCUUUUUUUUUUCAAUGGUUUGUUUUUGUUGAAUCUGUUUAAAGACUAAUGUACUCAAUAAUUACUUUUAGUCUUACUAGUUUUGCACAAGGCAAAAUCAAAAACACAAACUAUCUCGUAUUUGGAUCAUCCUUCCAUAAAUGUAAUACAUUCUAUGUUUAUUUUGGUGAUCAGUUAAGAGAAUCAAUUAAAUUUUUACUUGGCAGUGAAAUUUUUCUCUUAUAAUUGUGACUUUUUAGUGAUCUUACUAUACUAAGAUGAUCUUUAUCAGAUCACUUAUAUCUUGAUUAAUCUAUAAAUCCGAAUAUUGUUGUCUCAUUAGCGCUUCUCGGUCCUAUGAUUAUGGAUGUGAUAUGUCUGCAAAGAUAUUCUGAAAGUCAAGUUAUUGAGACACUCAAGUUAAUGUGGUAUAUUUUUAAUGAACUUUUUUUUAUAGGUUAUGAAGAUGUCAUGUUACCCUACAUGAUUUAAGUGUUGCUUAAGCAAGGAGAUUAGUUUUAAGUGGUGUUAUUGCUUAAUUAGUUAUGAAAAUGUCAAAAUGUAACUAUGUUAAGAUGAUUUUAGACUUUCCUGAUGUAUAUCGGUAUUAUUUCGUAACUCUUUACCAAAUUAAUAAUUUAAUAUCCUAAAUAUUCUUAAUUUCUUAAAUUGCGGUGCGUUAAAGACCUUCACAAUUGACCAGAUUGUAUGAUAUAUUCAACAUAAUCAUCUACCUUUGUUUCUCAUUCACAAUAAAACUUCUUCCCCUCCUUACCACUUCUUUACAUAAUUAAUCAAAUAUGUUUCAAUAUUAAUUAAAAAUGUAUAUGUAAAUUUGAGUCUUAGAUUAAGUAUAAAUGAAAAAUUAAUAUAAAAAGAAGCCUCUACAAAAAAAAAAAGUUACUUUUAAGUUUUGAACUAAAAAUGAUUUCAUAAUUUUUUGUAUGUGGUUUAGUGUUGAACACUCCUCUAUGUUGAGACAUCAACGGUCUCUCAUAACCAAAAUGGUUUAUUUAUUUUGUAACUUAGUUUAUGAUGAUAGUAUAAUUUUAUUCUUUAUAAAUCUUAAUUUAUAAAUGUCAAGGUAGAAUCCUUGGUUCAAAUGUGGCAAGAGAUUAGAGUAAGAACUGGACAGACACUAUAAAAAAAUUAGUAUUAUCUACGAAUUUUUACCUACAAAUUUAAAUUUGUAAGUAAAUUUAGCAUUACCUACGGAUAAGAUUACUUACGGAUAUUUUCCACAAAUCUAAAUUUGUAGGUAAAUUCAACAUUAUCUAUGAAUAUUACUCACUGAUCUGAAUUCGUAAAUAAAUUCAACAUUACCUACCAUCUAUUACCUACGGAUCUCUAUUACCUACAAACUAUUAUCAUAAUAAUUAUACACAUAAUAUUAAAUAUAUUAUUAUAAUAUGAAUAAUUAUAAAAUCAUAAUUAAUAUUCAUAAAUAAUAAUAAUCAUAACUAAUAGGUAUACCUAUUAUUAAUAUAUAAAAUAAAUAAUAUUAAUAUAAUAAUAUAAAUAAUAUUAUCUAUAUCUAUAUAAAGGAGAUUCCACUCCUUAAUUAUUUUUCUUUUAUAAAUUAUUGUUUAAUUUUUUAAUAUUACACUUAUAUCAAUAUUUAUUUUAUUUUAAAUAUUUUAGUUAUUUUAUUAUUUUUUUGAACAAUAACUACAUAUACAAUAGAUUUUAUAAGAUUUGAUUUUGAAAAUUAUUUUAAUUUUUAAAACUAAUUUAUUUUUUUUUUCUUUAAAUUAAUAUCCAGUAGUGAGUAUUCUUUCUCCACAUCACACAUUCUUGUUUGAAGAAAUGAAAUGAAAUAGGAAAGAAUAGUAGUACCUGGAGAAGAGGAUUGACACGAUCGCAACAGUAAUAUUCAAUAUAAAGAAUUGCGUUCGUGCACUUAUGGCCGAAAAUUGCGCCAACGAAACGCCUGUGAUGAAGAGAGUGAGAGAUGAAGCAAUUGAAAUUGAAGGAAUCGAAAAUGGAAAUUUGAGAGAGAAAGAGAGAGAUACAUGAAGUAAUCGUAAGUGCCGAAAGUGAGAGGGUAGUGUAUGCGUUGAAUGAAAGUGCCUUUGAAGAUCCACAGAGAAAAGAAACAACGACUACUGGAGUGACCAAACCAUGGCACACCAAUAACCACAAAAUAGUUUUAGUAUUAAAUUCGAAAAAAACUGAUUGAGAAAUAUGUAGAGAUUUGUUUGAAGAGAGUCAGGAAGAUUGAACUUUAGAUUGAAAAUAUAUUAUAUUAUAUUAAUAUUUAAUUUAAAUAUUUAUGGUUUAGAUUUUAGAUUUUAAAUUUUAAAUUUUAAAUUUUCGAAUUUAAUUUUUAAAUUUUAGGUUUUAAAUUUUAGAUUUUAGAUUUUAAAUUUUAGAUUUUAGAUUUUAGAUUUUAGAUUUUAGAUUUUAAAUUUUAAAUUUUAAAUUUUUAAAUUUAAAAAUUAAAUUUUGAAUUUUGAAUUUUGAAUUUUCAAAUUUUGAAUUUAAAUUUGAAAUUUUAAUUUUGAAAUUUUAAAUUUUGAAAUUUAAAUUUUAAAUUUUGAAUUUUGAAUUUUAAAUUUUAAAAGAUUAAUAGUUUUCACGGUUACAUCCACUCCCUUUUGUCUUUUAUAUUCAGACUAUAGAGAAAAGAAAAUGCUCAUAAAUUUUGACACAUCUUGAACCCUCUUCCUUCACACUCCAUGUUCUUCUCCUACUCUCACCCAUCUCAUUUUAUAAGUCAACGAAGAGGAGAGGAAGCCAAUAAGAGAUUCAGGACGCAAGUAGACACCGCAAGUUCAAGAUGUAUAUUAUCAUUUCAUUGUCAACACCUGUUCCCACUGGUUGACUCAGCCGCCGUUUGACUUCAGAGGUAGGUGGUGACUUCUCCUAUUUUUGGUGGUUUAUGUUCUCCCUUUAGGUGAUAGAGAGUGGCUCCGUUGAAACAGAGGGGUCCUACCCGUUGAUUGCACUACGACGAUCAAGUUAGUACUACGCUAAGAAACAAUAAGUAUGUAAAGCAGUUUCAGCCUUAGAAACGACAUACCAUUACCAAGGAUUUCAAGUCCCUUUCAUAGGUUGUUUUAGGUUAACUUCCCUGUCCCACGAGGACCUUUCCUUAAGGGAAAUUAGGGUUAUUAGGAAGACAUCAUGUUGCUUGUUGCACAAUCUUAGCGCAGCUGACGCACAAGACUUUCCUCUUCUAGAGUGCAAAAUCUUAACAAUAUGGUCGUAGGAUACCAACUCAUGCACCAGCGUUGCAGGGCCAUCUGUUCUAUAGGUGCCCUAAUUAUUCACAUGUCAUGCAUGCAACUUUCCCUGGAAACCCUAACGCUCAUGGGCCUUGAAGCCUCCAGGGAAUACUUACUUGUGCUAGACCUAAACGUACUAUACACACCACAUGCAUGAACCCUCCCGUGAUUUAGGUCUUUCUUAUAUCUAGAUGUCAGCUCGUUACUAUUUCUGGGGCCCCACUUACGUUGCCCAUUAUCGCGACCAAACCACCAAUGUCCGAUGUUAAUGUUUGAUGUCGAUGUCUAAGGUUGGCCAGUACACAAGCCCCCCAGGCUCGAGCUGUAACUUGUUUCAGCGAAGAGGCUAAAUGAUUGUCCAUGGCGACCUAUGUGGCGAAUGAGUGACAGGACGUGCUUAGUGCGUCGAGGUGACGUUUCACCAUACAUUUUUAUCAGUGUACACGUGGCAAGAUCAACGGUCGAGGCUCGUUGCCGCUUGCGCUUCCCAUUAUACGUUAAAUUCCUCAACCCUUACCCUCCUUUCACUGUUUCAUUACUUCUCUUAAGCAUUUUUCAAACAUUUCUGCCUCUCAACGCUUUGUCUUCUUCCCAACAUCUUCAACUCCCCAAAGCAUAAUCACUCCAAGGUAUGUUUUUUAUUCCAUCAUCGCCUUAGUUCUAUUAUUCUGAUGCUUUUGACAUGCUUUAACUGUUUUGGGACUGUUUAAGUUUUCUGCAUUUUACGAUCAUUGUUCUUCAUUUUUCUGCUUUUUUGUUCUUCGUUUUACGAUCGCAUUUUACGAGCGCGCACACUUCUUCUUCUGAGUUGUGCGUUUCUUUUUCUUCCUUGUUUUAGCUUUCCCUCAUAAGAUGGCUCAAGCAAACCUAGUUCCUCCCUCCCCUAACUACAAAUCUCUAGCUUCACCACAUUCGAGAGCAUAGCUACAUAUAGGAAGAACGAAGACUGCCUUAAAUCUCGUGUCUUUGGGAAGGAGCAUGAUAGAUUCAUGAAGGUCGUGCCUUAUAGGAUAGGUGAACCUGUCUGCUCUUAUGAGUCGUUGGACCCAGAGGGACCAUUUUGCUUCAUCUAUUCAACUGUCUUCGAGAGACUUACCCUUCACCUACCCUACACCGAUUUCGAGCGUGCUCUCCUUACUGAGGUCAACGUCGUUGCUGCCCAACUACACCCCAACAAUUGGGCAUUCGUUAGGGCAUUUUCCAUCCUAUGCGACCACUUUGGCCGUACGCCGUCUAUGGAUGUAUUCCUGUAUUUCUUCGAAGCCAAGAGCCCAGGGAAGAAGCUGUGGGUGAGCUUCAAUGGGGUCGUUGGGAGAGUAUUGUUGAUCCUCUUCCAGAAAUCGUACAAGGGCUUCAAAGGGAAGUUCUUUAAGAUUCGUUGCAGCAAGUUCGAUCCUACCCUCUUGGUUGGGUUUCCCCUUUACCGGGUGAAGGAACCUGGGCUCAAGAAACCCAAAUGCCUCGAGGACUUACCCUGCGGGAAUGAGAGGUGUGCCACUUCUUCUCCAACCUUCGAGUGGUGUUUAGCUCUGUCGAGUUACUCAAGCUCAAAUACAGCCUUAAUUCUCUUAAGGGCUACAUUGGUACCCCAUUUUUCCCUCAUUUUUCCCUUAUUCCUGCUAGUGUUUUUCUUGCUUGUGUGCAUCGCUUGUUUGAAUUCUUAUGCUCCUUUAUCUUCUUAUGCAGGCAUGGUACUUAACGUGGAGAAGAGGAGGCACUUGGCUGCCGUGACGGCUCAAAUGAAGACUGCCCCAGGUCGCUCUGCCCCUGGCCCUUCUGCCCCAACCCCCAUAGACCAAAGGCUCAAAGGGGUGGCGGAGGUCGUUGAGGUUGCCCCUUCUGAGGACGAGAAUACCUGCUCAGACCUCGUCUUUAAAAGGAAACGCAAGGUUGAUGAUGUCGUCCUUGUACCCUCGGGCUCAGAUGGUCAAGCCCCUUCUUAUAGGGAAUGCCCUCCCAGUUCCUCUUCUCCCCGCGACAUCGUGGUGCAUGAAGGUAGGGGGAGAGUGCCUCGGGGGGUGACCAUGGCGACUCCCUUGCUGAUCUGCCAGUCUUCCUCCAGCAAGAGCUGCAAUCCUUCCGAACUUAGGAGAGGCUGGAAAACUUGGAGGAUGACCCCCUGCUGAAGCACGUGUCGAGACAUCUUGGGGAGACCCUAGUUGGAUCUAGCCUUCUCCUGUCCAAGAUGAAGAAGUUAAGGGAAGCGGCUAGCCAGGACGCCCUUCAAGCCAAAGAGCUUAAACGCCGCGAGACUGGCAUGAUCUUGGAGAUGGCAGAACUUCGCAAAUCUGAUCAAGAGACCAAAAAAAUCUUGUUUGAGAAGUCCCAAGAAACUCUGAGGAUUUACGCCAGGAACACCGAUCAUGAAGUCUUUUUUUUUUAUUUGUCUCUUGUACUCGUUGUGAGUUACCUUGCCUGUCUUGGAUUAGUCUCGUUAACUAACAACGCUUUGAUGACCGUCCUUACCUAAGUAGUAUGCUCCUUGACAAACCUACUUGAUCUUUACCUUCCUCGAUUUUCAACAUAUAGGGGUAGAGGAGAUGUUUGCUUGAACUCUAGUUGGUCUCAUCUCUGAACCAUGUGGUUCUCUAUUGCCCAGGUUGCCUAUGUGCAUCCGGGGGUGGAUCAUUCUCAAACUGGCUUGACCAAAGUAGUUGUUGAUGGAAAGCUAGUAGACGCCGAAUAGCGGUGGUGAUUCCUUUUGUCUUUAUUUUGUAACCUCAUAAACAAUUGAUGACCCUGUACAUAUGUUUUAUUCAUGAAGUCUUUUUUUUUUCUCUUGUACUCGUUGUGAGUUACCUUGCCUGUCUUGGAUUAGUCUCGUUAACUAACAACGCUUUGAUGACCGUCCUUACCUAAGUAGUACGCUCCUUGACCAACCUACUUGAUCUUUACCUUCCUCGAUUUUCAACACAUAGCGGUAGAGGAGAUGUUUGCUUGAACUCUAGUUGGUCUCAUCUUUGAACCAUGUUGUUCUCGACCUUGGCUUAUAAAGACAAGGGAGAGGCUCACCUUUACUGGUCUCGACCUUGGCGUAUAAAGCAAGGGAGACGUUUUACUUGGAACCAUACUGUUCUCGAGCUUGGCUUAUAAAGGCAAAGGAGAGGUUCACCUUUACUUGGAACCUUACUGUUCUCGACCUUGGCUUAUAAAGGCAAAGGAGAGGUUCACUUUACUAUUCUCGACCUUGGCGUAUAAAGGCAAGGGAGACGUCUUACUUGGAACCAUAUUGUUCUCAACCUUGACUUGUAAAGGCAAGGGAAGGUUUACUUUUACUUGGAACCUUACUAUUCUCGACCUUGGCUUAUAAAGGCAAGGGAAAUGUUCACUUUAUUAUUCUCGACCUUAGCGUAUAAAGGCAAGGGAGAUGUUUUACUGGGAAUCAUACUAUUCUCAACCUUGGCAUAUAAAGGCAAGACAGAUGUUUUACUGAGAACCAUACUAUUCUCGACCUUGGCGUAUAAAGGCAAGGGAGAGGUUCACUUUGCUGAUCUGUACAACACCCUUUCAAAUAUAUUUUUUCAACUAAUUUUUUAUUGGGUGACCUCAUUAAAAAACUUUGAUAAGGGAAAAAAAGUGUCCUCUUAAUUGCGUACAAUGAUAUAAUUAAUUGAAAUAAAACUUUAGGUUGGUUUCGUUCCAAGUUCGAGGAAUUGUCUCACCUUCUAAGGUCUCAAACUUGUACGCCCCGUUCCCAAGCACCUCUGUCACACGGAAUGGACUUGGGGGAUAACUUGUUCUCUAGUUGGUAUGGGUGGGCCUUUCGCAUUACCAAGUCGGGGACUUGGAACUGCCGAUGUUUCAACUUGGAGUUGUACUUGUACUCCACGCUUCCCUUAGAGGCUUCAGCCUUGAUGCGUGCUUCUUCCCUGACCUCGUCCAAUAGAUCUAGGUUCACCUUUCUUUCCUCGUUGGAUUCCUCGGCCACGAAGUUCUGGAAGCGUGGUGAACUCUCCUGAAUUUCUACAGGGAUCAUCGCGUCCGAACCAUACACCAAACUAAAAGGUGUUUCCUUGGUGAUGGAUUGGGGAGUGGUUUGGUAGGCCCACACAAUUCUAGGGACCUCGUCUUUCCAAGUUCACUUAGCUUUUUCCAGUCCUCUCUUUAGACCCCUAAGCAAGACUCGGUUGGCACACUCGACCCGCCCAUUCGUCUGGGGGUACUCGACUGAUGCAAACAUCUGUUUUAUUCCGAGCUUUGUACAGAGUUUGCCAACCUGCUGGCUUGCAAACUGGGUGCCAUUAUCGAACAUACUAUGUUCUUCCGUACGAAGUGUUAGAUCUUGUGAGCUGUGAUCUGCGCGACGGGCUCGGCCUCUAUCCACUUUGUAAAGUACUCAAUGGCAACCACAAGAUACUUCAUCUGUCGAACUGCUAGAGGAAAUGGUCCCAGGAUGUCGAUCCCCCAAGUGUGAAACGACCAUGGGCUUUGGAUCGAUCGCAACUCCUCUAGGGUGCAUUAUGCCAGUCAGCAUGCCAUUGGCACUGCUUGCAUCACUGUGCAUACCUCGUGCAGUCUUCCCUCAUGGUCGGCCAGUAGUAUCCCGCGCGAAUGGCUUUUGAUGAGAGAGCUCGGCCGCCGAAGUGACUCCCACAUAUCCUUUCGUGGAGUUCCGCCAUAAUGCGCGUGCAUUGUUCACCACUUACGCAAAUCAGGAUAGGGUGAGUAUACCCAUGUUUGAACAAAUUCCCAUCGACCAGGGUAUACCUACUUGAAUUUUUCUUGACUACCCUGGCCUGUACGGGCUCUAGCGGGAGUACCCCGUCAGCCAAGUAGCGUUUAUAGGGUGUCAUCCAGGUUUCGCCUUCUUCAACUAGGCAAACGUUCAAUGAUUCUUCCCUUGAUAAGUUAUAUGUGCUUAUUCUGGGUGUUUUCAACGUUUCUUGAGUCAACGACCGAUGACUUCUCUUAACGCCUUCUGAGGUGCUUACUUGCUGGACUUCUGUUGUGCAAUUCGUGGUGGUUCAAGGCGUUCUCAGGGUCUCUUGUAUUACUGUCAUUUGUCUGCCCCCCUUGCCUGAACUGGCGAACUUUGCUAGCAAGUCAGCUUGGGCAUUCUGCUCUCUGGGACGUGUACUAGUUCGAACACUGCAAAAGUCUCUUUCAAGAUUUUGACAUAUUCUAUGCGGCCAUCUGAGGGUCCUUGGCCUGAUAUUCUCCCGUAACCUGCCCCGUCACUAAACACUCUUCGCCAUUUGGCUGACACAAGUGGUCAAGGAUGAGGUAGGAAGAGUUCACGAGAGAGAGAGAGAGAGUAAGUAGGUUUCCGGCGGGGUGAGUGUUCUGAAUAUGGCUGACACUUCUUUUUUCUUUACUAACUUUCCUAAACACUUUCGGGAGAGAGACUUAUGGAGGGUUUUUCAAAGGUGGGGAAGGGUGCUGGAUGUUUUCGUCUCAAGAAAGCUCAAUGCAAGGAACCGAAAGUUUGGGUUUGUAAGGUUUCAGGGAGUGAACGAUGUUGUCUCUCUGGAAAGAGAGUUGGAUGAAAUUUGGAUUGAUACUUGGAAGUUGCAGGUGAAUCUUCUAAAGUACCAGAGGAUGGAGGUUCCAAGGGUGCAGAGAAAUGAGGGUCCUAAGUUCAGUUGGUCGCCAAGGAAGAGAGUGACGCAGUCUAGGGCAGUCUGGAAUCGGGAUCGGACGGAGCAGCCGUCGUUUGCUCAAGUGGUAUCGUGGGAGGUAGCACAAAGUGGGACCGACGGGAACGUAGGAGGUGCACAGGGGGAAGAGGUUACCAAGCUUACAGUGGUUUUAGAGCAGCCUUCCUGGCUUGAAGGGAGCUACGUUGGUUGCCUUAAGGAGGUGCCAUGCAUGCAGUCGAUGAAAGAGAGCUUUGUGAUGGGAGGCUUCAGUCAUGUCAGAAUAGGGUAUCUUGGGGAAAGUUACGUGUUGCUGUCAUGCGAUUAAGGAGAAGGGUUGAGCAAGAUCAUAGCUGAUAAUAAAGCCUGGUUUGACGAAGUUUUCUUAUCGGUCAUACCAUGGGAUGAUUCUUUUGCAGUGAAGGAUAGAUUGGUGUGGUUACGAUGUAGAGGCAUCCCGCUUCAAAUGUGGUGCAAUCAGUGCUUUACCAGAGUAAGGGCCUCGGUGGGGGAGGUGGUGGAGAUUGACGAAGCAAUAGAGAAGAAAGAAAAGUCGGAAUACACGCAUUUUCGGGUAAAAAUCCCGGUUAACAGUGUAGUCAGCGUGGUGAAGGAUUUCAGUAUCAAUGGAGUUUUGUGUACGGUGUCGCUAGAAGAAGAGGCGUGCAUCCCGGACAUAUCUUUCAAGAAUUUCUGCAGCAAAUGGGAUGGAGGGGGUUCUAAGGUGGAUACUGAGGCAAGUUCAGAGGAGGGAAGCUUAGGAGCAAGCCUCUGCGACUCAGCAGAUUCGAAGAUUGAAGUGGGCGGAGGUGGGAGAGUAGGCAACGAAGGAGGUGGAGGAAUGGAUGUCGUCGGAGAUGGAGGCGCGGGGAACGAAGGGUUGGCCUUGGGCAGACGGGACUCAUUACUCCUCGGUAAGAUGAGCAAGCAAGGUGAAAGGGUUCCCUCUCAAGGUCAAUUUGUGGAUCAUUAAUGGCGAACGACUCUCUAGGAUUCUCAAAGGUUGAAAGCGUGAAUUCAUCUUUAAAUGUUGGAGUGCGUAUUCCCAAUAUGACUAAGGCAGCAACAGAAUGGGGUAGGAGGAGUAUUGAUGAAGGGAUCUCAUGCUUUGGUGAGUGUGGGAUAAGGUGCAAAGAUGAUGAAUUGAGUGGGAAUUUUUCCGAAAGUGGUGGAAUGGGGUCCCACGUGGAGGGGAAUCUCUCUAGAGAUCAUGCAGGUCGUGGGCCCCCUUCGUUGUUUAAGGGUAUUAAUAGUGGAGGCGCGGAAAAAUGCAAAGAAAGUGGGAAGGAAGUUGGUUGGGAAUCUAACGUGGAGUUAUUCCCACAACAGGCAUUAAAUAAAGAGGUAGGUGGGAAGGAAUUGUUAAUUUGUAGAGAUGCGGCUUACGAGGCUCAUUCAGAUGGGUUAUUGCUGGAACAUAUGGGAAGUAAGAGUUGGGUAGGAGACUCAUUAAGGCCUGGAAUCUCAUUGGAGGAAUUGGAACAAGCUGGAGUGAGGGUGGAUGAAGAGGGAGAGGAAGCGCUAUCAAUCCUAGACAUAAACGUAGAUAUUCACGGUUCAGUGAGUAGUGGACCGUUAGAUGGUAAUAAGAUGGAAGAAGCGGAGGAAACACGGAGGUUUGAGGAGCUAGUUGGAGAUAAGGUUGGAAAGCAGCUUACGGUGGACCAAGUUUUCUUGGUUCAUCAAAUUGGCAGUGAGUCGAAUUCCUUAUUUGCUUCUGAUAGUGCAAUUGAGAACUACAAUAGAAUUUUCUGGGUGAAGACUGAUAAGAAUGUAGCUUCCAGUGUUUGGGGAGUAGGGAAAGAAGUAGGGUUUUCGUUCCCAGGUCGAGAAGAAAUAGUUUUAAAUAGUAUUUGUUCGUUGUCUAAUCAGGGUGGAGUAACUACGAGAAAGAUGUGGAAGGAAAGGAGAAAGGUAGUUAAUGAAGAUAAUUAGUCGGAAUAUCAGAGGAGCGGGAGGUGCUGUAAAAAGGAAUUAUGUAAGGGAUCUGAUCAGUAGGGAACAAGUGGAUAUGGUGUGUUUACAAGAGACAAAGUGCUCGGAGUUUAGUAGGGAGAAGGUGUGUCUUCUUUGGGGAACCAAUGAAGUAGAAUGGGUGGAAAACAAAGCAAUAAAUAACACAGGGGGUGUGCUUAUGAUGUGGAGUAAUAAGUCGUUCCAGCUAUCCAGUUUCGUAAAUGGGAGAAACUAUACUAUGUUAGAGGGAUUUUGGAAGAGAGGAAAUGGUCCACACAUAACUAUUAUGAAUAUCUAUUGUACUGGCUCACUAAGGGAAAAGAAAGAGAUGUGGAACGAGGUUGGUGUUUUCAGACAGGGACAACUCUCAAAGGUGUGGUGUAUCAUUGGGGAUUUUAAUUCCAUAAGAAGGCAGGAGGAAAGGAAGAGCGUGAUGUCGAAUUCUGACUACUCUAGAGAAAUAAAGGGUUUUAAUGAUUUUAUUGAAAGUUCAGAAUUGGCGGACAUCCCAUUGGUGGGCAGGAAGUUUACUUGGUUCAAACCCAACGACUUGGUGAAAAGCAUAAUAGACAGGGUAUUAGUCUCUAAAGAAUGGUUGGAUUUGUGGCCUAACAACCAACAAUUUGUUUUAAGCAGAUCGAUCUCAGAUUAUUGUGCAGUUAUUCUGAAGGAAGUCUCAGUGGAUUGGGGUCCGAAACCGUUUAGGUGUUUGGAUGUGUGGCAGAGAGAUAGCGGAUUUAAAGAGUUCGUGAGAUCGAGUUGGGCUUCGUACAAGGUGGUAGGAAGAGGAAUCUUUGUGUUUAAAGAAAAGUUGAAAAAAUUAAAAGCAGAUUUAAAGGUGUGGAACAAGGAAGUCUUUAGGGAUGUGAAUCAGACUAGUAAGGAAAUCCAACAGAGGUUAGACGAGCUAGAUUUGAGCGAUGACGAAGACGGGUUAGAUGAAUCGGAAAGAGAAGAAAGAAAGUCCCUCUUUGCCAAGCUUUCAGUCUCUAAGUCUAAACAACAGGCGAUUUUGUUUUAGAAAGCAACACAAAGUUGGAUUAAGCAGGGGGAUCUUAAUACAAAGUUCUUCCACUCUUCGGUAAAAUGGAGGAGGGCAAGGAAUCAAUUGCACGGGAUUUUUGUCAAUAAAAAAUGGAGUGACAAUAAGGAAGAGGUGAAGAAUAAGGUAUGUGAGUUCUUUGAAGAAAGGUUUGCUAGGAAUGAUGCGUGCCAGGUGAGACUGGAUAAGGUUGAUUUUAAUUCCAUUUCUGAAGCAGACAAUGAGAUGCUAAUCGGUGAUUUUUCGGAAGAAGAGGUGAAAGUAGCGAUUUGCGGGUGUGAUAGUUCAAAGAGUCCCGGCUCGGAUGGUUUUAACUUUGGUUUUAUAAAAUCUUGUUGGGACAUUUUAAAGAAGGACGUGGUGUCGGCAGUAAAGGAUUUUGCAGGUUAUGGCAAAUGGCCAAGAGGUUCGAAUGCGUCAUUUCUUUGUUUGAUACCAAAAGUAGAAAAUCCUCAACAGCUAGGGGAGUUUAGACCUAUUUCAUUAGUAGGUUGCCUGUACAAGAUCAUUUCUAAAGCGCUUUCCUUGCGUUUGAAAAUGGUGAUUGGAAAAAUUAUAGACGCUAGACAAUCGGCUUUUCUUGAAGGAAGAGGUUUAAUGGAUAGUGUGCUAGUUUCGAAUGAGGUUUUGGAAGAGUACAAGAGAAAAAGAAAGAGUUGUGUGGUCUUCAAAGUCGAUUACGAGAAGGCUUAUGACUCGGUGAAUUGGGAUUUUCUAUAUUAUAUGCUAAGGAGGUUGGGAUUUUGCGACCAAUGGGUUCAGUGGAUUAAGGGUUGUUUAGAGUCAGCUUCGGUUUCUGUCCUUGUAAAUGGGAGCCCAACUAGGGAGUUCUUCCCUAGAAGGGGUCUUCGUCAGGGAGAUCCGCUAGCUCCUUUUCUAUUCCUCAUUGUGGCAGAAGGGUUAGCUGGGGUGGCAAGGGUAGCAGAAGAAAAGAAGUUGAUUGACAGUUUGGAGGUUGGGAAGGAUAAAGUAAAGGUAAAUAUGUUACAAUACGCAGAUGAUACUUUGUUUUUCUGUGAAGCAAAUGCCAAAAGCGUGUUUAACAUCAAGGCGAUUUUGCAAUGUUUUGAGCUUUCUUCUGGGUUAAGGGUUAAUUUCGGGAAGAGUAGGAUUGGUGGGACGGGGAUGAACCAGGUAAUGCUCCAGCGGUUCACAACUAUUCUUAACUGCGAGACGAUGGUUGUUCCUUUUAUAUACUUGGGUAUGCCAGUUGGAGGGAGUCAUAAAAGAGGGGUUUUUUGGAAUGGGGUGAUUGAGAAAGUACAGGCUAGAUUAAGCAGACGAAAGGGAAGAUGUUUGACGAUGGUUGGGAGGAUAUGUUUGAUUAAGUCCGUGCUCUCUUCUAUUCCGCUAUUCUAUAUGUCUUUAUUUAAACUGCCUUCGGGGGUGGCUGGAAAGUUGAUUCGGAUGCAAAGAAACUUCCUCUGGGGGUGGGGUGCAGAAGGAAGGAAGAUUGCUUGGGCUGCCUGGAGUCUGGUAUGUAAGCCUUGCAAGUAUGGGGGGCUGGAGAUAAAUGAUGUAAAAUUGUUCAACUUGGCUUUAUUGGGGAAGUGGAUUUGGAGGUUGGGGUCGAUCGAGAGCGGCCUCUGGAAGGAGAUUCUUGUGUCUAAAUACGGAGGAUGGAGAAGUUUGGGAGAGGAAGGAAAAGGUAGGAGGUGCUCUCUCUGGUGGAAAGAUUUGAAAGAGGUGUGGUUUUCGGAGGGUUGGGGAAGAAAUUUCGCAGACAGUUUCAUGUGGAAAAUUGGGGACGGGAAGGAUACAUAUUUUUGGAAGGAUAGUUGGUUGAAUGGCGAGUCGUUGAAGAAUUCCUUCCCAAGAUUGUUUACUAUUAGUUCUACCAAAGAUGCUAAGUUGUCAGAGCUUGGUUCUUGGUCUAAUGGAGUUUGGGUUUGGCAGUUAUCUUGGAGAAGACCUUCUUUUAAGUGGGAAAAGUCGAAGGCGGAUCAGCUGAGUCAGCUUCUGCUUGAGGCUCGAGUUGUUUCGGGAGAGGUGGAUGGUUGGAUUUGGAAGGAGGGGGGUUCCCAAACUUUUUCGGUUAAUUCUGCCUAUAAUCUUGUUAGAAAGGAUAAAGAGACAAUUAUUUCGCCAAUUUUUUGUAAUCUGUGGAAGUGCAAGGCAGUUCCCUCUGCAGCGCUUAUGGCUUGGAGGUUGUUGGAAAACAAGCUCGCUACUAGGGUAAAUCUGAGUAGAAGAGGGGUUUUGGUGGAUAGCUCGAUGUGUGGUUUGUGUGGGUUGGAGGAAGAAUCUUGUUGCCAUUUGUUCUUCGACUGCAACUUUGCAAGGCGGGUUUGGGGUUUAUGUCAUAGGUGGCUUGGGGUUCUGGUCGUGUCCCAAAUUGAGCCAAAGAGUAACUUUGAUCAAUUUAGGAUGAGCCAUGCUUCAGAAACGAUUAAUAAUGUCUGGAACACAAUUUGGGUUGGGGUGGUGAGCGAAAUAUGGAAGCACAGGAAUAACAUAAUUUUUAAAAGAGGAGUGGGGGAUGCAUUUGAAGUUUUUUCUUUGGUACAAGUAAAGGUCUAGUUGUGGGUGACUCUUAGCACCCAUCUCCUUGGCCAACAACAUUCCUACGACCAAGGUCUCGUAUUAAGCUUGGUUGUUACUAGCUUUGAAGGCGAAUCGUAGGGUCUGCUCAAUCAGCAACCCAUUUGGUCCUUCCAAAAUGACUCCUCCACUACCUUGCUGGUUGGAGGACGCGUCCACGGAGAGGACCCAUCUGAAGUCUGCUUCUUCUUGAUGUGUUAUUGCCAAGGAGAGUUCUACUAUGAAGUAAGCGUAAACCUGGCCCUUGAUAGGCCCUCUUGGUUCGUACUGCACCUUGAACUCUGAUAACUCAACCUUCCAACGCACCAUUUGUCCUGCCACAUCGGGCUUCUGUAAGACCUUGUGAAUAGGAAGGUUCGUCAUCACAAUUACGGUGAAACUCUGGAAGUAGUGGCGGAGCCUUUGCACUGCGAACACCACCGCUAGGGCUACCUUUUCUAUGGCCUAGUAUCUCACCUCAGGCCAUUGUAAGAGUUUGCUGACAAAGUAUAUGGGCUUUUGCACGUGAUCCUGCUCCUGGACAAGGAUCGAGCUGAUCGCCCGCUUUGUGAUGGCGAAGUACAAACGGAGUGGGGUACCUAGCAGCGACUUGCACAACACUAGGGCGCUGGCUAGGUAUUCUUUUAGCUUGAGAAAUGAUUCUUUGCCCUCCUUAGUCCACACGAACCUGUUGUUCCUAUUCAAACACUGGAAAUAGGGAUACCCGUAUCCUCUCCUGCCAAUACAAAUCGGGACAACGUGGCCAUUCACCCUGUCAACUGUUGCACCUUUUUCACCAAGAUCGGACUCCUCAUGGCUAUAAUCGCGGUGCACUUCUCAGGGUUUUCCUUUAUCCCACGCUCAGUGAGUAAAAACCCUAAGAAUUUUCCUGCCUCUACUCCGAACAUGCAUUUUUCAAGGUUCAGCUUCAAUUUGUACUUAGCUAUCGUGGUGAAUAGCUCCUCAAAGUCAGCAACGUGUUGGUCCUUCACCUGGGAGGUGACCACCAUGUCGUCCACAUACGCUUGGACGUUUUGCCCUAUAAUGGGUGCGAGUACUCUGUCCAUCAACCUCUGGUAGGUUGUGCCUGCAUUCUUGAGCCCAAAAGGCAUCACCUUAUAACACUAACAUGAGAGUUUCGUCAUGAAUGUUGUCUUGCACUUAUCCCUGGGAUGCAUCCGGAUCUGGUUAUAUCCAGAGAAAGCAUCCAGGAAGCUAAGAAGUCUGCAGCCUGACGCACUGUCCACCAAGGCGUUGAUGCUGGGCAGUGGAUAUGAGUCCUUCGGGCAAGCUUUGUUCAAGUCUGUGAAGUCAACGCACAUCUUCCACUUACCAUUGGCCUUGUUGACCAAUACCAUGUUGGCUACCCAUUCGGGAUAUUGGAUCUCCCUUAUGUGACCAACAUCCAACAACUUCUUGGUCUCUUGCCCGAUGACCAGUCGCCUUUCUUCGUUAAACUUCCUUCGUCUCUGGUGCACCGACCGAACCUGGAUCCAUGGUGAGGUGGUGGCACAGGAAAUCUGGGUCGAUGUCAGGCAUGUCAUAGGCAGACCACGCGAAGGCAUCCAGGUGUCGCUCUAUUACCUCGGCAAUCUGGUCCUGCACCUCCUGACUCAGGCAUCUACCAAGGUUGAACUUUUUUCCCCCAAUCUACCUUUACAGUACCUCCUCCACAGGUUCGGGUCGAACUCCCCGGGUGAUCUCUACUCGGGUAGCCCCCUCUCCCCUUGGGGGUUGGUUGGCGACGGUGCACACCCCUCUCUUCGUCUUCAGGCUAUUCUCAUAGCACUUCUUUGUCGCUUUUUGGCCAGACUUCAUUGUUAUCACAGUUCCCUCAAGGGAGGGUAGCUUCAUCUUCAUAUGCCUCGUUGAGGCUACGACUCUUGUUCUGUUUAGGGCAGGUUUGCCUAGAAGGAUGUUGUAAGUGAAGCGGCGUUGACAACAAGGUACCUUAUGUUAAAUGUGCGGGAUGCGGUACCGUCUGUGAAAGUUGUCCUUAGCUUUAUAUGCCCUCGCACCUCCACCUGGUCCCUAGCAAAACCGUAUAGGCAGCCGUCGUAAGGUCUUAAUUGAUUGGGCGACAGCUGCAACUUGUUGAAAGUUGACCAGAACAUCACAUCCACCGAACUCCCCUGAUUGACGAGGACUCAAUGCACUCUCCUUCAUGCGGUCACCACUGAGAUCACACUGGAUUGUUGUCAUGUGGAACCACGUCCUGCACAUCGGCUUUCGUGAAGAAGAGGUCGGGUUCUGGAGACUAAUCGGGCUCUUCGGCUUCUACUGCCAUUACCUCUGUAGCAUACUUCUUUCACUGGGAGGCGGUACAUCCUCCUCCUGAGAAUCCUCCAGAGAUUGUGUUGAUCUCUCCAUGGAAGGGUAUUUCAUGCCCCUGAUCUCCUGUGGGGACCGCUGACGUCGGGGCCCCUUGGUUCUCUUGUAGGUACUCCUUCAGGAAGCCAUUCCUUACCAAUUCGUCUAACUGGUACCCCAGCACUAAGCAAUUGCGCAAGUUAUGGCCAACUGCUUGGUGGAAUUCGCACCAAGUGUUUUUGUUGGGCCCCAGCCUCCUGUCGGUCUUCACGGGUGACUUCAGUCUGUCCGCCACGUUGGGAUAACAAUUAGCUCUUUAAGGUCCAUCCGGAAGCUGUGUCUGGUGGAAGCGCUUUCCUUUCUCCGUGCCCUGGUCUAAGGCUUCCUUGUCUCAUACGGUGGCUGCUUUCCCUGGGCUUUCUUCUUUAUCGUGGCCUUGUGCACCCUCAUGGGUGAUGACUUUUUACGGCAAGUGCACCGCGUUUGUCAGAAGUAGUAAUUGUCCCUAAGGACGGAUAUCGAUCCCACAAGGAACAGUGAAUUAUCGAGUACGAUAAUCGCUAAAUAUAAAAAUAGAACAAUUAAAAGAGUUUUGAAUUAAUUGUGUUGGCACUGAUCAAUAAGAAAACAGACAAAGAAUUAGUUGUUUCAAUUGGAAAAAUAAGGAUUAGUUUCAUCUUUCUCACUCUCAAGUAUUUUGAUUAGCAUGUCAAUAUUAAGUUCUUUGAUUAAAAUUGAUGCCCGUUUAAAAAUCAUUUAUAUCGAUUCCUCGCAUAUAAAAUCCUUAAGAAUGUCCCCUAACUAUCGAUCCCUCGCAUAAUUAUAAGAACAACUUAGAACGAAGCUCAGACGUUUAAUAACAAUUAACAUUUCAAGUCUAUUCCUAGCACUCAAAUAUGUUAAGUAUUGUUGUUUAGGUCCGAACCCUAAAAAUACCUCCCAGUCAGAUUUAAGAUUCUCAAUUUGUCACGGAAAGUUAAAAGUAAAACAACAAUACCAAUAAUCAACCAAGAACUGAAUAUUAAUAUAUAAGAUAUCACCUCAAUACAUAAGAGUUUGAGCAGAUUACUCCCAACCCCAAAGGGUAGAAUUAGCCACGCAUACUUCUAUCACCUUCCAUUCUCCCAAUUGGGUUAAAAUUCACUCUAUGGUGUUUUCCUCUGAAUCUGGCACCUAGGGUUGAACCUCUAGCCCCCUAUUUAUCCUAAUUUUCUAGGGUUAGGUGGCUUGCUGUGUCGCACUAAUGGGCUAAGUGAUAAGACAUAAAAAAAGCUCAAUCUUUAUUUGCAUCUUUUUUCAUUCUGGGACCUUCCAACUUUAUCUUUUUAGCUCAAAUUAUUCUCCUUUAUUCCAAAUCUUCAAUCGUCCCUAAAAAUCUGCAAUUAACACAAAUUUGAGAAUAAAAUACUCUUAUUCAAAUAAAGAUCAUAAAAAUGUAAAAAGGUAUAAAUUCAUAAAUUAGGAAUUAUUUUAUAUGUAAAUUAGAAAUAAAUUCUCAUAAGUGUCUAUAUUUUAAUAUGAAAUAUUACUGAAAUUAGACAUUUAUCAAUGGGCUAGGGACGACAAGUUCCCCGAGGUCUAGCAAGGCCAACACUUCCACAUUUUUCUGUUACCUCUUUCUCUAUGCCGAUGUGGGUCACGGCUCGGCGACGAAUCUCGUUGAACGUCUUUGGACGACACCUUAUCAGAGAAUCACUGAAAGGUCCUGGCAGCAUUCCUCGCCUGAAGGCGUGUACCAUCAUGUCUUCGUCUUUAGUGUGCAGCUUCACCACUAGUGCCCCGAAUUUGUUUAGAAAAUCUUUCAAAGGAUCUCCCUGGUAUUGCUUUGCGUCGAAGAGAUCGAAAGAGACGGGAGGGGGAGCCUGGUUGAAGAUGAAUUGCUCUUUGAACAACGUUGAGAACUGAUCAAAUGAGGUAUGUGUCCAUUGGGAAGACUGAUGAACCAGUCCAACUUUGUGCCUGAGAAUGUUCCCAUAAAUAGCUUAUAAUGCAUGGCGUCAGUGCCUUCCGAGAUCAUGAUCUAGGUAUGGAAGGCUGUGAUGUGGGCCUCCGGGUCUUCUACACUUGUGAAGGUGAUUUUUGGAACCAUGAAGUUGGUUGGUAUUACCGUGUCCAUGAUUGUCUAGGAAAAGGGCAUGGGACGAGCCCUAACUGGUAUGGGCGGAGUUCACUCAUCAAUUGUACGCUCCCUCAUGCGUUGUAAGUCUUUGCGCAGUUCCUCAUUGGUCCUGCGCAGCUCAUCAUUGUUUGCUCACGACACGGCCAAAUCGACUUGGAAUCGGUCCUAGCUCGCUGCCUGUUCGACUUGAACUUUAGGCAGAAUCUUGUCUUGAUCAGCCUUGGACGCCGCCACUGCUUGCUAAAGAGCACGAAUGGUCUCCAUGAGUUAUUGCAUGGUGACGUUGUCUCCUCCUUCUAGCACAGUCGCGCCUUGUCUCAUAUUCCUCAUGUUGCUGGAUGGCUCUCAACACGAUUGUGAGUGGGACCUACUUUUAUCGGGCCCCACGGUGGUCGCCAAAUGUUCUCGCAAGUUGACUCAGUUGUCGUUGACUUCAGAGGCAGGUGGUGGCUCUUCCUAUUUCUGGUGGUUUAUGUUCUCUCUUCAGGUGAUAAAGAGUGGCUCCAUUGAAACAUAGGGGGUCCUACCUGUUGAUUGCACUCCGACGAUCUAGUUAGUACUGGGUUAAGAAACAAUAAGUAUGUAAAGCAAUUUCAGCCUUAGAAACGGUGUACCUUUACCAAGAAUUUCAACUCCCUUUUAUAGGCUGUUUUAGGUUACCUUCCCUGUCCCACGAAGACCUUUCCUUAAGUGGAAUUAGGGUUACUAGGAAGACAUCCCGUUGCGUGUUGCACAAUAUUAGCGCAGUCACCGCACAGGACUUUCUUCUUCUGGAGUGCAAAAUCUUAACAUUAUGGCCGCUAGGGUACCAACUCAUGCACCAGCGUUGCGGGGCCAUCUAUUCUAUAGGUGCCCUAAUUAUUCACGUGCCAUGCAUGCAGCUUUUCCUAGAAACCCUAGCGCUCAUGGGCCUUGAUGCCUCUAGGGAAUACUUACUCGUGCUAGACCUGAACGUACUAUACACACCACAUGCAUGAACCCUCCCGUGAUUUAGGUCUUUCUUAUAUCUAGAUGUUAGCUCAUGACUAUUUCUGGGGCCCCGCUUACGUGGCCCAUUAUCGCGACCAGACCACUGAUGUCUGAUGUUAAUGUCUGAUGCCGAUGUCUGAGGUCUGGUCAGUACAACACCGAAGCAAUCAGGUGAAUAGAAAGUUCCACAAAUGAAAACUACAAAUACUCACCAAAGAGUUGAGAAGUGUCCCUCAGAGUCAAAGAACAUCUAAAUUUGAAGAUAAAGGAGAACCCAAAGAGAGAGGGACUAUCAGAACAAAUGUUUGCAUGCGGAGAGAAAGAAAAAGUGAUAAUUUUUUUUGAACAACAUACUCUCAACCUCUGUUUUGAACCUCGAGCAAGUUUUGCCCGUUUUUUUGUUCAUAUUUGAUUACUCUUUAAUUUUUAUUAUUUAAAAGUGAUACUAUUUAAUAGAAGGUUGUUUCUGUUAGUCAGGUGCACAUACUUCAAAAUGAAGUGUUCCAGUUUUAAGCCCCUACACCUCGAAGUGUGCUUCACAUGGGACACACAUAUGAAAGAGUUAAGUUGCUCGCUGAUUGAAUGAGGUGGAUGGCAGAGAAAAAAGUGCAUGGCAUGUAGUGAAGGUGGUUUACGUGGUGCAAUGUUUCGAAGGCAUGGUGGCAGGAAUAGUGUGGGAGAUUGUUGAAGUAUGCGAGGAAGAGAGAGAGGAGGAUGUAAUAAAGGGUGGUGUAACCACCAUAUGUUAGAACAUAUGGCUUUAAACUAAAGGGGGGUGAAUUGUUUAAAGAGAAUUUUCGUAAACUUUUAAAACAAGAAUGAAUUUAUCUCAGGAAAAAAUUGAUUCAGAAAUUCAGUUCGCCAAAAUAGCAAGCAAAACCUGCAGUACCAGAAAAACAAUCGGUUGUUUCACAGAAACAAUCGGUUGUUUAUACCAGCAAACAACAAAUAAAACUAAAUUUAAAGAGUUAGAGAUAGAGAGAUUGUACACAGUUGUUUAUACUGGUUCACUCCAAACCCAGAGCUACAUCUAGUCUUCUCAGAACCCUGAGGAAAUCCACUAAGCAACCACACCUUGAUCACUUACACAACAACCAAGAGAAUGACCUUGAACACCUCAAGAAACACACUCUCCUUGGUCAACACACUUACACCAAGAUUGCUGAUCUUGAUCGCCUCAAGAACACACAAUCAAUCUUAGCAAACACAGAAACGAAACUUGUCUUUACAGAGAGUACAAGGAUUACACUUGUUACAGAAGAUAAUCUAAAAUCAAUACAAGCAGAAUCCUAUUCCACAACUUUGAUCAAUCACACACUUUUGGCAAUCUCAGCUAUUUGAAAAACUCAAAAACUCUUAGCAAAAACUUAUCAAAGAUUUAUUGUCAAAUCUGUUUUUCUGAAUUUAUUCAAAGAUGUAGUUUGUUAUCAAAUCUUAACAAACUCUUAAAUUGCAUUAAAAGAUUGGUCAAAGAAUUUAAUGACUGGAGCGUAAGCAGUUAAAUCAUUUAAAGCUCAGUCAAAGAUAAAACAGUUUUUCUGUUAUGGUCCCAAAACAAACAAUCGGUUGUUUCCUCAAAUCAAUCGGUUGUUUUGGUACUUAACAGUUCAACCAUUUUAAAAACAGUUUUCAAUCUUUUUCUCAAAACACCUAAGUAUAAACAAUCGGUUGUUUCGAAAAAACAAUCGGUUGUUUUAACUUAGUUUGAAAACAUAUUACUUUCACAAAGAUUGAGAUGCUUAUGCUUUAGAUUUAAUCAAAGGGUGGAUUACAACAUUCAAACUACCCCAGAACUAAGCUAAACCAGCACAGCAACAUCAAGCACAGCAAAGGCUUCAACAUCCUUCAAAGGAUUUGGAUUCUUCAAAGCUUGAACAUCACUUGGUUCAACAAUCUCCCCCUAUUUGAUGAAGACAAAUCCCUUAUGCUUGUGUUGUACCUGAUUAAAUCUGAAGCAGUUCCUGCAAGAUACAAUUUUGAACAAAGCAUAAAACUUCUGAUAUUUGGUUAGCACAGAUAAAUAGUAAUAAACUUCAAAACUAAAUAUAAGAAAAAUAUUACUCAUCCCAAACUGUUUUAACAACAAUAAAAAGAAACUUAAACACAGCAGAAACACAACAUAUAUCUCGCCCUAUUUGUCUUCACAAACAGACAAAGAGAAGAGAUAAAAACAAGAUAUUGUUUUGAUUACAUCAGAAUUAAAGCAGCAACAAAAGAAAGAAAGAAAUUUAAAAACCAGAUAUAACAGCCAAACAAAGAAUCAAUUGUUCCGAUAACCAAUCGGUUGUUUUGCCUUCAUUCUUCUUCAUCAGCAAACUGAAGAUCAAAGAUUUGGUUCUGGACAGCUUCAAUCUGUUCAUCCAGAGUCAUAAAUCUUGCAUCCAUGUUGUCAAACCUGGUGUCAAUCCUUUGGAAAUUACUAACACAGAGAUCAUGGAGGCUCCUUUGAUUUUCAGCAAAGCUAUCAAGCUUAUUCACCAUGAGUCUUUCAAAAGAAGACAUGGUUUGCAUCCUUUCUCCUUAAUUUCCAGCACCAGCACUUGGUCCAGCAUCUUGAUAAUCUUUAGGUGGAUCUUCAUGUUGAACAUCCAUAUCAGCAGGUUCAUCUUGUUCAAGAUUAGCAGCACCACUAGAUGAGGCACCAUGAUCACCAUCCUUGCUUAUCCAUUUUCCACCUACUUUUGUAAAACCCAUUUUGCUGAGUGAUCCAUUGUUCAACUCUUGAGUUGACUUGACCAACUCAGAUGUUUCAUCUUCAAGGUUAACUUUAAAAUAGAGUAGAAAUUUAGAUACCAAAACAGCAUAUGGAUAAUGAUAAUCACCUAACCUCAUGGCUUUUUGCAUGUGCUCUUUGAUGAUGUGGAUCCAAUUGACUUUGAUUUUCUUGGUGAUGCAAAAGAUAUAUACCAGAUCUUCUUCAGUUAGAACAGAAUGAUUACUCCCCCUUGGAGUUAGAAUCCAAGUUACAAUGAGAGCAAGCAAUCUCUCAUCAAGCUUUAGACCUCCAACCGAGCAUGUACUUACUUGAGCAUGUUGAUUCUUCAAGCAACUCUUGUAGAAUUGGAUUUUGUUAAAAUCCUCCACCACUCCAAGGUUUCCCUUGUUGAUUCUAAGACCAGAGAACUUGAGACCAGCAACAACAAUCCAUACUUCAUGAGUUAUCUCCAUUUCUACACCCUUCACAUGAGAAACUAGAUUGUUUCCCUCAAACUUUAGGUUUGUGUAGAACACCCUCACCAAAUCUGGAUAUAUGUUUCCCUUCAUCUCCAGGAACUUUCUGAGAGAUUGAUCCUUGAGCAGCCUUCUCACAUUAUCAAGCUUUUGACUUUUUAGCCAAUCAAAGCAUACAACCUUGGGGUUGUUUAUCUUCUUGAUACUUGUUUCAUAUCUAUACUUCUCAAUAAGAUCAUUGUCUCCAGGAAACCAGCCUUCUAGCCUUCCUCCAGACCUUACAACCCUGGUUUUGAAUCUUUUUUGAGGUGGGAGGAGUUGAUUCCAUGGUGGUAUAGAAGAAAACAGAGAAGAACUCACUUCACAGAUUUUUGCAAGAGAUGUUGCAAUUGGUUGUUCUUGUGGAAGAGAUCAGCUGCACCAGUUUUUAUAGCAGAAAAAAGAAUCAAUUAGUAUUCAAUUCUAUUCAGUGGGUACCUAAUUUUCAUAGAGAGAGGACUUGACUCUGCUCUGCACAGAAAACGUCAGAAAAAGCUGAGAAUCACAUGGUCUUCACAUGUGAUCUUUGACUAGUCAUUAAGGCUCUUGAAUUUCCAAGAUUUUGGAAUAUUUUCCUUUAUGACUGUUGUAACUUCUCUCUGAACAUAAUCAGCUUUCAGCAUAGAUUCUUGUACCAAGAUUCUCUCUUUGAAUUGAUCUGCAACGGAUAGAAAUUUAAAUAAGCAAAUUAAAACNNNNNNNNNNNNNNNNNNNNNNNNNNNNNNNNNNNNNNNNNNNNNNNNNNNNNNNNNNNNNNNNNNNNNNNNNNNNNNNNNNNNNNNNNNNNNNNNNNNNNNNNNNNNNNNNNNNNNNNNNNNNNNNNNNNNNNNNNNNNNNNNNNNNNNNNNNNNNNNNNNNNNNNNNNNNNNNNNNNNNNNNNNNNNNNNNNNNNNNNNNNNNNNNNNNNNNNNNNNNNNNNNNNNNNNNNNNNNNNNNNNNNNNNNNNNNNNNNNNNNNNNNNNNNNNNNNNNNNNNNNNNNNNNNNNNNNNNNNNNNNNNNNNNNNNNNNNNNNNNNNNNNNNNNNNNNNNNNNNNNNNNNNNNNNNNNNNNNGAUCUUUGAUUCGGAAUAGCAGUUACCUUUGGUUGCCAUGCUCUAUUUGACAUUUCAAGAUCUUGAUGUUCAGCUCUUCUUUAUCAAAUUUCUUGUCAAGGCUUAUAAAGUGAUUGAUGAUGUGCAUGAAUCUUUUCUGCACCUCAGAAAUUGUUUCUCCUUUAAGCAUUCUAAACAUCUCAUACUCUUGGAUAAGACCAUGCUUUCUAGCUCUUUUCACCUCAUUUGUUCCUUCAUGAGUGACUUCCAAAGUGUCCCACAUUUCUUUUGAUGAUUUGCAUUGCGAGACCUUGAAAAACUCAUCAGAAUUUAAAGCAGAGGUUAUAAUAUUUUUGGCAAUGCAAUUGAAUUUGGCCUUUUUGCUUUCUGCAUCAGUCCAUUGAGACCAUGGUUUCUCAAUGACAAAUCCAUCCUUUUCAAACUUUGGGACAAAAGGACCAUUUUCAAUUGCAUCCCAAAUUCCUUUGUCAAGAGAUUCCAUAAAUAUUUUCAUUCUUACUUUCCAAAACUGGUAAUUCAAACCACAAAACAAAGGUGGUCCGUUAAUUGAAGCACCUUCCCCAAAAGGUAGUCUAUCAGCCAUUUAAAAAAGAUUUUUAGGAUCAACUUGAAUAACUUUCAAGAACCAAGCUCUUGAUGCCAAUUGUUAGAAUAGAUGGCUUUAAACUAGAGGGGGGUGACUUGUUUAAAGAGAAUUUUCGUAAAAUUUUAAAACAAUAAUGAAUUUAUCUCAGGAAACAAUUGAUUCAGAAAUUCAGUUCACCAAAACAACAAGCAAAAGCUGCAGUACCAGAAAAACAAUCGGUUGUUUCACAGAAACAAUCGGUUGUUUAUACCAGCAAACAACAAAUAAAACUAAAUUUAAAGAGUUAGAGAUAGAGAGAUUGUACACAGUUGUUUAUACUGGUUCACUCCAAACCCAGAGCUACAUCUAGUCUUCUCAGAACCCUGAGGAAAUCCACUAAGCAACCACACCUUGAUCACUUACACAACAACCAAGAGAAUGACCUUGAACACCUCAAGAAACACACUCUCCUUGGUCAACACACUUACACCAAGAUUGCUGAUCUUGAUCGCCUCAAGAACACACAAUCAAUCUUAGCAAACUCAGAAACGAAACUUGUCUUUACAGAGAGUACAAGGAUUACACUUGUUACAGAAGAUAAUCUGAAAUCAAUACAAGCAGAAUCCUAUUCCACAACUUUGAUCAAUCACACACUUUUGGCAAUCUCAGCUCUUUGAAAAACUCAAAAACUCUUAGCAAAAACUUAUCAAAGAUUUAUUGUCAAAUCUGUUUUUCUGAAUUUAUUCAAAGAUGUAGUUUGUUAUCAAAUCUUAACAAACUCUUAAAUUGCAUUAAAAGAUUGGUCAAAGAAUUUAAUGACUGGAGCGUAAGCAGUUAAAUCAUUUAAAGCUCAGUCAACAAGAAAACAGUUUUUCUGUUAUGGUCCCAAAACAAACAAUCGGUUGUUUCCUCGAAUCAAUCGAUUGUUUUGGUACUUAACAGUUCAACCAUUUUAAAAACAGUUUUCAAUCUUUUUCUCAAAACACCUAAGUAUAAACAAUCGGUUGUUUCGAAAAAACAAUCGGUUGUUUUAACUUAGUUUGAAAACAUAUUACUUUCACAAAGAUUGAGAUGCUUAUGCUUUAGAUUUAAUCAAAGGGUGGAUUACAACAUUCAAACUACCCCAGAACUAAGCUAAACCAGCACAACAACAUCAAGCAAAGCAAAGGCUUCAACAUCCUUCAAAGGAUUUGGAUUCUUCAAAGCUUGAACAUCACUUGGUUCAACACCAUAUACAUGCAUGCUUUUGUAUUUAAGGGUCAGACAUAGGUGAUUUAAAGUAAAUUUUAUUAUUUGUCUCUCUACGAUACGAUCAAAACAACAACUUAAUAAAUUAUUAUUGGUGCUUCCCGCAUUCCUAAAAAACAUUUUCACCAUUUCUCACUGAUCUUCGCCUUUUUUAUUAUUUGUCUCCUGGUUCAACACAAAUAGAUGUUAUCAAAGCAAUAACACAUAUUCUUAGAUCUUAAAUGCAAAUAUUGAAUUUUCUUUUUAACAAAUGAAUAUGCUUCGACGGUUGAUUAAUAAUCAUAGACAUCACGUACGUUCAUAUUUAUUAAAACUUACUAUAAAUUUAUUUAUAUUGUUAAUAUAAGUGUACGAAUAAUAAUAUUAUUUAUUCAAAUUUUAAUAUUAAACAUUAUUUAUUCAAAUUUUAAUAUCAAACAUAUAUAUCAAACAUUGUUAAUAAAAAAAAUAAUAAUAUGAAUAUUAUUAUUAAUAAUAAUAUUAAUAAUAUUAAUAGUAUUAAUGAUAUUAAUAAUAUGAAUAAAAUUAAUAAUUUUACUAAUAAUAAUAAUUAUAAUAUAAAUAAUAUUAAUAAAAAUAUUAAUAAUUUUAAUAUUAUUUAUAAUAUUUAAUAAUAUUAAUAAUACUAAUAAUAUUAUUUAAUAAUAAUAUUAUUAAUUUUUAAUAACAUUAACAAUAUUUUUUUAUAAUAUUAAUAAUAUUUUAUAAUAUUAAUAAUAUUUAAUAAUAUUAAUAAUAUUUAAUAAUAAAUAAUAUUUAAUAAUAUUAAUAAUAUUUAAUAAUAUUAAUAAUAUUUAAUAAUAUUAAUAAUAUUUAAUAAUAUUAAUAAUAUUUAAUAAUAUUAAUAAUAUUUAAUAAUAUUAAUAAUAUUUAAUAAUAUGAAUAAUAUUUAAUAAUAUUAAUAGCAUUAUUAUAAUAAUUAUUAAUGUUAUUAAUCUGAAUAAUAAUAUUAAUAUUAAUAAUUUUUAUAUUAUUAAUUAUAUUAAUAUUGAUAAUCAUACUAAUAAAUAUAAUAAUAAUCAUAACAUAACAACAAAACUUAAAUGGUUUAGUAAUUAGACCUUCUUUGGUUACUACUUGCUCUUUAGAUUUUUCUGAAACCAAUAAUAAUAAUAAUAAUAAUAACAAUAAUAAUAAUAAUAAUAAUAACUCUUAAUCUCACCUCUCUCCACAUAAACACACUCUCUCUGCCAUAUAAGCAACACCUAACGCUGUUAGGUGGGACUUAACGAGAAGGACCAAUUUGGAUAUAUUUUAAAAAAUAUAGGAACCACUGUACUAAAUUGAAUAUUGACCCCAAAUGUAGGGACGAAUAAGGUAAUUAAACUUAAAAUGAAAUAAUAUAUAAAGUUAUAAGCAUCCAUUCAUUGCAUUGAAAAUUAAAACACACAUAAUUGUUAAAAAGUUGAUACAUAAUUAAAAAUUAAAACACAAAUAAUUAUUCAAAAGUUGAUACAUAAUUUAAAGUUAAAACACACAUUGUUCAUCCCUAAUUAUUCUAUAAGCCAGUUCUUGAACAAACUAAAGUUUACAAAAAUAUUUUUGCUUAAAUAGAAACAAUAAACUGCCAUCAUGAAAAGGCUAAAUAUGUUCCUCACCCAUAAUAGACAUCACAGACAUCACAAGGUCCUUGCCCUCUGCAAAUCCAUCCUUUAUAUGCAAAGAGAAAUCAAUACAAUGAAAACAAUGAGAGAAAGUCCCUAUAAACAAUAAUUUGUAUUGGUCAAUGCAAAAGGGGAAAAUUCUCUAAAAUUGAACAAAUGUGAGUCAGCAAACUGUCAUCAGUGGGGAGCCUGAGGUCAUCCUUAGUGUUCCCAUUUUCAGUAAGCAGACUCAUCUACAAUAAUUUAGUAGCAAAAUCAGGUUCAUAUUUCCUAACAGAAGCCAAACUAAUUAUACUAUUUAUAACAUAAUAAUAAAAGGAAAAAUUGAAUAGAAACAUCAACUCACAAAUCCAUCCUUAGAUAUAUCAAUUAGCUGGUAAUUAGUACGAUUCACAUGAGGACCUAACAACAAUCAUUUGCAACAACUCAGGAAAAUAUUUUUCAAGUUAAGUUAAUCUACCACAACCAUAAAAAUUAAAAUUAAAAGAUAAAGAGAUAUGCAUACAUCAAAAUUGUGAGAGGAGGGCACAAUGUCCUCAAGCUUCUUGGCAAUGAAAAUAUCAAUUCCAAUGAAAUGAAACUUAGUGUGACCGUGCUUUCUAGUUUUGGAAGUAGAGACUUCCACAACCUGUUAACAAUAUAGAUAUAAUAAAAUUAAAAUAAGCUACAAAAAUCAACAUCCAUAUACAUAAAUAAAUUGAUAAGACAAACAUAGGACAUCAAAUUAAUAGCACAUUUGAACGAAUUAUAAAGAAAUUAACAAUAGUGAGUGUGGGUCUAAAAAGCGAAAACAAAGCAAUGAUGGAAGAAAACCUAAAAAAAAAUUAGGGUUUAAAAAGUAAUUGAACUUGCACGGACGAGCUUUGAUACUAUGUAACCGUUCUUGCGAAUUGUACUAGCUUGUUGAGGGUAGGUUUUGGAGGCUCCGGCGUCAACCUUGGAAAAAUUAAGAACAAGGCAAAGACAAGCUAUAAAUAAGAAUGUCAUCAAAAUAAACUACUACACACUUGUCAAUGAAAGGUCGUAAAACAUAGUGCAUGAGUUGCAUGAAGGUACUUGGAGCAUUGGUCAAGUCAAAAGGUAUGACUAACCACUCAUAUAAACCAAACUUGGUCUUAAAGGCGGUUUUCCAUUCAUCCACCGGUUUAAUCCGGAUUUGGUUAUAACCACUCUUAAGAUCAAUUUCUGUAAAUAUUUGAGACCCAUCUAAUUCAUCCAACAAGUCAUCUAAUCUAGGAAUGGGAUGCCUAUACUUGAUGGUUAUAUUGUUUAUGGCACGACAAUCCGUACACAUCCUCCAACUCCCAUCCUUUUUAGGGACAAGAAUCACAUGCAUAGCACAAGGACUCGUGUUGUCUUGCCCCCACCUUUAGCUAUUAAUUCAUCAACUUGUUAUUGAAUUUCUUUGGCCUCGGUUGGAUUGGUCCUAUAUGCAGGCCUAUUUGGUAAAGAAGCACCAGAAAUGAAAUCGAUUUGGUGCUCAAUGCCCCUUAGAGGAGGUAAUCCUUUUGGGGGAUCUUGAAAAACAUCAUUAAAUUCCUUUGCCAAACAUGAAGAACUAUCUACCACCAACUCACUCUCAAGGGUCCUAGGGAAAGCUAUGAAAAUAUUCUUUUGGGAAAGCAUUACCUUUUUUACCUCUUGUGGUGAAAUGAGAAGGCUUCUCUUAUAAUUCUUUUUUUCUUUUUCUUUUUCUCUCUUUUCUUUCAUUCUAAGUUAGUCAUCAUGGACUUCCUUUGAUGAGAGAGAUUUUAGUGUGACCUUAUGCCCAUGGAAGUUGAAAGAGAUUUUGUUGGUAAGGCCAUCAUGAAGAGUUUUUCUAUCAUAUUGCCAUGACCUAUCUAACAGAAUAUGAGUAGCUUCCAUAGGUACAACAUCACACAAGACCUCAUCCUUGUAUUUGCCAAUAGAAAAGGCUAUGAGGACUUGCUUAUUGACUAUGAUCUCCCCCUCUUCACUUAACCAUUGAAGCUUAUAGGGCUUGGCAUGAGAGAUAGUAGACAAUCCAAGCUUAUCUACUACUCUUGUGCUUGCCACAUUCGCAUAACUCCCCCCAUCCACUAUUAAAGAACACAACUUAUCAUUAAUGACACAUCUAGUGUGGAAAAUAUUUUCUCUUUGACUUUCAUCAAAGGGCUUUAAAACUUGUCCUAGUAUUCUUCUCACUACUAAUAAGUUGCCUUCACAUGGACUCUCACAUUCUUCCUCACUUGGGGAUCUAGAAGGGUUGGGAGACCUAGAUCUUUGAGGACUAUGGUCACUUAGGACUACCCCUUCAUGCACAAUCAUAUUGCGUUUGGAAGGACAAUUUGAAGCAAUGUGACUAAAAACCUAAACAUUUAAAGCAUUUUCUAUUUGAGGUUUUAGUAGGGGAUUUAGGGGUUGAAGUUGAGGGUUUAGAAUCCCUAGUUUUGUAAGUGAACUCCUUAACAAAAUUAAAGGGAAAAGUUGAAGAAAUUUUGUUUUUGUUUUUCCAAAACGAGUGCUAAAAGCCAUCAUUAUGAGAAUUUUUAGGAGAUGUUUUCUUUGAAAUUUGUGAUUCUACCUUGAUGGCAAGGUGAACCAACUUUUCUAAAGAGGAGUACUUAUAGAGUUCUACCACAUCUUGGAUAUCCCUUCUUAAGCCACUUACAAAUCUAGCCAUUUUUUAUUCCUCACUUUCAUGCAUGUCAAUCUUUGUUAAAGUUGUUUAAAGUUCCUUAAAAUAAGCAUCCACACUUUGUGUUCCUUGUUGAAGUCGUUGGAGUUUCAACAAGAGCUCUUUCCUACAGUGUGGAGGCACAAAUCUAGGCGCAUGCAUAACUUCAAAUCCUCCCAAGAGAUCACGGCUGACCUCUUGUUUAGUCCUAUGUCCAUGACAGUUUUGGGCCACCAUUGCAUGGCAUAAUCCAAAAAUUCUAAAGAGGCUAACUUAACUUUUUGGUCUUCUUGGACCUCAUGUACAUUAAAUAUUUGUUCUACUUUAGCCUCCCACCCUAAAUACACAUUUGGAUCACCUUCCCCACUAAAACUAAGAAUUUUUACAAAAGGUAAGGAAGGCUUUGCCACAUGUUGACACCUAUCAUCAAAAUGUUACAUUCGCCAUUCUUCCUCUUCUUCAUGGCUACCAUAGUAUUGGUAACUUCUUGAUUCACGCCUAGGAUGAUAUCCUCUCCCUCUUUGAGGUUUAUCAUAGGUCGCUUCUAGCCUUUGGAAUCUUUCCUCCAUUUGCCUCAUCUCUUCAUCUUUUUGUGCAGUAGAUCUUUUGGCCGCCGCCAAUUCCCCCAUAAGGAAAGCCUUUUGGGGAGAUUGGGGUUUAGAAGAUGAGUUAUGGAAAGAAAUGUCCAUAGUUUGCAUCAUGCAUAAUUUUCAAGAACUUUCAAUUUGCACAAAAUUUUUUGGUUUGGAAGGUGCACAACUUGUAUCAAGAUCAUUCCAAACACUCAAAGAAAGAAAUUCUUCCCUUAGCCAAGGUCUCUCUUGUGGAUGAAACUUCAAAAUUAAAAGCAAGUAAGUAGAAUCAAAACAAGGACUCCUAGAAAACUAAUGAACAUAAGACUCAAAAUAAAAGACACGGUUCUUCAAGAGAUAAGUUCUCAAAAAAAUUUGUUCUUCAUUUUUCCAUAUUGUUUUUCAGGUCUUGAUUUUACUUUUGUUUUAGUUCUACCAAUUUUUUUGUUGUUUGUUUGGUUUAAACAGUUCAAAUAACUUGUUCUUUCUUGAACUGUCUAUAUUGAUGUUUAGGAGUUCUUUUUGAGUUUAUCUUAUGUGCUUUUUAAUUUUGUUGAGUCUUCUUUCAUUUUAUUUUGGUAAAAACAAUUUAUGUUGGUUUCAUUUUAAUUUUAUGAUCCAUUUUUAGUUUUCUAAAGUCAUUGUUUCCAUAUAUGUCAUAAAAUCAAGUAGUCCUUUGUUUGAUUUUUUGUUUAUUAUUUUUACAAUGAAUAUCCAUGUAGUUUGAGUCAUUUUUGUGCCUUUUGUGUGCUCUUCUUUUUAUGAUUUUGAGUCUCUUAUCUUGUUAUUAGAUCAUUAACUGUUAGAAAAGAUGGCUUUAAACUAGAGGGGGGGUGAAUGGUUUAAAGGGGUUUUUGCAAACUUUUCAAAGCUAGAAUGAACUUAUUUCAGAAAUCAAAUGAUUAAGCAAUUUAGUUAGCCAAAACAGCAAGCAAAACUGAAAUACCAGGAAAAACAAUCGGUUGUUUCUUCGAAACAAUCGGUUGUUUAUGCCAGCAAACAACAAACAAACUGAAAUUAAAGAGUUAAGGAUAGAAAGAUUGUACACAGCUGUUUAUACUGGUUCACUCCAACCCAGAGCUACAUCCAGUCUUCUCAGAAACCCUGAGGAAAUCCACUAAGCAACCACACCUUGAUCACUUAUAACAAUAACCAAGAGAAUGACCUUGAACACCUCAAGAAACACACUCUCCUUGGCCAACACUAAGAUUGUUGAUCUUGAACACCUCAAGAACAUACAGCCAAUCUCAGCAACACACACAAACGAAUUGUUCAGCAGUUUACAAAGAUUACACUUGUUACAGAUGAAUAUCUGAAAUCAAUACAAGAGAAUCUUAUUCAGCACCUUGAUCAAUCUCUCAACUCUUUAGCAAUCUCAGAAUACUUUGAAAAACUUUUUUAGAUGAAAACUUUGUUUCAAGAUUCUUAAUAUAUCAAAAACUGUUUUUCAGAAUAUAUCUAAGAAUAUAGUUUGUUAUCAAAUCUUAACAAACUCUUAAUUGCAUUUAAAAUAGAUUGGUCAAAGCAUUUAAUGACUGGAGCGUAUUCAGUUAAAGCAUUUAAAGCUCAGUCAAAGAAAACAGUUUUUUCUGUUAUGGUUUUAAAACAAACAAUCGAUUGUUUCCUCGAAUCAAUCGGUUGUUUUGUUACUUAACAAAAACACCAUUCAAAAAAAUUUUUCAAACUUUCUCAAAAACACCUAAGUGUAAACAAUCGGUUGUUUCGACAAAACAAUCGGUUGUUUCAACUUAGUUUGUAAAACAUUUUGCUUUGUUAAUAUUGAGAUGCUAAUUGCUUUGAGAUUUAAUCUAAGUGUUGAUUACAACAUAGAACUACCCCAGAACAAGGCUAAAACAGCACAGCAACAUCAAGCAAAGCAGAGGCUUCAUCAUCCUUCAAGGGAUUUGGAUUCUUCAAAACAUUGAACACCACUUGGUUCAACAAUCUCCCCCUAUUUGAUGAAGACAAAUCCCUGAUGCUUGUGUUGUUCUUGAUUAAAUCUGAAGCAGUUUCUGCAAAAGAACUUUGAGCAAUAUUUUGAACUUUCUGAUAUUCUGUUAGUAUACAGAUAAACAAUUAAAGCUUAAAACAGUCAAUUAUAGAGUCAAACUUCAUGUUAUUCAUGUUUUUAACACUAUGAAAAACAGAAAAAUUAACAAACUUUUAACAAACUUCAAACACAGCAUAUAUCUCCCCCUAUUUGUCUUCACAAAUAGACAAAGAUAAGAGAUAAAAGAAGACAUUGUUCACAUUACAUCAGAAUAAAACAGCAAGAGCAGAAGGAAGGAAAUUUUUUUAAAAAAAAAUAGAAACGAGAACAGCCAAAAACAAUCGAUUGUUUCGAUUUUCAAUCGGUUGUUUUUCUUCAAUCUUCUUCAUCAGCAAACUGAAGAUCAAAGGUCUGAUUCUGGACAGCUUCAAUCUGUUCGUCCAGUGUCAUAAACCUUGCAUCCAUGUUGUCAAACCUUGUGUCAAUCCUUUGAAAGUUGCUAACACACAGAUCAUGAAGGCUCCUUUGAUUUUCAGCAAAGCUAUCAAGCCUAUUCACCAUGAGUCUUUCAAAAGGUGACAUGGUUUGCAUUCUUUCUCUUUGAUUCCCAUCUUCAGUGCUAGGUCCAGCAUCUUGAAAAUCUCCAUUUGGAUCUUCAUGUUGAACAUCCAUAUCAGCAGCUUCAUCUGGUUCAAAAUUGGCAGCACCACUUGAUGAGGCACCAUGAUCACCAUCCUUACUUAACCACUUUCCACCUAUUUUUGUGAAGCCCAUCUUGCUGAGUGAUCCAUUGUUCAACUCUUGAGUUGACUUGACCAGCUCAGAAGUUUCAUCUUCAAGAUUAACUUCAAAAAAGAGUAGAAACUUAGAUAUUAAAACAGCAUAGGGAUAAUGGUAAUCACCUAACCUCAUGGCUUUUUCCAUAUGUUCUUUGAUUAUGUGAAUCCAAUUGAUCUUCACUUUCUUGGUAAUGCAGAAGAUGUAAACCAGAUCUUCUUCAGUCAACACAGAUUGAUUGCUCACCCUAGGAGUUAGGAUCCACGUUACAAUGAGAGCAAGCAGCCUCUCAUCUAGCUUCAAGCCACCAACCGAACAAGUGCUAACUUGAGUUUGAUUAUUCUUCAAGCAAAUUUUGUAGAACUGAAUCUUGUUGAAAUCUUCUACCACACCAAGGUUUCCUUUGUUGAUUCUUAGUCCAGAGAACUUGAGUCCAGCUACAGCAGCCCAAACCUCAUGGGUUAUCUCCAUCUCCACGCCUUUUACAUGAGAGACCAAGUUGUUUCCCUCAAACUUCAAGUUGGUGUAGAAGACUCUCACCAAAUCUGGAUAUAUAUUACCUUUGAGCUCCAGAAACUUUCUAAGUGACUGGUCUUUGAGAAGCUUCCUCACAUUGUCAAGUUUUUGACUUUUCAGCCAAUUAAAGCACACAACCUUGAGGUUGUUAAUUUUCCUUACACUUGUUUCAUAUCUAUACUUCUCAAUGAGCUCGGUGUCACCAGAAAACCAGCUUUCAAGCCUUCCUCCAGACCUUACUGCUCUGGUUUUGACUCUUUUAGCAGUGGGAGGAGUUGAUUCCAUGAUAGCAGAGACGAAAACAAAGGAGAGCACAAAACCCAGAUUUUUCAAGAGAUAGAGCAAGAGAUAUUGCAAGAGAUGUUGCAAUUGGUUGUUCUUGUUGAAAGAAAUCUGCACCUGAUUUUAUAGCAGCAAGAGAAUCAAUUUGAAUUUAAUUUCAUUCAAUGGGUACCUGAUUUUCAGAGAGAGGGUUUGACUCUGUUCUGCACUGAAAAUGUCAGAAAAAGCUGAAAAUCACAUGGUCUUCACAUGUGAUCUUUGACUAGUCAUUAAGGCUUUUGAUUUUCCAAGAUUUUGGAAUAUAUUCCUUUAUGACUGUUGUAAAUCCUUUUUGAACGUGAUCAACUUUCAACACAGAUCCAUUGACCAAGAUUCUCCCUUUGAAAAAUAUCUGCAACAGCUAGAAAUUCAAAAAGCAGUUAAAUCAAUUUCUACACAGUGCUGUCAGACUCAAAACAAUCAAUUGUUUCGAAGAAACAAUCGGUUGUUUUUCUGCAGCAGUUAAAAACUUAACUUUUCAAUUUUUAACCAUAAACAGAAACAGAUUAAGGCACAUGACAGUGAUUGAAAUACAAUUAAUCAUAAGAAAGAACUUGGAAACAGAAAUUGAGAACAAAUAAAAGGAAGGUCUUAUCCUUGUGUUGUUUCUUCAAUGAGCCAAUUGCUUGUUGAUCAAGAAAACUUCUUUUCACUGUUUUGACCUUUUGCACAGCAUUGAUUCAGCUUCAAUGACUGCCCUUUUUUUUUCAACAGCUUGAUCAGAAGGCUUAAAUCUUCCUUUUCUCUUCAUUUUUCCUGCCUAAACAAAUUCAAGUUGCAAGAUUUGGUCCCCUUACAAAUUUGGGUCCACUUGGCUUUUCUUUGCUGUUAGAAACAUCACAUCCCUUAGGAAUCCAUUUCAUAAAACCUUUAGGAACAUAACAUUUUCUAAUUUUGCAGAAUCUAACAGAGUGGCCUUUCUUCAUGCAGUAAAAGCAUGUAACAACCGGUUGUUUCUUCUUAAUAAUCGGUUGUUUUUCUGAUUUUCUCAAAAAACUUUUUGAAAAUCUAUCUUGCUUGUUCUGUGGAUUGAAGCCUAAACCAGCCCUUCCAAAAAAACAGCUUUGAGAUGCUAGGACAUUCUCAAAGUUUGACUUUCCUUUUGAAAGCUUGUCCACAGUUUCAACAAGAUAGUGAACCUUUUUCUCAAGAUUUUCACAAUUUUUGCAAUUGAGAGUAUCACACUUGCAAGAGGCAUUUUUUGAAAACUUUUUCCAGUUUUUCAAAAUCAUUUUUUUCUUUUCUCAGUUCCUCUUCAAGUGAUCUAACUUUCUUUUCAAGCCCAUUGUUAAGAUCUUUCAAUCGGUUGUUUGAAAGAACCAAUCUAUUAGCUUCAUCAUGUGUUUCUUGAAAAGCUUCAAGCAAUUCACUAUAGUUUUGUUCAUUUAAGGAAGCACAUGAACUUACCUCACUUGAACUGCAUGAAUCAUCAUCAUCAUCCUCAGCAACUAAGCAAAUGUUUGCUUUUUCAUCUUUACUUGAUGAAGAACUUGAUGAUGACACUUCAUUUUCAUCCCAAGCUAUGUAGGCUCUUUUUGUUUUGCCUUUCUUCUCCUUGUAGCUUGUCUUUUUCUCUAUACUCUUGUUGGGACAAUCAGCCUUUAUGUGACCUUGCUCACCACAACCAAAACAAGUAUAGUUAUUUGAAUUAAAUUAAUUGGGUUUCUUGUUUCCAUACCUAUCCUUGUUGUUGUCUUUGUUGCGGCUUCUCUUGAGGAAUUUGCUGAAUUUUCUUGACAGCAAACUUAGAUUUUCCUCAUCACUAUCAUCACUUGAAUCUUGUUUUCCCUUAUGUUUGGAUGCUUUCAAGGCUAUGCUCCUUGUGUGCUUAUCUUCACUUUCUUGAACAUUGAGUCUAUUCAUCUCUAGCUCAUGUUCCCUGAGCUUUCCAAACAAAGAGGCAACACUUAAUGAUGUUAGAUCUUUAGAUUCGGAAAUAGCAGUUACCUUUGGUUGCCAAGCUCUAUCAAGACAUUUCAAGAUCUUGAUGUUCAGCUCCUCUUUAUCAAACGUCUUGUCAAGGCUCAUAAGGUGAUUUAUGAUGUGUGUAAACCUUUUCUGCACUUCAGCUAUGGUUUCACCUUUCAGCAUUCUAAACAUCUUAUACUCUUGGAUGAGAGCAUGCUUUAUAGCCCUUUUCACCUCAUUUGUUCCUUCAUGAGUGACUUCCAAAGUAUCCCACAUUUCCUUUGAUGACUUGCAUUGUGAGACCCUGAAAAACUCAUCAGAAUUUAAAGCAGAGGUUAUAAUAUUUUUGGCAAUGCAAUCGAAUUUGGCCUUUCUACUUUCUGCUUCAGUCCAUUGAGACCAUGGUUCUCAAUGACAGAACCAUAUUUUUCAAAUGUUGGAAUAAAAGGACCAUUUUCAAUUGCUUCCCAAAUUCCUUUGUCUAGAGAUUCCAUAAAUAUUUUCAUUCUAACUUUCCAAAACUGGUAAUUCAAACUAGAAAACAAGGGUGGUCUGUUUAUUGAGGCACCUUCCCCAAAAGGUAGUCUAACAACCAUUUUGAAUGAUUUUUAGGAUCAACUUGAAUGACUUAUAAGAACCAAGCUCUGAUACCAAUUGUUAAAAAAGAUGGCUUUAAACUAGAGGGGGUGAAUGGUUUAAAGGGGUUUUCGCAAACUUUUCGAAGCUAGAAUGAACUUAUUUCAGAAAUCAAAUGAUUAAGCAAUUUAGUUAGCCAAAACAGCAAGCAAAACUGAAAUACCAGGAAAAACAAUCGGUUGUUUCUUCGAAACAAUCGGUUGUUUAUACCAACAAACAACAAACAAACUGAAAUUAAAGAGUUAAGGAUAGAAAGAUUGUACACAGCUGUUUAUACUGGUUCACUCCAACCCAGAGCUACAUCCAGUCUUCUCAGAAACCCUGAGGAAAUCCACUAAGCAACCACACCUUGAUCACUUACAACAAUAACCAAGAAAAUGACCUUGAACACCUCAAGAAACACACUCUCCUUGGCCAACACUAAGAUUGCUGAUCUUGAACACCUCAAGAACACACAGCCAAUCUCAGCAACACACACAAACGAAUUGCUCAGCAGUUUACAAAGAUUACACUUGUUACAGAUGAAUAUCUGAAAUCAAUACAAGAGAAUCCUAUUCAGCACCUUGAUCAAUCUCUCAACUCUUUAGCAAUCUCAGAAUACUUUGAUUACCCUAAACCCUAAACCCUAAACCCUAAACCCUAAACCCUAAAACCAGCACAGCAACAUCAAGCAAAGCAGAGGCUUCAUCAUCCUUCAAGGGAUUUGGAUUCUUCAAAACAUUGAACACCACUUGGUUCAACAUUAACAAGUUCAUUAGAGUUAGGUUUCUAUUAUGUCUUGAGUUUCAAUUCUCCUUUUCAAAUCCUUUAAGUUUCUUCUUUUCCAAUUUUUAUGAAAUUUUGUCUCUGUUGUGAGAAUUUAUUGUGGGUUUUUAUUUUGGUAAAAAAAGCUGAAAAUAUUUGCAUAACCCUAUUGAGAAUUUUUUUGGUAUCCAUUUAAAACAGAAUGUCCAAAAAUAAAAUAGAAAAAAAAGUUAUAAACAGUAAAAGUGAGGACGUUUUCAGCUCCAAAAAACAGUUUCAGUGUGGUGUUGCUCUCGGUAUAAAAUUUACUGCACCUUAUUCCUUGGGCUUUUUUACUAGAAAUUUUAACUACACCUUACUGGAUGUCUUAUGGAGUUGGGAUAAAAGUUUGAGAUUCAAAUUCGUUAUAAUAUUUCCCUAGUAAAUUUUUGAAUGAUCUCUAUCAGUGCUAAAAAAACAGUUUCAAUGUCUGAAUACCAGUGUUGCAGUGUUUGAUUUAUUUCUCUCAUAAUACACAUCUCUUUGACCUAAAAGGUAUUCCAUUUGAUCAAAUAUUGUGUUGAUAUUUUCACUUUGGAAGUUUCACUGUUUGUUUCAUUCUAUAUGUAUUUUUUUAAAAAUUUAUUCUAGUUCCAUUCUUAGGUUUCCUAUUUGAGUGCUCACAGUUUUUGUUAUAUUUAACUGUUGAUUUGUCUCUUAAAAUAAUCCUUGCAGUUGUCAAAUUAAUCCAUUUGAGUUUAGCAAUUUUAAUUGAGCUUUUCUUGAACUUUUUACUUGUUGGCCUCAUAAAGUGAAAUUCAUAUUGAGUGGAAGUUUGGUUUUGAAGUUGUGAAGCUAAUUUCUACUUGAUGAUUCAUAGCUAAAGGCUAAAAUAAAUGAUUAUUUGGAGAGGGCAGAAAUUGAAGACAAGAAUCAAUAACAUAUAAAGAGAAGGAAGAUUUGACAACUUGAAGAAAAGAAAGUCAUAAAAAAAAGUUGUUUUAUUUUUAGCUUUGUAUCACGAAACCUUUGUGUACAAGUUUAAUUUUUUUUUUGUUUUUCUUAUCUUGCUUUCCUUUAUUUUUCUAAGUCUCCGUGAUACCUAAGUGAUUGCUCUUCGUUUGUAAUUGAUCUUCCUUUGAUCCACUAGGACGCCUUGCAUACAUCACAUUUAGGGAAAAUUUGUUUUGAACUUUCUUUUUAGGAAAAAAAUUGUUAAUACUAUCUGAGGUAAGCAAUGGCUAAGGGAAGACUUGGUAUUUAAGAAGUCCUAGUGACUCACCUCUCUUUCCUGGGAGUGAACUUGGAGACGGUUUGACUUGUUGACUUUGAUUGAAACUUCACCAACUCAAAAACCUAUUUGUGAAAAUAUUUUAUCACUCAUUUGAAAUAAAAAAAAUUGUGAAAAUAAUUUAUUUUUAAUUCAAAAUGAGUGAUCAUAAUCAUGCAUCUAGUGUUCAAGGUAGUAAUUAGAACACAAAAGAUGACUAUGGGUGGAAAGAAGAGGUUAGGUUAUUGAAAACAUAAUUAGAAAAACAUAGAGAAAAUACAAAUAAAAAAAUAAAUGAGAUAAGAGAAAUAUGUGUCUGGAGUUUAACCAAAUAUAGAUAUAAAUUUUUCCUCCACAAAAAAUACAGAUGAAUGUUUGAUUGAAAAGAAAGAAGAAGAAGAAACCAACAAAGAAGAAGAGUCUUUUAUGACACCCCUUGCAAACAUAGUUGAGAAAGAAUCCUUAAAAGGGAUUUCAAUACCUUGAACUCUUUUUUUCAAUUAUAUAAUGCUAAUUCUUCUUCGCAAAAAUCUCAAAAACAACACUUUGUGAUGUUGUUUCCUAGUUUAGGCAAAGAACAACACAAAGUGAACAAAAAUAGAUUUGAAAAGGAUUGUAUUUUUCAAAACUUUUAUAGCAAUAAAGGGCCUUAUUUUUAUUCUGUUUUCUUUUUCAUUAAUUUUCUUUUAAAGAAACUUUUUUCAUGUUUGUUUGAUGUUUUUGUAGAUGGAUAUUUGAUCCUGGAGGAAAAUAACAAAUAAACAGAGGUUUCUAUCAUAGAACAUCAUUUAUGAUCUGAGGACAGAUCUUUCUCAAGAGGGAGGGAAUGAUGAAAAUCCAUCCAGCCUCGAAACAUUUGGCUAAGAAGAUUGGAAGCAGAAAAAGGAGCUUUGAAUAGACUAUUGAAUCGCUACCAAAAUUUCAGUCCCAACUAGUUCCUUAGCUCACUCUUUGCUAGCACUAGUUUUGUGUCUAGCUUAGAACUUCUGAGGAGUUGGCUUCACCUUUCUUAAGAUUCAUUAUCAUUCUCCAUACACCAAUACUUCACAAAUUCUUUCACCCAAUUUUAGACACCCAAUCCCACCCAAUUCUACACCCCAAAAUACAAAACAAAAGACUCAUAACAAUGCAAGCUAGGAUUGCAACAUGUGAACUUUCUACAAAUUUACUUCUAGACCUAUGUGUUUUACUUUCCUAAGUUUUUUUUUAUAUUUUAUAAGCAUUUAUUUUAUCUUAUAAAUAUUUUUUUCAAGUUGGUCUAGUCGUGAACGGAUAUCUAUUUUAGUUUGAUCAUUUAUAUUUCCAUGAAUAUCAUAAUGAUGAAAUGGUCCACUCAUGGUUGAAUGUAAAAAAAUUUCGCAAGUGUUUGAAAGAAAAAGAUCAACUAAAGUGGGUCCCAAAACUUUUCAAAGUAAGAGAAUUUGUUUAAACAACUUUGUAGGUGAAGUUUAGUAAAGGAGGCUGAAGUGAUAAAUGUUCAAGUUCACUCCCAGGAAAGUGAGGUGAGUCACAAGGAUUUUUUAAGUACUAAGGCUUUCCUAGACAGAGGUAACCUCAAAGGUAUCUGAUGACUUUUUUACGGCAAGUGUACCGUAUCAUAAGUAAUAAUUUGUCCCUAAGGACGGAUAUCGAACCCAUGAGGAACAAUUGAAUUAUCAAGUAUAAGAUUCACUAAAUAUAAAACAAAAGAAUAAAAUGUGUUGGGAGUUUGUUAUAUUGAUUGCAAGAAUAAUAAAGAAAGUCAAAGAGUUUGUUGGUUCAAUUGGGAUUGGGGCUCAUCCUUCUUACUCUUUUGUAUUUUGAAAAGCAUAGUAACAUUUUAUCCUAUGAUUGAUGUUGAUGCCUAUAUAAAAGUCUUUUAUAUCAAUUCAUCGCAUAUAAAAUUAUUAAGAGAGUCCUAAAUAUCGAUUCCUCGCAUAUUUAUAAAAACUCAUUGGCAUUAUGAUUAGAUGUUGAUAUCAAUUAACAUUUCAAAUCUAUUCCUAGCAUCCAAAUAUGUUAAGCAUUAUCAUUUGGGUCAGAAACUUAGAAAUCUACUUUCCAGUCAAAUCUAAGGAUUUUGAUCAUGGUAAACAAGCAUUACAAAUGAAAUGACAAUACCAAUCAUCAAUCAAGAACAUAACAUUAUAUUUAAAUAUCACCUAAAUACAUAAGAGUUUGAAAAGAUUACUCUAAAACCCAAAGGGUAGAAUUAGCCACUCAUGUUGGCCAUUACAAGCAUGGAAAACAAGAAAAGAAUAUCUAGGAUGUUUCUCCUUCACGGCUACCUCCUCUAGUGUUUUCUAACACCUUUUAUUCUCCAAUUGAUCUUUAGGGUUGUGCCUCACACCUCAUAUUUAACCUAGUUGGGCUUGGGCUAAGUGACUACUCGCAUGGGCGAGUUUGACAAAAACAGGCCCAACGUCACUGGAGUGAUCUCGCCUGGGCGAGAUUGGGCUCGCUUGGGCGAGAUCCUUUGAAAGCUUCUAUCUUGGGCGAGUACUAGAGCGUUCCAACUUUCCCUUUUUUAUCUUUGUUUAUUCUCUUUUUGCCCUUUCAUUUCCAUUCUUCCCUAGAAUCCUGAAAUUAACACAAAUUUGGGAAUAAAUCAUUCUUAUUCAAAUUAUAAUCACAAAAUAUGUAAAAAUGUUUAAAUUCAUAAAUUAGGGGUUAUAUCAUAGUUAUUUUAUCAAUUAAUAUGCAUAAGUGUUUGUAUUUUAAUAUGAAAUACUAUUGAAAUAUGAAACUUAUAAAUAUCUCACAAAAGUUUUCAAAAGGAAACUUCAAAACAAUUUUGGAAAAUAAAAAUAAAAAUAUGUAUGCAUGUGAAUACUCGAAAAACCAAAGAAAGGUUAUCUAAUCGCAAGAAAAGGAAAAACGGUAAAGUAUCACAGAGACGUAUAAGCAAGGAAAAUAAGAAAGGAAGACAAGUACAAAAACAUAGCAAAAGAAUAGAUGCAAAAGUAAUGUUAGACGAGUCUUAUUGUUAUAGUGCAAUGAACAUUGAGAGUUCACUAACACACAAUCACUCUAAUGCAUGUAAAACUAUUACAAAUUUUUAUUGGGAUUGUCGUUGGAGCACUUUCCCAAACAACUAAAAUUAAAAAAAACUACACUAGAAAGAUGUAAAGUACACAAAAUUUCGUGAUACUAAAACAAAUUACAAAGUUUGAUCAUGAGGUCUUUGGUGAAAGCACUAAAAGUGUUUAAUUUGCUUCUUUGAAGUGAAGUGGAUCGAAAAUGCUUCUUUUUUAUCCCUCUUUCUCCUCUUGAUAGAGUCUUGAAGACCAAAAUAGAACCUAAAGAUUGUUGAUCCAAACCAAUUCUUGAUGCACCACUUCAAGCACAACCAACUCACCAAAUUGUGUAAUAAAUGAAGCCAAAGAAAAACUAAAAAAAUUGAAAAGCUAAACUCAAAGGGAAUAAGUGUGACAAACAAAAAUGGAGAAUCAAUAAAAGACAAGCAAAAAAUUAAAGCAAUUGAGAAAGGAAACACAAGCAAAAGGAACUAAGGAAAGCUCUAGAAAAGAUGAAAAACACAAAAAAUUUCUAAAGAUUAUGAGUUAGUGAAAUUUCAGCUGGUGUGGCUAGAAAACUGGAUGUAGCUCUUAUGGAGGAGUGAACUAGUAUAAAAAUUAUUGUAUGAUGUUCUUUCUUUCUCUCUUUAUUUUUCUGCACUAAAUUCUUGAAUUGAUUGAUUUUUAAAAUUCAUGUUGGUCAAUUGAAACUUUAAUCGAUUAUUUUGUUAUCUGCAAAUAUUUUAAUAUGUUGAUUUUUAGUAACUUCAUUCUAAACCAGAUUUUAAAAAAGUUCAAUUCACCUACCACACCCCUUUAACUCAACCUAUCGUUUUAUAUGUGUAUGCUAAAUACAUUGAAUAUUGUGAACGAACUUUAUGUACAAAACCUUUUGUCAGAAUAGAUGGCUUGAAACAAGAGGGGGUGAAUUGUUUUCAAAAGAUUUUCACAAAUACUGGUAUCAGAUUGAAAACUCAAUAAAAUCAACUAAUUUAUUUAUCUAUUCAACUGAUUAUAAAAAAAAAACAAGAAGCAUUUAAUCAAAAUAUAAACCAGUUGUUUUGAGAAUUCAAUCAAUUGAUUUAAAAGUAGAACAUUGUAAAGCACUUUAUAAAACAAAUAUCAAAGUGAAAGAGAGAGAUAUUGCACAAGAGAUUUAUAUUGGUACACUCUUAACCAAGAGCCACAUGUUAGAAACUAUGGCUUUAAACUAGAGGGGGAUGAAUGGUUUAAAGAGGGUUUUUGCAGACUUUUAAGCCAAGAAUGAAAUUACUUCGAGAAUAACUUGAUUAAGAAAUCAAUUUGCCAAAACACAAAGCAAAAAGCACAGCACCAGAAAAACAAUCGGUUGUUUCGCAGAAACAAUCGGUUGUUUAUACCAGUUUACAAAUAUAAAACUGAAAUUAAAUAGUUAAAGGAUAGAGAGAAUGCACACAGAGGUUUAUACUGGUUCACUCUUAACCAAGAGCUACAUCCAGUCUUCCCAGAAACCACAGGGAAAUCCACUAAGCAAUCAACCCUAGAUCACUUACAACACAACCAAAGAAGUGACCUUGAUCCCCUCAAGACACACACUUCCUUUGGUCCAGCACAACACCACUAAGAAUGCUGAUCUUGAUCCCCUCAAGAACACACAGCACUUCUCAGCUAUACACACAGAGUUUCUUUCAAAAGUACAAAGGAUUACACUUGUUACAGAAAAGAUCUGAAAUCAAUACAAGAUGAAAAUCCUAUCUCACACUCUUUGAUCAAUGCAAUCUCUAAGCAAUUCUCAACUUUUCAAAAGCUCAAUCUAUUGAAAAACUCAAAUCUGUUUUUUUGUAUUAAAAUAAAGUUAUUUGUUGCAUAAUCUUAACAAACUAUUAAUUGCAAUUAAAGAUUGGUCAAAGUAUUAAAAACUGGAGCGUAAACAGUUGUAAAAUCAUUUAAUGCUCAGUCAAAGCACAAAAUAGUUUUAUGUUAUGGUCCCAAAACAAACAAUCGGUUGUUUCCACGAAUCAAUCGGUUGUUUUGGUUUGACAGCAAGUCAACCAUCAAAAAUAGUUUUCAACCUUUCUAAAAACACCUAAGUAUAAAACAAUCGGUUGUUUCGACAAAACAACAGGUUGCUUUUCACUUAGUUUGAAAAACACUUUUCAAUUAAAAGGUUUGAGAAUGCUUAUGCUUUGGAUUCAAUCAAGAGUGGAUAUAUACAAUUAAUCUACCCAGAUCCUACCUAGAGACAGCUCAGCAACAGCAAGCACAUCCUGUCUUUCAUCAACCUUCAAAGGGUUUGGAUUCUUCAAAGCUUGAACACACUUGGUUCAACAAUCUCCCCCUAUUUGAUGAAGACAAAUCCCUGAUUGCUUGUGUUGGAUCUGAUUGAAUCUGAAGCAGUACCUGCAAAAACAACAUAUGUACAGUCCAAUGCUUCUUACAGCAGCAGGUUAGAUUUUCACACUUUGAAAGCAGAUUUCCAGACUAACAAUUGGUUGUUUACUCGAAACAAUCGGUUGUUUUUAUCAGCAGAAGCAGAAACAGGUUUGAUAUCGGAGAUUUUAGCAGAUUUAAACAGUUUUAGAGAAAGAUACACAAGAAACAAUCAAUUACCCCCCUAUUUGUCUUCACAAAUAGACUCUAACAGGUAUUAAAACAGAUUUAGGAAAGAUUAUGAAGGUCAAGGAUACCUAACUCAUUUCUUAGAAAGAAGAACCUCUCUUUUGGUAAUGGUUUUGUGAAGAUAUCAGCUAACUGCAGUUUAGUAUCAACAAACUUCACUUCACAGUCCCCAUUGCUUACAUGAUCCCUGAUGAAAUGAUGACGUAUCUUAAUAUGCUUAGUCCUAGAGUCCUGAAUCUGAUUUUUGGUAAGAUUGAUGGCACUUGUCUAAUCACACAUCAAAGGAACCUUGCUGAUUUGCAAUCCAAAGUCUGCAAGUUGUUGUUUGAGCCACAGAAUCUGUGCACAACAGCUUCCAACAGCUAUGUACUCAGCCUCAACAGUAGAGAGAGCUACACAUGCUUGCUUCUUGCUAUGCCAUGAGAUAAGGCUUGAACCAAGAAGGUGGCAAGUGCCACUUGUGCUCUUCCUAUCUAGCUUGCAACCUGCAAAGUCAGAAUCUAAAUAACCAAUUAAAUGAAUGGGAGAGUGAGAAGGAUACCAUAACCCAACAGUUGAUGUUCCUUUGAGAUAUUUCAGAAUUCUUUUUGCAGCUUUGAAGUGUGACUCCUUAGGAUUUGCUUGAUAUCUUGAACAAAGACACACCGCAAACAUAAUGUCCGGUCUACUUGCUGUUAAAUAUAACAAAGAGCCAAUCAAACCUCUGUAUUUGGUUUGAUCUAACCCUUUUCCAGCAGCAUCUGCAUCCAUGUAGCAGCUUGAUGGCAUAGGAGUGCUUGCUUCUUUGCAACUCUCCAUUUCAAAUUUCUUGAGAAUCUCUUUACAAUACUUUUUUGCUUAACCUGCAAUCCAAGAAUGAAAGACAAUUCUCCCAUCACAGACAUUUCAAACUCACCUUUCAUAGCAACCACAAAUUCUUCAGACUAACUAUCUUGUGACCAAAGAUGAUGUCAUCAACAUAGAUUUGCACAAGGAUAAUUUCAUAAUUUGACUUUUUGAUGAAGAGAGUCUUGUCAAUCAUUCCCCUUUCAUAGCCAUGAGACAGCAGAAAGUUGCUAAACCUCUCAUACCACUGCCUUGGAGCUUGCUUCAGUCCAUACAAAGCCUUUUUCAACUUGAAGACAUGAUUGAGAUGUUGAUGAUCUUCAAAGCCCGGUGGUUGAUCCACAUACACUUCCUCGUUGAUGUAGCCAUUCAAGAAAGCACUCUUGACAUCCAUUUGGAAGAGUUUGAAACCACUCAUACAUGCAGAAGCCAGCAGCAACCUCACAGCUUCCAAUCUCGCAACAGGAGCAAAGGUUUCACCAUAAUCAAUGCCCUCCUCUUGAUUGUAGCCUUUGGCAACUAGCCUUGCUUUGUUCCUUGUGAUCACACCAUCUUCAUCAAACUUGUUUCUGAAUACCCACUUCGAACCUAUGAUGUUCAUCUCAGCUGUUUUAGGGACAAGAAACCAUACCUCAUUCCUUGCAAACUGAUUCAGCUCUUCAUGCAUAGCUUCAACCCACUUUUCAUCCUUGAGAGCUUCAUCAAUUGACUUUGGUUCAAUUUGAGAGACAAAAGCAGUGUGCCUGCAGAAGUUUGAGAUGGAGUUACGUGUAGAGACACCUUCCUUUAUCUGCCCUAUGAUGUUUUCCACUCUCAGAUCUAUAGGAAUCCUCCAUUCUUUGGGCAACUCACUCUGUUGAAGAAUUUCAAUCGGUUGUUUCUACGAUUCAACCGGUUGUUUUUCUGCACUGAUGCCCAGCUUCUCCAAACUGAUGUUCUGCUCAUCCUCUUCAGCACUGGUCUUCGGGAUUUGAAUGCUUUUGCGAUCCACCUCAUCAAAGACAACAUGAACAGACUCUUCUACAGUCAUUAGCCUCUUGUUGUAGAUUCUGUAUGCAUGACUUGUUAAAGAAUAGCCUAUGAAGAUACCAAGAUCAGCUUUUUCAUCAAACUUCCCUAGGCUUUCCUUUCCAUUGUUGAGAAUAAAACAGCUGCAACCAAAAACUCUGAGAUGAUUGAUGUUAGGCUUCCUUCCAUUGAAGAGUUCAUAAGGAGUCUUCUUUAGAAUUGGCCUAAUUAGCACUCUAUUCAUCACAUAACAAGAAGUGCUAACUGCAUCAGCCCAAAAAUACUUAGGAACUGAAGAUUCACUAAGCAUUGUUCUUGUUAGCUCUUCAAGGGACCUGUUCUUCCUCUCUACCACACCAUUCUGUUGUGGAGUUCUUGGAGCAGAGAAAUUAUGCAGAAUCCCCAUCUUUUCACAAAACUUGCUGAACUUUUCAUUUUGGAAUUCUCCUCCAUGAUCACUUUUUAUUGAGCCUAUGUUGUUGUUCUUUGUGUUUUGCAAUCUUCUUGAAUGCAGAAAAGGCAUCACUUUUUUAUUCCAAGAAUAGAGUCCAAGUGAACCUAGAAAAAUCAUCCACAAUAACAAAAGCAUAGUAAUUGCCACCAAGGCUCAUGAUUCUUGAAGGUCCAAAAAGAUCCAUGUGAAGUAGCUCAAGAGGUUUUAAAGAAUAAACAACAUUUUUUAUUUUAAAAGAGAUUUUCACUUGUUUCCCCUUUUGGCAAGCUUCACAAAUAUGAUCCUUCUCAAACUUAAGCUUUGGUAGCCCAAUCACAAGAUCCCUUGAAAUUAGCUUGUUCAAGUGAUUCAUGUGAAUAUGAGCAAUUCUUCUAUGCCAAAGCCAAGACUCAUCUUGCUUGGAUAGAAGACAACCAAUUGAACAUGGUGAAGAGAUAUCUAGAAGAUAAACAUUAUUGAUUCUCUUACCUACCAACAUUACCUCUUUAGUGUUGGGGAGACAGAUUUCACAUGUGUUUGUUUUGAAGAUAAGUUGAAAUCCCUUGUCACACAGUUGACUAAUGCUUAGCAGAUUGUGUUUUAAACCUUCUACAUGGAGCACAUCAUGGAUGACCAAGAUAUCUUUGUUUCUUAUGGAUCCUCUCCCAAGAAUCCUCCCCUUGUUGUUGUCACCAUAGGUAACGUGCCCUUCUUGCUUAAAGGAGAUGCUCAGGAACUUUUAUGUGUCCUUAGUCAUGUGCUUGGAGCAUCCACUGUCCAAGUACCAUUGUUGCAUGCUCUCCUCCAAGUUUUCCUACAAAGAAGAUUUUCAAUUACAAAGAUUUGGUCCCCUUAUGAAUGUGGGUCCAUUUGGUUUACAUUCAUCAUCUGAACCUUUACUGAACUUAGGAAUCCACUUCAUAAAUCCUCUAGGAACAACAUAUUUUCUGAUUUUACAGAACCUAACAAAAUGGCCUCUUUUCAUGCAGUAGAAGCAUGUAACAACUAGUUGUUUCGAUGGUCCAAUCGGUUGUUUUUCUGGCAUUUUCGAAAAUGACUUUGAAAAUCUAUCUUGCUUGUUUUGUGGGUUAAAGCCCAAUCCAUCUUUUCCAAAAACACAGUUUUGAGAUGCCAAGACAUUCUCAAAGUUGGAUUGACCUUUGGAAAGCUUAUCCACAGUUUUCACAAGAUAGUGUACUUUCUUUUUCAAGAUUUUCGCAAUUUUCACAAAUAAGAGUAUCACACUUGCAAGAGGAGUUUUUAUAAACAAUUUCAAGGUUUUCAAAAUCUGUUUUUGAAUUUUCCAAUUCCUCUUCCAGUGUUUUGACUCUCUUUUCAAGCCAGCUAUUCAUUCCCUUUAAUCGGUUGUUCAAGAGGGCCAAUCGGUUGGCUUCUUCAUGUGUUUCUUGAAAGGCUUGAAGCAAUUGACUAUAAUUUUCAGAGUUUGAGGAGUUAGAUGAACUUACACUACUUGAGUCAUCUUCCUUUCUGGCCAUGAAGCAGAGGUUGAGACUUUUUCUGUUUUGCCUUCUUUUCCUUCUUGCUUGACUUCUUGACCUUACUUCCUUUGAUUCAUUGCUGUUCCCAUGAGUAGCUUUGAGUGUAUCCCACAUCUCUUUAGCAGUUUUGCAUUUUGAUAUCCUGGAAAACUCAUUAGUAUCUAGUGCAGAAGCUAUUAUGUUUUGAGCAGUACAAUCAAGCUUGGCCAUUUUAGAUUCUUCAUUAGUCCAUUGGGACCAAGGUUUUGCAAUCAAAGAACCAUUCUUUUUAAACUUUGGAAUGAAAGGACCAUUCUCGAUUGAAUCCCAAAUUCCAUGAUCAAAAGAUUCCACAAAGAUUUUCAUUCUGGCCUCCCAAUACUUGUAAUUCAAUCCACAGAAUAAAGGUGGUUUGUAGAUUGAAGCACCUUCCUCAAAAGAUAGUUUUCUAGCCAUAAAAAAAGAUUUUCGGAACAAACUUGAUUAACUUUCAAGUACCAAGCUCUUGAUGCCAAUUGUUAGAAAGUAUGGCUUUAAACUAGAGGGGGUGAAUGGUUUAAAGAGGGUUUUCGCAAACUUUUAAGCCAAGAAUGAAAUUACUUCGAGAAUAACUUGAUUAAGAAAUCAAUUUGCCAAAACAAUCGGUUGUUUCGCAGAAACAAUCGAUUGUUUAUACCAGUUUACAAAUAUAAAACUGAAAUUAAAGAGUUAAAGGAUAGAGAGAAUGCACACAGAGAUUUAUACUGGUUCACUCUUAACCAAGAGCUACAUCCAGUCUUCCCAGAAACCACUGGGAAAUCCACUAAGCAAUUAACCCUAGAUCACUUACAACACAACCAAAGAUGUGACCUUGAUCCCCUCAAGACACACACUUCCUUUGGUCCAGCACAACACCACUAAGAAUGCUGAUCUUGAUCCCCUCAAGAACACACAACACUUCUCAGCUAUACACACAAAGUUUCUUUCAAAAGUACAAAGGAUUACACUUGUUAAAGAAAAGAUCUGAAAUCAAUACAAGAUGAAAAUCCUAUCUCACACUCUGUGAUCAAUGCAAUCUCUAAGCAAUAAUCUUAACAAACUAUUAAUUGCAUUUAAAGAUUGGUCAAGGCAUUAAAAACUGGAGCGUAAACAGUUGUAAAAUCAUUUAAUGCUCAGUUAAAGCACAAAACAGUUUUCUGUUAUGGUCCCAAAACAAACAAUCGGUUGUUUCCACGAAUCAAUCAGUUGUUUUGGUUUGACAACAAGUCAACCAUCAAAAACAGUUUUCAACCUUUCUAAAAACACCUAAGUAUAAAACAAUCGGUUGUUUCGACAAAACAACAGGUUGUUUUUCACUUAGUUUGAAAAACACUUUUCAAUUAAAAGUUUGAGAAUGCUUAAGCUUUGGAUUCAAUCAAGAGUGGAUAUAUACAAUUAAUCUACCCAUAUCCUAUCCAAAGACAGCUCAGCAACAGCAAGCACAUCCUGUCUUUUAUCAACCUUCAAAGGGUUUGGAUUCUUCAAAGCUUGAACACACUUGGUUCAACACUACAUUCAGCCCUCAACAAACCACUGACUAAACCAAACAUACAAGGUUAGACAAAAACAACCAAGAGUGUUGAUCUUGAACCCUACGAGAACACACAACACUAUUAACCACACAAAAAAUUCAGAAACCCUAUAUGAAUCUACUUACAACAAAAUACAAUGAAAAGAAUAGAGUUUGAAUACACCUAGAUUUAUUACAAAUGAAGCACAACAGAAUUGUAAACCCAGAAAGUUUCUUCACAUAACAAGAAUGACCCAAGAAGCAAAUUUAAUCUUCAAUAAUGAUAUAAAACUUUAUGUUUUCCUCUCUAUGAAAAGUGUUAGCUUGAAAUUAUCAGACAAAUAUUAUUAAAACAGUUUGAUCAUUUAUCGAAAAUAGUUCUAUCAAUUAAAAACAGUUUUAUUAACAUAACAGAAUUUUGUUAAAAACAUUUAAUUGAUAUUUGAAAAUAAACUGAUUGUUUUCUUUAACAUAAGAAAUCACCAUAUUUUAAACCAGUUCUUUUAUUGAAAUAACUUGUUGAUUCUACUUAACAGAAAAGACAAAAUAGAAAACAAAUCAUUUUUAAUUCCUUAAAAUCUCUAAGUGUUUUCAACCAGUUGAUACGAUAGAUCAAUCUGAUAAAAAUACUUUCUAUAAUCAACAAACUUGAAUAUAAGUAAUUUGAACUGAUUAAUAUAUGAAUCAACUAAUUAAAAUAAACACAAAAUUGGAAAACAAGCAUUUCAAGUAAAUUACUAUUAAAGAACUUGGAUCAUAAUGAAAUACAAAUUUACAUAACAAAAUCUACCUAACUAUAUCCGCAAUAAGUCUUCAAAACAGAUUUAGAUCCAUCAAAACUUCUUUGGUCAACACUUUCUAGUAUAAUACAGUUGUUUUCUUAAUUUUUUUGUGUUAUUUUGUUAUUGUUGUUUGAAUCCAAGAGUUUGGUUUUCAACCCUCCUAUAUUAUUAUUGUAUGUUGACGUGAAUCCUUAUAUUCCUAAUCCUCAUUGUGUCCAACCUUUUCUCUAGUUCGAUCUCAUUAUCUAUGUCGGCAAAUCUCACAAAUCCAAAUCUUUCUUUGUGUUUAACUUCCUAUAUAUAAACACUUCAAGAACUCGUCGUCUCUGAAAAAUUUCCGCAUGUCAUACUCAUAAUAACUUUCAUCUAUUUUCUGUUAUCAGAGGCCUCUUACAAACCCACAAAGCCAUUAAAAAUAAAAAUAAAAUAUUAAAUGAAAUGUAUUCCAUUAAUUAUUAAUUAUUAUUUCUCAAAACGUAAUGAAUUAUUUUAUUAAUAACUAAUAAAUUAAACAAAAAAUUAUUUCCAUAAUUAAACCUUUCUUAAAUUUAACUUUUUUUAUGUUCUUAUAAAUAUAGUUUAUAUUGUGUUUUAAAUUCAUUUUCUAAAAUUAUUUUAAAUAUAAUUAACAAGUAUUUUAAAAUUUUAAAAAUAUUUUUUCAUUGAUGGAUGGGAAAUAUAUCCAUUAAAAAUGAUUAAAUAGGUUAAUUAAAUCAGAUUUUUAUAUAUAUCGUAUAAAAUAAUAUUUUUAGUUAAAUUUGUAAUGACAAAAGUAAAUUAAUACGUUUUUUAUCCGGUUUAUUAUAAACUAAAAUAAAAUUAAUGAUAUUCAUAUAGUUUUUCACUCAUGUACGUUUAAAAAUUUUUGCUAUACUUAUCAUUGAAAUAUAAUUUUAUACACUAAACGAAAUAAAAAUAUCAUCAUUCAUAUAUUGGUUCUAUUACUAUUUUUUUUAAUUAUGCAUUGUUACGGAUAAUUCUAUUAUUUUAAUAUAAAAAAAGUAAUAUUGAUAUAAUAUUAUAUUUUAUAUUUCAUUGUUUUAUUAUUUUUUAUUUAUUUACCUAAUAAAUGUGAAGUUUUGUAUUUACUAUAAAAUGUUAUUUUGAUUAAUAUAAAAUAAUAAAUUAUUUUUAUUAUUAAAAAUGUUUUGGAUGACAAGAGACUCCUACCAUCACUUAAGUAUAUUAAUGGUGGUAACAGAGACGGCUCAUUGACUAUUAACAGUAAUGACGUGGAAGUUAUCAAGAAACAUGACAACUUCGUUAACAAACAUAUUUUUAAAAAAUAAUAAAAGUUAUUUGUAAUCACAAUAUCACUUUACAUAAUCACAAAUUUUUUUUAUUUCUUUAUAGUUAGAAACAAGUAAACAAUAUGAUAGAGUAAUAUAUAACACUUAUGUCACUUAAUUAAUAAAAAAAUUAAACAAUAAAGACUCAAUUAAAAAAUAUAAAGGAUUCAAGUGCUUAAUAGAAUAAAAAAACUAAUAGAAACUUAACUCAAAAUAUUCAAAUUUAUAAGAGGACUUAAAAUUUAAUAUAUUCUUAAAGUAAUAAAUUUUAUUCUUCUAUUAUUUUGAUAUUAAGAAAUAAUUAUCGACCCCAAAUAUCAUUUUCAACAAAUUGAUAAGGUAGGUUUGAAUCUUCAAAUAUUGAAACUUCAAAAUGUUUGAUUAAUUCAAACGCAAGCCAUUUGAAACUUCAAAAUGAUUGUUUAAUUUAAACGCAAGCCAUCAAAUCCACAAAGCUCUAUUUAUCUGGUGAUAAAAACUUUUUAAUUUAUUUCAUGAAUUGAUGAAUAUAGUCUGCAAAUCCAUAUUAUACAAAACCAAAAUAAACAAUUUUGUCACAUACAAGAAUUUAUAAUUAAAAGAUCGUAUAUGUAUUUAUGAAUAAAUAUUUUAUAUACAUAUAAUAUAUCUUAAUAUAUAUAUAGUAAUAAUAAAAAAAUAAUAAUAAUAUUUAUACAUUAGUAACAUUUGCGAAUAGCUUUUGAAAAUGGAAAAAGUCCAAACUAAAAAUCAGUUUCACACUCGACCCAAGACUUGUGAAAAUGCCAAAAGAUUCCGUAAGAGCCAAAAAUUCUGAUUAAAGUAGUUAUCAAAAACAAAAUAUUAAAACAACUAUUUAUUAUUUCUUAUUCAGCUUAUUAAAAUAUGAUUAACCUGUAGAUUCAAACUUUUUAAGGUCCCUAAUUGAAUAGAUUGUGGGGGAUUUUCUAUGUAGAUAGAUGGAGCAGAGUGAAUGUAGAGGCUAGUUUGUGUAAUAAUAGUGAAGUAGAUUAUAGAGACAUUGACUUCCCUUUUAAUCAAUAUAAUAAGAAAAUAUUGCAAAAUAUGCUUUUUAAAAAAAUGUAAUCUUAUUAAUUUUAUUUAUUUAACUGGUGUUUCAUAAUAGUUAUAAUUUGUUAUUGUAUGAGUUGGGAAGGUCAUCUUGUUGCAUUCAGGAUAUUUUAUUAUGUGUGUCUCUUAUAUGAAUUUGGUCUUUGUUCUUUUCUAAGUCUCUUGGAAAUAUAUAUUUAUAGUGUCAACAUGGACCUUUAUUAUUGGGCCUAGUUUUUCGAGUUAAUCUUAGUAUUAGACAAAUAUUUCGUAUAAUGAUUAUGUUAAGCAUGUUAUUCGAGAGUACUUAUCGGUUUCCCGAGAUGUACUCAACUGUAGAAGAUUCGGUCAUACCAUGGGAGUACCUGGUGAUGUACAUGGACAAUACACUAGCCCCCAGACUCGUAAAGUUUUUGCUUUUUUUAGAGUCAGAUUGUGUACCUCGAUAAAGGAGAAAGAAAAUUUUAUCUUGUUUGGGUGGUCUUGUUGGUGCCGAGAUGUACACUUUUGUUUAUCCGUACAUUGGCCCCAAGCUCGAUUGGACAAAGGUCUUGAAGAGUUAGAAGCUUCUACGUUUUGGCGUGGUUUAUGUUUCUGGGAUUCCUUAUAGGGUCAUCAUAACCAUUUUAUGAGGAUUAAUCUAACAAUUGGGAAAUGGGGAAACAGUUGGACUUGUACGUUCUUAGUCUAUGUUCAUUGUAGAGCCAUUUGCAUAUCGGUUAAGUUCAUGCGUCUCACCAACAAUGCCUUGUUUUAAUGUUGUGGAUGAUAAAAAACUUUGUACCCGAUAAUGCCAAGAACAUUUAGGUUUAUGUUUUACUUUGACAUCAUGGUUCAUGUAACGUCGAGUGCAUGUUUGUUGAUGUCGAGAACAUAUAGUUUGGUGCAUCUAGGUUGAUGUUAAGAAGAUCUAGGUUGGUGUUGAGGACAUCUAGGUUGAUGUUUUGUUUUGACAUCGUGGUUGAUAUAAAUUCGAGUGCAUAUUGGUUCAUGGCGAGAACAUCUAGGGCGAUGCUGAGAACAUCAAGGUUGAUGUCGACAACAUCUAGAUUGAUGUUUUGCUUUGACAUCAUGGUCGAUGUAUAGUCGAAUGCAUGUUGUUUCAUGCCAAGAACAUCCAGGCCGAUACCAAGAACAUAUAGAGUGAUAUCAAGAACAUCUAGGGUGAUGUUAAGAAUAUCUAGGUUUAUGUUUUGCUUUGACAUCAUGGUCGAUGUAAAGUUGAGUGCAUGCUGGUUCAUGUCGCGAACAUCCAAGUCGAUCCUAAGAACAUCUAGGCUAAUGCCAAUAACAUCUAAGUUGAUGUUUAGCUUUGACAUUUUGGUCGAUGUAAAGCCAAAUGCAUGGUGUUUCAUGUUGAGAACAUCUUGGUUGAUGCCGAGAGAAUCUAGGUUGAUUUUUUGCUUUGAGAUUGGGAUCGAUGUAAACCCAAGUGCAUGUUGGUUCAUGCUAAGAACAUCCAGGCAGAUGCCGAGAACAUUUAGGUUAAUGUUUCGCUUUGAAAAUAUGGUCGAUGUAAAGUCGAUUGCAUGUUGGUUCAUUCCGAGAACAUCCAAGCCAAUUGUGAGAACAUCUAGGCUAAUGUCGAGAAUAUCUAGGUUGAUGUUUUGCUUUGACAUUAUGAUUGAUGUAAAGCCAAGUGCAUGUUUGUUCAUGCCGAGAACAUCUAGAUUGAUGUCGAGAACAUCUAGGUUGAUGUUUGGUCUGUGCAUCUUGGUUGAUGCAAGUAUUCGAGUGUGUUGGUUCAUGUUGGCCGAGAGCAUCUUGGUUAAUGCUUCGCCCUUGCAUCUUGGUUGAUGCAAGUCUUUGGGCGUGCUGGCUCACACUGGCACUCUCGAUUGAUGCUUUGGCCUUUGAAUCUUGGUUUAUGAAAAUCUUCAAGCAUGUCGGUUCACACUGGCUGAGAGCAUCUCAAUUGAUUUUUGACUUUUGCAUCUUGGUUUAUGCAAAUCUUCAAGCGUGUCGGUUCAUGUUGGUCAAUAGCAUGUCGUUUGACGUUUAUCCUUUGCAUCUUGAUUUAGCAAAAUCUUCAAGCGUGUUGGUUCAUGUUGGACGAGAGCAUCUCAGUUUAUGCUUGAUCUUUAUAUUUUGGUUUAUGCAGGUCUCAAGCGUGUCGAUUUACAUUGGCUGAGAGUUGAGGCUUGGCUCGAAUAUUGAUAUUUGACUCUAAGAUUCUUGAAAAAAAAAUUCAUUGGUUGCCUCGUCAAAACCUUCUCGGCUAAAACUUCUUAAAAAAAAAAAGGCCGAGUGAGGAAAUAGUACACUGUGGUGGCUACAUUACAAGUGGAAUAACUCAAUGAAAAUAAAAUUUCAAGUGAGUAGCAUUUCAGGUACUCGACAUUGUCUUGCCGGAUAGAUGUUCUAGCAUGUAAGCUCCAUUCUUGGCUUCGUUCUAGAUCCAAAAAGGUCCCUCCCAGUUGGUCGAGGUUUCCCAUCAAUUUUUUUCUUGCACCAUUGCGCAUUUGCUAGACGAGAUCACCUUGAUUAAAGGUUCUUGACUUUACCUUUGAAUUGUAACUUCUGAACAUCCUCUUUUGUAGUUUGUCUCUUUUCAUCUCCUAAUUUUCUCUCUCAAUAUCACCUUGAUAUCAGCCUACUUCUCAACCUUUUUCUUGUUCAGGACCAUCUUGGCCCGAGAAUUGUUUCCAAACUCACGCAAAACUUCCAGUUGAAUGAAUUUUGUAGCCCUCCUUUGUAGCUAGUCCAGGUCAGCAGUUCUUCUUGCAUAAGUUAACGAAGAAAAUUCCCAGCCUUAAGGUCUUUAUCGUGUGGUGCAAGGCCACAUCUCGGGACUAAGGUUUUGGAUAUUUAAAGCUAUCUUCCCGAACCUUUCCAUGAAUGAGCGCAACAACUCUCCCUUCUCUUGGAAAAUAUUUACAAGGGCUAUUGAGGAGAGGUGGUGAAGUUGAUUUAUUGUGAAUUGCAUCCCAAACUUGGCGAUCAACGUAUCAAAGUAGUCAAUUGACAAAGAGGGGAGUUGGGUAAACAAAUUGAGGGCUUCUCCAUUCAGGGACAUUAGGAAGACUCGACACAUGACGAUGCCGUCCAGGGUGUAUAGGCUCAUCUGUGUCGUGUAAACAUCAAUGUGCUCAUCGAAAUCGAUCAUUCCAUCAUAUUUUUUUUUGUGUUUAAUCCUUUCUAGCUUGCAGGCAACUGGGCUUCCAUUAUCCCAUCAAUGAAGGGGUAUCGGCAAACUCCCCCCAGUGUUCUAGAAGUAUGGGCCGAAGUGUUUGGCCUAAAUUUAGCCUUCUGACUACGAACGUUUAGUGGUUGGAUUAUGACAGAUGGGAUUGUCACUGGGUUAGCUUUGGAGGUAUAUAUUGGUAAGAUUUGCUGUUGUGGGGUGCAAGUGACCCCUCGGUCAGUUUCUUUCUCAUCUCCCCAUUCUCAGAGAGCUCGGAUUUCUUCUUUGUUUUUUUACUUCAUUUCGGCCAUCUCACUCUAAAGGACCAAAAGUAGAGCUACAUUGUAGUGUUGUUUGUCAAAGUUACCAUAAAGUUUUCUCACUCCUCCUUGAUCUUGUGAUAGACAUCAAUUAUUUUUAUUAUGAUUAGAAAAAUCUCGUCGUUACUAUUCAAAUAUAUCCUGAUGUACAUCUUCUAUGUGAAAACAUAAUAUUUUAAAUGUAACUAUUAUAACAAGAUGUAAAUUUACUUUUAAAUUUGUUAAACCUUCUUAUCAACACUUCACUCCCAAAAAGAUGUAGACCGAAAUACUCUAAUAUCAUAUGUUAAAUUUGAUGUUAUCAAUGUAAAAAAUUAUAUUCAAUAAAAGAAUAGCAACUUCUACAAUAAAUUUGUACGCAAACUUCAAUGAUUUUAUUGAAAACUCCUAUGAAUAGAAUUUUCACCGUACAAUAAUAAAGACUGUUUAUAUUUAAAUCUUCCUCGUUUAGGUUAUUCUUGUAAUUUCUUAACAAUAUUUUUUCAUAUUGUAGAUAAAAGACAUAUAUAAAAUAGCUAGAAAGUUCAAAAGUUUUAAUAUCAAUUAAUACUUGUAUUCUUUAUCUUAAAAAAAUAAAUGGAUAAUCAUGAAUAAUUUUAUAUAUUUAUUAUAAAUUAAAAAUAACAUUACAAAUAUUUGUACAAUCAAUUUGAUCAUAAAGAGAUCCUCUAAAUUUUAAAAAAUAAAUAAACAUAGCUUAACUUGAUUGAAAUUAAAUCAUAUAAAAAUAAUAAUUUUGCUUUUUUUUCCUUUAACAAUUACAAUUGUAUAAUAUUUUUUUUUAUCUUCACAGGUGCUGCAAGAAAAUCUUCGAAAAGUUGGUUUCUAAACUAAUAAAAUAUUUCUUAUUUAUCCAAUAUAGCUUCUAGAAGUAAUAUUAUUCAACUCUCCCUCUAGAAGUGACAAAGACACUAGUGUCUUAUGAAAUAACAUUAAUAAUACAUAAUAAAAUAUUUAAUAUGUUUUUUUUAUUAGAAAAAAUUAAUUAAAUUAAAAGAAACCUUUUUAAGAGUGUCCAACCUGUAUAAAGACUUCCAGCUAGUCUGUUCUUAAAAUUCUUUAUGAAUAGGUAUAAUUUAUCUAUAUAUCGUCUGUGUUAACAUAUGAGUUUUGGUUUAGUCUCCCAUAUUUUGUAUUUUCUUUUUUUUUCCUUUUUUUAAUAAUAUUUUUUUUUCGUGUGAUGGCAGAUUAUUGUUGUUACUUGAGGUGUCAGCUUAGCUGAGAUCUCAAGUUGCAUAAUAAUGCCUUAGACGAAAACUUUAAAAAAAAAACAAAAAAAAAACAGAUAAAUGCUUCCAGAUCCCUCCUACAUCAUUCUUAAGAGCAGAGCCAGACCGACCUAGCUUAACUCCAAGCAUUAUCAGACCAAGUGCUGGUCUAAUUUUCCCUAACAGGCAAAACAAAAAUAACAUAGCAACCAAACUUGUAAUUGCUCCUGCAUAAAACCAACAACCACCCAAACUUCAACAAAAAAACCAGCAGCCACCGAAAAAAACUUCACUCUAACUGCCUUAAUAUUGCACUAAACCAGUUAAAGUUCCACUUGUUUUCACCUUCCAACACGCUUCUUGAUGCACCAAGGGGAUCUAAUUUUAGGAAAACAGACAUAUGCCAUAUCACUCGGUAUGGAUCAGUACUUCACUCGGUAUGAAACAUUUAAUAUGUAUCCGAGAGAUUACCUAUAAGAUGAUAUUAUGAAAAAGAAGGUCAAUGAAGGAGUUAGUAAACGGCUUCAAAAUGAGUGUUCAAUACAAAUUAUCAAAUGAAAAAAAUAAAAUGUAAAAAAGUAGCACAACCUUAUUUAUAUUAGUAAAAAUUAUGUCUAGCCAACAAAUAUUAGGAGCCCGUUUUUUAGUAUUAUUUAUUCUUUUAAAGUAAUCAAGAUAGAAAUAGUAUCGGAGUAUCGGAAGCUCUAGAUAAAAAGACACUACAAGAAAACAACCAUUUUGUGUGGGGCAAAAACGGAUGCAAAAGUGAAAAAACAGAAGAAAAAAGCAUGGAAGCAAAUACAAAUUAGCAUGGGCUCGGAAGUUGGAUGCAUCUUGCGUGGGCCAAGUCCACGCAAAACGGACGCAACAUGCGACGACUUAUAUAAAUAGGUAUCAAACUCAAGUCCUUCCAGUGACCAGAAAAGCAAUAACCACAAGACCAGACAAGUUCUUUGGUCAUAUUAUCAUUUUUAUUAUACUUAUUAUUAUUAAUAUAAUUUAUACAUAUUAAUAUAAUUAUUAUUAAUAAUAAUAAAAUAAAUUAUACUCAUAUUAUUAAUAUUAUUCAUAUUAUUACUAAUAUUGUUAAUAUUAUUAAUAUUGUUAAUAAUAAUAAGUAUAAUUAAAAUCAUAAUAAUACUAAAGAAUUUGCUUGGUGUAGUGGUUAAAUCUAACUUAUAAUCUCUUCUAACUUAUAAUCCAAAAUCUAAUAAUCAAUUAUAUUCCAUGAUUCUAAGUUAAUUCUAUAACUAUCACGAAAUGACUCAUAUUUCUCAAAUUGCUUAUGAUACUCUCUUUCAGCCUUUACAAUGCACUUCUUAGUUCAACUCUUACCUUGACAAUGGACUAGGGUUAUUAACUUGUUCCUGCUUGGGAGAUGGGACCUAGAGAACUAUUGAAGUUUUCGUUUUCUUCCCUUGGUCGGAAAGGUUGUUGGGUGCUUGACUGGGGUACUUCUCGUCUCCGUGCUUCUCCCUCGGUUCUCGCUAUCAGGCGAACAUUGGAAAACUAUAUUAACACACUUAUAAAAGAAUAUUGCAUAUGUGUCAUCUCGUUACUUACAACUUACUACAUUAUUAUGUGCUUUAGUUGGAAAACAUUAAUUUCUUUUAGAGAUCAUACUCAGUAACUAUAACAAUGACAUUUAUAUAGCAUGUAGUCAACUUUGAAACACUUUAGAUAUUGUAUUAAUUUAAGAAUUAAGAAUUAAGAAUAAGUUACUUAUUCACGCAGUUAGUCUUAAUAUGUUUGUAUCAUAUACAUUUUCACUAAUUCUUUAAGAUGAUCUUAUGCUUCAUUUAUGAGAAAUAACAUCUUUAAAAUUAUAAUGGAUAUCAAAAUAAAAAUCCUAGUUCAUUCAGCCAUUGCACACAUAUAACAUUUAAAUUUAUUUAAGUUACUAAUUAAAAGUUUUAUCUAGCUUUUUUUUUUCUUAAACCAAAUAAAACAUUUUUAGAUAAAAUUUAUUUUCUAUUUUUAAAUACAUCCAUUACCAUUUGCACUAAUUAAUUACUUCAUCUUGAAUUUAUAUUCUUAAAUUUAUGUAUAUUUUAUAUAAUAUUUACAAAAUUUAAAUACGAAUUUUUUUUACUUUUCUUUUACUAUUUUUUAAUUAAUUAUUAUUUUUCUACAUGUUUUCAAAUCUUUAUAAACUUUUUAAGAUAACUUCAUUUAAAUAAUUUUAAAAUUAAACACUUCCUCAAUUUAAUAAAUUUAAUUUAACUAAUUUAUAUCUUAAUUUAAAAAAAAAAUUUAUGAUAAUAUAUAAAUAAAAUAAAUUUAAAAUAAAUAAAUUUUAAAAUAAUAAAAUAUUUUAUAUAACAUUUAAAUAAUUUAAAUAGAUCUUUUCUUUUACUAAAUUAAUUUUAAAUCAAACACUUAAUUAAUUUAAUAAUUUUAAUUUAACUAGUUUAUAUUAGAAUUUGAUAAAUUAAAUAAUUUAUUAUAAUAUUAAAAAAAUAAUUUUAAAAUAAAUACAAUAAAGAAUUAAAUAUUAAAAUAUUUGUUAUAAAUUACAUAAAUUUAAAUUAAUAAUUUUAAAAUCCUAAAAUAUAAACAUGCGUGGACUUUGCGUGGGUUGUGACGUACGCAUAUACGUGGGCCGUGGCCGACGCAAAUCCGACGCAUAUGCGUGGGACGCAGCCGACGCAUACCGACGCAUAUGCGUGGGCCUGGGCGGGAGAAAGAGAGGGUACGUCCGUGGAUGAGGAAGAAGUAACGGGAGGUUCCAAGAAUGAUGCAAGAUUGAGACUACGAAUGGUGGCUAACACUUGUUGUUUCCAGAUUAGGUAAUUAUCAUGAUCAAUUUUAAAAUGAAUGGGUGUGGCAAAGAUAUGGGGAAAGGAAACAUGUGAUGUAGUGUUUGCAGUAGAGCUUGAAGAGGUUAUAGUAUUGACAGUGGAGGUAGAAGAAGCCAUGAAUGGCUCUGAUACCAUGUAAGGAAUAACAGAGGAGAGAAAGUGAUGUGCAGAAGGUAAAGAAGAUGAGAGAGAGAACUGAAAAACAGAGUAUGUAUAUAUAUUCAUGAAUAAGAAACGUAAAAACAAUAUUUAUAGAGUGCAUGGAAACAAAAAGAUAUUAACAAAUAACGAAGUUUGUUGUUGUUAACUAAUAGUCUCUUAUAUGAAUUUGGUCUUUUCUAGGUCUUGGUCUUCAGUCUCGGUCAAAGUGGAAUGGUAACUACAAAAAGUAUUUCGACGCUCAAGUCAAUGCUCGGUUAUCGGUGGUUGGAGUAAUAAAUGCUAUUAAAAUGCAUACAUUUAUCUUGUCUUGGAAGUAUAUAUUUAUAGUGUCAACGUGGACCUUAAUUAUUGGCCUAGAUUUUCGAGUUAAUCUUAGUGUGAUGGAAACCGUCCAACCUCACACAACCAUAUAAUAAGGAGGACGAAGACCUAGAGGUUGUUUAUUGAUUUAAUUGCAAAUAUGGGUCUAAUUGGGCUUUUGUUUAUUUUUGUAGGCCCAACCAAGAGGACAACUCUAGGGUGAUGGAAUGUACAAACAUAUCCAAAAAACACUCCAAGUCAUCAAAACAUAAACUAAAGUUUUGGUUAAAAGAACACAAGAAGACUGAUUUUCUGCUGACUAGUCGACAUUAUUUUUGGGUCAAGCUUUAGCUUAAAUAAAAUGUAUAAAGUUGUUUAGGUUUUUAUGGGCCAUGUAUUGGGCCUAGUAGCAUAAAAUAAUUGGACCAAAUAUUUGGGUCAAGUAGUAUAGGUUUUUAGGCUUGUAUUUGGGCUAAUAGUAAAAUAUGACUAGUUAGGGUUAAAAGUGACUAGUUAGGGUAACAAUUGGGCUUCUUUGAGCCCAAUGUAACCCUAAAACGUCUAGGGCAUAUUGGAGAACGAAAAUACCUUGGCAUGGAGUACAUGGACGUCCACAUGGCAACAUAGGAGUGGAGAGGAUUUAGCAUGGAAGGUGUGAGCUAAACAUGGAAAGCAUGACUCCAGAUGGCACCUUCUCAUUAGAGAGUUUUAUUUUGAAUUUUAAACUUUUGGCUAAAAAAUGUUCAGCCCUCUCUCCUAUAAAUUGAGGUGCUUGGCUCUAAUUUUAUAAGAUUAAUCUAGAGCAAAUUGCUACCAAAAUUGUGUUAAUUUUGCUCCUUGUUUUCUGCCUCUCUAGGAUAGACAUUUUAAUCUUCAUUCUUCACCUUUGUCAAGUGAGAUGGCCUCACCACUCACUCUUCACACCUAACAUGCACCUUCAAGGAGUCCACAACUCUACGUGAGUUCCUUGCUUAUUCUCAUCCAUUGAAGCUUCCGCCACUCCUCCAAGAAAUUUCAAAACGGAAUGAAGGCACAAAUCCAUCAUAGUAUUAGACAAAUAUUUCGUAUAGUGAUUAUGUUAAGCAUGUUAUUCGAGAGUACUUAUCGGUUUCCCGAGAUGUACUUGAAUGUAGAAGGUUCGGUCCUACCAUGGGAGUACCUGGUGAUGUAUAUGGACAAUACACUAGCUCCUAGACUUGUAAAGCUUUUUGCUUUUUUUAGAGUCGGAUUGUGUACCUUGAUAAAGGAGCAAGAAAACUUUAUCUUGUUUGGGUAGUCUUAUUGGUGCCAAAAUGUACACUUUUAUUUAUCUGUACACUAGCCCCUAGCCUUGAUUGGAAAAAGGCCCUGAAGAGUUAGAAGCUUCUAUGUUUCAACAGGGUUUGUGUUUCCGGGAUUCCUUAUGGGGGUCAUCAUAAUCGUUGGAUGGGGAUUAAUAUAACAAUUGGAAAAAGGGGUGACAUUUGGACUUGUAUGUUUUUAGUAUAUGUUUGUUGUAGAGCCAUUUGCAUAUCGAUUAAGUUUGUGUGUUUCACCAAUGGUGCCUUGGUUUUAAUGUUGUGGAUGAUAAAAAACUUUGUACUCGAUAAUGCCAAGAAAAUCUAGGUUGAUGCUUUAAUUUGGCAUCAUGAUUCAUGUAAAGCCGAGUGCAUGUUGGUUGAUGCUGAUAACAUCUAUUUUGGUGUCGAGAACAUCUAGGUUGAUCCCGAGAACAUCUAGGUUGAUUUUUGUUUUGACAUCAUGGUCGAUGUAAAUUCGAGUGCAUAUUGGUUGAUGGCGAGAACAUCCAGGGUGAUGCUGAGAACAUCAAGGUUGAUGUCGAGAACAUCAAGGUUGAUGUCGAGAACAUCAAGGUUGAUGUCGAGAACAUCUAGGUUGAUGUUUUGCUUUGACAUCAUGAUCGAUGUAAAGUCAAUUGCAUGUUGGUUCAUGCCAAGAACAUCCAGACCGAUGCGAAGAACAUCUAGAGUGAUGUCAAGAACAUCUAGGGUGAUGUUGAGAAUAUCUAGGUUCAUGUUUUGCUUUGACAUCAUGGUCAAUGUAAAGUCCAGUGCAUGCUGGUCCAUGUUGCAAACGUCAAUUUUGAUGCUGAGAACAUCUAGGUUAAUGCCAAUAACAUCUAAGUUAAUGUUUUUAUUUGACAUUUUGGUCGAUGUAAAGCCAAAUGCAUGAUGAUUCAUGCCAAGAACAUCUUGGUUGAUGCUGAGAGAAUCUAGGUUGAUGUUUUGCUUUGACAUCGGGAUCGAUGUAAAGUCGAGUGAAUGUUGGUUCAUGCUGAGAACAUUCAGGCAGAUGCCAAGAGCAUUUAGGUUAAUGUUUCGUUUUGAGAACGUGGUCGAUGUAAAGUCAAUUGCAUUUUGGUUUAUGCCGAGAACAUCCAAGCCAACUGUGAGAACAUUUAGGAUGAUGUCGAGAAUAUCUAUUUUUAUGUUUUGCUUUGACAUUGUGGUCGAUGUAAAGCCGAGUGCAUGUUUGUUCAUGUCGAGAACAUCCAAGUCAAUUUCAAGAAUAUCUAGAUUGAUGUCGAGAACAUCUAGGUUGAUGUUUGUUCUUUGCAUCUUGGUUGAUGCAAGUAUUCAAGCAUGUUGGUAUAUGUUGGCCGAGAGCAUCUCGGUUCAUGCUUGGUGAUAAGUGCCUAAUUUCAGUAAUAUUUCAUAUUAAAAUAUAGGCACUAAUGAGUACUAAUUGCUAACUUACAUAUAAAAUAACUAAUUUGUGAAUUUAUACCUUUUUACAAUAUUUAUGAUAUUUAAUUGAAUAAGAACAUUUUAUUCCCAAGUUUGGUGUUAAUUGCAGGUUUCUAGGGAAUAAUGGAGAUUUGGACUAAAGAAGAAUGAUAUAUGCUAAAAGGAGAAAGCUGGAAGGCAUAGAACACACAAAAGAGAGAAAAAGUCCAACUUAACAACGAGAAUGCGUCAGAUUAAUUGGGCUAUUUUUAUGUUUUUAUCAUUGAGCCCAUAAGCGCGACGCAUGAAGUCACCUAACCCUAGAAAAUUAGGUUAUAUAGGGGGCUAGAGGCACAACCUUAGUGUGCAAGAUUGAGAGGAAAACACCAUAGAGUAAAUUGUAACCCAAUUGGGAGAAUGGAAGGUGCUAGAAGUAUGCGUGGCUAAUUAUACUCUUAUUUAUUAAGGUGAUUUCUUAUAUUAAAAUAUUCAGUUCUUGAUGGAUUAUUGGUAUUUUCGUUUUACUUUUAAUUUUCCGUGACAAAUUGAGAAUCUUAGAUCUGACUGAAAGGUAUUUUUAAGGUUCUGACCUAAAUAAUAAUACUUAACAUAUUUGAGUGCUAGAAAUAAACUUGAAAUGGUAAUUGCCAUUAACGUCCGCAUGUGAUUCUAAGUUGUUUUUAUAAAUAUGCGAGAAAUUGAUAUUUAGAAAAUAUUCUUAAGGAUUUUAUAUGGGGUACAUCGAUAUAAAUGAACUUUCUACAGGCAUCAGUUUCAAUCAAAGAACUUAAUAUUGGAAUGCUAAGCAAAAUACAUGAGAGUGAGAGAGAUGAAACCUAAUCCCUAUUUUUCCAACUUGAAGCAACUAAUUCUUUGUCUGUUUUCUUAUUGAUCAUUGCCAACACAACCAAUUCAACACUCUUUCUAUUGUUUUGUUCUAUAUUUAGCGAAUAUUGUACUUGAUAAUUCACUAUUCCUUGUGGGAUCGAUAUCCGUCCUUAGGCAAAAUUAUUACUUAUGAUAAAGCGGUGCACUUGCUGUAAAAAGUCACCACUUGGCCCUUGCAUCUUGGAUGAUGCAAGCCUUUGGGCAUGUUGGUUCACACAGGCGCUCUCGGUUGAUGCUUUGGCCUUCGCAUUUUUGUUGUUGUAAAUCUUCAAGCGUGUCGGCUCAGUUGAUUUUUCACUUUUUCAUCUUGGUAGAUGCAAACCUUCAAGUGUGUUGGUUCAUGCUGGUCGAUAGCAUGUCGUUUGACACUUAGCCUUUGCAUCUUGAUUAAAGAAAAUCUUCAAGCGUGUUGUUUCACGCUGGCCGAGAGUAUCUCGGUUUAUGCUUGGUCUUUACAUUUUGGUUUAUGCAAGUUUUCAAGCGUGUCGAUUUACGUUAGCUGAGGGAAUCUCGGUUGAGGCUUGGUUCGAAUAUUGAUACCUGACUCUAAGAUUUUUUGGAAAAAAAACACCGGGUGCCUCGUUAAAACCUUCUCGGCUAAAACCCUUUCAUAAAAAAAAAAGGUCAAGUGAGGAAAGAGUACACCGUGGUGGUUACAUUACAAGUGGAAUAACUCAACUAAAAUAAAAUUUCAAAGUCAGUAGCAUUUUAGGUACUCGACAUUAUCUUUCCGAAUAGAUGUUCUAGCAUGUCAACUCCAUUCUUGGCUUCGUUCUAGAUCCGAAAAGGUCCCUCCUAGUUUAUAGAGGUUUUACCAUAAAUUUUUUCCUUGCACCAUUGCGCAUCCGCCAAAUGAGAUCACCUAGAUUAAUGGCUCUCGACUCUACCUUUGAAUUGUAUCUUCUCAGCAUCCUCUUUUGUAGUUUCUCUCUUUUCGUCCCCUAAUUUUCUCUCUCAAUAUCACCUUGAUGUUAGCCUACUUCUCAACCUCUUUCUUGUUUGGGACCAUCUCGGCUCGAGAAUUGUUUCCAAACUCACGCAAACCUUCCAGCUGAAUCAAUUUUGCAGUAGAUGGAGAUCAAGUAGAAGGGGAUUUCACUAAUGAAGGAAGAGGCCAUCCACCCAAGCAUUUAAAGUUCUUCCUUCUAGUCUUCUAAAAAAUAAAGAAGAAAUUAAAUAAAGAGAGGACCAAGCCUAAAAGAAGACUACAAGCAUUCAAGAAUGGGCUCCAAUUAAUAUCUCUCUUUGUAAUUUCUUUUGUAUAAAUUUGUAAAAUAAUAUAGAAUAGCUUUAGAAUGUGCUAACGAGGGAAAGCUAAAAGACAUUAUAUAGCACUUUAGGCACUAGUUUUGGUAGGAAGAGACUAGAAGAGUGCCUUUUCACACCCAUUCUCUCUUUAGGCGCUAGAUUGUCUUAGAAGGAAUUAGAAGGUGACCUUUCAAGCUUCCUUCUCUUGUACAUUUGUGACCAGCCCUCUCUAUUAUAAAAGGGAUGCUUGGGUCUUUAAAAUAAGAAGUGAAGAUUGGUUUUUGAGAGUAAAGAACUUCUACCAAAUUGGUGAUUGAGUGAGAGAGACUUGUGUCUUCUUCUCUUCUAGUCUUAUCUUGAGUGAAUUCUUGGGCUCUCAAGUUGCGGAAAACACACUCAUGUUUGUGUAUGUUUGAGUUGUUUUGGCACUUUUAAUUCAAGAACUUUACAUUCUCCUCUUUACCUUUAUGUUUUAGGUUUAUUUUUGGGUAUUUCUUGUUGUUUUCUUGUUCUUAAUACAUUGUGUUUGUGUCAUUUUGAUUUUUGAAUCUCUAUAAGUUUUGUCAAAGUCAUGUUUCUCCAAAAUGUUAUCAAUUCUAUGUAGUCCUUUUGUUGAUAAUUUUGGUUUCUUGAUUUUUAAUUGAGUGCAGUUUUAUGUGUUUGUUUUCUUGAUCCUUUGGUGCCUUUUCUUUUUAGAUUUGAGUUCUUACUUGUAUUUUAGAUCUAUACAAGUUCUUAAAACAUCAAUUCUAUUAUGUCUUUUGAAGUUCUCAAUUUUGUUUUUCAUUCCAAUUAGGUUUCCUCUGUUUUCUUGAAAAUGUGCUGACUGUUUUGGUUUAUUACAAUUUCUGUGAUUACUGGAAAAUUAUGAAAUUUUGGAUUUGAGUUCUUGAGAGUGUUACAAAAAAAGUAGAAAAAAGAAGUGAGUCAAAAUUCCAAGUACAAAAAAGAAAUGAUAAAUCAAAUACGUCCUGUGUGUAAUUCUGGCACAAAAAAUAUGGAAAAGUGGCAGUAAUUUUGCAAAAUUUAUCACAAUUAAUUGGCGCACUAUUUUUGUGUGAUUCCAGAUCCAUUGUUGAGAUAAGAUCUUGAAAUUUCAUUGGUUUAAAUUUCAUAAUCCAGUUUCAUUUCUUCAAUUCCAGAUCAAUUUGUAAAGUCACGCACAGUUUACAAAAAAAAUUCCAGUAGUUCUGUUUUUUGUUUUCUUCAUCUAUUCUAGUGCUUUUCUUUAGGUUUCUUUUGUGUGCCAUCUUUUAAUAGAGUACCUUGUUUUUCUUGAUUGUCUUUUCUUCAUUAUUCUUCGAGUUUGUCACAUAUCUUGUACAUGAAAUUUUUGAUGUACAUGAGGUUAAAGAUGAACAAAAGGUGAAAAUAGCCUCUUUAGAAUUUUUAGAUUAUGCCAUGCAAUGAUGGCAUAGACUUGUAAUGGACAUUGGACUAAACAAGAGACCUCCCGUGGUUUCUUGGAACGAUUUGAAAGAGUGUAUGCGCAUUAGAUUUGUUCCACCACACUUUAGGAAAGACCUUUUGUUGAAGCUCCAAAGGCUUCUCCAAGGCACGCUAAGUGUGUAUGCUUACUUUAAAGAGUUAGAAACGCUUUUAAUCAAAGUAGAUAUGCAUGAAAGUAAGGAAGCUAAAAUAGCUAGGUUUGUGAGUGGUCUUAGGAGGGAUAUUCAUGAUGUUGCGGAACUUCAUGAGUAUUCAGCUUUACAAAAUUUGGUUCACCUUGCCAUCAAGUUUGAAACUCAAAUUUCAAAGAAAAAUGCUUUCAAAAAGACUCAAAAUGAUGGCUUCUACAACAAUUCUUGGAAAAACAAAAACAAAUCUUUUUCAAAGGCUCCUCCUAAAGAAUCAUCUUUCAAAACUAGAGAUUUUAAGCCUUCAACUUCUACUUAUAAGUCACCAACCAAAUCGUCUAGUAAGAAAUGUUUUAAAUGCUUAGGAUAUGGUCACAUAGCUUCUAAUUGCCCUUCUAAAAGAAAUAUGUUUAUACAUGAUGGGGUAGUGGUUAGUGAGCAUGAUUCCGAAAACUCUAGACAUUCCUCACCUUCUAGAUCCCCAAGUGAGAUUGAGAGCGAAAGUCCUUGUGAAGGUGACUUGUUGGCGAAUGUUGGGAAAAAUUCCAAAACCUUUCGAUGAUACCCAAAGAGAAAAUAUUUUCCACACCUGUUGUCUUAUCACCAACAAGUUAUGUUCCUUGAUUAUUGAUGGGGGGUAGUUGCACUAAUGUGGCUAGUACAAGAGUUGUGGAGAAGUUAGCCUUACCCACCAUCUUUCAUACCAAGCCCUAUAAAUUACAAUGGUUUAGUACCGAAGGUGAAAUCAUGGUUAACAAACAAGUCCUCAUUAACUUUGCAAUAGAAAAGUAUAAAGAUGAGGUUUUAUGUGAUGUUGUGCCAAUGGAAGCAAGUUGUUCUUUUAGGAAGGCCUUGGUAAUAUGGUAGACAUGUUUUACAUGAUGCCUAUCCAAUACUAUGUCUUUUUCCUUCCAAGGGUGCAAGGUGUUGAACCAAGUGGUGUUCAAGCUUUGAAGAAUCCAAACCCUUUGAAGGAUGUUGAAGCCUUGGUUGUGCUUGGUGUUGCUGUGCUGGUUUAGUAUAGUUCUGGGGUAGUUUGAGUAUUGUAAUCCACCCCUUGAUCGAAUCUAAAGCAUAAGCAUCUCAAUCUUUGUGAAAGUAAAAUGUUUUCAAACUAAGUUAAAACAACCGAUUGUUUUGUCGACACAACCGAUUGUUUAUACUUAGAUGUUUUGAGAAAAAGAUUGAAAAUUGUUUUUAAAAUGGUUGAACUGUUAAGAACCAAAACAACUGAUUGAUUCGAAGAAACAACCGAUUGUUUGUUUUGGGACCAUAACAGAAAAACAGUUUUAUCUUUGACUGAGCUUUAAAUGAUUUAACUGUUUACGCUCCAGUCAUUAAAUGCUUUGACAAAUCUUUUAAUGCAAUUUAAGAGUUUGUUAAGAUUUGAUNNNNNNNNNNNNNNNNNNNNNNNNNNNNNNNNNNNNNNNNNNNNNNNNNNNNNNNNNNNNNNNNNNNNNNNNNNNNNNNNNNNNNNNNNNNNNNNNNNNNGAAUCAAUCUUUGACAAGUUUUUGCUAAGAGUUUUUGAGUUUUUCAAAGAGAUGAGAUUGCUGAAAGUUUGUGAUUGAUCAAAGUUGUGGAAUAGGAUUCUGCUUGUAUUGAUUUCAGAUUAUCUUCUGUAACAAGUUUAAUCCUUGUACUCUGUGAAACAAGUUUCGUUUUUGUGUUUGCUGAGAUUGGCUGUUGAUGACUUUUUACGGCAAGUGCACCGCGUUUGUCAGAAGUAAUAAUUGUCCCUAAGGACGAAUAUCGAUCCCACAAGGAAUAAUGAAUUAUCGAGUACAAUAAUCGCUAAAUAUAAAAGCAGAACAAUUAAAAGAGUUUUGAAGUACAAGUUUGAGCAUACAUUAAACUUCCAACAAUAGAUGCAUANNNNNNNNNNNNNNNNNNNNNNNNNNNNNNNNNNNNNNNNNNNNNNNNNNNNNNNNNNNNNNNNNNNNNNNNNNNNNNNNNNNNNNNNNNNNNNNNNNNNNNNNNNNNNNNNNNNNNNNNNNNNNNNNNNNNNNNNNNNNNNNNNNNNNNNNNNNNNNNNNNNNNNNNNNNNNNNNNNNNNNNNNNNNNNNNNNNNNNNNNNNNNNNNNNNNNNNNNNNNNNNNNNNNNNNNNNNNNNNNNNNNNNNNNNNNNNNNNNNNNNNNNNNNNNNNNNNNNNNNNNNNNNNNNNNNNNNNNNNNNNNNNNNNNNNNNNNNNNNNNNNNNNNNNNNNNNNNNNNNNNNNNNNNNNNNNNNNNNNNNNNNNNNNNNNNNNNNNNNNNNNNNNNNNNNNNNNNNNNNNNNNNNNNNNNNNNNNNNNNNNNNNNNNNNNNNNNNNNNNNNNNNNNNNNNNNNNNNNNNNNNNNNNNNNNNNNNNNNNNNNNNNNNNNNNNNNNNNNNNNNNNNNNNNNNNNNNNNNNNNNNNNNNNNNNNNNNNNNNNNNNNNNNNNNNNNNNNNNNNNNNNNNNNNNNNNNNNNNNNNNNNNNNNNNNNNNNNNNNNNNNNNNNNNNNNNNNNNNNNNNNNNNNNNNNNNNNNNNNNNNNNNNNNNNNNNNNNNNNNNNNNNNNNNNNNNNNNNNNNNNNNNNNNNNNNNNNNNNNNNNNNNNNNNNNNNNNNNNNNNNNNNNNNNNNNNNNNNNNNNNNNNNNNNNNNNNNNNNNNNNNNNNNNNNNNNNNNNNNNNNNNNNNNNNNNNNNNNNNNNNUAAGAGUUUGAGUAGAUUACUCCCAAUCCCAAAGGGUAGAAUUAGCCACACAUACUUCUAUCACCUUCCAUUCUCCCAAUUGGGUUACAAUUCACUUUAUGGUGUUUUCCUCUCAAUCUGGCACCCUAAGGUUGAGCCUCUAGCUCUCUAUUUAUCCUAGUCUUCUAGGGUUAGGUUGUUUAUUGUGUCGCGCUAAUGGGCUAAAUGAUAAAACAUAAAAAAGUCUCAAUCUUUCUUUGUAUCUUUUUCCAUUUUGGGACCUUCUAUCUUUAUCUCUUUAGCUCAAAUCAUUCAUCUUUAAUCCAAAUCUCCAAUCUUCCUUAGAAAUCUGCAAUUAACACCAAAUUUGGAAAUAAAAUACUCUUAUUCAAAUAAAGAUCAUAAAAAAUUUAAAAAAGGUAUAAAUUCAUAAAUUAGGGAUUAUUUUAUAUGUAAAUUAGCAAUAAAUCCUCAUAAGUGCCUAUAUUUUAAUAUGAAAUAUUACUGAAAUUAGACACUUAUCCGCUGUGUGUUCUUGAGGGGAUCAAGAUCAACAAUCUUGGUGUUGGUGUGUUGGCCAAGAAGAGUGUGUGUCUUGAGGUGUUCAAGGUCAUUCUCUUGGUUGUUGUGUAAGUGAUCAAGUUGUGAUUGCUUAGUGGAUUUCCUCAGGGUUUCUGAGAAGACUGGAUGUAGCUCUGGGUUUGGAGUGAACCAGUAUAAACAUCUGUGUGCAACCUCUCUAUCCUUAACUCUUUAAUUUCAGUUUUGUUUGUUGUUUGCUGGUAUAAACAACCGAUUGUUUCUGUGAAACAACCGAUUGUUUUUCUGGUUCUGCUAUUUUUGGUAAACUGAAUUUCUUAGCAAUUGUUUCCUGAGAUAAAUUCAUUCUUCUUUUAAAAGUUUGCGAAAAUCUUCUUUAAACAAAUCACCCCCCUCUAGUUUAAAGCCAUCCAUUCUAACACAAGGUUACCUUAAAACCCCUCUCUCCCCAAGAGGUUCAUGAGGACCAAAUAAAAAUGAAAAAUAAAAGAGAAAAUGAGAAAGCAAAAAAAGUAAGUACUAAACCGAGUCACAACACUUUAUCCACUAAAUCAAUCAUGUUGACUCGUGCUAUGCCUCAAGUUGAACCUCAAAGGUAUUCUUCUUCUUUAUCUUUUUCAUUACCCAAGGUUCCUAUUUCAACACCAACUUGGUUAAAAAAUGUUAGGGGUGAUUUUUACAUACCUCUGAAUGGUUUUCACCUUUUAAGAGUUCUUUUUCCAAAAAAUAUCAUCAUUCCCAAACAAUGUUUUCCAACUUGGUCUGUCUAUAGGACCUCCUUUUCUGAACUCCUACUGCUUACAAAUUCUAAGUCAUGUUUGCCUUUCUUUUAUUCAACUGGUAAUUUUGAUAGCAAACUGACUUUGUUAUAUGCAGGGAUUCAGAAUUCGUGGACGAAUUCUCUCCAACUUGGGGAGAAUGAUGGAGAUCAAGUAGAAGAGGAUUUCACUAAUGAAGGAAGAGGCCAUCCACCCAAGCAUUUAAAGUUCUUUCUUCUAGUCUUCUAAAAAAUAAAGAAGAAAUUAAAUAAAGAGAUGACGAAGUCUAAAAGAAGACUACAAGCAUUCAAGAAUGGGCUCCAAUUAAUAUCUCUCUUUGUAAUUUCUUUUGUAUAAAUUUGUAAAAUAAUAUAGAAUAGCUUUAGAAUGUGCUAAAGAGGGAAACCUAAAAGACACCUCCAUUGUAUAGCACUUUAGGCACUAGUUUUGGUAGGAAGAGACUAGAAGAGUGCCUUUUCACACUCAUUCUCUCUUUAGGCGCUAGAUUGUCUUAGAAGGAAUUAGAAGGUGACCUUUCAAGCUUCCUUCUCUUGUACAUUUGUGACCAGCCCUCUCUAUUAUAAAAGGGGUGCUUGGGUCUUUGAAAUAAGAAGUGAAGAUUGAUUUUUUAGAGUAAAGAACUUCAACCAAAUUGGUGAGUGAGUGAGAGACUUGUGUCUUCUUCUCUUCUAGUCUUAUCUUGAGUGAAUUCUUGGGCUCUCAAGUUACGGAAAACACACUCAUCUUGAAGCCAACCAUCCUUCAAGUGGCGUGCACAAUUCCAAGAGCUCCAACCACCUAAGUUUCCUAUUCCUAGUCAUCUUCUUCCAUUUCCAUUCCAAAACAAACUCUAAAACAUGUCUUUGUUGUUUCUUGUUGAUUCAAUCGGUAGAACUUGUUUAGUUUGUAUUUAUGUUCGGUAGAUUGUCUUAGUUUGCUGUUCUUAUGGUUUUAAUUGUGUUUCUUGAAGUUUUAAUCAGUGCAUUUGUGUUCUUCUUUGUUUCAUUCAGUUCAUAUGUCCAAAAAUGGGUUUCUAUGUGAGUUUGGCUUGGUUCUUGUGAUUUGGUGAGUUCUUGAAUGAUUAAGAACAUUGAUCCCAUUCUUAAAAAUUACCUAAUCAUAUUUCAACUCUUAUUGAAUCCAUAACAUGUUCAUAUCAUAUCCCUAUCAUGUUCUUGGAUUCACAUCAGUAGUCCUCCUUCGUAGCUAGUCCAGGUCAGCGGUUCUUCUUGCAUAGGCUGACUAAGAAAAGUCCCAGCCUUAAGGUUGUUAUCGUGUGGUGCAAGGCCAUAUCGAGACUAAGGUUUUGGAUAUUUAAAGUUAUCUUCCCAAACCUUUCCAUAAAUAAGCGCAACAACUCUCCCUUCUCUUGGCAAAUAUUUACAAAUUAAAGACUAUUGAGGUGAGAUGGUGAGGUUGAUUUAUCGCGAAUUACGUUCCAAACUUGGUUAUCAACGUCUCAAAGUAGUCAAUUGACAAAGAGGGGAGUUGGGUAAACAAAUUGAUGGCUUCUCCAUUCAGGUACAUUAGGAGGACUCAACACAUGACAACGACAUCCAUGGUGUAUAGGCUCAACUGCGUCGUGUAACAUCGAUGUGCUCAUCGAGAUCGAUCGUUUCAUCAUAUUUGUUUGUGCUUGAUUCUUAGCUUGCAGGCAACUGGACUUCCAUUAUCCCAUCAAUGAAGGGGUGUCGGGGAACUCCCUCAAGUGUUCCAGAAAUAUGGGUUGAAGUGUUCGGCCUAGAUUCGGCCUUCUGGCUACGAACGUUUAACGGUCGAAUUAUGACAAAUGGGAAUGUCAAUUGUACCGUCCCGUAUCCGGGCGUUGACUAAGUCAAAGUCAAAGUCAACGGCGGUGGAGUCAAAGUCAAUGCGAGGCGUCGCCUAGUUGGAGAGGUGCCAAGGGGAAGCGUCGCCAAGGCAAGGCGUAGCCUAGGUGAAGGCGUCGCCCAACCAGGGCGUCGCCAGAUCAAACAGUGCUAAAGUAAGGUAAUCACGGUGUGGUUCCCCGAUACCCAUGGGUAGGAAAGACCAUGGAGGGAGCGACGCCGUGGGAAGGCCUCAGGUCCCAAUAGCACGGGGCAGCGAUAAAGAGAAGGAAAAGGUGGCUUCAAGGCCAUAGUAAUAGUACCAAUGAAGGGCAGCCUGACUCGUGAAGUGCUCCUGCCGCCCCAGAGAUGCCCGUGGGGCAGAUACGACUCAAGAGGAAAGUCACGCCCAGGGCAACCGGGUGCAGAGUACAAAAGGAAGGCAGAUACGCUCUCAAAGUAAGUGACUAGAUACUUGGGGGCAUGAGUUGGCACCCAAAAAGUCACCCCUAGCGCAGUAGCACUCCCAGCAGGAGGACUCACACGUAGAAACGUCCCCAGGUGGGCCGAAGCGCCCCCAGAUGGGGUCAUGGCUUCGUGAGGCCCUCCACGUGUACGACAGCCAUGCCAGAAUAGAAACACCCUUUAGUCAGGUGCCAGGUAAUUAAAAGUUAUUCAAUACAGUUUCCCUUUCGAGCAUUCAGGUACUAUAAUGGCUCCCGAGCGUUUCAACGUCUUAAAUGCGCUACGUUUUCUAAUUAAGCGCUUUAAUGAGUGCGUUACGUUUGUGAUUAAAAGCGCUUUAAGGCGCUUUAAAUGCUUGGGUAGUUUAAAUAGCGCAGAGAAUGUUGGAAAAAGGGUUGGAACUUUCGGCAAAUUUACCAGAGAACUCUCUAGUUGCUUGCUCGUGCUUCAAGGUUACGUACAAGUGACUGGGGAAUAUUUUUGCCUGAAGGAGACAACACACACAUAUACACAGUUCUUUUACCACCUUCAGAGUGCCAUACGCAGUGCUCAGACACGUAGGUGGACAAUUUUUGGUGUUUCUUGCUGGCUGACUUGAGCGUCGUAGUGCACACGGCCGCUAGGGCGCCUUUUUGUCCUCUUUUUUGCAGGAAUCCACAGGCAACCAGUGGGAAGGAGUCCCUAGCUGACGGUUGAGGUUGCGCACGAAGACGUCCCGGUCAACCGGACGGAACAUCAAUGAGUUAGCUUUGGAGGUAUAUCUUGGUCAAAUUCAUUGUUGUGGGGUGUAAGUGACCCCUCGGCCAGCUUCUUUCUCAUCUCCCCAUUCUCUUCCGAGAGAGCUUGGAAUUCUUCUAUGUUUUUUCACUUCAUUUAAGCAAUCUUGCUCUAAAUGACCAAAAGUAGAGUUACAUGAUCAUUCUCCAUUGUCGUUCUUUGUUCGUUAGUGUUAUUUGCCGUAGUUACCAUAAAGUCUUCUUAGUCCUCCUCGAUCUCACGAUAGACGUCAAUUGUUCUUGUAUGGAUUAGAAAGAUCUCAUCACUAUAGUGCAAAUAUUUCCUUAUGCACGUCUUCUAUAUGAAAACAUAACAUUUCAUAUAUAACUAAUAUAACCAGAUGUAAAUUUACUUUUAAAUUUGUUAAACCUUCUUUUGAGCCAUCAAUACUACACUCCAAGUGUACAUGAAGAUUUUUAUACCAGAGAAGAAAAUACUCUGAUAUCAUAUGUUAAAUUUAAUGUUAUAAUGUAAAAAGUAAUAUUCAAUGAAAAGUACUUUAAAUAUAAGUUAGUACUACAAAUGUCAUUUUAAAAGAAUAGUAAAGAACGUUUAUAUUUAUAUCCUCCUCUUUUAGGUUAUCCUUGUAAUCUCUUAACAUUAUUUUUUCUUAAUGUAGAUAAAAGUUAUAUAUAAAAUAGCUAGAAAGGCCAAAAGUCUUAAUAUCAAUUAAUACUUGUAUUCUUUAUCUUAAGAAAGAUAAAGGGAUAAUUAUGAAUAAUUUUAUAUAUUUAUGAUAAAUUAAAAAUAACAUUACAAAAAUAUUUGUAUAAUCAAUUGGAUCAUAAAGAGAUCCUCUAAAUUUAAUAAAAAUAAAAUAAACAUAGCUUAACCUGAUUGAAGUUAAAUAAUAUAAAAAUAAUAAGUGUAUUUUUUUUUCCUUUAACAAUUACAAUUGUAUAAAAAAAAAAAAUUAUCUUCACAGGUGUUGCAAAAAAAUCUUCCAAAAGUUGUUUUCUAAACUAAUAAAAUAAUAUAUUCAAUGAAAAGUACUUUAAAUAUAAGUGAAUACUACAAACAAUAAUGUCAUUUUAAAAGAAUAGUCAAGACCUAUCCUUCUCUUUUAAGUUAUCCUUUUAAUCUUUUAACAAUUUUUUUCUUAAUGUAGAUAAAAGUCAUAUAUAAAAUAGCUAGAAAGGUAAAAAGUCUGAACAUCAAUUAAUACUUGUAUUCUUUAUCUUAAGAAAAAUAAAGGGAUAAUCAUGAAUAAUUUUAUAUAUUUAUUAUAAAUUAAAAAUAACAUUACAAAUAUUGUAUAAUCAAUUUGAUCAUAAAGAGAUUCUCUAAAUUUUUAAAAAAAUAAUUAAAGAUAGCUUAACUAGAUUGAAAUUAAAUAAUAUAAAAAUAAUAAGUGUGUUUUUUUUUUCCUUUUAACAAUUACAAUUGUAUCAAUUUUUUUUAUCUUCACAGGUCUUGCAAGAAAAUUCUUCCAAAAGUUGUUUUCUAAACUAAUAAAAUACUUCUUAUUUAUCCAAUAUAGCUUCUAGAAGUAAUAUUAUUCUCUCCUUCUGGAAGUAACAUACUAUUCUUAUACAAACAACUUAGGACAAAGCUCGAGAUCUUUUAUUAAUUUGUUAAGCAAGUUAUACAUAAUGAAACAUUUAAUAUAUACCUUGAUAAAUUUAUCUGCCGACAUAAAUUGUAUCCGAGAGAUUGCCUAUAAGAUGAUAUUAUGAAAAAGAAGGUUAAUGAAGGAAGUAAACGGAAUAAAAAAUAGGCGUCUUCACAUAAAAUUAUUUUUAUAAAUUGCCAAAAAUACUUUUAAAAGUAAUUAAUAUUGUAAAAUAAAUUGAAAUAAACUCUUAGAGAGUGCUGAUGUUUUAGUUUUUUGAGAAUUACAAUUAAUUGUCCACGGAUAAUAUAUAAAUAGAGAGAUAAUGAGUGUGUGUUAUUCUUCAAUUUGGUUUCCCUUUUCUAUCAUAUAAAACUUUGACCCACCUCAUUUAAAAUCUCUCUUUAUAUACAUCGACACUUAUACUAAAAAAUAUAAUAAAUACUUUUGGUGUUUGUGAGAAGAAAUACAUGGCUAGACACUUUGUUGUUGUUGAUGGUGGUGAUGCAAAUGAAGGUUUGGUGCUCCACUCUCCGCCUAUACUUUUGUUUCUCAUGAUUAUUGCCUCUCUUUCUAUGAUUUCAAUCAUCAUAUUUGCCUGUGGAGACGACAACAACAAUAGAAAGCGCCACGGUGGUGGCCACGGUGGUGGCGGCGGUGAAUGUGGCGGCGGUGGAGGUGGCGAUGGUGGAGGUGGCGGUGGAGGUGGAUGUGGAGGUGGAGGUGGCGGAGGAUGUUAGAAGCUAUCUAUAUGCAAAGUGCAUGGCAGAGUGCACUUUGCAGGUAUUCUUGGUGACGGUCUCUUGUUUUCGUUCUUCAUCAUUGUUUUAUACACAGUCUUAGGGAAAUAAAUAUCAUUAUGAAGUGCAGCUUUAAGGUUCUGAUAUAUAUAUCCACUAGAGACCUUAAACAUGUCUUUUCAUCAGACACUGUCUUUUCUCUCUCUUUGUUAAAAUCAUCUAUUAAUAUUUAUGAAACUUUUUCAUGUUGUAUAUAUUAAGAGAAACUUUCAUCUCAGUUGUAAUAACCAAGUGUUUUCAAGACACCUUUAGAAAAAUAAAAUUGACAAUUAAUGUUUUUCAGUAGAUUGAGAAUUGAACUGGAACAAGAUGUUCUGUAAAACAAAUUCAAAGUUAUUAAUAUUAAUCUACAUGAAAUCUUGCACAUGCCAACAGAUAAACAAAAGUAGUACAAAAGAUAAAAUAAAUAAACCAGAUAUGAAGAAGAAAGAAUUUAUUCCAAAAUAAAUUUCUAUUUCUAUUAUUUAUUUUACUUAAUCUAAGGAUUAGGAUUAAGUUAGCCAUUAAGUUGCUCUAAAUUUCCUCUUUCGUAUUUACUUAAUCUAAAUUUAUUUUUAUUUUUAAUUUAAUGACUCUAAUACGUAACUUUUUAAUCGUCAGAUUAAAGAAAAUAAAAAACUAUUUUACCCAUAAAUACUUAAAAAUUAUUUUAUUAAAAUUAUUGUUUGGACUUCAUCAUUUAAUAUUAUAUCAAUAAACAAAAUUUAAGUGAUUAGAUGAUGUACAAUAUUAGAUUAAUUUGUGUUGAAUCUAAUAUGAUAUAUAAUGCAUACAUAAGCUAUGUCUGAAAGAUAUAUUUUGUUAUAAAUUAAAAUUUAAAAUUAAAAAUAAGCAUCUUCUAAUAUAAUGUAAUUGAAAUUUAUUAAUUUCAAAACUCAUUUCACAAUUAAAAGUAUUCAAUAUUCCCAACCAUUCUCAGUUUCAAUAAAAUACUUUAAAUAAAUAAUUUAUAAUUAUUUCAAAAGAAUAAAAAAUUCAAAAAUAUUAAAUUAAAUUAUUUAUUAAAAUCACCUUCAAUCAUGGAAAAUGAUGACCAAAUGGGUUGGGGAAGGGAAUAAGAAAAAUCAAUGUAAAUUGUGGCUAUAAAAACAAAUUAAUCAAUCAAUUAAUAUUCAUAGUCUACUAUGGACUAUCUUCGCAUGGGUGUUACAUCUUAAAAAAUACAUUUCAAUAUGUUCAAAACCUACAUAUUUUUUGAAAACCUUGGUUUUUGACAGCGCCGCGUUGGUUCUCUCCAUCGAGAAUGUGAAAAAGUGGUCGAGAAUGUGAAAAAGUGGUGUCCUAAUCUACCGAGAAUGUGAAAAAGUGGUGUCCUAAUCUUAAUUCCGAUCAACACCUUCGCAGUCGUCGCUCUCACCAGCACAAAUAUGAUUGGUUGAAACGAGACUUCAAUUGACGGAGCUCCAAGCACCGUCAGCAAAACCCUAAUUUGAAGAUUUGGGGGUUUUAGGGUUUUCUACUACAGGUCCGGCGCGACCGACGACGGUGACUGCAGAGGUGGUGGCUCACGUGGUGGUGCGGUGCGGUCGCUAUUUUGUGUGUCUUGCGAAGAUUUUUGGCGGCAACUUGUUAGCCUUUUAAAAUGGCGGAGGGCUCUGCGGGUUUCCUCAUUCCAUGGACUUGUUUGAUGGAUUGAAAAGUAUGUCCUGAUAAUAAAUUAUAUUCUAUGUCCGGUCAAAGGAAGACUUUUGCUCAGGCUUUGGGAAAUACAUGUGACAUUCCUUUGUCCUAGCUACCUACCCCUUGUAUUAAGGGUGACAUGAUUGUUGUCCGGAUUGAUGAGGCAGAUUACUUGGCUGGUCUUGAGGAUUGCAAAACCCAUCUCCAUGGUCGGGUUAUUCUAUCUAAGGGGGAUAAACCUCUCACACACCUAGAUUUAACUAAAAAGUUGCAGCCGGUGUGGAAAGCUCUUGGACCAUGAAAAGCAAUUCCUCUUGGAAAGGGUUUCUAUGAGUUUGAGUUCGCUUCUAUAGAAGACAUGCGAUGGGCUCUCGGGAUGGGUUCCCUGAAGUUAUCUCCUGGUUUAUUGAGACUGUUUGCCUGGACAAAAGACUUUGUCCCAGCUACCAUGAGGAGUACCAAAGCUCAGACCUGGGUUAGAAUUUACCAUUUGCCUUUGGAGUAUUGGAAACCAAGGACAAUAUUUUCCAUCAUCAGAGGCCUUGGUACUCCGUUGUCUUUGGAUGAGCAUACUAUGAGAAAGAAUAGGGGUAUGUUUGCUAGAGUGCUGGUGGAUAUUGAUAUGUUGUCCCCUCUUCCUGAUCACCUCUUGGUUGAACGUCCAGACUUUGCUUUUGUAGCUGGUGUGGAAUAUGAAUGGCUCCCUCCAUUUUGCUCUCAUUAAUGAGAUGAUUGGGCACGAGCUUGCUCAGUGCCGAGUGAUCCAUGACCAGGGUCGUGUUCCUGGGCCUCAACAUAAAUCUUCUCAGAAGACACCUUCUGAUGAACAGGAACAAGGGAGGACCACGAUUCCAACCCAACGUAGAGAAUAUCGGAAAAAAGAUCUGCAAACGAAGCUCUUAGAAGGUCCCAUGGAUAAUUUGAAAGUUGAUGCUACUGGGGUUAAUGUAGGGUCACCCUUGGGACACCUUGCUGAUAAAACAGAUGGCGGGGAAGAUGAUUUUGCAGAUAUGCCUCCUCUUGAGGAUGCUUCCGAUCAUGAUAGGUCCUCACCCAAGCAGGGGUUGUCUCCUCCCACUUUGGAUUCACUUGUCGUUAUUCAAGCUAAGGACUCACAGUCACAUUCAAUGACUCUUAUUGAUGAUCAUCAUGUGGAGGCCUCUGCUCCUGUGACUGUACCAUCUCUGUGGCGUACUACCUCUCCUCGGAGGGCUACAUCACAUGCAGAUACUAAUCCUAAUGUGGAGGUCUCUGCUAUUGUGACUGUACCAUCUCAAUCGCCUCAUACCUCCCAUCGGAAAGCUAAAUAUAUUGGGGAUGUUAAAGCAAGAUCGUUGGUCCUUCAAAAUCACUUUUCCUCUCUUGAUGGUUUGGAAACUACAGAUGUGGGAGGUAAUUCUCAUAUUGGAGCGUCAACUAUUCCGCCUACCAUUGUUGGAAUUAAUUCUGAUCAUAUUGAAAAUCAGGUUGUUUCAAAAUUUUGGGCUGAUAAUACUGAGAUGGAGGAGGAUGACAAUGAUAAUGGGGAAGAAACAGUUCGCACUAAAAGAAAACCAGGGAGACCACCUAAGGGGACUGGUAAAUCCAGGAAAACUGCUAAGGCAGUUCUCUCUACAAUGUCGCAAUGAAGGUCUCUUCUUUUUUUUUGGAAUGGCAAAGGAUUGGGAAACCACAAAACUGUGGAGAUGUUGCUUAGUUUACUUAACCUACAUAAACCUCUCCUGGUUUUUCUUGCUGAACCCAUGAUGCCGUACACUACUGCUUUCGACCUCCUUUUCAAAUCUGUCAAUAUGCAUUUGGUGGCUACGUCUCCUAUUGUUAAUAAAGUUGCUAAGCUUUGGUGUUUGUCGGUUCCUAAUCUUGUCCAAAAUUUCUUGGUUAAUGAUCAAUUUAUCUCUGUAACUUGUCUUUGGCUGGAUAAAAAUUUUAGCUUUGCAGGUGUUUAUGGUGCUAACACACUUGUCUAGACGAUUUUUGUGGAGGGAUCUUAGUUUCUUCACAGGGCCUUGGUGUAUUCUGGGAGAUUUUAAUGCUAUGCUCUCGGCGGAUGACUGUAAAGGGGGGUGGCUCCUAAUCAGGUUUCUUGUAAUGAAUUCCUGGACUGGAUUAAUACUAAUGAUCUUUCUUGUAUGCCUUUUACUGGAUCUUGUUAUACUUGGUGUAACGGAAGGAGAGGGUUGCAUAGAAUUCACAGAAGACUGGAUAGGGCUUUAUGUAAUGGAGUGUGUCUGGAUGAAUGGGAUUCUUGUACUUAUCAAGUUCUUGUUAAAAAUUGUUCUGAUCAUUCCCCUAUUCUUGCUAGUCUUGCUAGUAAUUCUUUGCGGAAGGUUAGCAAUUUUCGUUUCUUUUCUAUGUAGCUUCAGGACACUUCGUGUAUGAAGCUUAUUCAUGAUUCUUGGGCUAAUAAGGUUGUUGGUUGUCCUAUGUUUAUCUUGCAACAUAAGUUAAAAAGGUUGAAACUUGAGCUCCGGGACUGGAAUAAAAAUUCUUUUGGUAAUGUUCACAAUGCAGUUCUUCUUAAGCAGGGUAUCCUCCUUGGUAUUCAAAAAAACUUAGAGACUGCUAGUUUGUCUGAUAGUGAUGGGCUUCUCUGUCAAGAAAAGGAGAAGCUUGAUCAUGCUCUUCACUGUCAAUAUUUGUUUUGGAAAGAAAGGGCUAAGAUGUUAUGGUUCAAGGAUGGAGAUCAAAAUACAGCUUUUUUCCAUGCUAUGGUCAAAAGGAGAAAUAAUUCUAGUGGGAUUCAUCGUCUACGGAUUGAUAAUGAGGUUACGGAGGAUCCUAAAAUCAUUGAGGAUCAUAUUUUGGACUUUUAUAAAAAUCUUUAUGCUGAGUCUAUUUCUAAUGUUCUGGAUGCUGAUAAUAUGGAAGAUUUUAUUGGUACUUAUAUUCCUACGAUGGUUUCCUCUGAGGAGAAUAUGAUGUUGAUUAAAUGUCCUGAUUUUUCUGAAAUCAAGAAUGUUGUUUUUAAUCUUAACGGUAAUAGUGCUCCUGGUCCUGAUGGUUUUGGUGGUGUUUUCUAUCAUUCUUGCUGGGAAAUUAUUGGGACAGAUGUUUGUAAUGCUGUUCAACAAUUUUUUAAACAAAAUUGGGUUAUCCCUGGAAUGAACAGUAAAGUGGUAUCUCUUAUUCCUAAGAUUCAGAGUGCUGAUUCCAUUAAAGAUUACAGGCCAAUUGUGAUAAGAGGCUUACACCAUUGUUCUUUUUCUUUCUCCUCUAAAAUUGCAGCUUAUUCCAAAUACUUUUGUGAAGAAGCAAGGGUUACAGGGAAGGAUCCCUGAGGAUGUUCUUCUCAAGAAUCAUAGCGAGAGAGUGUGGCAUGUUAAAACACGUUUUUUUGGAGACAAAUUAUAUUUCGAUGAUGGGUGGAAGAUUUUCCAUGAAGAAAACUGUAAAUUAAAACAUGAAUAAACAUAAAUUGAACACAUACAAUACAUGUUCACAUACAAAUCUUAUCAUAUCAUAAUUCUCACACAAUCAUACAAUCAAGAAGGAAAAGACACUUACCUUGAUCCAUGAGUGAUCCUAAUUGAGCAGUUACUUUAUCUCCUUUGUCCCAAUCUAUCUCUUAGCAAUUCCGUUCUUGUCACACACUUUUGUGAUGGUUAACAGUGAGACAACUAUUAUUUGUAGAGACAGAACCCUAUAGUCUUUAGUUUCCAAUCUCCAUCAGAUGUAGGCUUUCAUUAGGUAUAUCAUCAGAUAUAUAUUUCUCACGUUAACCAAUGAGCCCUUUAAUUCUAUUAUUAUUAUUAUUAAAUCAUAUUCGGGCCCAAAGCCCAAACUCUAAGUCAUGCGAGUCACUUUAUAGAAAUUAAUUUACAUAAUUUCUUACAUUCUUCCACUUGAGUCAUAUGAGUUAUAAUACUUUCAUGAUUUAAUAAUUACAUAAAUGCGCAUUUAAAAGGCCUUACAUAAAUUGGUUCUAUCAUUAAUCAAAAUCAAGGAUACAUAAAUAAUAAGAAUCAUGGCGGUUACAUGUCAUUUCCAUCGACACAUUUCCUUCCAUGUACUACUAUAUCAUCCUUUCUCCUUAAUAUGACUUUAUAAUGAGAAAUUCAUAAUAGGUUCAAACAUAAUGUCAUUUUCAUCAAUAACAACAUAAUUUGUUUUCCACAACAUAAUUUACAUGCAUAUACAUAAAGUAGAAAACAUAAAUUUCAGAAACUUUAUUUAUUCAAUGAGCUCAGAGUGUCAAAUAAGCAGUAAUAACAACAUUCAUCAUUCACUAGUAGACAUAAUGCCCAUAUUUACAACAUGACGAGUAAAUGUUUUGGGCGGUAACCAUUUUGUUAAAGGGUCAACAAUCAUAAGAUCAGUGCUAAUAUGUUCUAUUGACACUCUAUGUUUUUGAACUUCUUCUUUAACGGCAAAGUAUUUCAAUUCCAUAUGUUUAGCACCUUUGGAAUACUUGUCGUUUUUAGAAAAGAAGACAGCUACAGAGUUAUCACAAUAAAUUCUCAGCGGCUUAGCAAUACUGUCAACAAUUCCAAGUCUUGAAACAAAAUUCUGCAACCAAUUAGCCUGAACUGUGGCCUCAAAGCAUGCCACAAAUUCAGUCUCCAUGGUGGAUGCAGCAAUAACGGUCUGCUUCGCACUUUUCCAUGAAAUCACUCCUCCGGCUAAAAGAUACACAUAACCAAAUGUAGAUUUUCGUGUAUCCACACAACCAGCAAAAUCUGAAUCUAUAUAUUCAAUCACCUCAAGAUGAUCAGAUCUUUUAUAAGUAAGCAUGUGAUCCUUCGUUCCUUGCAAGUAUCUUAAAACUUUCUUUACAGCUUUCCAGUGAUGCAAUCCUGGAUUACUCUGGUAUCUUCCAAGCAUACCAACUGCAAAACUAAUAUCUGGUCGCGUACAAGUUUGAGCAUACAUUAAACUCCCAACAAUAGAUGCAUAAAGUAUAUUCUCCAUCUGUUUCCGUUCCAAAUCAUUCUUUGGACAUUGCAUGAGACUAAAUUUGUCUCCUUUUUUGUAUUGGAACAGGAGAUGUCGAACAUUUAUCCAUUCUGAAUCUCUCAAAAACUUUAUUAAUAUAUGCUUUCUGAGACAAACCUAACCGUCCUUGUGAUCUGUCACGAAAUAUUUCAAUUCCUAUCACAUAGUUGAUGACUUUUUACGGCAAGUGCACCGCUUUGUCAGAAGUAAUAAUUGUCCCUNNNNNNNNNNNNNNNNNNNNNNNNNNNNNNNNNNNNNNNNNNNNNNNNNNNNNNNNNNNNNNNNNNNNNNNNNNNNNNNNNNNNNNNNNNNNNNNNNNNNACAAAACAAUUAAAAGUGUAUUGAAAGUGGUUGUGUUGGCGAUGAUCAAUAAGAAAACAGACAAAGAAUUAAUUGUUUCAAUUGGAAAAAUAGGUAUUAGGUUUCAUCUCUCUCACUCUCAUGUAUUUUGAUUAGCAUGUCAAUAUUAAGUUCUUUAAUUGAAAUUGAUGCCCGUAUAAAAAUCAUUUAUAUCGAUUCCUCGCAUAUAAAAUCCUUAAGAAUGUCCCCUAACUAUCGAUCCAUUGCAUAAUUAUAAGAACAACUUAGAACAAAGCUCAGACGUUUAAUAGCAAUUAACAUUUCAAGUCUAUUCCUAACACUCAAAUAUGUUAAGUAUUGUUGUUUAGGUCCGAACCUUAAAAAUACCUCCCGGUUAGAUUUAAGAUUCUCAAUUUGUCACGGAAAAUUAAAAGUAAAACAACAAUACCAAUAAUCAAUCAAGAACUGAAUAUUAAUAUAUAAAAUAUCACCUCAAUACAUAAGAGUUUGAGUAGAUUACUCCCAAUCCCAAAUGGUAGAAUUAGCCACGCAUACUUCUCUCACCUUCCAUUCUCCCAAGUGGGUUACAAUUCACUUUAUGGUGUUUUCCUCUCAAUCUGGCACCCUAAGGUUGAGCCUCUAGCCCUCUAUUUAUCCUAGUUUUCUAGGGUUAGGUUGUUUAUUGUGUCACGCUAAUGGGCUAAAUGAUAAAACAUAAAAAGUCUCAAUCUUUCUUUGCAUCUUUUUCCAUUUUGGGACCUUCUAUCUUUAUCUUUUUAGCUCAAAUCAUUCAUCUUUAAUCCAAAUCUCCAAUCUUCCUUAGAAAUAUGCAAUUAACACCAAAUUUGGGAAUAAAAUACUCUUAUUCAAAUAAAGAUCAUAAAAAAUGUAAAAAGGUAUAAAUUCAUAAAUUAGGGAUUAUUUUAUAUGUAAAUUAGCAAUAAAUCCUCAUAAGUGCCUAUAUUUUAAUAUGAAAUAUUACUGAAAUUAGACACUUAUCAAUAGUAUGCCUCACCCAUAUCUUUCAUCUCACAGUUAUUAGAGAGAAACUUCUUAGUCUCACUUAAUAGACCAAGAUCAUUAGUUGCAAGCAAGAUAUCAUCAACAUACAGAAUCAAGAAUAUAAACUUGCUCCCACUGACCUUGAGGUACAUACACCGAUCAACGAUGUUUUCCUUAAACCCAAAGGACACAAUAGUAUCAUUGAACUUAAGAUACCAUUGCCUAGAAGCCUAUUUAAGCCCGUAUAUUGAUUUCUUAAGUUUACACACCAUGUGUUCCUUUCUUUCUACAAUGAAUCCCACUGGUUGGUCCAUAUAAACAUCCUCUUUUAAAUCCCCAUUCAGAAAGGCAGUUUUGACAUCCUAAUGCCAUGAUAAUUCUAAAGGAAUCUUUCUUAGAAACAGGUGANNNNNNNNNNNNNNNNNNNNNNNNNNNNNNNNNNNNNNNNNNNNNNNNNNNNNNNNNNNNNNNNNNNNNNNNNNNNNNNNNNNNNNNNNNNNNNNNNNNNNNNNNNNNNNNNNNNNNNNNNNNNNNNNNNNNNNNNNNNNNNNNNNNNNNNNNNNNCCAUACAUCAUUCUGUGCCAUUGAUUUAAGCUCAUCUUUCAUGGCAUCUAACCACUUAUCAGAAUUAUCAUCAUUGAUGGCGUCUGAAAAUGAAACUGGAUCAUUAUCAAUACCUAAGUCAUUUUCUAACUCUUGUAGAUAAACCACAUAAUCAUUCGAAAUAGCAGACUUUCUUUCUCUUUGAGAUCUUCUUAAUACUAUUUCUUGUGGUUAUUCUACUACAGGUUCAUUGUUAACUUCAUGAUCAUUAAUUUGUUCUUCUUUUUCAUCGUUGAGUGAUUCAACCACAUUAGGAACAACAAUACUUGAAGUAGAGGUACUAGUUAAAGGAACUUGUACUCUAACUUCCUUAAUCUCCACAUUUUAUGAAGUAUCACUCCCACUGGUUUCACCAUUUUCAAUGAACUGUGCAUUUCCAGAUUCAACAAUUUUUGUGCUAUGGGUAGGACAGUAAAACAUAUACCCUUUUGACUUUGCUGGAUAACUAAUGAAAUAUCCACUGAUUGUUCUUGCAUCCAAUUUCUUUUCUUGCGGAUUGUAUAUUUUGACUUCUACCUGACAUCCCCAAACAUGAAAGUGUCUAAAAUUGGGUUUCCUUCCUGUCCACAAUUCAAAAGGUGUCUUUUGAACUGCCUUACUAGGAAUCCUGUUCAACAGAUACAUGGCAGUUUUUAAAGCAUACAUCCACAAUGAAACAGGUACAAUUGACUUACUAACAUGCUCCUAACCAUAUCCAUUAAGGUUCAAUUACGCCUUUCUAAAACACCAUUUUGUUGUGGUGUACUUGGCAUUGUGUAUUGAGCACAAAUACCACGUCUCUCAAGGAACUUAGCAAAUGGACCAGGGUGUUGUCCACUUUCAUCAUACUUUCCAUAAUAUUCACCACCUCUAUCUGACCUAACAAUUUACACCUUUCUGUCUAAUUGUCUUUCCACUUCAUUUAUAUAAACUUCUAAGGCAUUCACUGCUUGCGAUUUUUCAUGCAGUAAAUAGACAUAACCAUAACGUGAAAAAUCAUUAAUAAAGGUGAUAAAAUACCUUUCUUUAUUGAAAGAACUUGCAUCAAAAGGUCCACAUAUAUCAGUGUGUAUGAUUUCAAGAAGCUGAGUACUUCUUGUUGCUCCCUUCUUUAUGUGUUUUGUUUGUUUGCCUUUAAUACAAUCCACACAUACAUUCAGAUCAGUAAAAUCCAAACUUGGAAGUAUUUCAUUCUUUACCAAUCUCUCCAUCCUUUCUUUGGAAAUAUGUCCCAAACGUUUGUGCCACAAGAAAACAGAACAUUCAUUCACUAAACUACGUUUAGUGCCAGCAUUAUGAUGCAAGGUCAUAAGAGUUUCAGCAUAUAGAUUAUCAAGGUUCAAUCUAUAUAAUUCAUCAUAAAGAGUACCAGAUCCAAUCAAAUAGGUAUGCUGAUAUAAACUAAAACAUCCAUUCCUAAAUUUAAAAGAGUACUCGGCAACAUCAAGUUUAGACAAUGAAACUAAAUUCCUAGAUAUACUAGGUACAUAAAAGCAUCCAUCAAGUCCAAAUAAAAUCCAGUGUCGAGGAUUAAACAAUAAGUCCCGACUGCUUCCAUUUGAACCUUCUCUCUAUUCCCCAUGAAGACAAACUUUUCAUUUGGCUUUAUGGUUCGGGUUGAAAGGAAUCCUUGCAUCAUGUUAGAAACAUGAGUUGUGCAUCCAUAAUCAAUCCACUAAGAAUUAUGUGGAACUUCAGUUAAGUUUGAUUCAAAACAUACAUAAUAAGCAUUUUGCUUACCCUUCUUUUCGAACCAAGCCAUACAUUUCAAACAAUCCUUUUGGAAAUGUCUAGAUUUCUUGCAGAAAUGACAUUUGUCAUUCUUCUUCUAGAGCUUAGUAGAGGACUCAUUUAUCUUCAGUGGUCCUUUACCCUUUCCAUGUUUCUUGAAGACUUUCUUUCCAGCUCCCUGAUUGUUCACAUAGUGUAUAGAGUGGUUUCCUCGAUUCUUCAAUCUAGUCUUUUCCUAAACUAACAUGUUAUAGUUCUCAUCCACUGCCAUUCCAAUAGACUUAAGUUUUGCCGCAAUAUUAGUCAUUUCAAUGACAUGUUCGUGCAUAGUACGAGAACCAUCAAAUUCAAUGGUGGUUAAUGUACUCAUUAAUGUCCCAACAAGAGACUUAUCAGUAGUUUGAGAGCUCUCUUCCACAAAUUUCAUAAAUUCUUUUGCACUAUCAGUUUUGGGAAGAGCAGACUUAAUAUUACUUGUUAUGCUCAUUCCCAUAAAGAUACAUGAACAAAUACUCGAUCACACAUGCUUAACAUUAAUACUUUGAGUCAUAAACUAAACAUACAAUACAAAUUCAGAAAACAUUCUAUGUGUACUAAUGUUCUCCUUUGGGAGAUUCAUUAAUACACAAAACAUAAUUAUGCUAAUAGUAUUAACUUUAUUUGGCAAUAUAUAUGCAUUAACUAGAAACACUUGUUAUCUUUGGAUAUACAAGCAAAACUAAUAACACAUACUCACUACCAACAAUCAUAUCCAAUAAUUAUAAGGACAACUAAUCAACCUUUGGAUGAUCCAAAAAUGUCUUAUAAUAAUGAAUUUCCAUUUACCCAUAUUUAAAUAAUUUAACAUCCAUUCUAUAGGUAAUUGAAAUAAAAUUUAUCAGUAAUCUGGAAUUAAAUAAAACUUAAAGAUUUGAUCACUUUGGUGAUUACAAAUCUAACAUACAAAUAAUUCCAUAAAUAAUAUCAUUAAUUGAAAUGAAAUUUCAUCCAUAAUUUGGAAUUAAAUAAACUUAAAGAUUUGAUCACUUUGGUGAUUACAAAUCUAUCAUACAAUAAUUCCAAAAUCAUAAUUUAAAAAUUAAUACAUAAAGCGGAAUUAAUUUUCCAUUCCUCACUUUCAAUCAAUUAAUUAAACUUUAAUUUAAUGCAAAUUAAAUUACAUUAUAAAAUAAUAAAAUUUCAUUAAAAUUUUAAUUUAAUGCAAAUUAAAUUACAUUAAAAAUUAAUACAUAAAGUGGAAAAAAUAAUUUUCCAUUCCUCACUUUAAUUAAAAUUUUAAUUGAAAUCAUUAAUAAAAUAAAUGAGGUAAGGAAAUUAAUUCAUAAGUUUCAGUAAUUUGAUUAAAAAUAAAAUAACAUAAGAUGAAUGAAUGACAUAAGGUGCAUGAAUGAAUUUAUUGCUAUUCAUAAAUUGAAUUCAACAUUAUAUUAUAAUUUAAUCUAAAUUGCAGGAAGAAACAAUUCAUGCUUUUCAUUAAUUUAUAUUAUAAUAUAUAUUAUAUUAUAAUUUCAUAAUCAGAAAUUGACUUCAUCAUCUUCCUCACGCCUUUCUUUCCGAAAGGCUCCUACCACCAUCACAACACUACCAUCGAGCAAACAAGGUUCACGGAAGCGGCGAAGGCUUGCGGUCCCACUAAUAGAUUCAUAGGGUUUUUUUUAACACCGUUAAUGGCGUUGGGUAUAGGAAGAUUAGGGUUAUGUUAAUGGAAACCUUAAUCCAUAAACCCUAAUUUUAAAAUUAGGAUUCUUCAAUUGUGAUUAUUUUAAAAUUAGGGUUCUUUGAUUUUGUUUUUUGAUGGUUUAGGACAAUUAGAGAUCUAUUAUAGAGGAAUGAAAACCUUAAUUUAUAACCCUAAUUUUAAAUUAGGAUUCUUAAAUUGGGAAUAUUUUAAAAUUAGGUUCUUCAAUUUUGGAAAAACAUUAAUGGAGAAUCACAACAAAAUGAGCAACGAGGCUCUGAUACCACAUGUAAAUUAAAACAUGAAUAAACGUAAAUUGAACACAUACAAUACAUGUUCACAUACAGAUCUUAUCAUAUCAUAAUUCUCACACAAUCAUACAAUCAAGAAGGAAUAGACACUUACCUUGAUCCAUGAGUGAUCCUAACUGAGCAGUUACUUUAUCUCCUUUGUCACAAUCUAUCUCUUAGCAAUUUCGUUCUUGUCACACACUUCGUGAUGGUUAACAGUGAGACACCUAUUAUUUGCAGAGACAAAACCCUAUAGUCUUUAGUUCCCAAUCUUCAUCAGAUGUAGGUUUUCAUUAGGUAUAUCAUCAUAUAUAUAUUUCUCACGUUAACCAAAGGGCUCUUUAAUUCUAUUAUUAUUAUUAUUAAAUCAUAUUCGGGCCCAAAGCCCAAACUCUAAGUCAUGUGAGUCACUUUAUAGAAAUUAAUUUACAUAAUUUCUUACAAAAACUGCAUACGAAAUGCAUAUUUUCUAGUAUUCAGAUAUGAUGGGGUUAAUGAGUUCAGGGUCACAAUCUUUGAAAUAUCAACGCAUUGUGAGAAAACUCUGAUAAAUAUUGAGGAGGAGGAGGGGAAUGAAGAAGAGAAAGCCGCUGCACAAGUUGAAGAGACAGUGAUAAGACAGAAGGAGCAGGCUGAGGACUGUGACAUAGAGGAUGAGGAAGACAGUCAAGAUCAGCACUACGAUGACGACAAUAACGAUAGUGAUUUUGAUGAUGAGGAGGAUGAGAACACAGAGAUGGAAGAAGAGAGUGAAGGAGAAAACAGUGUUGGUCCUGUUGGAUACACGAGUCAAAACAUUAUCCCAAACCUUGCAGAAGUAAGUUUUGAACUUCAUGCUGAAAACUAGUUUUUGUUUUUUCCCAUGUCUAUAAUAUGAGUUCAUGAAUCUGGUUUAGGGGACACUGCAUCAAGUUCCUACCCCCAGACUGAAGACACUUUCAAAGACGAUGAAUUUGAUCCUGAAAUGUGCAUUCAGUCAGAAAAUAAUUAUUUUGAAGCAAAACUCUAAAGAACUAGACCCAACAAAUUGGUUAGAAAUUAGAAUUCUAAUAUUGUUUAUGUAGCUAUUGGCUUGUUAGACAUUAAAGCACUGUUAGACGAGUAAGUCAAUUUUUUUUUUUUUUCAGCAAUGAAUUAAUAGAAUUAAUAGGAACACUUUAGGGGUGUUCCAACCCUUAUACAUAAAGACUCCUAAUAAAGCAUUUAACAAUUAGAGCAAAGUUAAGCGACAAACCUCUUAACUCAAAACCUUAAAACUAGUUAAAGAUACUCAGUCCCAAAACCUGAAUCUGCAUAAACCAGCACAAAACAAACAAAAGCCUGGUGGCGAGGGAAAAACUGCUAGAGAAAAACAUGCUAACAGCUAGGUGUGACCAGCACAACUUAACCAUGAAGAGCAAAGACUAAAAAUCCCCGGGCCUUGCUGCAUUUGCUAACACAGAUCCAGGGAUUGCCUCUUGACAGCAGAGUGCUUCAUCUAUAACUCUGUGUGAAACCAACCAUCAACCAUAACCUCUUUGGUCAGAUCUUCACGCUUGUGGUAACCCGAGAACAAGGUAUUUCCUCUCAGACAAAUUUCUCCAUGGGCUGCAUUGGGGAGAGCAUCAUAUUCCAUCUCUGGCACAGAUUUAAACCUGGCUUCAAUGGUUGUCAUGGGAAUACCAACUGUUCCUGUCAUGGAAUACACAUCACCUAUGGCUUACUCCUCAACUUCCUUCUUUUGUGUGGUCGAAACACUUCCCAAGCACACAAUAGUUUUAAGAUUUGAAGAACACGGCUUUAGUUUCCAAGAUUCAUAACUCCCAGGGUAGCUCCUACACCAAGGAAACACCUUCCACUCCGCUUCAUGAGAGAAGAAUUUGCAUAUAUUUAUAAGAUAUCCUCCCUAUUUUCCUGCAGUAAUGAGAGAGCAAACAGCUUCCCCACCUCAUCGUAACUUAGAAUAUAAAACCAGUCCAGCCCGUGGGUCUUAAGCAAUUUUAAAUUUUUUUUAAAAAAAAAGUUGCAGCAGCCAACCAACAUGCAUAAUAUUAAAACCAGUAUAAAUCUUUAUCUAAUAGUCAUAUUGAUGCAUGUUAAAGGAGAUAAAAUCCAAUCGGAAAAUGAAAAAGUGACUUUCCUUUCUUUUUGUUUCAUCCAAACCCAUGAUUGUACUUGUGCUAAAGUAAAAAUUUCCUCCACAUCUAACUUAGCUUGAUUGAAGAUAAACCUAUUUCUAUGCUUCCAUAUACACCAAGCAACUGAUACCCAAAGACCUUUCCAUAACCUAUUACCUUCUUGAUUAGAACAUAUGCCAGGAAAUUGUUCAAAAUGAUGAUUCAAAACAUUAUGGUUCACCGAACUUACUCCCAUCCAACUAGAGCACAUGUUCCAUACUUUAAUUGAUUCUUCACAUGAGACAAAGAUAUGUGAACAUGUCUCUUNNNNNNNNNNNNNNNNNNNNNNNNNNNNNNNNNNNNNNNNNNNNNNNNNNNNNNNNNNNNNNNNNNNNNNNNNNNNNNNNNNNNNNNNNNNNNNNNNNNNNNNNNNNNNNNNNNNNNNNNNNNNNNNNNNNNNNNNNNNNNNNNNNNNNNNNNNNNNNNNNCCCCCUGUAUCAUGCUUUACUAACCUGUUAUAUGCUGAUUUCACCGUAAAUGUAUAUAACGGAGGAUCAAUCCAAAUUCGUAUGUCCACAUCCUCUUGUCGCAGUGUCACUUGAGAUAUAAUUGCCAUGAAAUCCUCUACCAUGCUUUUCUCCCAUUCAAACCAAUCUCUUCUCCAUCUGAAGUUCCACUCCCACCCUUCCGUAGACCAGCUUCCACAACUACCGAUAUACUUGUCUUUGAGCUCCGAGUUAUUAUAUAGUCUCUCAUAUCUUGAUUUGAGUUGGUCAUUGGUUAACCACUCGUCCUCCCAAAAUUUGAUCUUCUCCCCAGAACCCACUUUCCAACCCAAAUUCUGAUUGAACCAAUUGACCCCUUGGUCAGAAAGACUAGCCUUGGCUAGAUCACUCCACCAUCUAGAUGUAUACCCCUUUCGAUUUGGUGCAUGUGAUAUUGACGUUCCCCACUGGCCAUACUUUGAUUCUAGAACAUCCUUCCAGAGUCCAGACUCUUGAGAUCCCAAUCUCCAUAGCCAUUUUGCCAGGAGUGCCUUAUUGAACAACUCAAUGUUUCUAAUGCCUAGACCUCCCUCCUCUUUUGCCUUGCAAACGUUUUCCCAACUUAUCCAAGCAAUUUUCCUUCCUUCCGCUCCCCAACCCCACAAGAAAGUUCUUUGUAGUUUGGUUAUCUCCUUGCACACUCCAAUCGGUGCUUUGAAAAAGGAUAGGAAGAAGAGUGGUAUGGCACUGAUGACAUAUUUUAUAAGACAUACUCUACCUGCAAAAGACAGGUUCUUCCCCUUCCACACUGAUAGUUUCUUUCUAACCUUUAAAAGCACAGGCUCCCAAAACGAGCAUCUGGAUGGAUUACCUCCUAUAGGUAGGCCUAAAUAUAUAAAGGGUAUAUUCAUGAGACUGCAAUGAAGUAUAUCAGAGUACGCAUUCAUCUCAUACCUACCUACCCCAAUUGCACCAAUUUUGCUCUUAUGGUAAUUAACUCUAAGACCAGAGCUUAAUUCGAAACAUCUCACGAUAGCCUUAAUGCAUAUGAAAUUUUGAACGUUAGAUUUGCAGACGAAAAGGGUGUCAUCAGCGAAUUGGAGUAAGUUCACUUCCACCUUUUUCCCCCCAACUUUAAUUCCCGAGAGCAAAUUUUUCCUUGUCGCUUCUUUUACUAGACCCGCUAAACCUUGUGCGACGAUCAAAAACAAAAACGGUGCCAUCGGAUCCCCUUGUCUAAGACCUCUAGAAGGCUUGAAUUCCUUAGUCGGGCUACCAUUUACUAAAACCGAAACAGUAGCCGAUUCUAGGCAAGCUCUAAUCCACUGGAUCCAUUUUUCACUGAACCCUAGUCUUCUCAUCAUAUAAAAUAAGAACUCCCAUCUCACCGAGUCGUAUGCCUUCUCAAAAUCGAGUUUCACUACCACCCCGCUCUUCUUUCUUCUUCUCAGCUCGUCUAAAACCUCAUUCACCACUAGGACGCUGUCUAAUAAGCCUCUAUUGGACAAAAAAGCUGAUUGUGUCCCAUCUACCACCUUCCCAAUAACUUUCUUAAACCUAUUAGCUAACAAUUUGGUCAGAAUCUUGUACACACAACCGNNNNNNNNNNNNNNNNNNNNNNNNNNNNNNNNNNNNNNNNNNNNNNNNNNNNNNNNNNNNNNNNNNNNNNNNNNNNNNNNNNNNNNNNNNNNNNNNNNNNNNNNNNAAAAGCAGUUCACUGCACCCUCCACGUCCUUUUGAAGAAGACCCCAAUGAUUUUUAAUGAAGCUGAAAGUUACACCAUCUGGGCCUGGACUUUUAUGGCUAUCACAAUUCCAAAUGGCUUCCUUUAUUUCUUUUCCAUCAAAAGGUUCAGUCAAGAAAUUGUUGUCUUGAUCAGAUAACUCCUUGAACUCCACGUUAUCCAACCUUACUCCAAUGUCGUCAACAACAGUCAUUUUAUUCUUGAAAAACUCUUUGACCAUCUCCUUUACCAUAUUAGGUUCUUCCACCCAGCUACCUGAAUUCUGGCAAAGAACUCCUUUUAUCUCAUUUCUCAUUCUCCUCCACUUGAUCGAAGCAUGAAAAAACUUAGAAUUGGAAUCCCCUUGCUUAAUCCACAGUGCUCUUGACUUUUGUUGUAAUAACGAUUCCUUCCUCAUGUUUAUAACUUGUAACUGACUUAAGAGAUCUCUUCUUUCCGUAAUCAUGUUCUCAUCUAAACCGUCUACUUCAUCUCUCAUAUCCAACUCUUGAAUUUUCUUUACGAUGUCUAAUUUAAUCUUAUCAGUAUGCCCGAAGACGUCUUUGUUCCAUCCUUUCAAAUCGCUCUUUAGCAUUUUCAGUUUCUCCUUUAGCACUAGGAUUUCGUUUCCCUGGACCAGGUAAUUCUCCCACUUACUUUUGACAAAAAUUUCAAACUCCUUCUCUUCCUGCCAGAUGUCUAGAAACCUGAAUGGUUUUGGCCCCCAAUCCACCACAUUUGAUUUAAGCACCAGUGCACAGUGGUCAGAAAUUUGUCUAUCUAAAACAUAUUGCUUACUUCCUGGUCACUGUUGUAACCAGUCAAAAGUGGUUAAAAAUCUGUCCAGCCUGCUCUUAGCUUUGCCGUUGGGCCUAUACCAGGUAAAUUUUCUUCCGAUACAGGGUAAAUCCACCAUCUCCAUACUAUCAAUGAAGUUGUUAAAACCUUGCAUCUCUCGGUUAAUACUGCUAUGACGAUUUAUCCCCCUUCGUUCCCUUUCAUUUCUUACCGAAUUGAAGUCUCCCAGAACACACCAAGAAUUACAUUGUUCUCUUUGUCUGAUCUCUAAUAAAUCUGCCCACAUUUUCCUUUUCACUUGCAUGAUGCACGAAGAAUACACAUUUACAAUAAUAACAGGGGUAUUUUCCUCCUUAGCAAGACCAAUAAACACAAUGAACCAUCUAUCAAUGAUGUGGUUAGUGCAUUGAAAAAAAAUUUUAAGCCAUAUUGUUAGAAUACCCCCUGCCCCAUUUAAAGGUUCACUAUAAAGAUAAUCAAUAUCAUUGUCCCCCCAUAGUUGGCAACACUUGUUUAAACUAAAACUUUCCAUUCUUACUUCUUGCAAACAUACCAUUUUGACAUCUUCCUUUCUAAUGUAGUCUUUAACAUGCCUCCACUUCAAAGAGUUCCCGAACCCUCUCACGUUUAGAGUUAAAAUUCUCAUUAGAACCCCCUAUGUUCCCCUUCUUCCCUUCGAGAUUUGAGACUCCUAUCUCUUACUUCUAGUUCCUCUAAAUUUAACAUUACUUUACCUUCUUCCCCACAAGACGCCCCUAUCUUUUUACCCAAUUCCCAUAGCCUAAUCGUUUCUUGACUACCGUUUUUUAACCAAAAUAAACGAUUACAGUUAUUGAUAGCCAAAUCAGAAACAGAAUUGCUAAUUUGAGAUAAAACUGACCUUACAUAUUUUCGGUCUUCCCGCGUGUUAUUUUUGCUUGUGUCUCCCACCCAGAAAACUCUUCUUUCAGAUGUGCCUGAGGAGCAAAUGGAUACUGAAUCGUUAAUUACCUUUAUUGAAUUGGACGAACCUUCCGCAAUCGUAUGAUCCCCCUUUCCUUAUGUUCGCCGAACGGCAGGAAUGAAUUUCUUAUUUUGCCCGAAUUCGACUCCAAAUGGAUGUAGUGUUGCUUGUAUUUAUGCUCUUCGGCGUUAUGAGCUUGUUGUCUAGGAAGAUGGUUAACUUCCCUUUCGCUUGUCUGAAGUAAAGAGUCCUCCACUCUCGAAAUUGAAAUUCUUGGUUCGUGGUUCCCCGCGGCUUCCACCUCCUUCGACGAAUUGGAAAGCGAAUUGGAAAUUCCAGCCCUUUGUUCUGGCGAAAACGACUCACAUAACGUCGCUCUUUUCCCCUCUGCGUCGUCUUUGUGUGUCCUGACGAGAGUCGCGUUUUGUUCUCCAUUUCUGGUUUUCAAAGAUGUUUCCAUGGUGGUCUGAGUCUGACCAGCUUGUUCUGUUUCGCCCAUAACGUGACCCCUUUCAGAGGUGGGUGGGCUUUCCAGCGCUCCGCUCUGUAGGAGGUCCUCCCUGUCAACGAAUGGGCCUUCCAAAAAAAUAGGGUUUUGAUACUCACACCUCCCAACUCCCUUCUCAGCAGUUUUUUGGCGCUCCACACGUUGGCCCGAUUCAACAGGCCCAAUCCAGUUUGCCACGUCAGCCGUGGUUGUAACCGUUGGGGGUUCUGACCCUAAAACUUGCUUUCCUUUAGCUGUAGGUCGAUUAGGUACAGGGAUAGGACCAGUAGGUCUUGCCAGAAGAGGCUCGCAGCACCUAGACGGAAAAAUUGGUUCCGAUCUACGGCGACUUUGUGCCAUGGCAGGCGGUUCUACCGACGAGUCUUCCUCUUCAACUUUGCUUUCCUCAAACUCCCUACAUACCGAUCGGUCUGAAGCUUGGGACCCAAUUGAUUCGGCCUCUGUAUCUACACUUCCAGUUUCGUCGUCCCACUGGCAUUGACAGAGCUUGUAGUCUGGGAUAAUGCAUUCUUCCUCCACCGAUACCUGAUACAGUACAUCAUUAAUUCUCAUAUAGCUUGUUAGCUUUGCCUCACAGCCCACUGAUACCCUAAUCUUAAACCUUGCGUAUUCGAGCUCUUCCAGUGCUAUUGUUGCCUCAUCCACCUCGACCAGAGUCAAUUUUCUUUUUAAGUCAUUUUGCUUUAAAUUCCCUUUGGUUUGGUUUGUAAACCCUUCCAAUCUUUGAGCCUAUACUGUUGUGUUCAUGUUUAAAGUGUUAACUGAUUGAUUUGUCAUUUCCUGAUUCUCUUGAAGCAAUUUAACUUUUCAUAACUUUUAACUAUUGCAUUUUCCUUUGUCCAUAUACUGUACUUUUCACUUUUGGUUUGAUUUGAUUCCUUUCUAUUGCAGCAUAUUCCAGGUAUCGCCAUUCAAGACUUUUCCCUUAGUUUUCCUGAAAAGAUUACCCUUAAAUGUUGCCAACACUGCCAGCGUACGGUAUGAUUCUAAUAGUUACUUAUCAUUUUUACAAGUAUAUGUUGGGGAUAUUUGUGUGAAUUAAUGGGGUUGUCCUGAGAAUUUGAAGUUAUAGCUCUGUACAUUCAUUGUCACCACAGGAUAUUCAAAGAAACCAAUUGCAAGACUAUCAUCUCAACUUGGCACAACUGGUACCCAUCAGAAAAAAAAUAUUUAGAAGUGACAGGAAAAGUGUGUAGGUGGAAUAACGAUAGAAUAUGUAUAGGGGGUUGGGCUAACUUUAGUAGAAGAAACAAGAUAAAAAAUAAUGAUGUAUGCAUCUGUGAAGUUAUAUUAGGGGAAGACCAAGUAGUAAGAACAUUUCUGGUGCACGUUGGUACUAGGAGGGAGUAGCCACACAAUCGUCUGCCAGUGAUUUGGACUACUUCCCUAGUGUUAUAAUUGCAUUCUCUAAAUAAUUUUAGAAAUUAAUGCUUGUAAUUUUCUUUUGUAAUGGUUUCUUCCAAUUUCACUUGUAAUGACUACCAUAUUUAUCUACUCUCUUGGUUGCACAAUCAUUUGGAUUACACUAUUGUCUUGUUCUUCCUUGGACAACUAUUCAUUGGAUAGGAACUUGGAGUUUUGUUUGUGGACUUAAAUUCCACUCGGUUUCUUUGCUACUAGUUGGACAAAUCUAAAGUUAUUAUUAUGCGAAUUUGAGAUUGGUGAACCAAUUUGAUGUUGGAACCAAUGUUGUUCAAAGAAUUUUGAGAUUUUGCUACUAAUUUGAAAUUGCGACCAGCCACAUCUUCAACACGUAAUGCUGCAACUGAGAUUUUCCAGAUUGCAGUCAUCAUGAAUGAACUUGUUCUAAUUGAGAUUGCUAAGGAUUUCUUCUUCUCUAAAUUGAAGCAUCUUUGGAUGAGUCAUAGUGAGAAUCUCAUGAACUUCAUUUAGAUUCAUGUAUUUAUUGUCUUGACAUUUAAAGAAUUUUCUUUUGGUGUAUGGUUAAAUAUCCAUGAAAUUGAUUUUAAUGUGAUUACCAUCAGUGAUCCCCCCAUUCCUUUGUUUUAAAAGAGGCUAUAUAAUUUGCUGACCAUUUAAAAAAAAACCUUGUAAUUCCAGAGAAUAUGAUAGUAAACCUUGGAGGGUUCAAUCCCUAGUUAGUAUUAGUAAUAAUUUUAAGAUUUUGGGCUUUUUAGUGCAGUGCGAAGCAGCUUUAUUCAAGGUGAAAAUGUCUACAUGCCAGUACGAAUGUGCUUAUAGGAUUUUUAGUUCAGUGAGAAGCAGCAUUAUUUAAAUUCAAUAACCUUAAUUUUAUGCAUAAAAAUUACAAACAUAAAUUAUACUGUGAUGGAUUUCCUAUGAGCUCUUCUUGGAUGUUUGGUUGAAGAUGGUGCGGAAGCUUAUGGAUGAGAGUGGGCAAGGUCCUCCUAAGAGGUGUGGUUCGGCCAACUCCCUUUGGAGGUGAGGGUUUGAAGAUUAAAAGCCUAUUCCUAAGAGAGUUUAGGCAAGGAGUGAGAAUGACACAAUUUUGGCAGCAUUUCACUAUUCAAUUAAUCUUGCAAAUACAUGAGUCAAGCCCUCUUAUUUAUAGUGUUUAGGGGCUGGAAAUUAAAAAGAAAGUGGAGGAAAAUUCAAAUGAGAAGCAUUUGAAUUUGGAGCCAAUUCCUAAUCACAAGGGAAGUGUGAUUUGGUUUCUAUUUUUGGCACCUCCUAAAUCUAUACCUACACCUUCUUUUGUGUUACAUGGAAGGUGUGACUUAACUUUAUACAUUUGCACCUCUUAUAUUUAUAUCUACACCUCCCUUUAUGUUCUACUAAAAAUACUCAAAAGUAAUUACAAAAGAAAGACAUCCAAUGAUGCUUAGUUUGCCCAUAUCUUCUAUUUGUUGGGCUUGAGUUGAAGCUUGAACUUGUAUUUGGGCUUUGGCUUGGGCUUUUUCUAUCAUGGGCUUGGGCCUCUUCCAUCAUCCCCUCCCUCUUGAAAAGGAUUUGUCCUCAAAUCCAAUGCUUCUUCUUCAUCAUCAUUAUGUGGAUGUAUGUGGCUGGAUGGUUUCCAUCAUACUAUCACAAUAAAUUUUCAUUAUAAGUGAGAAUAUUUUAUCUUUAUCCCCGACGAGACGUUGGUUGAAGGCACAUUGGAAAGAAAGAACCCUAUUUUACCUCCAAGACUGUCUUUUCUGUUUACGGUUCACUACCAAAGUGUUGCCUUCACCCUCCCAAUCCAAAUGUGACACCCCAAAAAAUGCAUGACAUAUUUCAAAGCAAAAAUAAUAGAGAAAAUAAAGAACAGCGAGAGUCACUUGUUCAACAGGAAAACUAGCACAUAAGUAGCAGCUAUAUAAUUCAGUAAACGGGUGGUAUUAAGAAGUCUAACUAUUACAACGAUAUGUUUCAAGGCCACAUACAAGAUGACAAAUCAAACUUCAAACAAUUCAGUGACAAAUUUUGGCUCCCUUAUUCCCUUCUGUAGAGGGAAAUAACAGCAGCAUUCUUGCUACAAUAUAAAUCUAUAAUCUUAUAUUCUUUUAUCCCUUCUCCAUAAAAAAAUACCAAGAACUCCUAUCUGCAAAACAAUAUAUGCCGUGACAAAACCUACUACACACUCCACAUGUCAGCAGGACAUCUCCAAGACAAAGUACAUCGUCGAUUAAGGAGAAUAAAACAAAAUAUUUACAAUUCAAAAUUAAAUCAAACGCAAUAAUAAGUAAUCAGCUCAAAAAAAAACAAUAACCACAAUAAGUAAUAUGAUUACAACCACUACAUUCAAGUAUCCUGCCUUCAUCAAAAGUUACAAUUUAAACCCUACAAUUUCGAGAUUUCUAACCCUCCAAACCACUAAACCUUUAUUUCUCUUUUUUAUGGGAGUGUCCUUCAAAUAAAUAAAGUUUGCUAACAUCAAUUGUUUUCUCUUUAUUAUUUAAUUUUUGCAUAACAUUAAGAUUUUAAAAUAUGUCAAGUUGUUUUUUUUUUGUUAAUUUAAGGUUUUAAAAAAUUAUUGUUUGACUCAAAAAGCAGACAAAGUACAAGGAGAAUAAAACAAAAUAUUUACAAUUCAAUAUUAAAUCAAAUGCAACAAUAAGUAAUCAACUCUCAAAGAACAAUAACCACAAUAAGUAAUAUGAUUACAACCACUACAUUCAAGUAUCCUGCCUUUAUCUAAACUUACAAAUUAAACCUUACAAUUUCGAGAUUUCUCACCCUCCAAACUACUAAACCUUUUUCUCCCUUUUUAUGGGAGUGUCCUUCAUAUAAAUAAAGCUUGCUAACAUCAAUUGUUUUUUCUUUAUUAUUUAAUUAUUGCAUAACUUUAAGAUUUUCAUAUAUGUCAAGUUGCUUUUUUUUUGGUUAUUCUAAAGUUUUAAAAAACCAUUGUUUGACUUAAAAAGCAGACCAAGUACAUCGUCGGUUAAGGAGAAUAAAACAAAAUAUUUAUUAUUCAAUAUUGCAUCACACCCAAUAAUAAGUAAUCAGCUCUCAAAGAACAAUAACCACAAUAAGUAAUGAUGGAAGAGGCCCAAGCACAAGCCCACAUGCAAGCCCACCAAAGGGUAGAUUUGGGCCAACCAUAGAGUUAUGGCCAAGAGGAUCCAAGAAGACGUUCUUUUACAUGUUCAAAUGCCAUAAACUCUAGUGUAGAGUAGACUUUAAUUUCUUGUCAAAAUUAGCAUAGGAACUUUAUUUGUAAUUUUCUUAGAAUUAAUUUUGGCACCUAAAACACCAACCUAGGUAAACUUAGAGUUUCUAAAAAAACCUCUAAAUUUACCAAGGCCGGUCUAGAAAGCCCAUGGAGGGGGUGAGCAUAAAAACUAGACACACCCCUCAUGUGCUCAUUUGUGCACCCAUGUGCCAUGUGCACCCAUGUGCUUCACAUUUACAUUUCAUUUGGCUAGCAUUAGGGUUGCAUUAUGGUCCUCCUUAGCCUAUAAAAGGAGGAGCCUACACCUUGUAUUUUCAAGUUUAUUGUGAGUAAAGUUAUGCUGCCAUUUUGUGCCAAGCUUUGCUUCUCCCUAGAAUUCUAGGCUCUAAACUUCAUCUCCUUCACCUCUCCUUGGGUUGACCGAACCUCCCUAGCUUCAUACAUAUCAUGCACCUUCAAGAUCAACAUCACUCUUAGGAGGAUCUUGCUCACACACCUUCAUAGCUUCCGCACCACUUUUCCUUACAUGAUUCAAGAAGACCUUCAUGAAAUGCCAUCAUUUGGUAUCAUGAGCUAUUUUCUUUUUCCUCUCCCCCACUAGACUCGUCUUCUUGGCUACUAUACUCAUCCCUCCCUCUUAGGAUCAUAAUUCCAUAAUUGUCUUGCUUUUUUUUACAUUUUAAAUNNNNNNNNNNNNNNNNNNNNNNNNNNNNNNNNNNNNNNNNNNNNNNNNNNNNNNNNNNNNNNNNNNNNNNNNNNNNNNNNNNNNNNNNNNNNNNNNNNNNNNNNNNNNNNNNNNNNNNNNNNNNNNNNNNNNNNNNNNNNNNNNNNNNNNNNNNNNNNNNNNNNNNNNNNNNNNNNNNNNNNNNNNNNNNNNNNNNNNNNNNNNNNNNNNNNNNNNNNNNNNNNNNNNNNNNNNNNNNNNNNNNNNNNNNNNNNNNNNNNNNNNNNNNNNNNNNNNNNNNNNNNNNNNNNNNNNNNNNNNNNNNNNNNNNNNNNNNNNNNNNNNNNNNNNNNNNNNNNNNNNNNNNNNNNNNNNNNNNNNNNNNNNNNNNNNNNNNNNNNNNNNNNNNNNNNNNNNNNNNNNNNNNNNNNNNNNNNNNNNNNNNNNNNNNNNNNNNNNNNNNNNNNNNNNNNNNNNNNNNNNNNNNNNNNNNNNNNNNNNNNNNNNNNNNNNNNNNNNNNNNNNNNNNNNNNNNNNNNNNNNNNNNNNNNNNNNNNNNNNNNNNNNNNNNNNNNNNNNNNNNNNNNNNNNNNNNNNNNNNNNNNNNNNNNNNNNNNNNNNNNNNNNNNNNNNNNNNNNNNNNNNNNNNNNNNNNNNNNNNNNNNNNNNNNNNNNNNNNNNNNNNNNNNNNNNNNNNNNNNNNNNNNNNNNNNNNNNNNNNNNNNNNNNNNNNNNNNNNNNNNNNNNNNNNNNNNNNNNNNNNNNNNNNNNNNNNNNNNNNNNNNNNNNNNNNNNNNNNNNNNNNNNNNNNNNNNNNNNNNNNNNNNNNNNNNNNNNNNNNNNNNNNNNNNNNNNNNNNNNNNNNNNNNNNNNNNNNNNNNNNNNNNNNNNNNNNNNNNNNNNNNNNNNNNNNNNNNNNNNNNNNNNNNNNNNNNNNNNNNNNNNNNNNNNNNNNNNNNNNNNNNNNNNNNNNNNNNNNNNNNNNNNNNNNNNNNNNNNNNNNNNNNNNNNNNNNNNNNNNNNNNNNNNNNNNNNNNNNNNNNNNNNNNNNNNNNNNNNNNNNNNNNNNNNNNNNNNNNNNNNNNNNNNNNNNNNNNNNNNNNNNNNNNNNNNNNNNNNNNNNNNNNNNNNNNNNNNNNNNNNNNNNNNNNNNNNNNNNNNNNNNNNNNNNNNNNNNNNNNNNNNNNNNNNNNNNNNNNNNNNNNNNNNNNNNNNNNNNNNNNNNNNNNNNNNNNNNNNNNNNNNNNNNNNNNNNNNNNNNNNNNNNNNNNNNNNNNNNNNNNNNNNNNNNNNNNNNNNNNNNNNNNNNNNNNNNNNNNNNNNNNNNNNNNNNNNNNNNNNNNNNNNNNNNNNNNNNNNNNNNNNNNNNNNNNNNNNNNNNNNNNNNNNNNNNNNNNNNNNNNNNNNNNNNNNNNNNNNNNNNNNNNNNNNNNNNNNNNNNNNNNNNNNNNNNNNNNNNNNNNNNNNNNNNNNNNNNNNNNNNNNNNNNNNNNNNNNNNNNNNNNNNNNNNNNNNNNNNNNNNNNNNNNNNNNNNNNNNNNNNNNNNNNNNNNNNNNNNNNNNNNNNNNNNNNNNNNNNNNNNNNNNNNNNNNNNNNNNNNNNNNNNNNNNNNNNNNNNNNNNNNNNNNNNNNNNNNNNNNNNNNNNNNNNNNNNNNNNNNNNNNNNNNNNNNNNNNNNNNNNNNNNNNNNNNNNNNNNNNNNNNNNNNNNNNNNNNNNNNNNNNNNNNNNNNNNNNNNNNNNNNNNNNNNNNNNNNNNNNNNNNNNNNNNNNNNNNNNNNNNNNNNNNNNNNNNNNNNNNNNNNNNNNNNNNNNNNNNNNNNNNNNNNNNNNNNNNNNNNNNNNNNNNNNNNNNNNNNNNNNNNNNNNNNNNNNNNNNNNNNNNNNNNNNNNNNNNNNNNNNNNNNNNNNNNNNNNNNNNNNNNNNNNNNNNNNNNNNNNNNNNNNNNNNNNNNNNNNNNNNNNNNNNNNNNNNNNNNNNNNNNNNNNNNNNNNNNNNNNNNNNNNNNNNNNNNNNNNNNNNNNNNNNNNNNNNNNNNNNNNNNNNNNNNNNNNNNNNNNNNNNNNNNNNNNNNNNNNNNNNNNNNNNNNNNNNNNNNNNNNNNNNNNNNNNNNNNNNNNNNNNNNNNNNNNNNNNNNNNNNNNNNNNNNNNNNNNNNNNNNNNNNNNNNNNNNNNNNNNNNNNNNNNNNNNNNNNNNNNNNNNNNNNNNNNNNNNNNNNNNNNNNNNNNNNNNNNNNNNNNNNNNNNNNNNNNNNNNNNNNNNNNNNNNNNNNNNNNNNNNNNNNNNNNNNNNNNNNNNNNNNNNNNNNNNNNNNNNNNNNNNNNNNNNNNNNNNNNNNNNNNNNNNNNNNNNNNNNNNNNNNNNNNNNNNNNNNNNNNNNNNNNNNNNNNNNNNNNNNNNNNNNNNNNNNNNNNNNNNNNNNNNNNNNNNNNNNNNNNNNNNNNNNNNNNNNNNNNNNNNNNNNNNNNNNNNNNNNNNNNNNNNNNNNNNNNNNNNNNNNNNNNNNNNNNCAUCUACAAAAACAAAUUUUUAUGUGAAGUAGGGCCUAAAGAAACUUGUCAUGUCUUAUUGAGACAACCAUUGCAAAGUGUACAAAUCCUUAUAAACAAUGGUUGUCACAACGAGACUAUCCUUACACAUAAGAGAAAGAGUCUUCAUGAAGGAGAACUCAUGGGACAAAUUAGAGUUGACAAAACUCUAGAGCUUUUAAAAGGAAAACUUUUGUCCCCCAUGAGAAAAGAAGUUCAAAGACAUUACCUUAGGUACAAUUCUUGUUUUCAAACUACACCCAAGGCAAUGUCUCAUGAACUCUAUACUCCUUCACCUUUUGCAAAUGAUCCUUGGGAAGAUAUAAAUUUCAUAUUAAAACUCCCUGGGACAACAAAAGGUUGUGAUUCAAUCUUCAUGGUUAUGGAUAAACUCUUCUCUAGAGAAGUCAUACAUCUUCAUGGUUUAUCUUCAAGCAUAGUGUUGAAUAGAGUUCCAAAUUUCGCAAACCAUGAUUUGAGGAUUUCCUUUGGAAAACUUGCAACUAAAUUGCACACUUUAAAUUCUUAUCAUCCUCAAACGCAUGGUCAAAAUAUAUUUGAAAAUCUAGCUCUUUCUACUAUGCCUAGAAUAAACAUGAAGUGCACACACAACUCUACAGGUGAGCAAACAUACCAUAAAGUAGUUCACAAAACUACUUAUAUUUCUACUUUUAAAGUUAUGUGUGGGUUCAAUCAUCUUCCUCCUUUUAAGUUGUUACCAUCUUCUAUAGGAUUUAUGCCUAAAGAGAAAGUAACCACAAAUGAACCUUUUAAAAUACAUAAGAUGAUUAGAGACCACACACAACCAUUAAAAUAGAAACUUUGUCCAAGGUUGCCAAAACCAAAAGAAAAACAAAAAUGGCAACCUAGUAAAAUUAAUUUGCAAACUAACACCUAUGCCUUAUUUGAUUAUUUCUAUAGGUGGACGUUUGACUCAGGAGGACAAGCUUUGGCGAAGCAAGAGGCUGCUAUCCGAGAUCAAGUCUGAAAAUCUGAGGAUAGAUCUUCUCAAAGAAGGAGGAGAUGAUGGACACCAUCCAGCCACAACCAUCCCCUAGCCAUGAAGAAGAAGAAGCAAUGGAUUUGAGGACAAAUCCUUUUCAAGAGGGAGGGGAUGAUGGAAGAGGCCCAAGCACAAGCCCACAUGCAAGCCCACCAAAGGGUAGAUUUGGGCCAACCAUAGAGUUAUGGCCAAGAGGAUCCAAGAAGACGUUCUUUUACAUGUUCAAAUGCCAUAAACUCUAGUGUAGAGUAGACUUUAAUUUCUUGUCAAAAUUAGCAUAGGAACUUUAUUUGUAAUUUUCUUAGAAUUAAUUUUGGCACCUAAAACACCAACCUAGGUAAACUUAGAGUUUCUAAAAAAACCUCUAAAUUUACCAAGGCCGGUCUAGAAAGCCCAUGGAGGGGGUGAGCAUAAAAACUAGACACACCCCUCCCCAUGUGCUCAUUUGUGCACCCAUGUGCCAUGUGCACCCAUGUGCUUCACAUUUACAUUUCAUUUGGCUAGCAUUAGGGUUGCAUUAUGGUCCUCCUUAGCCUAUAAAAGGAGGAGCCUACACCUUGUAUUUUCAAGUUUAUUGUGAGUAAAGUUAUGCUGCCAUUUUGUGCCAAGCUUUGCUUCUCCCUAGAAUUCUAGGCUCUAAACUUCAUCUCCUUCACCUCUCCUUGGGUUGGCCGAACCUCCCUAGCUUCAUACAUAUCAUGCACCUUCAAGAUCAACAUCACUCUUAGGAGGAUCUUGCUCACACACCUUCAUAGCUUCCGCACCACUUUUCCUUACAUGAUUACAACUAUUACAUUCAAGUAUCCUGCCUUUAUCUAAAGUUACAAUUUAAACCCUACAAUUUCGAGAUUUCUCACCCUCCAAAUCACUAAACCUUUUUUUCCCUUUUAAUAGGAGUGUCCUUCAAAUAAAUAAAGAUUGCUAACAUCAAUUGUUUUUUCUUUAUUAUUUAAUUUUUGCAUAACUUUAAGAUUUUCAUAUAUGUCAUGUUGUUUUUUUUUUUUGUUAUUUUAAGGUUUUAAAAAACCAUUGUUUGACUCAAAAAGCAAACAAAGUACACAGCUGGUGAAGGAGAAUAAAACCAAAUAUUUACAAUUCAAUAUUGAAUCAUACGCAAUAAUAAGUAAUCAGCUCUCGAAGCACAAUAACCAUAAUAAAUAAUAUGAUUACAACAACUACAUUCAAGUAUCCUGCCUUUAUCUAAAGUGACAAUUUAAACCCUACAAUUUUCGAAAUUUCUCACCUCCCAAACCACUCAACCUUUUUUUCCCUUUUUAUGGGAGUGUUCUUCAAAUAAAUAAAGCUUGCUAACAUCAACUGUUUUUUCUUUAUUAUUUAAUUUUUGCAUAACUUUAAGAUUUUCAUAUAUGUCAAGUUGGUUUUUUUUUUGUUAUUUUAAGGUUUUAAAAAACCAUUGUUUGACUCAAAAAGCCGAAGAAGUAGACCUUCAGUUAAGGAGAAUAAUACAAAACAUUUACAAUUCAAUAUUGAAUCACACGAAAUAAUAAGUAAUCAGCUCUCAAAGAACAUUAACCACAAUAAGUAAUAUGAUUACAACAACCAUAUUCAAGUAUCUUGCCUUUAUCAAAAGUUACAAUUUAAACCCUACAAUUUUGAGAUUUCUCACCCUCCAAACCACUAAACAUUUUUUUCCCUUUUUAUGGGAGUUUCCUUCAAAUAAAUAAAGUUUGCUAACAUCAAUUAUUUUUUUCUUUAUUAUUUAAUAUUUGCAUAACUUUAAGAUUUUCAUAUAUGUCAAGGUGGUUUUUUUUUUGUUAUUUUAUGGUUUUUAAAAACCAUUGUUUUACUCAAAAAGCAGACAAAGUACACCGUCUAUUAAGGAGAAUAAAAUAAAAUAUUUACUAUUCAACAUUGAAUCACACCCAAUAAUUAUCAAUUCUCAAGGAACAAUAACCACGAUAAGUAAUAUGAUUACUUCCACAACAUUUAAGUAUCCUGCCCUUAUCUAAAGUUACAAUUUAAACCCUACAAUUUCGAGAUUUCUAACCCUCCAAACUAGUAAACCUUUUUUUCUCUUUUUAUUAGAGUAUCCUUCAAAUAAAUAAAGUUUGCUAACAUCAAUUGUUUUUUCUUUAUUAUUUAAUUUUUGCAUAACUUUAAGAUUUUCAUAUAUGUCAAGUUUUUUUUUGUUAUUUUAAGGUUUUAAAAAACCAUUGUUUGACUCAAAAAGCAGACAAAGUACACUGUCGGUUAAGGAGAAUAAAACAAAAUAUUUACAAUUCAAUAUUGAAUCACACGCAAUAAUAAGUUAUCAGUUCUCAAAGAACAAUAACUACAAUAAGUAAUAUGAUUACAACAACUACAUUCAAGUAUCCUGCGUUUAUCUAAAGUUACAAUUUAAACCCUAUAAUUUUGAGAUUUCUCACCCUCCAAACCACCAAACCUUUUUUUUCCCUUUUUAUGGGAGUGUCCUUUAAAUAAAUAAAGUUUGCUAAUAUUAAUUGUUUGUUUCUUUAUUAUUUAAUUUUUGCAUAACUAAAUAUGGGUGAAACAUGAAUAAGUGACUAGAUGUGAUUUAUUUAUUAUUUUCUGGUAAAUUAAAUUAGAACUAAAAAGUGAAUUUUAUAUUUAAAUUUAAUUUUUUUCCUCUAUAAAAUCUGUUAAUUUCACUUUUGGUGUUGUAUAAAUAUUUUUUUCUCUCCUAACUCUUUCUCAAUCCUAACAAAAAUAUGAGGAUACAAACUAAAAAAAUGAAACAACUUUUUACUCUCCAAAUGAACUCACUUGAUUUCAUAUUUUUAAUUUUGAAAUGAUAAAUAAUCAAUAAAAUGCAUCCAUAUGUGUUCAAAAAAUGGAUAUAUAUUUCAACAAAUUAAAUUUUUAAAAAAAUUGUUAAAUGACGCAAUGUCCAUGAUAAAGUAAUAAAAAUUUAAUAUUUAUAUAAGGAUAAAAUAGGGGAAAAAAUGAGAUAAGUUAAAGAGAGAAACCCCUAUAUAUAGGUAUAGAUAUAUGUAUAUUUAUAUUUAUUAAAAUGAAAUAUAGAUUUAUGUGUAUUGUAGGUAUGAGAGACAGAGAGAGCAUGAGAGACAAAAAGCAUGAAAGUCUUGUUAUUGGGUUUUAAGAGAUUUGAAGAAGAUGAAGAAGAGAGAUAAAUUGAGAAAGAGCAAAUAGAGAACGAGCGAUGAAAACCAGCAAACAUCCAUGAAAACUAAAAAAAAAAUUGAGAUAUAUUUUAGAAAAAUAAAUUAAAAAAAAAACUACUCUACAUUCAAAACUGCUUAUGAUAACUGUUUUAAUUUUAAUAAAAUUAAAUAUUGAUAUAAGGAUAAAAUAGGAAAAAAUUGUGAGAAGAGAUAUCCCUUUAUAUAUACUAGCGGAAACACAGGCGUGGUAGAAAUUAUUUAACAUACAUAAAUAAUGUUGGAUGAGUCGGAAUUGAAAAGCAAAAAAUGGACUACAGUGAGUGAUUGAAAAUAAAGGUUAUUUUAUUUAAUAUGUGAGAUUUGGUGUGAAAAUGUGUGACAGUAUACUUUCUCUUUAUUUCAGUUAUUGCCUUAAAAUAAGGAAUUAAGAGAGUAAUGGGAGAGUCAUAUAAAAUCUGUACAUUAAUAUUAAUCUAAAAAUUAAAAAAUAAUUUAUUUUUUAAGUAAUUCAUAUGAAAUGACAAAAUACUACAUUGUAUUAAUAUAAUUACAUAUAUUAAAUAAGGGUAGAAUAAAAAAAUUGUGCACAAAAAAAGCGAUUAUAAUGGGAAUUCUCAAGCUAAUUAUGUAGUGAUCACUAAUCAUGUAUGAUAUUUGUUCUCGCGGGUUGACUUGGUUUGGCCGGUUGACUCUAACGAUCGACUCAUGCCCUGUUUGUCUUCUCCUUGGUUCAUGUUUUCCUGGAUUGAAACACUAUGUACCUGCAAAGACAAAGGGGCGUCCUAGAUUGAAACACUCCGAUGCUCAAGUCAAUCUUAGGGCAAAGAAACACCAAAUCUCUGAAAACUCUUAGUCAUAAAACUGUGUAAAAUUGCAUACCUCAUUAGGGUUUCUUACUACCCUUUAUAUAGCUAGGGUUACUAGGGAAUAUCCUUGCGUCGCUAUUACACAAUAUGAGUGUAAUCUAACGCAUAAGGCUUCCCUUCACUAAAGUGUAACGGCCAACAAAAUGGCCACCUGGAUGCUUACUCAUGCACCUAAUCUCUGGGACCAUAUGUCCUGAGGGUGCCCUAAGCAUUCACGUGCCAUGCAUGCAGCCUCCCAUGGGAACCCUAACCCUAAUGGGCCUUAGCGCCUCCAAGGGCUAUUCACUCGUGCCGCGCCUGAAUACGUUAUACAUCCCGCCUGCAUGGAUCCCUCGUGACUUAGGCUUUCCCUUGUAUCUGAGUAUUUUACUGAUGACUGAGAUGUCCUCUAGGGCCUACCUCUUGUGGCCCAAUUCAGCUGUCCAGACUACCAAUGCCCGACGACUCAUCGUCCUUAAGACGAAGGUCGAUGUCUGACAACUGAUCGAUACCUCAACUCAUACCACUUAUGGGACCCAGCUUAUGUAGUCGCGGGGCUUCGCUUUCGUGGCCCAUCAUCACCAUCAGACAUUGAUGUCCGAUGUCUGUUGUCUCUCUCUGAUGUCGAUCUCCAUGGUACGGAUGUCCGAAGACUAGCCCAUAUCUUGAUGUGUGUGCCUGGGACCCACCUUGCCUUUAUACUCUGGUGUCUGAGGUCUUCAUUAGCGUCGAUGACCGAGGACUGGUCGGUACACAAGCCCCCUAGUCUCGAGUUGUAACUUGUUUCAGCGAAGAGACUAAGUGAUCGCCCUAGGCGACCUACGUGGCACUGGGUGACAGGAUGUGAACAGUACACUGAAGUGACGUCCCACCAUACUUUUUCCAUCCGCGUACACGUGGCAAGAUCCACGGCUAUUACUUGUUGGCGCUUGAACUUCUUCGUGCACUGUUUAAACCAUUAAACCCUUACACUCCCUUCACUGUUUCAUUACUUUCACUCAAGCAAAUCAUUUCCAAGUUUUUCUCUUGUUCGAAACGCUCGCGCUUCCUUUCUCAAAACUCAGAACUUCAACCCCUGCUCGACCAAAGGUAUGAACUUUAUGUGUUGUUUGCUCUUGCUUUAUGAUUCUGCUGCUCAUAACUGUUCUGGGACUGUAUCUUUCUUCACUCUUUAGGUUUUCUAUAUUUUGCACCGUCUCUGUUCUUCGUUUGUUGAGUCUUUGCUUUUCUGGGUUUCCUGAGUCAAACCACCAUCUUUUGUUAAACCCUCGUUUUCUUCUUUUCUCCUCUCUCUUUUAGCUUUUUUUAUCAAGAUGGCCAGAACCAAAACUACGUUGAACCCUCCUCCCGUUGAUUACAGAGCCCUAUAUCGUUGGGCCCCUGAAGCCCUUCUGGCCGAGACUUCUAAAAUAACCACCCUUGAAGACCUUGAGGCCUACAAGGAUAGCGAACGCGACGAAGAUAAGUCUCGUAUCUUCGGGAAGGAGCACGACCGAUUCGUGAAGGUCAUGCCUUGCAGGAAGGGUGAACUCGUGUGUGCCGACGACGCCAUGGACGAAGAGGACCCUUUCUUCUUCCUUUACGCCACCGUAUUUAAAAGAAUUAAACUGCGUCUUCCGUUUACUGGGUUCAAACAUGCCUUGUUGACCGAGGUCAACGAGACCCUUGCCCAACUCCAUCCCAACAGCUGGGCGUUCAUUAGGGCCUUCUCCAUUUUGUGCGACCACUUCGGCCAUACGCCAUCAGUGGACGCUUUCCUUUACUUCUUUGAAGCCAAAAGUCAUGGGAAGAGGCUUUGGGUAAGCUUUAACGGAGUCGCUGGAAGAGUGUUGUUGUCUCUCUUCCAGUAGUCUAAUAAGGGCUUUAAAGGGAAGUUCUUCAACGUACGGUGUAGUGCGUUCGACUCCACCCUACUGGAUGGAUUUUUGCUCUACUGGGUGAAGGAACCGAGACUCAAAAAACCUAGGCGCCUCGAGGACUUGAAUCCCUCGCGAUCACGAAACCUGCAAGUUCUUUUCCACGUUGGGGGUGGUGUUCGACACCGCCGAACUGAUAAAGUUCGAGUUCUACCCCGCCUCCCUCAAGAAGCAUAUUGGUACUUCCCAUUUCUUUACCUUCGCUCAUUCUGUGUGUACUCAUACUUUCUUAUGUGCUUACCAAAUUAAAAUCUUAUUCGCUAUAUUCUUGUGCAGAGAUUGUUCUCAACACAGAGAUGAAGAAAAAGAUGGUUGAGUUGGUGGCCAAACGCAGGGUUGUUGCGGCUAGUGUAGGCUGUCAGGUUUGAUGGCUAUAACAAGAGGGGGGGGGGGGGCGCUAAAUUGUUUUCAAAAGAUUUUCUCAAAUACUUUGCUUAGAAUGAAACUUUAACAAACAACAAAGAAAAGCAAUUCAGAAAAGCAAUUCAAUAGUCAAACAGAAACUGGUAUCAGAAAAUCAAUCGGUUAAAAUUUCGAUUUAACUGGUUGUUUAUGACAGCGAAAAAUACAAGCAGUUAAUGAGUGAAGAGAUAGAGAGAAUUACACACAGAGUUUAUACUGGUUCACUCAAUCAUAGAGCUACAUCUAGUCCUCAGUCAAACCACUGAGUAUCCACUAUGCAACCAAUCACAGAUUACACAAACACCACACACAAAUAGGUGACUUUGAAUCACACAAAGCCUACUCACCCUCUUUGCACACAACACACACCUCAAGCCAGAAUCACAAUGACUUUAUAGGAUUUUACAACAGUUAUACACAGAGUAAUAUGAACAAUUACAAGAACUUGAACAGGGUUAUAAAACACCUGGAAUCACAAUAAACCAGAACCCUAUUGAUCAGUUCUUUGAAUGACAACAAAGCUCAAAGGUAAUCUUGGUAAAAACCUUUUCACAAACAGGUUGUAACCUCUCAAAUCAAUCUUAACUCAAAGUGUAAAAGAACUUUUGUUCAUCCAUCUUUUUACGUUUAAAAGAAGACUCAUUUUAUAAACAUUGAAAAGCUACCGUUGAUGACAGUUUUUAACAACCAAAAAGUUGUUAUGAAAACAUACAUUUAAUCGGUUAAAACCACAAUUUAACCGGUUGAAUGGUUUUGUCAGUUAUGCAACUGAUUCAAAAAACAGUUUCAAAACUCAUUUGCCAGCUAAGUUACAAACAACCCAUUAUCUCGACAUUUUAAUCGGUUGUUUUUCUCUUUGCAUGGAAAAACACUUUAAUCUUUAAAACAGAUUGAAAUAAGCUUUGUCUGAAAUUCACUAUUAAUCUUACAAAGAUUCUAAACCCCAUAACAAAACCUAAACCUAAAACAUCACACAGCUUCAGGCUUCAUGAUGAUUUGACACAUCAAAGCUUCCCAUCUUCAACAAUCUCCCCCUAUUUGAUGGAGACAAAUCUCUGGGAUGCUUUUAGGAAUGUUCUUUGUUUAGAAUCUGUUGAAUCCUGCAAUCACUGAACAAACACAAAAUAGUCUAGUCCAAACAGAUAUGCACUAUAUAUCAGAUUUCAAAAUUAGCAGAACCUGCAUAAGAACAAUAAGUUAUAAUACAGAGAUAAUUGGUUAAAAUUUUGCUGUAAACCAUAAAUAACAACUAAACAAUAAACCAGAUAAAAUAGUUUAUAAAAGCAAGCAAUAAAGCAAUGUUCAAAAGCAAUAGAGAAAUAUUAAGAACAUUACAAUCCCAAUACUUCUCCCCCUAUUUGUCUCAAUCAAAUAGACAAAUGGUAGGAUUAAAAAACAACAUAAAAAUUUAAAACUUUUAAGCUAAAAAGAAGGGCUAUCCUCCCUUUGGAAUUGCAGUUCCAGAAUCUGCCUCUGAACUUCUUCAAUUUAUUCAUCCAGAGUAGAGAACCUUGUAUCCAUGUUUGUAAAUCUUGACUCGCACAUCUCAUAAAGGUUCCUUUGAUUGUCAGCAAAAGGUUUCCAUUCUAUUAAGCAUUUGCAUUUAAAAGGAUGACAUGUUUGACAUCAUUUCUUCCAUGUUGAUGUCAUGAUGCAUGCCUUCUUGAGUUCCAGCAGUAGGAUCAUCUUGCAUUGCUGCCUCUUCAGUUUUAUCUCCUUCAUUGGUUCCACUUGGGCCAGCAUAAUCAGCAUGAUGUGAGAAUCCAUGAAACUAUGAAGGCCACAAGCCUUUCAUCAAGCUUCAACCCUCCAACAGAAAAAUUCCUCAGAAAAAUUCUUGAGACAACCUUUGUAAAACUGGAUUUUGUUGAAAUCUUCCACUACUCCAAGGUUUCCCCUAUUGAUUGUCAGUUUAGAAGACUUCAGUCCGGUCACAGCAGACCAUACCUCACUUGUGAUAAUCAUAUCUACACCUUUGACAUGAGAAACAAGUGAGUCACCAUCAAAAUGAAGGUUAGUGUAGAAUACCUUUACAAGAUCAGGAUAGAUGUUCCCUGUGAGUUCUAGAAAUCUCUUCAAUUUUUGUUCUUUGAGGAUACUCCUUACAUAAUCCAACUUUUGCUAUUUCAUCCAAGUGAAGGAAACAACUUUUGAAGUAUUCACAUUCUUUUUACUAGUCUCUAGUAGAUACUUGUUGAUGAGAUUGGUAUCUCCUGCAAACCAUCCUUCAAGCUUUCCAGAGCUUUUGACACCCCUGGACUUCAUCCUUUUUGCCGAUGGAGGAGUUCCAGCCAUUGUUAAAUCAGAACCAGUUUCUGCAAAGAAAGCUUUUAGAGAAUGAUAGGAAUACCAUUUCCAGAUUAAGUAAUUAUUUGUGAGUGGAAAUAGUAGCUAAAUGCAUUGGGUUUUAUAGUAGAGUACCCCUAGUCAAAGCUGGUUGCAUUCAACAUAAAAACGAAUCAAAUCUGAACUAUAAAGCUGACAUAGUCAGUCAAAUCAGAAAGUACAGAUUCACAUGUGAUAUUUGACCAAGGAUUUAAGACAUAUUUGAUUUUCAAGAUAGGUAGAGAUCUGAUAAAUUGAAAGUAAUGUACCAGAAUUAAACUACAUUCAAUCAUCAAUUAAAGCAAGUUUGACCAUACUCGUCACUAGGUUUAACAGAAUCACAAACCACAAAUUAAAAAACAAAAACAGAUUCAUCUAGAGCUUAUCAGACAAAAUAAUCGGUUGUUUCGAGGAAACAAUCGGUUAAAUUCCUGUUCUGAAGAAAAACAACUUAUUUUAAACCAGAAACACAUGUCGCAUGUAAUUAUUAUGUUUUCACAUAUUUGCAAGCUAUAAAACAUAUGGAGAGAAGAUGGAGCACAUAGAAAUCACUCAUAGAAACAUAGAGAAGCAUAUUAAAUUGAAUUUUGUACAUUGAUAGUUCUCAACAAAGAAUGAGAGUUUAAUCCUUAGAUCACUGAUUUCCUAAUUACAGAAGUUCAAGAACCAGAACAAGACUCUGAUAUGUUGACAUGUACAGAACAUUCAGUCCUUGCUGAACCUUUCAAAAGAAAUCUGAAAUCUACAAAACAUAACUUUGUCAAAUCUUAAGAUUUGAUCCCUUGAAGAAUUUGGGACCUUCAGUGUUAGAUUUAUCUUUUGUAUUGUCAAUACAUAUUGGAAUCCACUUAUAGAUGCCUUUAGGUAAAAGAGAUUUACGAAACCUGCAAUACUUGACAUAAUGGCCUUUCUUCAUGCAAUAGAAGCAUGUAAGAACCGGUUGAAACGAAUUUUUAACCGAUUGUUUUUCUGGAAAGUUUGAAAAAGGUUUUGCAAUCAUUUUUUCUUUGCUUUGAGGAUAAAAUCCCAAACCUGUUUUUCCAAAAACACAGUUCUGUGAGGCUAAAACAUCUUCAGAGUUGGACUUUCCAGUUGUAAGCUUGUCCAAGGUUUUCAAAAGAUAGCAAAUCUUCUUUUCAAGAUGUUCACAAUUUUCACAACUUAUUUUCUCACAACUACAAGAAGAAUUCUUGUAGAUUAAAUCCAGAUGUUCUAAAUCUUCAUUUUCUUUAUAUAGCUCUUUCUCUAAAUCCUUAACUUUAUUUUCUAACCAGUUAUUUAAUCCUUUCAACCGGUUGAGAGAAAGGGCCAAUCGGUUGGCUUCAUCAUGAGUUUCAUAAAAAGCAUUAAGCAAUUGAUUAUAGGUGGUACCUUUACUUGUUGAAGUAGAAUCCACACUACUUGUUACUGAUGCUAGAAGGCAAAGAUUAGCUUCCUCAUCAUCUGAAGAGCUUGAGGAUGAGACAUCAUUGUCAUCCCAUGCUAUAUAUGCUUUCUUAGCUUUUCCCUUUUUCUCCCUUUCGAAGUCUCCCUUUUCCUUGACUUCAUUGUUUGGGCAUUCAGACUUAAUAUGUCCCUAUUCACCACAGCCAUAACAAGUAUACUUAUUAGAAUUAAAUUCACUAGGUUUCUUUGAAUCAUACCUUUUAGAAGCUUGUUUCUUUCUCAAGAAUUUGCUGAAUUUUCUUGAUAACAAACUUAUGUUUUCUUCUUCAGUUUCACUGGAAACAUGUUGUUGUUUGCUAGCUUUAAGUUCUAUGCUCUUGUUAUGCUUGUCUUCACUCUCUUAAACAAUAAGCAUUUGAGUCUCAAUUUCAUGCUCUCUUAGUUUUCCAAAAAGAGAUGCCACAGUCAUUGAGGUGAGAUCCUUUGAUUCUGAAAUGGCAGUAACCUUUGGUUGCCAUGUUCUAUCAAGACACUUCAGUACGUUGAUGUUGAGUUGUUCUUCAUCAAACUUCUUACCAAGACUCAUAAGAUGAUUCACAAUGUGAGAGAACCUCUUUUGCACAUCACAUAUUGAUUCUCCCUUCUGCAUUCUGAAGAGUUCAUACUCCUGGAUCAAAGCAUGCUUCCUAGCUCUCUUCACAUCAUUUGUGCCUUCAUAUGUGACCUCCAAGAUGUCCCACAUUUCUUUGGGCGAGCUACAUUGUGAAACCCUGAAAAACUCAUCACAACUUAGAGCAGAUGUUAUAAUAUUCUUAGUUAUCCAAUCAAACUUAGCUUUCUUACAUUUUGCCUUUGUCCAUUCAGAUGAAGGUUUAUCAACUAAAACAUCAUCUUUCUUAACCUGAGGUACAAAAUGAUGUGAAUGUAACUACAAGAACACAUGAUUCUUGACAUUCUUAGGAACAACUUGAGCUGGAUUUGAAAGUCACUUUACUUUAGAAUUGGAUCAAUGUUCUAAAUUCAAGAACUCACCAAAACUAAGCACCAACCAAGACUCAUAUUGAAGUCCAUGUAUUGUCAAAUUGAAUCAAAACAAAAGGAAGGAAGAACAAGAAUUAAAACUGGACAGAAUUAAGAAACUAGCUACUGAACCGAAAAAGAAACAAAGAACAAAGCUGGAAAACAGAAUGUAAACGGUCGAAAAUGAAGGAAGCACAUUAGGAAAUCAAAACUACCGAAUGGAAAAUUGAAGAAAAGGGAAGAAGAACACUUAUAGAAGAAGAUGCUUGCUGGAUUUUGAGAAUUGGAAGAAGCCAUUCACGCCACUUGGAACCUUGAACCAAGAUAAGUGAUGGAGUGCCGCCACUUGAAGCUCACCAUUGCUCACAAGAUAAGGCAAAGGAAGAAGAAGACCCAAGACUCACAAUUUCUCUCCAAAUUUGAGUAUAGUCUCUCUACUGUAAAAUUCCAAUCUGAAUUGUGAAGGAAAGCACCUUAUUUAUAGNNNNNNNNNNNNNNNNNNNNNNNNNNNNNNNNNNNNNNNNNNNNNNNNNNNNNNNNNNNNNNNNNNNNNNNNNNNNNNNNNNNNNNNNNNNNNNNNNNNNNNNNNNNNNNNNNNNAACUCCUAAGAUCACACCCCCCUUACUAAGCUCACUCCCCAAGCUUCUAGAAUUUGCUAAACUAAAGCCUAAAGAUGCUUUUACAAAAGAGGUGUCUCAUGUUUCCCUCUAAGCACCUUUCUAAACAUUAUUCUAUAUUAUUUACAAUUUAAAAGAAACUAUAAAGAGAGAUAUUUAAUAUGAAGCCUAUUAUUUAAGAGUUUGUAGACUUCUUUAUCUUUAGGCUUGAUCUUCUCUUUGACUUCUUUUAAUUUGUGAGAAGACUAGAAGGAAGAACUUCAAAUGUGUAGGUGAAAAUCCUCUUCCUUCAUUAAUAAAAUCCUCUCCUAGUGGAUAUCCAUCACAAAAGGACCUUCUCCAUUGUAUGUAGUUAUACUUGAUGAAAUAAAUUAAUAUUUAUGUAGUUAUACUUGAUGCUAAUAUCAUAGGAGUUUUCUCCAUUGAAAAUUAGUCAUUAGUCCUUCAUUAGUUAUACUUGACAACUAGUGUGUUGAACAAUAGCCAUUGGUAGUUGGAAAGAUAUUUUCCAGCAAUAAGUAUAUGUAUAUUGUAGACUUCUAUGAUUUUAGAACUCAUGUGAGAUUCUUUUGAUGAUAUCUUGUAACUUGCAAAAUAUUAUUGUAUAAUCUUCUGCAGUUGGUGGAAAUGUUGGGUUAUUUAUGGAAGCAUUUGACACUUCUCUCUACAUCAGGGAAGCAUGUUUUCAUGUGUAUGUGAAAUGCAAAUAUUCAAAAAGGAUUUCAUGUAAACCUUGGUCUUUUGAUACAACGAAUAAAUGAUCUCUACUAUAAGAAAAUUAAAACAAGGAAGGGGGAGCAUAAACUUUAAUUGUUUGUCAAUGGGAUUAAGAUCCUUGAAAGUUGUUCACUGUUUUCAUAACUUCUUUAGAAAUGAAAAUAAAUUAAAAUUCCUUGUGGAACAACAAAUGCUGGAAAAUAUGGGAUUGAUUUUUCCAGCAAUGGAGGUAUUUUUGCUGUAGUUGUGGUCCCGAUGAUAUUGACUUGUUAAGAACAUGGUUUCAAAUGCACGUGGGUUACAAUUGCUCCCUCUAAUUGUGGCCCAAUUCUAGUUGGCUUAUCCAUACAGUAAUGUGAUCUUAUAAAACUUAGAAGUUAACAAGCUAGGAUUUCCUGCUCUUUUGCACCAAAGUGAGUAAUCACUAUAAUCGGUCGCUAAUCAUAUCUGCGACCGAAACAGUCACCAAAUAAAGAUGGAAGCGAAAACCCUAGUCGCAAAGCCAUUAGCGACCAAAUUAUAAAGUGGUCGCUAAUUUGCAACCGAAAUUUCGGUGGCUAAAUCGGUCGCAGGGAAUUUGGUCACCAAAGUUUAGAAACUAAAUUAGCAACCGAAAAUUCGGUUGCUAAAUUUGUCGCAGAUAAAUUUAGUCACCAAAAUUCGAAAACCAAAUUAGCAACCGAAAUUUCGGUGACUAAAUCGGUCGCAUAAAAUUUGGUACAGAAAUUCAAAACCCAAAUUAGCUACCCAAAUUUCGGUGGCUGAAUGAGAAGGUGAUAGCGACCACCAUUUUCGGUCGCUAAAAAGAAAUCUUUUGGUGACUAUUUUGGUGGCUAAAUGGAGACUUCUACAGCGAAGGAUUUGAUUUUGGUGGCAAUUUUUAUUUGUAUUAUUAAUACCUAUUUAAAAUGGUAUUUUGACCAUUUUAUAAAAAAAUUCAGACCUGCUUAUAGAGAUAUUCAAAAUUCAAUCAAGCUAAAUUCUAAUGAACUUCAAAUACAUAGUUUAAGAAGAAGUUGUACUCAAAUUAAAGGUAAAUCAUACUACACAACUAAAACUGUUGAAAACUAGUUAAAAGAGUCAAAUCUAUGAUAUAAUUCAACAUACAACUAAUCUUCUUCUGAAUUGUCAUCUCUACUCUGGUCUCCUUUAUGAUGUCCACUAGUAGUAGGAUCUGAAGAGCCUGAUGCGGGAUUAUUCAUUUGAAUGUGUUGUAGGAUGAGUUGCAUCUUCUCAUCUUGUUUGCGCAUGCGUUCACUUUGCUCUUCAUGAGUUUUCAUCAAUAGCUCCAUCUUUUCUUCAAGUGUCCGCUCCUUGACACGUUUUGUCAUAAGUUCAUCAUUUAGCUUUUGAAUAAUCUCACGCAUUUCUUCUAUUUGAUGGACUACUGGAGCUUGAAUUGUAGCAGAGUGAGCACUUGUUGAACUAUUAAACCUCUUGCUCAAUACACCAAGACCAUAGACAUUCCCUUUUUUAUUUCCACUUCCAACAACAUCGAUGUAUAUUUCAUUGUCACCACAUUGCACAACAUUAAUGUAGUAGUAUAAACAGACACAUGUAACAAUGAUAAAACAAGAUAAUUUUGUAACUCCAAAAGGUUCACUCUAAGAAAGGUGGAGUAAAACACAACAAUCUUGCCCCUCUCACUCUGUAAAUAAACAUGGAACGUGGCUAGUGUAUAACCUAAUUAAGCAACAACAACAUCAUAUCUAUCUUUGUUCCUCGUUGCUUGUUGUUUACUUUCAAGAGAGAUGGCGUCUCCAAACACAAACCAGGAGAAAGCAGGGGUGAUUGGUCGAAUAUUGGUCAUGCCAAAAGUUCUUAAGGAGAAGGUGUUGGGAAUUUGUAGGUUAACCAAAGAGAUAGCCCAAGAUGAUACUAGAAAAGUUAUUCAUUCACUAAAAGUGGGGCUUGCAAUCUCACUGGUUUCUCUUUUCUAUUACUAUCAACCACUCUAUGAGAACUUUGGUCUAUCAACAAUGUGGGUUGUGAUGACUAUAGUGGUGGUUUUUGAGCACACAGUCGGUAAGCUAGUUUGUUCAUAUUUUAAUCAAUGAUCAUGAUACACAAAACCAUGUUUUUGGUUUUGUUUUCUUUUUAUUUAUUCCACAGUUAAACUAACCAUUGUAUUUGUAAUUUAUGGCACGUUUUUAGGAGCCACUCUAGGAAAAGGUUUGAAUAGGACCAUUGCAACAUUGGCAGCUGGUGCUCUUGGUGUUGGGGCUCAUUAUUUGGCCAGCCUUUCUGGAGCAACAGGGGAACCAAUAUUGAUUGGUGCAUUUGUCUUUGUGCAAGGUGAAAAGAAGUUAUAUAUACUUAAUAAAUAAACGAAAUAACAACAAUGAUGAUGAAGCUUUAAGAAAAGAAAAAAGCCAAAAGAAUACGACUCUAGGGGUAGCUAUUUUCAAUCAAUCAUAUACUAUAUAGUUUUGAUCGUUUUUGUUUAUAAGGUUUUUUCCGAAAGUGAAGGCAAAAUGUUUGAAAUUCCUAUAUACAGGCUAUUAAUCUAUUUAGAAAUAUUUUCCGAAACUGGUUGUUGUUUAAUGUAGACAGGCAUAUAGAGACACAUGGAUCAAUAGAAUGAAGGAAAAAUAUAACAUCAUAAAUAUAAGAAACAUGAUAAACAUUCCAGACAUAUUUCUUCAUUCAAACAACCACCACCUCCACCCUCUGAAACCGUAAGUCAAGUCAUAUUCAACUAAAUUGUCUCUAGACAAGAGUAAAUAUCCAAGAAUGAAAAAUCUCACCAACAAAGUUAACGUCUUUGAUGUGCCACCCCUUUCAAUUUGUAAUUCAAUAUUCUUGCUCACACUGUCAUCAAGUAGAGUCUCCAGUUUCAAGAAUUGGGUAAUGACCUGCGAUGAAUUUUACAAAGUCAAGUUCUACAAAACAAAUUAGAAAUGAGACUCCUAUGUCUAAAGCCAACAACAAAUUAAUGCAAGCAAUCAAAUACAUCCGUUCACACCUCCGUUCGCACCUCCGUUCUCCUCUGCUCGCACCGUUCGCCUCCGCUUGGCUCCGCUCACACCUCUGUUCGUACCUCCGUUCGCACCACGACCACCACCCACAACUUCCUCCUCCUUCGACCACCGCUGCAGCUUCCUCCUCCUCCGACCACCACUGCAGCUUCCUCUGCACCUUUCUUCACUCCUAUAAGCAAUUUUGGGUAUUUGGUGCCCUAACAGCACCUGCACUUCCAAAUAACUCCAAAGCUUACAAAAAAACAAAUUCCAAAUUUUAUCUAAUUGUCACGUUCUUUUUUACUGAAGGCACCUCUUUAUAAAUAAUAUUUAAAAAUGUAGCAUUUAUGUAAAAUUAAAAAAUAAUUAUUAAAUAAAUAUUUAAAUAUCCAUGAUAGUAAAUAUGGAUAUUUUAAUAAUUAAAAUUUAAUAAUUAAAAAACUAUUUACAAUUUAAUUCUAAAAAUUUAUUUAUUUUUAUAAAAUUAAAUUUACUUUAAAGAGAUCAUUUUAUUUAAAUUUAAUUAUAUAGCGUAAUUUACUUUUUUUAAAAGGAUUAAUUUUAUUAAUAAUAAUAUUUUGUUAUGUAAUUUUAUUUAGAAUUUUUAUUUGAGCUGAUAUUUUAAAAACAAUAUUUAAUACAUUUUAUUUAAAUUUAAGAAAUUACAAAUAUAUUUGACAUAUGUUUUUUAAAUAGAAAAAGAAACCAGUAAUACAACUAAUUAUUUUUUAAACGGAUGAGUACUCAUUAAUAUUCAAAAGAGUGUGUGAUCCUUGUAUAGUUUUUUAAAAUAAAAAUGAAUUAUUAUUAUUAUUAUUAAUAGUAGUAGUAAAAUAAACAAUUAUAUUUAGCGACCAAAAGAAAUUCGGUGGCUAAAAAAUAAACGUAUUUGGUGGCUGAUUCAGUGGUAAAAAUAAACAAUUAUAUCUAGCGACCGAAACAAAAUCGGUGGCUAAAACAUAAAUAAAUUUGGUGGCUGAUUCGGUGACAAAAAUAAACAUUUAUAUUUAGCGACCAAAAGAAAAUCGGUGGCUAAAAAGUAAACAUAAUCGGUGGCUAAUUCGGUGGCAGAAAAAAGCAAUAAAAUGUAGCGACCGAAAUAAAAUCGGUGGCUAAAAAUAAACAAAAUCGGCCGCUAAUUCGGUUGCAGAUAUAUUUUUCCCAAUUUAUUCGAAACAACCACCACUUUAGCGACCAUUGGUUUUGUCACUCUCAUGUUCGGUCGCGGAUUCGGUCGCAAAACUAACUAACAUGAUAAAUAAUUCAGUCGGUCGCUAUUUCGGUCGCAGAUCUGACACUACGGGUAUUUGGUGACUAUUUCGGUUGCAAAUUGCGACCACUAAUUUUUUGUCGCUAAAUUCGGUGACUAAAUUGUUAUUUCCUUGUAGUGUCAUUUCUAAGAUUCCUCUAGUGGUAAGGUCCUGCAGGUUAAAUUUGUAGUUUAUCUGUUGAGAUAAGUAUUUAGAUUUUGUAUAUUCCAUCUAAUAUAUUAUUGAAGGAAACACACAAAUUUUGUGACUAGUAAUAAUAAUAAAAAGGAAUGUACGUUCAAUUAGUUACCAUUAAAGAAAUAUAACUAGUAAUUUAAAAUUAAAAAUGCUUUGACCUUUCCAAGUUUGUGGUUACUUUCUUAGAAAGGAAUGCAAGGGAAAUGAACUGCUCCGCUCACAAACCCUUCAAUCACUAUAUUAUUGAAGAACUCUCAUAGGUGUUUGUUUGUCAUAGCAAUAGCUCCAAGGACUCCAAAAUUUGAGUCCACAAUGAAUUCGGUUGUAUAAUUAACUCUAUGCUUUCACACUGGAUUUCUUGGACCAGUCCUUUAGGGCUGCUUUGUUGCUCUUCUUUGGAGAUUUCGUUUCUAAGAAAGAAGCACAAAUUCAAUGAUUGCCCGCCAUAUACAAGUUAAAUGGGAGAGAAAGAAUAUUUGAUAGAAGAAAGGAGAAAGGAGUUUUCUAAGAAGUGCUAUAAUUUUUUAUAUCUAGUCCCUGGAAACCAAAUUUAUGGGGUGUUGAAUUAAUGAUCGUGUACACAUAUUAGGCUUACUUGUUCCUAUCUGAUGGCAUCCAAAUGCUUCAACAUGGUUCCUCACUUUUACCACAACUCUAACUUUGAAUUGCACUGGCUUCUCUACAUGCACUCUAGUCUUUAUCAAAUUCUACAUAAAAUGAAGUACUUAAAUGUUUAUUCAAAUUUAAUACAUUAAUGUACUGAAAUGUUUAUAGAUUAAGAAAGAGGUUUAUUCAUUUAAAAAUUUAAUUAGAAUGUAAUCAAAUGUUUGUACUUGUACCGACCAGUCCUCGGACAUAGUUGACCGCUAGUAAUAGUGGGCCAUGUAAGCUGAGUCCCACAAACGGCUUUGGGAAUAUGCCUCAUAAGCAGCAUGAGCCAGGGUGCCAAUUAGUGGUUAGACGUCGAUCACCGGGAUGUCCCGACGUGUCUUUGGCAACAGAGUAAGGUAUCGGUGAUUCAAACAGUAGAAUUGGACCACGAAAGGUGGGUCCCAGACAACACACCAAUUAUCAAUAGGGGGAAGCCUAAGUCACAAGGUGCCCAUGCAUGCGGUGUGGAUUGCGCCAUUGGGUGCGGCACGAGUAAAGAGGCUUGGAAGCCACGAAUGCCCGUUAGGGUUAGGGUUUCCAAGGGAGGCUGCAUGCAUGGCAUGUGAUAGUUAGGGUACUCCCCAGAAUGGAUGGCCCCAGAGAUUUGGUGCACAAGUUGGUACCCAAGUGGCCAUUCCGUUAGAGGUUGCACUUCAGUAAGAGAGCCUUACGCGCUAGAUUGCACUAAGAUUGGGUAAUAGCGGCGCAAGGGCAUUCCCUAGAAACCCUAAAUGCGGGUAACGAAAAUAGAGGAAACCCUAGACUAUAUAAAGGGUAGUAAGAAAACCCACAAGGUACGCCAUUUUCUGUGACUAGAACUAUUACACUCACAUUCUAUUUCUUAGCCCCAGUAUUGACUUAAGCGUUAGAGUGCAAACAUCCUCUGGGGCAUCCCUUUGUCUUUGCAGGUACAAAGCGUUUCAAUCCAAGGAAGCACAAACCUAGGAGGAGAUAAGAGGGCGUGUGAUUGUCGUUAGAGUGAACCGGCGAACGAGUCAACUGGCAAGAACAUUUGAUGUCCACCGUGGGGCACGAUUAAAAUUCGGUCCCAUUCACAAGUAUAGGGCAAAAAUGCAUCAAUAUGAGAAACACAAGGCAAAGAUUCGUCGCACCGAACGGAGGGGAAAACAUCACCAUGCAGCAGAUCAUGGAGACGAUGUGCACCCUUCAGGAAACGGUGGCGACAUCCUGAAUGGAUCAGGAACGCAUCCAGGUUGACCUAGCUGCGUCGCAAGCAAGGAACGAAGAGCUGCGCAGGACCAACGAGGAACCGCGCAGGAAUUUGCAGCAGGCAAGGGAGCGUGUGGUGGAUGAGCGAGCCCCGCCUACACCACCCAGGGCUUUUCCAAUGUCAUUCUCGCAAGCAAUCAUGGACGUCAUGAUACCAGCCACUUUCGUAGGUCCUAAGGCCACCUUUAUAGGUGCAGAGGACCUAGAGGCUCAUCUUACGGCUUUCCACACCUAGAUGAUGCUAUAUGGGGGCUCCGAUGCAGUGCAUUGCAAACUGUUCAUGAGCACGCUGACAGGCACAGCGCAAGACUGGUUUGUUAGCCUCCCUGACGAACAUGUAACAUCGUUUGCGCAGUUUUCUACGCUGUUCAGGGAGCAAUACAUAGCCAAUCAGGCUCCCCCGCUAGUCUCUUACGAUCUUUUCGACGUAAGACAAUAUCAGGGAGAGUCCUUGAAGGACUUCCUCAACUAUUUUGGGGCACAGGUGGUAAGGUUGCACACCAAGGAUGAGGAUAUGAUGGUGCACGCUUUCAGGAAGGGAAUCAUGCCAGGACCCUUCAGUCAGUCACUUAUCAGGUGUCGCCCCAAAACCUUUUGCAAGAUCAAGCGUCGAACGGUAGCCCAUAUCGUCGAGGAAGGGGAACUCACAGAGAAGCGCGGAAGCGUUGCCCCCAUCUGCCCACGAGGGCCAAGUCGACCUCAGCCCAUGAGAGGACACGAGACGACGACAAAGAAGAAGACCCCAGUGAAGCAUCAACCCUACGAGGCCAGGAAGCCCCAAACCAGGGCGCGCACAAGGGAGGAUGCGUCCCCCAUGCACACCUUCCUAGUAGAAUUGAAGGAGCUAAUUGUUAUUCCCAACAUAGCGGAGAGACUGAAGAUCCCCGCGAAAGCUGACAAGAGGUUGGGGCCCAGCAAGAACGCUCGGUGUGAGUUCCACCAAGCGUAUGGUCACCCCAUACGCAACUAUUUAUCGCUAGGGCACUAGUUGGACGAACUGGUGAAGAACGGUUUCCUGAAGGACUAUUUUCAGGAGCCACAACGGGUUCAGACGUUGGCAGCACCAGGGGGUGAUCAGGGGCACGAGAUGCCCGUUCAUGGCGAGAUUCACACCAUUUCAGGAGGCUUCUCGGGAAGAGGAUUCACCGCUUCUCAGCGGAAGAAGUAUGCACAAGCGAUGAUGACGGUAGAGGUGCAAGAGGCAGACUAGGCCCUUCACAUCGACCUCAUUUUCACCAAGGCCGACCUCCGAGAUGUCGUCCCUAAUGAAAACGACCUAGUGGUGAUCUCAGUAGUAACGAUAGGGAGGAAGGUGCACCGUGUUCUGGUGGACCAGGGAAGCUCAGCAGAUGUGAUGUUCUGGUCGACUUUCAACAAGUUGCAGUUGUCUCCUGACCAGUUGAAGCCUUACACCGGCUACUUAUAUGGAUUCGUUGGAGACCAGGUAGAAAUGCGUGGACACAUAGAGCUGAGGACCACCUUCACGGAUGGUGUAGCUUCUCACACAGAGAACAUCAAGUACCUUGUUGUUAACGCUCCCUCAGCUUACAACAUACUAUUGGGCAGACCCGCCCUGAACAGGUUGAGAGCGGUAGCAUCGACAAGGCACAUGAAGAUGAAACUGCCUUUCUUGGGGGGAACGGUGAUCACCAUCAGAUCAGACCAGAAGGAGGCUAAGAGAUGCUAUGAGAAUAGCCUCAAAACAAAGAGAGGGGUGUUCACUGUCACCAUUCAGCCCCCAAGCAAGAAAGGGAUCGCCCGCGCAGAGAUCGCCCGGGAAAGGUGACGCAAACCAGCUGAAGACGUCCUGGAGAGGGAGAUCGGUGGCAGAAUGUUCAAGCUUGGCAAGUCUCUAGGCCAAGGGACACAGGACCAGAUUGCCGAAGUGAUAGCCCAACACUGGAUGCCUUCGCAUGGUCCGCCUCGGACAUGCCCGGCAUAGACCCUGACUUCCUAUACCAUCGUCUUACAAUGGACCCCCAGGUCUGACCUGUUCGUCAGAGGAGGAGAAAGUUCAACGAGGAGAGGCAGCAGGUCAUCAAAGAAGAAACACAAAAGUUGGUGAGCGUCGGCCACAUCAGGGAAAUUCAGUACCCAGCGUGGCUGGAAAACGUGGUGCUGAUGAAGAAGGCCAACGGGAAGUGGAGGAUGUGUGUGGACUUCACAGACCUCAACAAGGCCUGCCCGAAGGACUCCUACCCCUUGCCAAGCAUUGAUGGUUUGGUAGACAGCGCCUCGGGUUGCAAGCUGCUCAACUUCCUGCAUGCUUUUUCUGGGUACAACCAGAUCAAGAUGCAUCGCAGGGAUGAGUACAAGACAGCGUUCAUGACAGAGUUGUCUUGCUAUUGUUACACAGUGAUGCCCUUUGGGCUGAAAAACGCAUGUGCCACCUACCAGAGGCUGAUGGACAGUGUACUCGCGCCCAUGAUAGGGCGAAAUGUGCAAGCCUGCGUGGAUGAUAUGGUGGUGACCUCGCAGGUAAAAGAUCAACACGUCGCUGAUUUAGAAGAGCUAUUUACAACAAUAGCUAAGUAUAGACUGAAGCUAAACCCUAAGAAGUGUGUGUUCGGGGUGGAAGCUGGCAAGUUCUUGGGUUUCCUACUCACCGAGCGUGGGAUAGAAGCGAACCCUGAUAAGUGCGCUGCAAUCCUUGCAAUGAGGAGCCCGAUCUCAGUCAAGGAGGUGCAGCAGUUGACACGGUGGAUGGUUCCUCUAACCAACAAGGCAGCGAAGCUGGUGUCAUCUUGGAAGGGCCAAAUGGGUUAUUGAUUGAGCAAGCCAUGAGGUUCGCUUUCAAGACCAGCAACAACCAGAUAGAGUAUGAAGCUCUGAUCGCUGAAAUACUGUUAGCCAAAGAGAUGGGUGUGCAGAGUCUACUGGCGAAGAGUGACUCCCUACUAGUUAUAGGCCAAGUAACAGGGGAAUACCAGGCCAAGGACCGCAAAUGGCAGCUUAUCUAGAAUAUGUCCAAGUUUUGAAGAAGUCAUUUAUCGUAUUCGAGUUGGUACAUGUCCCUAGAGAGCAGAAUGCCCGAGCUGAGUUGCUAGGUAAGCUCGCCAGUUCAGGCAAGGGGGGCAGACAGAGGACCGUCAUCAAAGAACCCUGAAGACACCUCAAACCUUCACCGCAGAUAAUUUGGUGGGGAUCCAUCAGGUUAGCACGUCGGGAGGAGGGAGAAGGAGUCAUCGGUCGCUGUCUCCGGAGACAUUGAGAACGCCCAGGAUAAGCACAUACCCGGUUCUUGGGGAAGAGUUAUUGAAGGUCUGCCUGGUUGAAAGAAGAGAAACCUGGAUGACGACCUACAAGCGUUACCUGGCUAACGGGAUACUUCCAUUGGAACCCACAGAAGCUAGAAAAAUAAAGAAAAAUUCGACCAAGUACACCCUCAUUGACGAGGAGUUGUUCAAACACAGGUUCACCCACCCUAUCUUGGUAUGUGUAAGUGACGAGCAGUGCGCGUGAAUAAUGGCAGAACUCCAUGAAGGGAUAUGCGGGAGUCAUAUCGGUGGCCGAUCUCUAGCAUCGAAGGUCAUUUGUGCAGGAUACUAUUGGCCAACCAUAAGGGAAGACUGCACGAGGUACGCACAAUAGUGCAAGCAAUGUCAACAACACGUUGACUGGCACAAGGCGCCACCAGAAAAGCUCAGAUCGAUUUACAGCUCUUGGCUGUUCCAUACCUGGGGAAUCGAUAUAUUGGGACCUUUCCCUUUGGCGAUACGGCAAAUGAACUACCUCGUGGUCGUCAUAGAGUAUUUCACGAAGUGGAUAGAGGUCGAACCAGUGGCACAUAUUACGACCCACAAGAUCCAGCACUUCGUGUGGAAGAACAUAGUAUGUCGCUUCGGAGUACCGAAAUGGUUGGUGUCCGAUAAUGGCACCCAGUUCGCAUGUCAACAACUGGGAAAGUUGUGUGCAGAGAUUGGGACAAAGCAGGUGUUCGCAUCAGUCGAGCACCCCCAAACGAAUGGGCAGGUUGAGUCUGCCAACCGAGUUUUGCUGAGAGGUCUGAAGAGAAGGCUGAAGAAGGCCAAAGGGACCUGGGCAGAAGAAGUCCCUAGAAUUGUGUGAGCUUACCACACCACUCCCAAGUCCACCACCAGGGAAACACCCUUCAACUUGGUGUAUGGGUCGGACACGAUGAUUCCCGUAGAAAUCCAGGAGAACUCGCCACGCUUCCAGAACUUCGUGGAUGAAGAGAGAAAGGUGAACCUGGACCUACUGGAUGAAGUAAGGGAGGAAACAAGAAUCAAAGUUGAAGCCUUGAAGAGAAGGGUAGAGUACAAGUACAACUCCAAGCUGAGACCUCGGCAUUUCUAGGUCGCCGACCUGGUGAUGCAAAAGGCCCACCCAUACCAGCUAGAGAACAAGCUGUCCCCCAAGUGGACUGGUCCUUUCAGGGUGACAGAGGCCUUUGGGAACGGGGCAUACAGACUUGAGACAUUAGAGGGUGACGCGAUUCCUUGUACAUGGAACACGACCAACCUCAAAUUUUACUUCAGUUGAACUAUUAGCAUUGUACGCAGCUUUUAGGGGACACUUUUUUUCCCUCCCAAAGGUUUUUUAACGAGGUCACCCAAUAAAAUUUCGGUUGAAGUAUAUUCUCGAAUAUUUUGUACAAUGCAGUUAUGAACCAUCCACCUGGGUUAGAAGUCUCGAGAUCGGGAAAGGUAGGUUCGCAAGAACACCUCCCCCUCGAGUGAAAAUGCCAAGGUUGAACAGUAUGGUUCACCAGUUAAAUCCUCUAUCGCCCUUGGGCGAGGAUGAUGUUAGCAACGAACCGUUCGCUUGUGUUAGAAGCCUCAAGGUUGGGAAAGGUAGAUUCGUAGAGAACACCUCCCCCCUUGAGUGAAAACACCAAGGUUGAACAAUAGGGUUCACCAGUAAAACCCUCCCUAGACUUCAUACAUCAAGGACGAGGUCAGUUACGAGCCUUUCCCAUGGGUUAUAACUCUCAAGAUUGGGCAAGACGGUUCGCAGAGGAUGCCUCCCUCUUGAGUGAGAACGCUAGGGUUGAGAAGUAGGGUUCGCUAGUUAAAACCCUCAUCUGCCCUGGUGGGGUAAAGACGAGGUAAGUCACAAGUUUUUCCUUGGGCUAGAAGUCUUGAGACUGGGUAGGAUGGUUCGCAGAGAACGACUCCCUCUUGAGUGAGAGCGCCGAGGUCGAGACGAUAUGGUCCGACAGUUAAACCCUCUUCUACUCCUGUGUGGUUAGAUCGAGGUCAGUUACGAACUUCUCCUUGGAUUAGAAGACUCAAAGUUGGGAUAGGAUGAUACGCAGAGAACACAUCCCUCUUGAGUGAGAACGCCAAGACGAAGACAGCAUGGUUCACCAGCGGCAUCAGGAAGACAUCUCCUUACUCAGUAAAGUAAGAGUGAAGUCGGUUAGUGGACCUCUUUCUCUUGUCUUGUAAGGCAGGUUUGAAGAGCGGCAAUAAAGAAUUCCCUUAUCUUACCAUAACCAAGGUAAGGCUAGUUAAGGGUUUGUGUGCACAUCACCGCUACCUUAAGCCACUAAAGAAUCAAAGAAGGUAAGGUUGAGCAGGUAGUGGACAAGCGCGCUACCUAAAAUAUGAAUAUUCGUCAGAUGCGUUGUUAGCAAUGUUAGUGCUAGACACGACAGUUAACAACCAAUACAAAGAAAGCAGCUUAAGGCAGACAGAUUCGUAAACAAGGCAAAGUAUAUAUACAUAUUAUAUAUUGUUCAUCGUAACGCCAAAGUCCUACAAAUAAAGUGAGCUAAAUUCUAGGCGCGAGCUGCCCAUCGACAACCCGCUUCGACGCUGCAAAGGGUGUGAGGUCCAUCUCAAGGUGCACGCAGGCAACCUGAGCAAGGGCAUCCUUGAACCCUGCUCCAUAUGCGUCAGUAGCGUUCUCGAUGAGCUCCGCCUCAAUCUUCGCGAAGAGCUCGGUCUUUUGGGCAAGCUCACCCUCCACGCAGCCAAGCUGGACCUCUUGUUGAGUGACCCUCUCCUCCAGUUUGGCCAUCUUAGCCUUUGCCCCUUCUGCCUGCUCUUCAAGGUGGAUUACCUUAUUUCGCAGAGGUAGGAUCUUUGCCUCCAACUGAAGAGCCUCCUGACCCUUGUCAAAGAGCAGCUUCUUGGUCUCUUUCUCUGGCUUACGGAGGCUGCUCAGCUCUUGGUUCAUGGCUGUUUCGCGGUUAGUGAAGGGCUUGGAGGGUAAGCUCCCCGUUCAUCCUCGCCUCCGCCUGGCUCACGAAGGAAAGGGAAUUGACGAGGAAUUCCCCAAGGCAAUGGCCCAUGAUCUCCCUCAACAAGUCUCUGCCCAAAGCCUCCGUCGCCUCCUUCUCUUGGAAGCACUUGAGGGCUUGUUGGAGUACGGCGGGGAGCUCAGGGGCAGGGGGCACUUGAUCACCCCCAUAAGUGCUCUCCCCACCGCCUUCAAGCGCGAGGAGAAAAGGCGCGAGGAGGGGGGGGGUUGUCCCUGAAAGAUGGAGGGUGGUCAUCAGUAGUAGAGAGUGAGGUCGCUGCGACCCCCACCCUGGGCCUCUUGAAGACAAGGCCCUCCUCGGUGUCCUCAUUCUCGGAUUCGAUCGCAACUACCCCUUUAUUCUUAUCAGCGGGGGCUGGAUAAGGCGAGUCCUGGGCAAGUUAGAGGACCGACGAGGGCUGAGCCACCAGCACAAGUGAGUGCCACUUGGCGGCAAGCAAUCAACUCAGUCAACCUGUUCCUCUACUUUUCGUUGAGCACCAUAUCUGUACCAAGACAAUGAGCAUAAGAAGAUAAUCUUACACAAUACGCAAUCAACAACAACAUUGAGGAAGGAAUAAAACAAGAAUGCAGGAAAAGACAAGGUCAAGACAGGGAGUAAUACCAAUAUAGCCUUUGAGGGCUUUGGCGUUGUACUCAUACUUGAUCAGCUGAGCGGUGUUGAACACCACCCCCAAGCUUGAGAGAAACCGGCACAGCUCACGAUCAUGGGGGGUUAGCUCCUCAAGCCCACUGGGCUUCUUGAACUUCAGUUUCUCCACACAAUAGAGGGGGAACCCAUCCAGCAUGGUGGGGUCAUAGGCGCUGCAGCUUACACUAAAGAACUUCCCUUUGAAGCCCUUGUAAGAUUGCUGGAAGAGAGUUAGGAGAACUCUCCCCGCCACCCCAUUGAAACUUACCCAAAGUUGUUGAACCAAGUGGUGUUCAAGUUUUGAAGAAUCCAAAUCCUUUGAAGGAUGUUGAAAGCUCUGGUAUGCUUGAUGUUGCUGUGCUGGUUUAGUUUAGUUCUGGGGUAGUUUAUAUGUUGUAAUCCACCCUUUGAUUAAAUCUAAAGAAUUAGCAUUCUCAAUCCUUGUGAAAGUAAAAUGUUUUCAAACUAAGUUAAAACAACCGAUUGUUUUGUCGAAACAAUCGAUUGUUUGUACUUAGGUGUUUUGAGAAAAAGAUUGAAAACUGUUUUUAAAAUGGUUGAACUAUUAAGUACCAAAACAACCGAUUGAUUCGAGGAAACAACCGAUUGUUUGUUUUGGGACCAUAACAGAAAAACUGUUUUCUGUUUGACUGAGCUUUAAAUGAUUUAACUGCUUACGCUCCAGUCAUUAAAUGCUUUGACCAAUCUUUUAAUGCAAUUUAAGAGUUUGUUAAGAUUUGAUAACAAACUACAUCUUUGAAUAUAUUCAAAAAAACAGAUUUCCAAAUUAAGAAUCUUUGACAAGUUUUUGCUAAGAGUUUUUGAGUUUUUCAAAGAGUUGAGAUUGCUAAGAGUUUGUGAUUGAUCAAAGUAUAAGGAAUAGGAUUCUGCUUGUAUUGAUUUCAGAUUAUCUUCUGUAACAAGUGUAAUCCUUGUACUCUGUUGAACAAGUAUUCGUUUCUGUGUUUUGCUGAGAUUGGCUGUGUGUUCUUUAGGGGAUCAAGAUCAGCAAUCUUAGUGUUGGUGUGUUGACCAAGGAGAGUGUGUUUCUUGAGGUGUUCAAGGUCAUUCAUUCUCUUGGUUGUUGUGUAAGUGAUCAAGGUGUCAUUGCUUAGUGGAUUUCCUCAGGGUUCUGAGAAGACUGAAUGUAGCUCUGGGUUUGGAGUGAACCAGUAUAAACAACUGUGUACAAUCUCUCUAUCUCUAACUCUUUAAAUUCAGUUUAUUUGGUUGUUUGCUGGUAUAAACAACCGAUUGUUUCUGCGAAACAACCGAUUGUUUUUCUGGUACUACAACUUUUGCUUGCUGUUUUGGCGAACUGAAUUUCUGAAUCAAUUGUUUCCUGAGAUAAAUUCAUUAUUGUUUGAAAAGUUUGCGAAAACCCUCUUUAAACAAUUCACCCCCCCCCCCUCUAGUUUAAAGCCAUCUUUUCUAACAAUUGGCAUCAAGAGCUUGGUUCUUGAAAGUUAUUCAAGUUGAUCCUAAAAUAUUUUUUUAAUGGCUGAUAGACUACCUUUUGGGGAAGGUGCUUCAAUUAACAGACCACAUUUGUUUUGUGGUUUGAACUACCAGUUUUGGAAAGUAAGAAUGAAAAUAUUUAUGGAAUCUCUUGACAAAGGAAUAUGGGAUACAACUGAAAAUGGUCCUUUUAUCCCAAAGUUUGAAAAAGAUGAAUCUGUCAUUGAGAAACCAUGUCUCAAUGGACUGAUGCAGAAAGCAAAAAGGCCAAAUUCGAUUGCAUUGCCAAAAAUAUUAUAACCUCUGCUUUAAAUUCUGAUGAGUUUUUCAGGGUCUCGCAAUGCAAAUCAUCAAAAGAAAUGUGGGACACUUUGGAAGUCACUCAUGAAGGAACAAAUGAGGUGAAAAGAGCUAGAAAGCAUGCUCUUAUCCAAGAGUAUGAGAUGUUUAGAAUGCUUAAAGGAGAAACAAUUGCUGAGGUGCAGAAAAGAUUUACGCACAUCAUCAAUCACCUUAUGAGCCUAGACAAAACCUUUGAUAAAGAAGAGCUAAACAUCAAGAUCUUGAAAUGUCUUGAUAGAGCAUGGCAACCAAAGGUAACUGCUAUUUCCGAAUCUAAAGAUCUAGCAUCAUUAAGUGUUGCUUCUUUGUUUGNNNNNNNNNNNNNNNNNNNNNNNNNNNNNNNNNNNNNNNNNNNNNNNNNNNNNNNNNNNNNNNNNNNNNNNNNNNNNNNNNNNNNNNNNNNNNNNNNNNNAUGAGCUAGAGAUGAAUAGACUCAAUGUUCAAGAGAGUGAAGAUAAGCACACAAGGAGCAUAGCCUUGAAAGCAUCCAAGCACAAGGGAAAGCAAGAUUUCAGUGAUGAUAGGGAUGAGGAAAACCUUAGCUUGCUGUCAAGAAAAUUCAGCAAAUUCCUAAAGAGAAACCGCAACAAAGAGAACAACAAGGAUAGGUAUGGAAACAAGAAACCCAAUGAUUUCAAUUCAAAUAACUAUACUUGUUUUGGUUGUGGUGAGCAAGGUCAUAUAAAGCAAGAUUGUCCAAACAAGAGCAAAGAGAAAAAGACUAGCUACAAGGAGAAGAAAGGCAAGACAAAAAGAGCCUACAUAGCUUGGGAUGAAAAUGAGGUGUCAUCAUCAAGUUCUUCAUCAAGUGAAGAUGAAAAAGCAAACAUAUGUUUGGUAGCUGAAAAUGAUGAUGAAUCUUGCAGCUCAAGUGAGGUAAGUUCAUGUGCUUCCUUAAAUGAACAAAAUUACAGUGAAUUACUUGAAGCUUUUCAAGAAACACAUGAUGAAGCUAAUAGAUUGGUUCUUUCAAACAACCGAUUGAAAGAUCUUAACAGUUGGCUUGAAAAGAGAGUUAAAUCACUUGAAGAGGAUCUGGAAAAAGCAAAAAGUGAUUUUGAAAAAUUGGAAAAUCAUUUCAAAAGUGCCUCUUGCAAGUGUGAUACUCUCAUUUGCGAAAAUUGUGAAAAUCUUGAGAAAAAGGUUCAGUAUCUUGUUGAAACUGUGGACAAGCUUUCAAAUGGGAAAUCAAACUUUGAGAAUGUCUUGGCAUCUCAAAGUUGUGUUUUUGGAAAGGCUGGUUUAGGCCUUAAUCCACAUAACAAGCAAGAUAAGUUUUCAAAAAGUUUUUCAAGAAAAUCAGAAAAACAACCGAUUGUUAAGAUGAAACAACCGGUUGUUACAUGCCUUUACUGCAUGAAGAAAGGCCACUCUGUUAGGUUUUUUAAAAUAAGGAAAUAUUCUGUUCCAAGAGGUUUUAUGAAAUGGAUUCCUAAGGGAUGUGAAGUUUCUAACUGCAAAGAAAAGUCAAACGGACCCAAAUUUGUAAGGGGACCAAAUCUUGCUGCUUGAAAUCUUUUAUGCAGGAAGACUAAAGAAAAAGGAGGAACUGAGUCAUCUAAUCAAACUUUUGAAGAAAAAGAUAGUCAUUGAAGCUGAAUCAAUGCUGUGCAAAAGACCUCAACAGUGAAAAGAGGCCUCUUGAUCAUAAAGCACAUGGCUCAUUGGAGAAUUAACAUAAGGAUAAGACUUUCCUUUAUUUGUUUUCAAUUUUUGUUUCAAAGUUCUUUCUUAUGGUUAAACAAUCUUUUUAUAAUCAAUGUCAUCUUCUUUGAACUCCUUCUGCUCAUGGUUAAAAUUCAAAAACAAAUUUUUAACUGCUGCAGAAAAACAACCGAUUAUUUCUUCGAAACAACCGAUUGUUUUGGGUCUGACAGCACUAUAAAGAAAUUGUUUUAAUUGCUAUUUUGAAUUUCUAUCCGUUGCAGAUCAAUUCAAAAGAGAGAAUCUUGGUCAAAGAAACUGUGUUGAAAGCUGAUUAUGUUCAGAGAGAAGUUACAACAGUCAUAAAGGAAAAUAUUCCAAAAUCUUGGAAAUUCAAGAGCCUUAAUGACUAGUCAAAGAUCACAUGUGAAGACCAUGUGAUUCUCAGCUUUUUUCUGACAUUUUUUUUGCAGAGCAGAGUCAAGUCCUCUCUCUCUGAAAACCAGGUACCCAUUGAAUGAAAUUAAAUUCAAAUUGAUUCUUUUACUGCUAUAAAAUCUGGUGCAGAUUUCUUCCACAAGAACAACCAAUUGCAACAUCUCUUGCAAUAUCUCUUGCAACAUCUCUUGCAAAAAUCUGUGAAGUGAGUUCUCCUCUAUUUUCGUCUCUGCCAUCAUGGAGUCAACUCCUCCCACCUCAAAGAGAGUCAAAAGCAGGGUUGUAAGGUCUGGAGGAAGGCUAGAAGGCUAGUUUUAUGGAGACAAUGAUCUCAUUGAGAAGUAUAGGUAUGAAACAAGUAUCAAGAAGAUAAACAACCCCAAGGUUGUAUGCUUUGAUUGGCUGAAAAGUCAAAAGCUUGAUAAUGUGAGAAGGCUGCUCAAGGAUCAAUCUCUCAGAAAGUUCCUGGAGAUGAAGGGAAACAUAUAUCCAGAUUUGGUGAGGGUGUUCUACACAGACCUAAAGUUUGAGUGAAAUAAUCUAGUUUCUCAUGUGAAGGGUGUAGAAAUGGAGAUAACUCAUGAAGUAUGGACUGGUGUUGUUGGUCUCAAAUUCUCUGGUCUUAGAAUCAACAAGGGAAACCUUGGAGUGGUGGAGGAUUUUAACAAAAUCCAAUUCUACAAAAGUUGCUUGAAGAAUAAACAUCAAGUUAGUACAUGCUCGGUUGGAGGUUUGAAGCUUGAUGAGAGAUUGCUUGCUCUCAUUGUAACUUGGAUUUUAACUCCAAGGGGGAGUAAUCAUUUUGUGCUAACUGAAGAAGAUCUGGUAUAUAUCUUCUGCAUCACCAAGAAAAUCAAAAUCAAUUGGAUCCAUAUCAUCAAAGAACACAUGCAAAAAGCCAUGAGGUUAAGAGAUUAUCAUUAUCCAUAUGCUGUUUUGAUAUCUAAAUUUCUACUCUAUUUUGAAGUUAACCUUGAAGAUGAAACUACUGAGUUGGUCAAGUCAACUCAAGAGUUGAACAAUGGAUCACUCAGCAAGAUGGGUUUUACAAAAGUAGGUGGCAAAUGGAUAAGCAAGGAUGGUGAUCAUGGUGCCUCAUCUAGUGGUGCUGCUAAUCUUGAACAAGAUGAACCUGCUGAUAUGGAUAUUCAAAAUGAAGAUCAACCUGAAGAUUAUCAAGAUGCUGGACCUAGUGUUGUGCUAUAGAUCAGGAAGAUGGAAUGCCAACCAUGUCUUCUUUUGAAAGAUACAUGAUCAAUAGGCUUGAUACUUUUAGGGAGAAUCAAAGGAAUCGUCAUGAUCUGUGUGUUAGCAACUUCCAGAAAAUUGAUAACAGAUUCAACAACAUGGAUGCAAGAUUCAUGACUCUAGAUGAACAGAUUGAAGCUGUUCAGAAUCAAAUCUUUGAUCUUUAGUUUGCUGAUGAAGAAGAGUGAAGGAAAAACAACCGAUUGGUUAUAAGAACAAUCGAUUGUUUUCUUGCUGUUAUAUCUGGUUUUUAAAUUUAUUUCUUUUUGUUGUUGCUGCUUUAAUUCUGAUGUAAUCCAAACAAUAUCUUGUUUUAUCUCUUAUCUUUGUCUAUUUGUGAAGACAAAUAGGGGGAGAUAUAUGUUGUGUUUAAGUUUCUGUUUUUAUUUGUUAAAACAGUUUGGGAUAUGUAAUAUUUUUCUGAUAUUUAGUUCUGAAGGUUAUUAAUGUUGAAACAAGUGGUGUUCAUGUUUUGAAGAAUCCAAAUCCUUUGAAGGAUGUUGAAGCCUCUGCUAUGCUUGAUGUUGUUGUGAUGAUUUAAGCUUUGUUCUGGGGUAGUUUAUAUGUUGUAAUCCACCCUGUGAUUAAAUCUAAUGCAUUAGCAUUCUCAAUCUUUGUGAAAGUAAAAUGUUUUCAAACUAAGUUAAAACAACCGAUUGUUUUGUUGAAACAACCGAUUGUUUAUACUUAGGUGUUUUGAGCAAAAGAUUGAAAAUUGUUUUGAAUGGUUGAACUGUUAAGUACCAAAACAACCGAUUGAUUCGAGGAAACAACCGAUUGUUUGUUUUGGGACCAUAACAGAAAAACUGUUUUCUUGUUGACUGAGCUUUAAAUGUUUUAAUUGCUUACGCUCCAGUCAUUAAAUGCUUUGACAAAUCUUUUAAUGCAAUUUAAGAGUUUGUUAAGAUUUGAUAACAAACUACAUCUUUGAAUAAAUUCAUAAAAGCAGAUUUGAUAAUUAAGAAUCUUUGACAAAGUUUUUCAAAAGAGUUUUUCAAAGUGCUGAGAUUGCUAAGAGUUUGUGGUUAUUCAAAGUGUUGGAAUAGGAUUCUGCUUGUAUUGAUUUCAGAUUAUCUUCUGUAACAAGUGUAAUCCUUGUACUCUGUUGAACAAGUAUUCAUUUCUGUGUUUUGCUGAGAUUGGUUGUGUGUUCUUGAGGGGAUCAAGAUCAGCAAUCUUAGUGUUGGUGUGUUGACCAAGGAGAGUGUGUUUCUUGAGGUGUUCAAGGUUGCCGUGUAAGUGAUCAAGUGGUGAUUGCUUAGUGGAUAUCCUCAGGGUUUCUGAGAAGAAUGGAUGUAGCUCUGGUUUGGAGUGAACCAGUAUCAACAACUGUGUACAAUCUCUUUUUCUCUAACUCUUUAAAUUCAGUUUAUUUAUUGUUUGCUGGAAUAAACAACCGAUUGUUUCUACGAAACAACCGAUUGUUUUUCUGGUACUAUAGCUUUUGCUUGCUGUUUUGGCUAACUGAAUUGCUGAAUCAAUUGGUUCCUGAGAUAAAUUCAUUCUUGUUUUUGAAAAGUUUGCGAAAACCCUCUUUAAACAAUUCACCCUCCCCCCCCUCUAGUUUAAAGCCAUCUUUUCUAACAAUUAACUGUUUAUCUGUGCGCUAACAAAAUAUCAGAAGUUCAAUGUUUUGUUCAAAGUUCUAUUGCAGGAACUAUUUCAGAUUUCAUCAGGUACAACACAAUCAUCAGGGAUUUGUCUUCAUCAAAUAGGGGGAGAUUGUUAAACCAAGUGGUGUUCAAGUUUUGAAGAAUCCAAAUCCUUUGAAGGAUGUUGAAAGCUCUGGUAUGCUUGAUGUUGUUGUGCUGGUUUAGUUUAGUUCUGGGGUAGUUUAUAUGUUGUAAUCCACCCUUUGAUUAAAUCUAAAGCAUUAGCAUUCUCAAUCUUUGUGAAAGUAAAAUGUUUUCAAACUAAGUUAAAACAACCGAUUGUUUUGUCGAAACAAUCGAUUGUUUGUACUUAGGUGUUUUGAGAAAAAGAUUGAAAACUAUUUUUAAAAUGGUUGAACUGUUAAGUACCAAAACAACCGAUUGAUUCGAGGAAACAACCGAUUGUUUGUUUUGGGACCAUAACAGAAAAACUGUUUUCUGUUUGACUGAGCUUUAAAUGAUUUAACUGCUUACGCUCCAGUCAUUAAAUGCUUUGACCAAUCUUUUAAUGCAAUUUAAGAGUCUGUUAAGAUUUGAUAACAAACUACAUCUUUGAAUAUAUUCAAAAAAACAGAUUUCCAAAUUAAGAAUCUUUGACAAGUUUUUGCUAAGAGUUUUUUGAGUUUUUCAAAGAGCUGAGAUUGCUAAGAGUUUGUGAUUGAUCAAAGUAUAUGGAAUAGGAUUCUGCUUGUAUUGAUUUCAGAUUAUCUUCUGUAACAAGUGUAAUCCUUGUACUCUGUUGAACAAGUAUUCGUUUCUGUGUUUUGCUGAGAUUGGCUGUGUGUUCUUUAGGGGAUCAAGAUCAGCAAUCUUAGUGUUGGUGUGUUGACCAAGGAGAGUGUGUUUCUUGAGGUGUUCAAGGUCAUUCUCUUGGUUGUUGUGUAAGUGAUCAAGGUGUCAUUGCUUAGUGGAUUUCCUCAGGGUUCUGAGAAGACUGGAUGUAGCUCUGGGUUUGGAGUGAACCAGUAUCAACAACUGUGUACAAUCUCUCUAUCUCUAACUCUUUAAAUUCAGUUUAUUUUGUUGUUUGCUGGUAUAAACAACCGAUUGUUUCUGCGAAACAACCAAUUGUUUUUCUGGUACUACAACUUUUGCUUGCUGUUUUGGCGAACUGAAUUUCUGAAUCAAUUGUUUCCUGAGAUAAAUUCAUUCUUGUUUGAAAAGUUUGCGAAAACCCUCUUUAAACAAUUCACCCCCCUCUAGUUUAAAGCCAUCUUUUCUAACAAAAGCUUCUUCCCUGGACUCUUAUGCUCGAAGAAGUGAAGGAAGACAUCCACGGAGGGAAGGUGCCCAAGAUGGUUGAACAUGAUCGCGAAGGCCCAACUGUUGGGGUGCAGCUGGGCAGGGGCCACAUUGAUUUCAGUCAGGAGUGCCCGCUCGAAACCCGAGAGUGGAAAACGGAGUUUGUUCCGCUUGAAGAUGAUGGCAUAUAGGAAGAAGAAGGAUUCCCCAUCGUUGGUGCGAUUGGCGGCGCAUACAGGUUCACCGUCUGCGUAGGGUCGAACAGAGACGUAAGCGUCGCACUCCCUCCCAAACGCACGACCUUUAACUUCAGCCUCAUCCUUUCUAUGUUUCCUCACAUCCUCAAGGGAAGUGAGUUUGGAGGUCUCGGCGAGAAGGUCAGCAGAAGCCCAAGAGUAAAGGGCUCUGUAAUCGACGGAUGGAGGAGGUUGGAGGUGGUUUUGGUUCGGGCCGAAGCUAAAAAGGGAUAAGAGAAAGGAAGAAAAACGAAGGUUCAGAAGAAGCGGCGUGACUCGAUGAACCAGAAAAAUAGAGACUCAACUAAACAAAGAACGCAAACAGUGUAGAAGCAGAAAACCUAAAGUGCAGAAAUCUUAAAUAGAUCCAGAGCAGUUAUCGCAUGUUAUGGGCAGCGGAAUCGUGAAACGAAGACAAGUCAUGAAGUAAAAAUCAUACCUUUAAGGAGUAGAAGUUCAAAAGUCGAGAGUGAUGAGGAAGAAGAAAGAGCGCUUGAGAGAAAGCGAAUGAUAAAAGUUUGAGUAAGUGAAGUGAUGAAACAAUUGUGAAGCGCGGGGUUUUGUAAGGGUUUAAGGUAAACAAGGGAGCACAAACGGCAAUAACCCUAGUCGUUGAUCCAGCCACGUGUGCCCAGAUUAAAAUGAAGUACGGAGAGACGUCACUUCGGUACAUUGUUCACGUCCUUCGCCAAGGGCGACGACUUAGUCUCUUCGCUGAACAAGUUAAUAGCUCGAGACUAGGGGGCUUGUGUACCGACCAGUCCUCGGACAUAGUUGACCACUAGUAAUAGUUGACCACGUAAGCUGGGUCCCAAAAACGGCAUGGGAAUAUGUCUCAUAAGCGGCAUGAGCCAGGGUGCCGAUUAUUGGUCAAAUGUCGAUCACCAGGAUGUCUCGACGUGUCUUCGACAACAGAGUAAGGCAUCGGUGAUUCAAACAGCAGAAUUGGACCUCGAAAGGUGAGCCCCAAACAACAUACCAGUUAUUAGUAGGGGAAAGCCUAAGUCACAGGGUGCCCAUGCAUGCGGUGUGGAUUCCGCCAUUGGGCGCGACACAAGUAAAGAGGCUUGGAAGCCGCGAAUGCCCAUUAGGGUUAGGGUUUCCAAGGGAGGCUGCAUGCAUGACACGUGAUAGUUAGGGUACCCCCCAGAAUGGAUGGCCCUAGAGAUUUGAUGCACAAGUUGGUACCCAGGUGGCCAUUCCGUUAGAGGUUGCACUCUAGUAAGGUAGCCUUACGCGCUAGAUUGCACUAAGAUUGGGUAAUAGCGGCGCAAGGGCAUUCCCCAGAAACCCUAAAUGCGGGUAACGGAUAUAAAGGAACCCUAGACUAUAUAAAGGGUAUUAAGAAAACCCACAAGGUAUGCAGUUUUUUGUGACUAGAACUAUUACACUCACAUUCUGUUUCUUAGCCCCAGUAUUGACUUGAGCGUCAGAGUGCAAACGACCUCUAGGGUGUCCCUUUGUCUUUGCAGGUACAGAGUGUUUCGAUCCAAGGAAGCACAAACCUAGGUGGAGAUAAGAGGGCGUGUGAUCGUAGUUAGAGUGAAUCAGCAAAUGAGUCAACCGGCAAGAACACCUCUUACCAUCUAUUUUUUUAUCUGUACUUUCUUUAUUUUUUUCAUGUUUUCUCUAUAAUAUUUUACCUCCUAUCUCAACCCAAACUCCUCCUUUAGUUCUUUAUUGUUACCUUGUACAGUUGAUGCAUGCAUUUGAUCACUCAUUUUGAAUUAAAAAAGAAAUGAUUUUCACAAAAUAAUGGUUUCAAUAAUGAGUGAUAAAAAAUUUCACAAAUAGGUUUUUGAAGUUGGAAGUUUCUAUCAAGGUCAAAUAGUCAAGGUUUCCCUGACUUCACUCCCAAGGAAGAGUGGUGAAUCACUCCCAAGACUUAACCGAUUUUCCUUAAAAGAAACAUAAAAAAAAAAUCCCUAAAUGUGAGCGUGCAAAGUUUCCUAGAGACUAAAAAAAGGUCAAUUACAAAAUGGAGAGAAAAAUAACCUAAGUAUCAUGGAGACUUGAAAAAAAAGAGUAAGAAAAUAUGAAGAAAUUAAACUAGACUUGUCGUAUGUGAAAGAUCAAUUGAUGCUUUGAGCCCCUUGACACACUUUCUCUUACUAAUGCACGAUUUACUAUUAUAAAGUUCUUAAUGGGGUUCCUUUGAAAGCAUUUUCACAAACAAAGUGAUGGAUGACCACCUAAAGCCACCAUACACAAGAAUAAAAGAUAGAUGAACUAUUUAUAUCAAUAAUAGAAAUAACUUAUAUAGGAUUUUUAUUUUACUCUAGAAAUGCUAACUUGUCACACAAGUAAGGGCUUGUAGAGUAGAAGGGUACAUAUGGCUUCCUUAAUUGGUAAUUCAAACCACAGAACAAAAGUGGUUUGUUUAUUGAUGCACCCUCCGCAAAGGGUAAUUUUUCAGCCAUAAGAAAAAGAUUUUCAGAUCAAACUUGAGUAUUUUUCAAGUACCAAGCUCUUAUGAAAGAUUUUCGCAAACUUUGAAGGUAUAAUGAAGUUCAAAGUAGAAUCACAGAUAUAGAAAUCCAGAAAGCAAUCAAUUAAAAUUGUUUAAGUUGAUUAACAGAAAAUCAACCGAUUGGUUUUGCGAUUCAACCGGUUGUUUAUAUCAGCUGAAUUGAAAACAACUUAAAAGUAGAAUUUAAAUGAGUUAAAGGUAAGAGAAAAGCACACAAGCAAUUUAUACUGGUUCACUCUUAUCCCAAGAGCUACAUCCAGUCCCCAGAAACCACUAGGUAUCUACUAUGCAAUCAAAAUCCAGAUUGCAAACACACCACCAAAGAAGUGAUCUUAAACACCUCAAGUCACACACUUCCUUUGACACACAAACACCACAGAAAUCAGAGCACCCUCUAAUUCUGCACUUACACACCAGUAUUCAGAAAUACAAGAGAUACAAAAAGGAUUACACCUGAUGAAGAUCAAAUAGAAAGAUUAUAGCAAUCCUAUUCCACUUCUUUGAGAAAACCCAAAAGCUUGAAUGCAAAUCUUGAAAACUCAAAUCUGUUUUCACACUUUCACACAGUGUCUCAAAACUAUAUCAAUCUUUAAGAAAGUAUAACAACCUCUUUAAAUACUCCAAAAGUUGUUAAAAACAUUUAAAGCAUGAGCCUAUUCAGUUAGAAAACAUUUAAAGCUGAUUUGCAAACAUAACAGAAAUUUUGUUAUGGAUUUUCAACAAAGAAUCGGUUGAAUCCUCGAAACAACCGAUAGAAAUUGGUUUGACAACAAUGUCAACCAAGUCAAACAACUUCAAACCCUUUUCAAAAACCUCUAGUGAUAAGAAAUCGAUUGAAACGACAAAACAACAAGUUGUUUUUCCACUUCUUCAUAAAACAAACUUAGGUCCUUGAUGCAGCCGUUGGAGCUUCAACAAGAGUUCAUUCCUAUGAUGAGGAGGAACAAACCGCGAGCACAUGCAUUCUUUCGAAUCAUACCAAGAGACCACGACUGGCCUCUUGUUCAAACCAAUCUCCAUUACAAUUUCAUGCCACCACUGCAUGACAUAAUCUUAAAACUCUAGGAAAACUGGCUUAACUUUUGUCUUCUUCGACCUCAUACACAUUAAAGAUUUGUUCUAUCUUAACUUCCCAUCCUAAAUACAAAUUUGGGUCACUUUCCCCGCUAAAACUAGGUAAUUUUACAAAAGAAAAAGAAGUCUUUGGUGGUUGGUGUUGAUGAUGCCUUUCUUCAAAAUUGUGCAUUCUCCAAUCUUGUUCUUCUCUUUGACUUCCAUAGUCCAUGUAAUUUGUAGUAGCUCUUCUAGGAUCCCAUCUCUUUUCUCUAGCUUUUCUCUCUUGAGUCUCUUCUAAUCUUUGCAUCCUUUCCACUAGUUGCCUCAUUUCCUCUUCUUUUUCGUUCAAUCUUCUUUUGGCAUCGGCAAGCUCUCCCAAAAGGUAUGCCUUUUGAGGAGAUUGUGGCUUUGAAGAUUCUUCUAAAGACAAAUGAGCCAUAAUUUUGCAUAAAAGGAAACAAACAAUUAGUGAAAAUAACAAUUUAAUCCACUCACUCACUUGUAUCACUCGGAUAUUUAGUAAAGGAGACACAAAAUUUUAAUUCACUCAAGAAAGAUUUGCAGUCCAACAAGGUCUACACUUGGUAGCAACACUUCAAGUGAAAGAGGUUAAAUCUCCUAACACUUGCUUACCAAAGAACCCCUAACAAAGCAUAAGAAAGAUUUGAAGACAAGCAAGUAAAGAUAAAAGAAAGAAAGCUAAACCAAAAUGGAAGUAUGAUGAUGACAAAACUUAGACAAGACAAAAAAGAAAAAAACUUUUGAAGACUUAAAGAAACUUACUUAAACUUUUAACUAUGAAGUUUUGAUUUUCUUAGAAAUUGUAAAAGCAAGAAGAAUAAAAUUUCACAAAUAUGAAAACAAUUUGCCACAAAAAAAGAAUCCUCAUUUUUAGCAAUUUUGAACUUGAAAAGUGAAUUGCACUAACUUUGUUUUUGUCUUUCUUUUUCUUUUAUGGAUUCAGAAUUUCCAUAAUCUUCGCAUGCAUAUUUUUAAUUCACUUUCAAUUUUCACAAAUAGAUUGGGAUUUCAUUCAUAUGAUUACUUGAGUUCUUUGAUUGGAACUAAAUCAACUACCACUUAAACGAAUUAUAAUUGUUCCGUUCGGUUGACCGGGACGUCUUCGUGCGCGACCUCAACCGUCAGCUAGGGACUCCUUCCCACUGGUUGCCUGUGGAUUCCUGCAAAAAGAGGACAAAGAGGCGCCCUAGCGGCCGUGUGCACUCCGACGCUCAAGUCAGCUAGCAAGAAACACCAAAACUGUCCACCUACGUCUCCGAGCACCGCGUAUGGCACUCUGAAGGUGGUAAAAGAACUGUGUAUAUGUGUGUGUGUUGUCUCUUUCAGGCAAAAAUAUUUCCCAGUCACUUGUACGCAACCUUGAAGCACGAGCAAGCAACUAGAGAGUUCUCUGGUAAAUUUGCCAAAAGUUCCAACCCUCUUUCCAACAUUCUCUGCGCUAUUUAAACUACCCCAGCAUUUAAAGCGCCUUAAAGCGCUUUUAAUCACAAACGUAACGCACUCAUUAAAGCGCUUAAUUAGAAAACGUAGCGUAUUUAAGACGUUGAAACACUCGGGAGCCAUUAUAGUACCUGAAUGCUCGAAAGGGAAACUGUAUUGAAUGACUUUUAAUUACCUGGCACCUGACUAAAGGGUGUUUCUAUUCUGGUAUGGCUGUCGUACACGUGGAGGGCCUCACGACGCCAUGACCUCAUCUGGGGGCGUUUCUGCCCAUCUGGGGACGUCUCUACGUGUGAGUCCUCCUGCUUGGGAGUGCUACUGCGCUAGGGGUGACUUUUUGGGUGCCAACUCAUGCACCCAAGUAUCUGGUCACUUACUUUGAGAGCGUAUCUGCCUUCCUCUUGUACCCUGCACCCGGCUGCCCUGGGCGUGACCUUCCUUUUGAGUCGUAUCUGCCCCACAAGCGUCUUUGGGGCAGCAGGAGCACUUCACGAGUCAGGCUGCCCUACACUGAUGCUUUCACUAUGGCCUUGAAGCCACCUUUUCCUUCUCUUUAUCACUGCCCCGGACUAUCGGGACCUGAGGCCUUCUCACGGCGUCGCUCCCUCCAUGGUCUUUCCUACCCAUGGGUAUCGGGGAACCACACUGUGAUUGCCUUUUUUUUACACUGUUUGAUCUGGCGACGCCCUAGUUGGGCGACGCCUUCACCUGGGCGACGCCUUCACCUAGGCGACGCCUUGCCUUGGCGACGCUUCCUCUUGGCGAUGUUGGCACUUUGGCGUCUCUCCACCUAGGCGACGCCUUGCGCUGACUUUGACUCUUCAUCCGUUGACUUUGACCUGAUUUAGUCAACGCCCGGAUACGGGACGGUACACAAGCCCCUCAGUCUUAAGCCGAAGACUUGUCUUCAGCGUCAAGACUAAAGCCUCGCCCACGCCGUCCACGUGCCAUCCUGAUGACGUGUCAUUCUCUGCCGACUCAGCAAUUCUUCGAAUUAUUGACGUGAAAUUUUCUGAACCACAGGGGUAUUCUUAAUGACUGAUUGGACAUCCCCUGAAAUGAGGAUGAUAACACCUUUUGGGCUACCCUUGAUCGCGCGCCACGUGGCCCAUCGCGCGGCCAUCCUCCAGGGACCUUUGCGUUUCCAUUGGGCAAUUGAUCCUCUAACGCGUGGCACGAUCCCACAGCCCUAGGUUAGCGCCUCUCGAGUUGCGAAAUGUAACGUUUAAGUUACUCCAAACCCCGCGCUCACCCUACUGUUACAUUCAUUCACUCUGCAACUCCGCACUGUUCAUCGCCUUCAAAACCCCUUUUCUCUGCAAUCGCGAUUCUCUCCUUGCUGCGCUCGUCUACUGCCUCCAUUCCAAUAACAAAGGUACAAUCUCGAGUAUUCACGAUUCUUCCCUUUCGUCGCAUUAUAGGAUUCAUUAAACUGCCUGGGACUGUUGUUAUUCUCGUAUUACUGCAUUUCUCCGCUUCUUCUUCCUCCUCUGAUUUUUCUCGCGUGGGUGACGCUUCCUGGGGCUCUUUCCCCUUCUUGCCAUGGCUAAACAUGCUAAACCCUUUUUCCUCUCUUCUUUCUCCAGCUAUCUAUUUUCACCAUGACGCGCGCGAACGCGGAGCCUGAUUCUUCUCCCACGACCCCCAAGUCCAACUACAAAGCCUUCUACCCCUGGGCCCCCGACGAGCUCCUGAGUGAAUGCACCAGCCUGACUUCCUUCUAGGACCUGGAAGCUCACCGAGGGGAUCCCCAUUUGUACAACUUUAAUGCCUUCUGCCGCACACACGACGCCCACAUAUCCGUCCGUCCCGGCAGGCCUGGGGAACCUGUUUGUUUGGACGACAGGCCUAGAAAGGGGAAACCCUUCUUCUUCAUGUACCAGACCGUGUUCAAGCGCGUAGGAGUGCGUCUCCCAUUCUCUCCCUUGGAACGGGAGCUUCUCACUGAAAUCAACACUGCCCCCGCCCAGCUUCAUCCCAACAGCUGGGCAUUCGUGAGGGGCUUUCAAAUUCUUUGUGGAUACCUGGGCAUCCCCCCCUCUGUAGAUGUCUUCCUGCAUUUCUUUAAAGUGAAGAAACAGGGGAAAAGCUUCUGGGUAAGCUUUUCCGGGAUCGCAGGCAGGAUCCUCCUAUCCCUCUUCCAGAAUUCUUAUAAGAACUGGAAAGGGAAAUUCUUCAGGGUGUGCAGCGCCAAGCACGAUCCCACAGCUUUGGAUGGCUUCCCCCUUUACUGGACGGAGCGCCCUAAAUUGCUCAGGGCCAAGACCCACCGAUUCUAUCGCCGCCUCCUCCGAUCACUGCCGAGGCUAUCUCGAGUUCACCUCCGUCAUCUCCUCGCAGCCUUGCAGCACUUUAGACUCCUCUCUCUCCUCUACCCAUCGCAGCUGUUCCCCUAGCUGCGGCCUCGUCACCGGCUCCAACCCCUCUUGACAAAGGGAAACGGGUUUUGGAGGUUCUAUCAGAUGAUGAGGACUCAGAAGGCGUGGCUCCCUUCAGAAGAAGAAAAUCUGCGCGGGUUCCUCUUUCGGUAGAGGCAUCGCCCCAGGGAGGGAACCCCUUCAUGGAUAACCCCCCGAGCGCAACCUCACUCCCUCCCAUGACACUCCACGAGGAAAGGGGCGAAGGUGCCGAAUCUGCCCCGCCUCCGCCGCCGGCAGAAACCAUUGCUUCCCCUGCUUCCGUCGCUGUCGCCCCUGACUUCAUCGUCAUCCCUCCUCCGAUUAUACAUCUAAUGAGGGGCUUCAGCGGCGGGACUCUGCCAGAGGGCACCGACAGGAAGGAAGGCAUGCCCUUCUACUUGGGGGCCUUCCUGGCGGUGGCCCUUGAAUGGCGCGCCCAGGCCAGAAACGCGGUUAUGCAAGCUCAAAACUCUCCAAGCCUUGGAAACAAAGGCGACUACUCUGGAGGAGGAAAUGAGGACCCUGGGGCGGCAGAACGAAACUUACCAAACCUCUCUAAAGCAAGCGCAAGAGUCCAAAGCAGAAGCUGAGAGGCAACUGGCAGAGGCAUUGGAGCUCCAGGCUGGCUUUUUUACUCGUGAAGUCGCCCUCCAAGUCCAGGCUGGCCUUCAGGAAUCGCUCAAAGCUGAUGCAGAACUUCAAAAGGACCUGAAGGACCGUUGCCGUGAGCAAGCUGACCAGACGGAGCGGAUGGAGGGGGAAAUGGCCACCCAGGCCAAAGCUAUGGACCUUCUCCGGGCUGACUACGACAAACUACAGGUUGAGGUCAGUCGACUUCGCGUUGAGAAGGAGGCUCUAGAGAAGCAGGUGGCCUCUGGGGAUGCCGCCGUUGAGGAGCUGGAGAAGGAGAAAAAGUCCCUUAUCCAGGAGAUGGCGGGUACUUUCGAGGAGGGGUUCCAAGAGGCUCUAACCCAGGCGUCCUGUGAGAACCCUGGCAUCAAUAUUACAAACUGCGACCCCAUGCACCAUGUCGUCGACGGGAAGGUCGUGCCCAUGGACGUGGAUGACUGAACCGCUGCCUCUCAACCGCGACCUUCAGCUUCACAGUUAACUGCUUUAUACUUUACCUUCGUUUUUUAUUUUAUCUGUUAAAACUUGUAAUUCUUUGAACUAUCCGUACUCUUGUUACUGAUUUGGGGCAUUCGCAUGAUUGCCUUUAUGUCUUUGCCAUAUACGAUUCUGCUUGUGCGAUCUCAUUCUCAUCUUUUACCUUCGCACGCUUCGAUUAUUUUAUCUGUGUUUUGUCCAUUUCUUUCACUUCGUUGGGCGGCUUUGUAUGAUCGGGAAAGGUCGCAUGCCAACCCUCACGCCCAUGGAGAGGCUCACUUAGUGACGCCGUAUCGUCCACGGGAUGUCUCUGAUACCGAAAGGUCCUUUCCUUGAUCCUUAACGCCCGGCGCCCACGCCUAAGGAGAGGCCUGCUACAGCAGCGCCGUAUCGUCCCCGGGUGUCUAAAACGCCGAGUGCUCUGGGGGGGGGGGGUCUAUUCCCUCCAUGGUCUUUCCUUCCCAUAGGUAUCGGGGAACGCCCUGCCAGCGAUUCGCUGGCGUUUGGCGGUCUUAUCUCCCUCCACAGUCUUUCCUACCUGUGGGUAUCGAGGAGGCGACGCCAGUGACUAACUUUGCCUUCUUUGAUUUCGUCUCCCUCCACAGUCUUUCCUACCUGUGGGUAUUGGGGAGGCGACGCCAGUUGGUAUUUGGGUUGGCGACGCCCGUGACGUCUCACGCUGGCGUCGCCCUUCACGUCCUUCCGGGCGACGCCUCGGGCGUUACCUUUACUUCGACAUUGACUUUGAUUUUUGCCUUGGUCGACGCCUGACGACAGCGAAGAGCUCAAGGUUUUGUCUGUGCCAUCCACGUGGCGCUUCUUGUAUAGCUGAUGGGACGUUCCGUCAUUCGACUUGAUCCACGUGGCGCUGCUUGUAUGGUUGAUGGGGCAUUCAGUCAUUCCAUUGAAUUCUGACUCCUGCUGUACCCCUGACUCACUUUCGACGGCGCAUCGUACCACUGGAUAUUCUGCUGAUACGACGUUUUCUGAUUUAAACCAGUGGUGUCAGCGUCAUCCUUUCAUCUUCUGCCACGUGUAUCAAUCGUGCGGUGCAUCCAUUCGCGUCGUUUGGCGCUCUAACCGCUUUAUUUAACUCUUCAAACUCUGGAACUAUCUUCAUCAUUUUCUCACUCUUCAUAACCUACUUGCGUUCUUUCUUCUUGCACCCUUCCUUCUUGCACCCUUUCUUCUCUAACGAAGGGUUGUUCCAGCCUUCGCUCCCCUCGCUCAACUCUUGCAUUUCUGGCAGUCCUGAUCUUGUUAAAGAAUGUCGUCUCACGCUGCUUCCUCCAGGGUCCGUCCCAAGGACUUGUACCCUUAGGCCUCGAGUGAACUUCUUGACGAGUGUUCAUGCUUACUCUCUACCAGGGCCAUAAGGGAGCACAAAGGGGAUUCGUGUUCCUAUGACCACCGGGCCUUCGCGAGGAGGCAUGACGACGACAUCGCUGUGNNNNNNNNNNNNNNNNNNNNNNNNNNNNNNNNNNNNNNNNNNNNNNNNNNNNNNNNNNNNNNNNNNNNNNNNNNNNNNNNNNNNNNNNNNNNNNNNNNNNNNNNNNNNNNNNNNNNNNNNNNNNNNNNNNNNNNNNNNNNNNNNNNNNNNNNNNNNNNNNNNNNNNNNNNNNNNNNNNNNNNNNNNNNNNNNNNNNNNNNNNNNNNNNNNNNNNNNNNNNNNNNNNNNNNNNNNNNNNNNNNNNNNNNNNNNNNNNNNNNNNNNNNNNNNNNNNNNNNNNNNNNNNNNNNNNNNNNNNNNNNNNNNNNNNNNNNNNNNNNNNNNNNNNNNNNNNNNNNNNNNNNNNNNNNNNNNNNNNNNNNNNNNNNNNNNNNNNNNNNNNNNNNNNNNNNNNNNNNNNNNNNNNNNNNNNNNNUUCCGCUGUACUGGGUGAGAGAGGAGAAGGUCCUCAAAGCCAAACCCCUCAAGAAUCUGGCUCCAAGUGAUCAAAUAGCUUCGCCUUCCUCCAGUGAUGACUCUGAUGAGCGCUGAGAAAUGGCUUGUUCGUGUUUUUGCAUGAUUUGUAGCGUUUGCUCCGUUUGUACUGCUCCCAUUGUAUUGAACAUUGCUUGUAACAACAACUUUUCAAUGUCAUACUUGAUUUUUGUAACGCCACUUCACUUUGCAUAUGCUUCAUGUACUGCGCGCUUUCCUUUCGUCCUGUUCUUUCAGCGGUGCAUGCCUUCACUUGGGCGAUGCCUGCUCAGGGGCGACGCCCUUAUCUAGGUGGCGCCUUCUUUCUGGGCGACGCCAUGACCUAGGCGACGCCUUCUUUCUUGGCGACGCCAUGGCCUAGGCGGCGCAUCACAUUACUUCAAACAAGGAAAGAUAAAGGCUGAAAACCAAAGCACUUCUUUUUCUCAAACUGGUUUUUCCUUUUAUUAGGGUGACCUCAUUAAAAAACCCCCGAGAGGGAAAAAGAGCGUCCCCUUCAACUAAAUUGUGACAUACUGCUUACAUNNNNNNNNNNNNNNNNNNNNNNNNNNNNNNNNNNNNNNNNNNNNNNNNNNNNNNNNNNNNNNNNNNNNNNNNNNNNNNNNNNNNNNNNNNNNNNNNNNNNAUAAAAUUUUAAGUUGGCUGCAUUCCAACUGCGCGGGAUGGGACCUCCAUCUAAAGUCUCCAGGUUGUACGAACCGUUGCCCUUAGCCUCAGUAACUCUGAAGGGCCCGGUCCACUUGGGAGACAGCUUAUUCUCCAACUCGUAUGGGUGAGCUUUCCUCAUCACUAGGUCGCCAACUUGAAACUGUUGCGGCUUACCCUUAGAGCUAUAUUGUCGCUCUACUCUUCUCUUCAUCGCUUCAGCUUUUAUUCUAGCUUCUUCUAGCAAAUCCAGGUUUACCCGCCUCUCUUCAUUGGACUCCUCCACCACAAAGUUUUGAAAGCGUGGUGAGCUUUCAUGUAUUUCUACUGGAAUCAUCGCGUCCGACCCGUACACCAAACUGAAGGGCGUCUCCAUAGUAGAGGAUUGGGGCGUGGUGUGAUAUGCCCAUACAAUCCUUGGCACCUCUUCCGCCCACGCCCCUUUGGCUUUCUCUAACCUUCUUUUUAACCCCCUCAGCAGAACUCUGUUUGCCGACUCUACUUGUCCAUUGGUCUGGGGGUGUUCGACCGACGCGAACACUUGUUUGAUUCCUACUUCAGCACACAGAUUUCUCAACUGCUGACUGGCAAACUGAGUCCCGUUGUCAGAUAUCAGGCGCCUGGGUACGCCAAAGCGACACACAAUGUUUCUCCACACGAAAUGCUGUACCUUAUGCGCAGUGAUCUGUGCCACGGGCUCCGCCUCUAUCCACUUAGUGAAGUAUUCGAUGGCGAUGAUCAGAUACUUCAUCUGCCUGAUUGCCAGUGGGAAAGGGCCCAGGAUGUCAAUUCCCCAUGUAUGGAAAGGCCACGGGCUGUAUAUAGACCGCAACUCUUCUGGCGGCGCCUUGUGCCAGUCGGCGUGCUUUUGGCAUUGCCUACACCGCUGGGCGUGCCGUGCGCAGUCCUCUUUCACUGUUGGCCAGAAGAAGCCUGCGCGUAUUACCUUGGAGGCUAAGGAUCUUCCCCCUACGUGGCUUCCGCAGAUGCCUUCGUGUAGCUCCGCCAUUAUCCUGGUGCACUCAUCGCCACUAACGCAUGUUAGGAUAGGGUGAGUGAAACCGUGCCUGAACAGCACCCCAUCCACCAAAGUAUAUCUUGCGGCAUUUCUUUUGACUUUUUUUACCCUCUUCAGGGUCCACUGGAAGAGCCCCAUCUGCCAGGUAUCGCUUAUAGGGCGUCAUCCAGGUGUCUCCCUUGGACAAAACACAUACCUGCAUCUGCUCUUCCUCAGGCACACCCGCGAACAUGCUGAUGCGGGGCGCCCUCUGCGUAUCUUGGGUCAAAGAGGAAUGACUCCUCGACCUUCCCCUUGAUGUAUAAAUCUGGAGGACAUCCACCCUGUUGUCUUCCACGAAUCGACGCGGAGCUUUGAGAGUCUCCUGGAUCACUGUCCUCUAUCUACCCCCCUUGCCUGAGCUGGCCAGCUUUGCGAGCAGGUCAGCUCUGGCAUUUUGCUCCCUCGGGACAUGUAUCAGCUCAAGAGCGUUGAACGCCCCCUUCAACAACUGGACGUAUUUCAGAUACGCCGCCAUCUGUGGGUCAUUCGCCUGGAACUCACCCGACACCUGCCCCGUAAUCAACUGAGAGUCGCUCUUCACCAGGAGGUUCUGUGCGCCCAUCUCCUUGGCCAAGAGCAUUCCUGCUAUCAGGGCUUCAUAUUCUGCCUGAUUGUUACUUGCCUUGAAGGCAAAACGCAAGGCCUGCUCGAUCAGUAUGCCGUCGGGUCCCUCCAAGACUAUUCCCGCACCGCUCCCUUGUUGGUUUGAAGAGCCAUCAACCGAGAGCAGCCACUGCGAACUCGCUUCCACCUCUUGCUGACCUCCGGGCGAAAGUUCUGCUACAAAAUCUGCGUACACCUGCCCUUUGAUGGAUCCUCUAGGCUCGUACUGGAUGUCGAAUUCUGACAGUUCCACCGUCCAGCGUACCAUUCUUCCUGCCACAUCAGGUUUCUGCAGUACUUUCUGUAUAGGGAGGUUGGUCAUCACCACCACCGUAAAGCUGUGGAAGUAAAUGACGGAGCCUCCUAGCAGAGAACACUACCGCCAGCGCCGCCUUUUCCAGUGCUUGGUACCUCGUCUCAACCCCCUGUAAGGCCUUGCUUACGAAGUAGAUGGGCUUCUGACUCUGGUCCUGCUCUUGGACCAAUACGGAACUGAUGGCCCGCUCUGUUACAGUAAAAUAUAACCGGAGGGGCACACCCGCUACCGGCUUGCAGAGGACCGGUGGCGUCGCCAGGUACUCCUUCAGCUUAAUGAAAGCCGCUUCGCAUUCAUCAGUCCAUGCAAAGCGACUGUUCCUCUUGAGGCACUGGAAGUACGGGUGCCCCUUCUCUCCUCCGGCGGAAACAAACCUUGAGAGCGCCGUCAUCCGCCCUGUCAGCUGUUGCACCUCCUUCACCGACGUCGGGCUCCGCAUGGCGAUAAUAGCCGCACACUUGUCGGGGUUCGCCUCUAUCCCCCUCUCGGUGAGCAGAAAACCCAAGAACUUACCGGCCUCCACCCCGAAAACACACUUCUCGGGGUUCAACUUGAGGCGGUACUUGGAUAUUGUGUGGAACAACUCCUCCAGGUCUGCCAUGUGCUGCACCCUAUUUUGCGACGCCACCACCAUGUCGUCUACAUAGGCGUACACAUUCCUCCCCAGCAUUGGCACCAGGACCUUGUCCAUUAGCCUCUGGUACGUGGCGCCCGCAUUUUCCAGCCCGAAGGGCAUCACCUUAUAGCAGUAACUGCAUGUCUCGGUCAUGAAUGCAGUCUUGCUCUCGUCUCUUGGGUGCAUNNNNNNNNNNNNNNNNNNNNNNNNNNNNNNNNNNNNNNNNNNNNNNNNNNNNNNNNNNNNNNNNNNNNNNNNNNNNNNNNNNNNNNNNNNNNNNNNNNNNNNNNNNNNNNNNNNNNNNNNNNNNNNNNNNNNNNNNNNNNNNNNNNNNNNNNNNNNNNNNNNNNNNNNNNNNNNNNNNNNNNNNNNNNNNNNNNNNNNNNNNNNNNNNNNNNNNNNNNNNNNNNNNNNNNNNNNNNNNNNNNNNNNNNNNNNNNNNNNNNNNNNNNNNNNNNNNNNNNNNNNNNNNNNNNNNNNNNNNNNNNNNNNNNNNNNNNNNNNNNNNNNNNNNNNNNNNNNNNNNNNNNNNNNNNNNNNNNNNNNNNNNNNNNNNNNNNNNNNNNNNNNNNNNNNNNNNNNNNNNNNNNNNNNNNNNNNNNNNNNNNNNNNNNNNNNNNNNNNNNNNNNNNNNNNNNNNNNNNNNNNNNNNNNNNNNNNNNNNNNNNNNNNNNNNNNNNNNNNNNNNNNNNNNNNNNNNNNNNNNNNNNNNNNNNNNNNNNNNNNNNNNNNNNNNNNNNNNNNNNNNNNNNNNNNNNNNNNNNNNNNNNNNNNNNNNNNNNNNNNNNNNNNNNNNNNNNNNNNNNNNNNNNNNNNNNNNNNNNNNNNNNNNNNCAUCGUCGCGUCCACGCUCGGCGGACGUUCAUACACCAUGAAUACGCCUCUCUUCGUUUUCAGGUUGUUUUCAUAGCAUUUCCUCGCCUCCUCCUGGUCUGACCUGAUGACUAUCACCUGGCCACUGAGGUCCGGCAGCUUCAUCUUCAUGUGACGGGUGGAGGACACCGCGCUCAGACGGUUUAACGCCGGUCUGCCCAGCAAAAUAUUGUAGGCGGAAUUAGCGUUCACGACGAGGUACCGGAUGCUCUCGGUACGGGAGGCCUCUCCGUCUGUGAACGUAGUCCUCAACUCCAAGUAACCCCGGACUUCCACCUGGUUAUCCCCAAACCCAUACAGGCAUCCUGUAUAGGGGCUCAACAGAUCGGGGGACAACCGUAACUUAUUAAAGGUCGAGAGAAACAUGACAUCGGCCGAACUUCCUUGGUCCACAAGCACUCUGUGCACCUUCCUUCCGGCUGUGACGACUGAGAUGACAACGGGGUCGUUGUCGUGGGGUACCACAUCUCGGAGGUCUCUUCUUGUGAACACAAUAUCUGACUCCCAUGGUUCCCCCGAGAGCCUCUCUUCGAUCGAAUUCACCCCCCUCGCGUAUUUCUUCCGCUGGGAGGCGGUGGGUCCUCCGCCGGAAAAACCUCCAGCAAUGGUGUGGACCUCGCCAAGCACAGGCAUCUCGUGUGCUGGUUCAUCUGCCGGCGGCGGCAAGGUGGCGGUCGUUGUGGAAUCUGCGACAUAGUCUUUCAAAAACCCAGUCCUCACCAGCUCAUCUAGCUGGUAGCCCAACGACAGGCAAUUAUCAAUUUGGUGCCCGAAAGCCUCGUGGAAUUCGCACCAAGAGUCUUUACGGGGCCCUAACACCUUGUCGGUCUUCGCCGGUCGCCUCAGCCUCUCAGCUAUGUUGGGCACGGCGAUCAAAUCCUUCAACUCAACCACGAAGUUGUACCUCGCCGGUCUUGCUCUUUCUCUGGCGGGGCGUUCGCCUCCUGCUGGACCCCGGGGCUGGGGCUUUCUGGCCUCGUAGGGGCGUCUCGCCUCUGGCUUCUUUCUCCCCGUCGUGGUCUCAUUGACUCUGACGGGUUGAACUCGCGCCGGUCCCCUCGGGCGUGAGGGCACGGCGCUGGUGCGCUUCACACAUACCUCCCCCUCCGAAGCAAUAUGCUCUACCGCCCUACACCGUAGUUCAGCGAAAGUCCUAGGGCGAUUGCGGAUAAUGGAUUCUCCGAAGGGGCCGGGGCACACGCCUUUCACAAAUGCGUACACGAUCAUAGGCUCCUCUGUUGUACCAACCUUCACGACCUGGGCCCCGAAGCGAUUGAUAUACUCCUUCAGGGUCUCCCCCUGAUACUGCUUCACAUCGAACAGGUCGUAGGAGACCGGCGGGGCCUUGUUGGCUAAGUACUGUUCACGGAACAAUCGCGACAAUUGGCGGAAAGAUGUGAUAUGACCUUCUGGGAGGCUAAUGAACCAGUCCAUAGCCAUCCCGGUCAGGGUGCUCAUGAAGAGCUUGCACUUGGCAGCAUCAGAACCGCCUAUCAGGACCAUCUGCGUGUGAAAUGCAGCCAGGUGCGUCUCUGGGUCCUCCAUCCCGGUGAAGAUCACCUUGGGUCCCGCGAAAGUGUUCGGGGAUCGCUGCGUCUAGGAUCCCCNNNNNNNNNNNNNNNNNNNNNNNNNNNNNNNNNNNNNNNNNNNNNNNNNNNNNNNNNNNNNNNNNNNNNNNNNNNNNNNNNNNNNNNNNNNNNNNNNNNNNNNNNNNNNNNNNNNNNNNNNNNNNNNNNNNNNNNNNNNNNNNNNNNNNNNNNNNNNNNNNNNNNNNNNNNNNNNNNNNNNNNNNNNNNNNNNNNNNNNNNNNNCUCAUUAUUUCCAGGACCUGCUGCAUGGAUAGUUCUGCUGGGGCUGCGCGUGCUGUGCUUCGUCUAGUGGGGGCCAUUGUCACUCCAACCUCCUUCAACGUUACUGUAACUUGGUAGAUUUUCUCGAACUUGUGAUGGGACUGAUGUUUUAUAUCGGCCCCACGGUGGGCGCCAAAUGUUUCGUCCGGCUGACCGGGACGUCUUCGUGCGCGACCUCAACCGUCAGCUAGGGACUCCUUCCCACUGGUUGCCUGUGGAUUCCUGCAAAAAAGAGGACAAAGAGACGCCCUAGCGGCCGUGUGCACUCCGACGCUCAAGUCAGCCAGCAAGAAACACCAAAACUGUCCACCUACGUCUCCGAGNNNNNNNNNNNNNNNNNNNNNNNNNNNNNNNNNNNNNNNNNNNNNNNNNNNNNNNNNNNNNNNNNNNNNNNNNNNNNNNNNNNNNNNNNNNNNNNNNNNNAAAAUAUUUCCCAGUCACUUGUACGCAACCUUGAAGCACGAGCAAGCAACUAGAGAUUUCUGGUAAAUUUGCCAAAAGUUCCAACCCUCUUUCCAACAUUCUCUGCACUAUUUAAACUACCCCAGCAUUUAAAGCGCCUUAAAGCGCUUUUAAUCACAAACAUAACGCACUCAUUAAAGCGCUUAAUUAGAAAACGUAGCGCAUUUAAGACGUUGAAACGCUCGGGAGCCAUUAUAGUACCUGAAUGCUCGAAAGGGAAACUGUAUUGAAUGACUUUUAAUUACUUGGCACCUGACUAAAGGGUGUUUCUAUUCUGGUAUGGCUAUCGUACACGUGGAGGGCCUCACGACGCCAUGACCCCAUCUGGGGGCGUUUCUGCCCAUCUGGGGACGUCUCUACGUGUGAGUCCUCCUGCUUGGGAGUGCUACUACGCUAGGGGUGACUUUUUGGGUGCCAACUCAUGCACCCAAGUAUCUGGUCACUUACUUUUAGAGCGUAUCUGCCUUCCUCUUGUACCCUGCACCCAGCUGCCCUGGGCGUGACCUUCCUCUUGAGUCGUAUCUGCCCCACAAGCGUCUUUGGGGCAGCAGGAGCACUUCACGAGUCAGGCUGCCCUACACUGAUGCUUUCACUAUGGCCUUGAAGCCACCUUUUCCUUCUCUUUAUCACUGCCCCAGACUAUCGGGACCUGAGGCCUUCCCACGGCGUCGCUCCCUCCAUGGUCUUUCCUACCCAUGGGUAUCGGGGAACCACACUGUGAUUGCCUUUUUUUUACACUGUUUGAUCUGGCGACGCCCUAGUUGGGUGACGCCUUCACCUAGGCGACGCCUUGCCUUGGCGACGCUUCCUCUUGGCGAUGCUGGCACUUGGCGUCUCUCCACCUAGGCGACGCCUUGUGUUGACUUUGACUCUUCAGCCGUUGACUUUGACCUGAUUUAGUCAACGCCCGGAUACGGGACGGUACAAUAAUUUUUUUAGUUCUUCACAAUUAAAAGAAAAAUAAGCAUAAUGGAUUUAAAGACUCCUAGAACACUAAGAACAUAAGACUCGAGAAAAAAUGGUAAGGAAAAAAAAUUGACAAAAAUAAUUCAAAAGCAGAAUUUUAAAUUGCUUAAUGAAUAAAAAGGAGAAAUUGUAAAUGACUAGAAUUUAAAGAUUGAAUUGAAAGGUGUUUAAAGAUAAAAGCGGAAUUUAAAUUGUUGGAAGAUAAAGACAUAAUUGAAAUGUGUUGGAAUUUUAAAGCAAUCAACUCAGAAAAGAUAAGCACAAUUAAAAUCAUGCUCUGAUACCACAUGAUGUGAGUUAAUUUUAAGGUUGCACAUUUUAUGGGUUGCACUUUGUUUAUGAUUUUUUGUUUCAAGCAUAAUAUGGUUAGAAACCCAAAGAAGAUUCCCACUAGACAUGAACUUAACCAAGUGGUUAAAUAAGUGUGAAUGUGCACUUCUAGAGGGUAAAGAGAAAACACAAGAUAAGAUGAUGAUGAUGAGGUGUUGAAUUAAGCACAAAAAAGGAAGCAAUUAUAAUAGAUGAACUGAAUUGUAAAUGAAGAAAAGGAAGAAUAUAAAAAAAAUGGAAGAAGAGUGGCGCAAAGAAGGAAAGGAAGAGAUGAAGAAAGCUUAUGGAAAAAUGGGGUAAGGAGUCACGCCACUUGGAGGAUGGAAUGCUCCAAGAUGAGUGGUGUAGAGCUGCCACUUGAAGUGUAGAUCACUCAAGAUAAGACCCAAGGAUAAUGAGAGACUCUAUUUUCUUUCAAAAUUCAACGUGUGAAGUGUCUCUUGUGUCCUUAGUCAUCUGCUUGGCUAAUUGGGUUGUAUCAAGUACCCAAUUCAUUUCGCAAGACAUUAAAUCUAUCUCAGCACAAAAAAAAAAACAUAUGUGAUGGCGGUUAUAAUAUGACGGUUAUUAAAAACUGUCACAAUUUACUGUAUAAUACGACAAUUUCGUAAGCACCAUAAUGUUCCUUCAAAAUGUGACAUUUAGAAUCGUCAUAAUUGUCCUUAGAAAUAAACAUUUAUAUGUUUUGUUCCCUCCAUCACAUUUGUUUUAUUUCCCCCUAAAAUUUCAUUUCUCACACUUACUCAAAAUUUUAAUUUUUCAAAACCCUAUUCUCUUCCAUCCUCCAAAAUUUUCUAAAACCCUUUGAAACCCUAUUAUUCCGCACAACUCUGCUACUGUUGCGUGAUGUUGGUUCUAGACGUGCAGUGCACCCUUGCAAAUACUGCACAAAGCUCACCGCUGAACCUUCUUCCCAAGCCAAACCUCUAAAUUGCGUUCCCAAAUCAAAGCUUUCGACCAUUUGAGAGCACAUAGUUUUCUUUGAAUUUCUCUUUGAACCCUCGCUUCUCUGUUACAAUUUAUCUCUCUUUGAAUCCCCCUGUGCAUCACCUUCUUCUCUACCGCAUCCACCGACUACUACCAUAGGUGGGAUUCAACAUCUCGUCAUCCUUGUCGAAGUUAACAAGUUUGAUUCAAUUUCUCACUCCACCAACACACUGCAUGUUUCUUUCUUCGUAUUAUGCUUCUCACACUCCUAAACUCUUGUUUCGCUGUUUUAGGGUUCUUACGGACACGCACAACAUAGAAAAUUGUAUUAUCGAAUGUUGGACCGAUUUAGGGUUUUUCCGGGUCCUCUGUUCCUUGUGGGAGGUACACUAGAUCAUCAGGUUCCAUUUAAUUACGCAUUUUUUCAUUAAUAUACAUAACUUUCAAUUUCUUGAUUUCAAACCCUAGUAUGCAUUUUUUUGACAUUCAACUGCCAAACGAUAAAGCAUUGGUUGGGCAUUCAGUAGUUUCCUUCAUUUUCUAUGAGGAAAAGUGUAGAACUAGAUUUGGAACUUAUGGUUUCUAACUUAUUGUAAAAUACACCCCCACUUCCAUGCCCCCACUUCUAAAUAUGUUCACCCAUUUUUAAAAGGACAAAGAGUGAACAAUAUUUCUUACAUCCUUAACUAUGCGCAUUUUUUGGCAGCACAUGUUGUGUUACCUAUAUCAAAGACAAUAACAUAAUAAUUGAAUAAUAAAGUUGUUUAUUACAGAAGGGUGAAGUUCUAAUUUCUUUGGUAUUACUUUUAAUUUUUUUUGCGUUUUUUUCUCUUUUAAUAAGAGAAUAAAUCAUGAAGAGCGCAUUUUCUAUUUGUAAUUAUGGCUGUAUUUGUAACUAUUUUUCUUUCAUUUAUGGUGCAGCUUGUGGAAAAGUUUGGUAUUGAUCCUAACAAUGCUUUUGCGUGUUGGUAUUGGGUCGAGUGGUGAGUAAUGUUUCAUCUAUCUCCCCCUCUUAUUAGCCUGUUAAAGAAUAUUUGAAGUCUACAACAUAUUUGAUUAUGAUGCUCUGAAAUGCGACUUGAAAUUUGCAGUGCUGUUGGAGUUUUGCCAUUGUUUUCUCUAUAAUAGAGAAGUAUGUCUUUCACUGUUAGUGUAAUUCUAAUCUAUAGGCACCUCUUAUAGAAGAAAAUGUUCCUAGAAAUAGUAUAACUUCUUGUGGCUUUAUUGUUCUUCACCUUCUUUCCUUAAGGAAAUAAUCAACUUCACAGAUUACAAGAAUGAUGUAGAUAAGAAUGCUUUUGAUGAUCAUAACCUUUUAUAAUGAGAUAUAGUGUAGUUUGGUCUCCAUUAAUAUGUAUUUAGAUUUCAAUUAUGUUCUGCAUAAUAUUAGCAUUGGUAGUAAAAUACAACUUAGUUUUGAAUAUUCCUUUGGUAGGAAACUAAGAAACAUAUACUUGAAUGUUUUCUUAUGAUGGUCUUUUUCUCCCUUAAAGGUUCUUAAAUGGGACUUCAAGAAUUGAUCAACAUUUAUAUUCACAGCCCUUUGAAAACAAUAUACCUAUAAAUGCCCCUUUUCUAAUAUUUUAUACUUUUGAGCUUUACUGUACAUGUGGAUCUCUGUUCAACCAUUUAUUCUUUUAAUCAUCGUGAUACUCCAUACUGGUUAUCCCUCCAGUAUGUUAAUUUUAUAAUCUAUAAUGUUGUGGUUGAUAUUUCAAUUCAACUUUUUACUUGUUUGGAAUGCUAAUCCUUUUGUAGUGGAUGAUGAUGACGAUGGACUAUGGAAGCCCUCAAAGAUUCCUAAUCCAGCAUACAAAGGACUGUGGAAACGCAAGGUUCUUAAUGCCACACAUUUAAAGUUGAAGUCAUUACUCUUUUAGGCUUUUUAAUUGUUGAAAAUUGUUGAACUGCAAUAUAUAUUUUAUAUAUAUAUAUAUAUAUAUAUAUUCUGUAAAAUGAAUUGCAGUUGAUCAUGAUUUUUACACAGUAGAGAAGGAUUACAUUAACAAUAUACUAUUUUAUUUUGUCAUUUUAUGGUUUAAUUGUAAAUUUGUGGUUUAAUUGUAUAUUGAUCAAUAUGUUUAAUUGUAGAUAAAUAAUCUAAUUAGUACUGAUUGACUUUACUUUUAACCUUUUAAUUUAUCAACUAAUAGUAAAAAAAAAAUAAUGCCAGUAUAAACUGAUUUUAAGCUAGUGUUCAUGUUAUGCACAAAGUCACAUAUGCAGAAUAAACUGCAUAAACUUGUAUAAACUGAUUUUAAGCUAGUGUUCAUGUUAUGCACAAAGUCACAUCUUGCAUUAUAUCUUGAAUUUCAUAAUAUAAUAUUAUUUUCAUUUAUUUUUUAAAAAUUGUCAAUUAACUCUAAAUAUAUUUUAAUUUAUUCGAGGCACGGGAUGUCGGAAGUGGUGCUCCUUCACCAAACCAGAAUAUUAUAAGAUCAAGUGGAGGCAAUAAGACAAAUCGGGAGGAUUGAGAGUUUAAUUGUAAUAUAUUCAAAAAAGUGAAACAAUUUAUAUUGAUAGUUUAAUUUACUUGUUGUUUGAAUUAGUUUGAUAUUAUCAACUUUGUUUUCAGCGAAUGAAUGAAGUCAUCUUUUGAUUAUAUUUAUCAAUUUUAAUUAUAUUAUUAAGUAUAAUUAUAUUAUGAAAUUAGUUUAUGUUACAAUUUAAUUAUAUUAAGAAAUUUAACUAUGCAUUGAAAUUUAAUUAUAAUAUCAAAUUAAAUAAUAUUAUGAAAUCAAAUUAUAAAACAAAAUUGAAUAAAUUAUUAUAAAUAUUAAAAAUUAAAUUAAAUAUUUAAUACUUUAAUUAUGACAGUUAUAAAGGGUAUUAUAAAUGUCAUACUAUAUCAUAUUAAGUGGCGUUUAUAACUAUCAUAAUUUAUGCUAGAAUUGGUUUACCCAGUUUUAAAAUUACAACAUUUAUAAUUGACGUAAAUUACACACUUAAAACCAUCACUUUAUACAAUACAUUAUAUGACGUCUGCUCCAACGGUUCUCACUUGACUGCCACAUUAAACUUUGUGGCAGCAAGAAUUCUGGCGGUACGCGAGACCGUCACAGACGUAUAAUGUGACGGUUAUAAACGCUAGGUUUUAUGAAAAUAACCUCCACAACAUACACGUUUUUUUGUAGUGUCUCUAGAAAGAGGUUUUGUAAAAUUAUUAGCAAGUUGUUUUUUAGUUUCAAUAAACUUAAUUUCACAAUUACCAUUUAGAACAUGAUGACGAAUGAAAUGAAACCUAAUCUCAAUGUGCUUUAUUUUGGAAUUUUGAAUUUGAUUCUUUGCGAGAUUUGAUGGCAUUAGUAUUGUCACACAACAAUGGCAAUUUGCUUAGCUUUAAACCAUAAUCUUUAAGUUGUUGUUGGAUCUAGAAGAUUUAUGCACGACAGCUUCCAACAACAACCACACAAGCUUGUUUCUUGUUGUGCCAGGCGAUAAGACUAGAACCAAGUACGUGAUAUGUACCACUUAUGCUUUUCCUGUAUAAAUUACACCUUGUAAAAUCUGAAUCAAAAUAUCCAAUAAGAGUUAUAAGAGAGUUAGAAGGACACUAUAGACUAACAAUGUUUGUUCCUUUGAUAUAUUUAAGGAUUUUUUUAGCAGUAGUGAUGUAAGAUUCCUUAAGAUUUGUUUGGAAUCUUGCACACAUUCAUGCAUCAAACAUGAUUUUUAGUUUGCUUGUAGUGCGGGAGAGAAGGAAUCCAAUCAACCCUAUAAACUUGGUUUGAUCUACAUAUUUUCCAACCAGAUCAACAUCCAUGUAACAACUUGUUGACAUAGGUGUUGUAGCUUUUUUUGCAGUUUUCCAUUUCAAACAUCUUCGAAAUGUCCCUACAUUAUUUAGUUUGACUCAAAAAGAUGCAUUCUUCAUUUGUUUGACCUGCAGUCCAAGGAAGUAUGACAAUUCUCUCAUCAUGGACAUCUCAAACUCCCUCUACAUAGCUGAUACAAAUUCUUCACAAAGGUUAUCGUUAGUGGCUCUAAAGAUUAUGCCAUCAACAUACACUUGAACUAGGAUAAUAUCAUAUAUACACUUUGUAGUGAAAAAAGUCUUUUCAAUUUUUCCUCUCUCAUAUUCAUGAGAUAAGAGAAAAUUGCUAACCCUCUCAUACCACUGUCGAAGGUCUUGCUUCAGUCCAUACAAAGCUUUUUUAAGUUUGAAGACAUGAUCAGGAUGCUUAUGAUCUUCAAAGCCAGGAGGUUGAAAGGCAAAGACUUCUUCAUUGAUAAAACCAUUCAAAAAAAUGCUUUUUACAUCAAACUGAAAGAGUUUAAAGGCACCUCAUACAUGCAAAGGAAAUCAACAAUCUUACAACUUCUAAUCUUGCUAUAGGGGCAAGUGAGAUGCAGUCCAAUCUUGUGGUUGAUGAAUUGAUUGGAGUGGCACCGGAAUUGAAUUGAAGCAAGUGCAACAAAAUGGAGAUGAGGUGCAAGGAUUCAUGAGAUUGAAGGUGCAAUGAAGGGGAAAGAGGUUUGGCCAACCUUCCCUAGGUUCACUAGGCCUAAUAGACUCACUAACAAGAGUGGUUUGGGAGAGAAUGAGUACUCAAGUUCUGAACUCUUCAUUCAAUAUAUGAAAAUUUGAAUACAUGAGUGAAAAUUAGGGUAUUUAUAGAUGAAUGUAGUUUGCUCCUUAAGCUACCAUAACUCUAGUUAAGUAGACUUAACUAAGGUAAGUAUGGUGGCUUAAGGAAGUCGUAUAUGGUCCUUUGAGAUGCUCUAGGAGCUCUUACUUGUGUGAUAAGUUAGGACUUCUAGAGUGUCUUUGUUUCAUUUAUAAAGUAAACGUGAAAAGAAACCAAAAUACAAUUCCUAUACAGGUUUAUUCUAGUAUUUCUACAGACAGUUUAUCUAUCCUUUAUUCUUGUGUAUGGUGGCUUGAAUGAUCCUCCAUCAAGCUCCCUCCCUUCAAAAGGAUAUAUCCUCAGAUCAGGUUUAAAGUCCCACCUUUAUUAGUAAUGAGUGAAGUCAAGAUCCACCUGGUUCAUGGAUCCACCUGAAAACGAUAACAAACAUAAGUAGAAUGCAAAAGAUUAAAGGUUGAUAGAUAUGUAAACCAAAAACAAAGUAAUUUGUAUGGUACCUUUCUUAUGGUUCUUAUUACCUAAAGAAGGUAAAUGAAACACCACAAGAAAUGGAGAAAACAAUGUAGAAUAAGAAGAAAUAAAAUAGGAAGAAGAAUUACCUCGAUUAGGUGAUACAAAUAUACAAAUUAUAUUUUGUGUCGGGGUAAAAUAGUUAUAUGAUUUAUGUGGUGUUUUUAGUAUUUGUACCUCAUGAAGUUUUCGAAAUUAUUGAUCUUUUUUUUUUUUGUAUUACCAGAAAAUCUUCAGAAGGGUGUGUUGAGGAAUCUAUGCUUUUGUCUGGUUCAGCUCCAAACAGAUAUUUUUCAAAAGUCAAUUGUGUUUGUAGUUGGUUUCCACUAUGUGAAGGUAUUGAAAAACUAACAACAAACCUAUUUCCUCUAUAAGUGAAAGGAAUUUUAUUAAAACGACCUUGGAAAACAAAUGUACUGUAAAAAUAUUUAGAUUAUUCUAAUAAAAUUUCAUGAGCUUCUUUAGGCACCAUGAGACAUAAAACUUUUUUUAAUCAUAAUAACCCAAAGAAGGUUUGGCUUCCACUUGUAUGAAAGGAAAACCAUCAUUUGAAAGGAAAAAAAAGGUUUAUAAGAUGGAAAGGGGUAUUUAUGUUGUAUUUCAACAUUUGAAUAAACAAAGGUAUAAAUUGAUAAUUAUCCAUAAGAGAAAACCUUUGAAAAAUUUGACAAGUAUGAUGAAAAUUAUUUUCUCUAUGGAUAGUAUUAAGGUGAUUAACAUUUUUAAACAAAAUAUUUGAAUCAAGGAAAGAGUCAUUGGAAAUUAUAUGAACAAUGCUAUUGCUAGACUCCACUCCUUUCAGCUUAAUAUUAAUCAACUCUUCAGAAGAUAGCUCUAUUGCUUGCUUUUGAUUUCCUAGGUUUGGAGGAGGUUAUAUUAUUGGUGUAUUUAUAAUAUGAGGUACUUCCUUUUGAUUUUCUAUGGAUACUACAAAAAAUGUAAUAUAUGGUGGCAGUUAUUUUCGUAUAAACUGACGUUUAUAAAAGCCAAAAUAUAUGCGUGUGGCGGUUUCCCAAACCACCAUAGAAUUGGCCACCACAAAGUUUGAUGUGGCGGUCUUACGCUACCUGCCGCAACACCCACCACUUUAACACUUUGUUUAAAGUGACAGUUUUUAUAUGAAAGUAGUGUUAGUCAUACUUGUCACAAUUUAAUUCAUUGAAAAAGAUUCCAGCACCAUUAUAUAUAGGGUAUAAUUUGACGUUUUUAAUUAUCAAUACUAUAAUAAAAUUGUAAAAAUAAUAUGUUGAUUUCAACUAACGUAAUUUUAAUUCUAAAUAAAUGGAAUUUAUGCACCACUUUUUAUAAUCUGGUUUGCACAAUUAAACUAAACAUAAUAUAUUUCAUAAUAAAAAAAUAAAAUGCUAAUAAAAUGAAGGUUUAAUUACCUUAUUCGUCCCUACAUUUCAGGUCAAUAUUCAAUUUAGUACAGUGGUUUUUAAAAAAAUCAAUUUGGUUCCUAUAUUUUUUAAAAUGUAUCCAAAUUGGUCAUUUCCGUUAAAUCACAUUUCCGUUAAUUCUUCUUCUUCUUCUUCUUCUUCUUCUUCUUCUUCAUAAAAAACUUCGUACCCGAUAAUGCCAAGAUCAUCAAAGUCGAGUGCAUGUUGGUUGAUGUCGAGAACAUAUAGUUUGGUGCAUCUAGGUUGAUGCCAAGAAGAUCUAGGUUGAUGUUGAGGACAUCUAGGUUGAUGUUUUGUUUUGACAUCGUGGUUGAUAUAAAUUCGAGUGCAUAUUGGUUCAUGGCGAGAAUAUCUAGGGCGAUGCUGAGAACAUCAAGGUUGAUGUCGAGAACAUCUAGGUUGAUGUUUUGCUUUGACAUCAUGGUCGAUGUAUAGUCGAAUGCAUGUUCUUUCAUGCCAAGAACAUCCAGGACGAUACCAAGAACAUAUAGAGUGAUGUCAAGAACAUAUAGGGUGAUGUUAAGAAUAUCUAGGUUCAUGUUUUGCUUUGACAUCAUGGUCGAUGUAAAGUCGAGUGCAUGCUAUUUCAUGCCACGAACAUCCAAGUCGAUCAUAAGAAUAUCUAGGCUAAUGCCAAUAACAUCUAAGUUGAUGUUUUGCUUUGACAUUUUGGUCGAUGUAAAGCCAAAUGCAAGAUGUUUCAUGCUGAGAACAUCUUGGUUGAUGCCGAGAGAAUCUAGGUUGAUGUUUUUCUUUGAAAUUGGGAUCGGUGUAAAGCCGAGUGCAUGUUGGUUCUUGCUAAGAAGAUCCAGGCAGAUGCCAGGAACAUUUAGGUUAAUGUUUCGCUUUGAAAAUGUGGUCGAUGUAAAGUCGACUGCAUGUUGGUUCAUUCAGAGAAGAUCCAAGCCAAUUGUGAGAACAUCUAGGCUAAUGUCGAGAAUAUCUAGGUUGAUGUUUUGCUUUGACAUUAUGAUCGAUGUAAAGCGGAGUGCAUACCUUUUCAUGCCGAGAACAUCUAGAUUGAUGUCGAGAACAUCUAGGUUGAUGUUUGGUCUUUGCAUCUUGGUUGAUGCAAGUAUUCGAGCGUGUUGGUUCAUGUUGGCCGAGAGCUUCUUGGUUAAUGCUUGGCCCUUGCAUCUUGGUUGAUGCAUGCCUUUGGGCGUGUUGGCUCACACUGCACUCUUGGUUGAUGCUUUGCAUCUUGGUUUAUGCAAAUCUUCAAGCAUGUCGGUUCACACUGGCUGAGAGCAUCUAAAUUGACUUUUGACUUUUGCAUCUUGGUUGAUGCAAAUCUUCAAGCGUGUCGGUUCAUGUUGGUCAAUAGCAUGUCGUUUGACGUUUAGCCUUUGCAUCUUGAUUUAGCAAAAUCUUCAAGCGUGUUGGUUCAUGUUGGCCAAGAGCAUCUCAGUUUAUGCUUGAUCUUUACAUUUUGGUUUAUGCAAGUCUCAAGCAUGUCGAUUUACGUUGGUAGAGAGAAUCUUAGUUGAGGCUUGGCUCGAAUAUUGAUAUUUGGCUCUAAGAUUCUUGGAAAAAAAUUUCAUUGGGUGCCUCAUUAAAACCUUCUCGGCUAAAACCCCUUAAAAAAAAAAGGCCGAGUGAGAAAAUAGUACACUGUGGUGGUUACAUUACAAGUGGAAUAACUCAAUGAAAAUAAAAUUUCAAGUGAGUAGCAUUUCAGGUACUCGACAUUGUCUUGCCGGAUAAAUGUUCUAGCAUGUAAGCUUCAUUCUUGGCUUCGUUACAGAUCCAAAAAGGUCCCUCCCAGUUGGUCGAGGGUUUUCCAUCAAUUUUUUCCUUGCACCAUUGUGCAUCUGCUAGACGAUAUCACCUUGAUUAAAGGCUGUUGACUUUACCUUUGAAUUGUAACUUCUCAACAUCCUCUUUUGUAGUUUGUCUCUUUUCAUCCCCUAAUUUUCUCUCUCAAUAUCACCUUGAUGUCAGCCUACUUCUCAACCUUUUUCUUCUUCGGGACCAUCUUGGCUCGAGAAUUGUUUCCAAACUCACGCAAAACUUCCCACUGAGGUGGUGAGGUUGAUUUAUCGCGAAUUACGUCCCUAACUUGGCCAUCAACGUCUCAAAGUAGUCAAUUGACAAAGAGGGGAGUUGGGUAAACAAAUUGAGGGCUUCUCCAUUCAGGUACAUUAAGAGGACUCGAAACAUGACGAUGUCGUCCAUGGUGUAUAGGCUCAUCUGCGUCGUGUAACAUCGAUGUGCUCAUCGAGAUCAAUUGUUUCAUCAUAUUUGUUUGUGCUUAAUCCUUUCUAGCUUGCGGGCAAUUGGACUACCAUUAUCCCAUCAAUGAAGGGGUGUCGGCAAACUCCCCCAAGUGUUCCAGAAAUAUGGGUCGUAGUGUUUGGCCUGGAUUCGGCCUUCUGGCUACGAACGUUUAACGAUCGAAUUAUGAUGGAUGGGAAUGUCAAUGGGUUAGCUUUGGAAGUAUAUCCUGAUCAAAUUCAUUGUUGUGGGGGUGUAAGUGACCCCUCAACUAACUUCUUUCUCAUCUCCCCAUUCUCCUGCGAGAGAGCUCAUAUUUCUUCUAUGUUUUUUCACUUCAUUUUUGCAAUCUUGCUCCGAAGGACCAAAAGUAGAGCUACACGAUCAUUCUCCAUUGUCAUUCUUUGUUCGUUAGUGUUAUUUGUCGUAGUUACCAUAAAGUCUUCUCAGUCCUCCUCGAUCUCAUGAUAGACGUCAAUUGUUCUUGUAUGGAUUAGAAAGAUCUCGUCACUAUAGUGUGAAUAUUUCCUUAUGCAUGUCUUCUAUGUGAAAACAUAACAUUUCAUGCGAAUAUUUCCUUAUGCACAUCUUCUAUGUGAAAACAUAACAUUUCAGAUGUAACUAUUAUUUACUUUUAAAUUUGUUAAACCUUCUUUUGAGCCAUCAACACUACACUCUAAUAUCAUAUGUUAAAAUACUCUGAUAUCAUAUGUUAAAUUUGGUGUGAUAAUGUAAAAAAUAAUAUUCAAUGAAAAGUACUUUAAAUAUAAGUUAGUAUUACAAAUAAUAAUGUCAUUUUAAAAGAAUAUUCAAAGACAAUUUAUAUGUAUAUCCUCCUCUUUUAGGUUAUCCUUGUAAUCUCUUAACAAUAUUUUAAUAAUAUUUUUCUUAAUGUAGAUAAAAAUUAUAUAUAAAAUAGUUAGAAAGACUAAAAUUCUUAAUAUCAAUUAAUACUUGAAUUCUUUAUUUAAGAUAAAAUAAAGGGAUAAUUAUGAAUAAUUUUAUAUAUUUAUUAUAAAUUAAAAAUAACAUUACAAAUAUCUGUAUAAUCAAUUGGAUCAUAAAGAGAUCCUCUAAAUUUUUUUUAAAAAAAUUAAACAUAACUUAAAUUGAUUGAAGUUAAAUAAUAUAAAAAUAAUAAGUUUUUUUUUUCUUUAACAAUCACUACAAGAAAAAUUCAAUUUAUCUACAAAAGAGAUUCAAAGCCAAGUCUCCCUGGAAGAAGCUUUAACCAUAACACCAGUCAAGUUUUGUUGUCAUGUUAUGAUUAUUAUUAUACUUAUGAGUAUAAUUAUAAAUAUUAAUAUAACUAAUAAAAUAAAAAUUAAUAACAUUCUUCAUAUAUUUAAUAUCAUUAUUAUUAAUAUUGUUAAAUAUUCUUAAUAUUAUUAAAUAUUCUUAAUAUUAUUAAAUAUUCUUAAUAUUAUUAAAUAUUCUUAAUAUUAUUAAAUAUUCUUAAUAUUAUUAAAAUUCUUAGUAUUAUUAAAUAUUAUUAAUAUUAUAAAAUAUUAAAUAUUAUUAAUAUUAUAAAAUAUAAAAUAUUAUUAAUAUUAUAAAAUAUUAUUAAUAUUAUUAAAUACUAUUAAAUAUUAUUAAUAUUAUAAAAUAUUAUUAAUAUUAUAAAAUAUUAUUAAUAUUAUAAAAUAUUAUUAAUAUUAUAAAAUACUAGCGGGCACACAGGCACUUUCGCGCAUGUGUAUCCGCAUUUUUUAUUUUUAUAUAAUUAAAUAUAAAAUUUAAUCAAAUUAAAUAAUAUAUUAUUAUUUGUGUUAAUUUUUUAUUACUUAUAUUUAUAUUUAUUUUUAAUUAAAUAUGUUUAAAAUAAGAUAAAUAAAAGAGAUAAAAUAUGAAAAAAAUUAGCAAUACACAAUUUCAGAAUCUCAACAUUAGGGUUUUUGAAGCAUUGAAGAGACGGAAGACCUGGUGAAGUGGCGGUGAUGAAAUAUUGAGGAGACGAAAGAACAACAAUACAGUUUCAGAAUCUCAAAAUUAGGAUUUUUGAAAACAUUAACAUGUUUUUAUAUUAUUUCUCUCUCACAGUUCUCUUAUAUAUCACUCUUUGAGAAUCUCAAAAUUAAGAUUUUGGAGGAUUUUGGAGACAUAUGUUUUUAUAUUAUUUCUCUUUCACAGUUUUUUUAUAUAUCACUAUUUUGCUUAAAAAAGAGUAACCGUCCAUAAAUCCACAUUUCACCCCUCUCUCCCCACUCUUCCCUAAUAAAAAUCUCUCCACUUUCGUGUCAGUUAAGUGAGAACAAAUAAAAUAAAAUUUUAAAAUUAAAAAUAUGCUUAUUUAAUAAAGAAGAAUAUCAGUUUAAAAUAGAAAAGUAAUCAAUCUCUCCACUCUUCUGCCAGUUAGGUGAUAACAAAAAAUAAAAUUAACGUAUCAAUCUCUCCAUUAAGUGAGAACAAAUAAAAUAUUUUACUUCCAAAUGAUACUCACAAAAAAAUGGAUCUUUAACAAUAAAAGAUUUUCAUCUAUGACAUCAAAAUAUAUUAAUUUUUUCAAAAUAAUAUUAAUAAAUUAUUAUAAAAGAACCAACAGAAAGAAAAAAAGAUAUUUUGAAAAUAUUAUUAAUAUUAUUAAAUAUUAUUAUUAUUAUUAAAUAUUAUUAUUAUUAUUAAAUAUUAUUAUUAUUAUUAUUAUUAUUAAAUAUUAUUAUUAUUAUUAUUAAAUAUUAUUAAUAUUAUUAAUAUUUUUAAAUAUUAUUAAUAUUAUUAAUAUUUUUAAAUAUUAUUAAUAUUAUGAAUUAUGAUUUUAUAAUUCUUCAUAUUAUAUUAAUGUUUUUAAUAUUAGGUAAUAGAGAUCCGUGGGUGAUAAUUCGUAGGUAAUAGAGAUUCGUGCGUAAUAGUUGGUAGGUAAUAGAUAGUAGGUAAAAAUUGGUAGGCAAUAAGAUCCAUGGAUAAUAGUUGGUAGGUAAUGGUGAAAUUACCUACGGAAUCAGAAUCUGUGGGUAAUGUCCGUAGGUAAUGUUGUUCAUAGGUAAUAUCUGUAGGUAAUGUUGAAUUUACCUACGGAUUCAGAUCCGUGGGUAAAAAUCCGUAGAUAAUACUAAUUUUUUUUGUAGUAAAUUAAAAUUGUAUAAAAAAGUUUUAUCUUCACAAAUCUUGCAAAAAAAUCUUCCAAAAGUUGUUUUCUAAACUAAUAAAAUGAUAUAUUCAAUGAAAAGUACUUAUAAAUAUAAGUGACUACUACAAAUAAUAAUGUCAUUUUAAAAGAAUAGUCAAGACCCUUUGUGUUUAUAUCCUCCUCUUUUAAGUUAUCCUUUUAAUCUCUUAACAAUAUUUUUUCUUAAUGUAGAUAAAAGUCAUAUAUAAAAUAGCUAGAAAGGUGAAAAGUCUUAAUAUCAAUUAAUAGUUCGAGAUCUUUUAUUAAUUUGUUAAGCAAAUUACAAGUGUCAGAGUCUUAUGAAAUAACAUUAAUAAUACAUAAUGAAACAUUUAAUAUAGUUACCUUCAUAAAUUUAUCUGCCGACAUAAAUUGUAUCCGAGAGAUUGCCGAUAAGAUGAUAUUAUGAAAAAGAAGGUCAAUGAAGGAAUUAAACGGCUCCAAAAUGAGUGUUCAACACAAAUUAUCAAAUGAAAAAAAAAAUGUAAAAAGGUACUACAACCUUAUUUAUAUUAGUAAACGUUAUGUCUAGCCAACAAAUAUUAGGAGUCCGUUUUUUAGUAUCAUUUAUUUUUUUAAAAGUAAAGAUAUAAAUAGUAUCGGAAGCUCUAGAUAAACAGAUAUGUGUUUUAAUUUAUUAAACCUUAAUUGAAAGAAAUAAACUUAUUAAAAAAGGAGGCUCCAUAACCAAACUAAACUUAAUUUAUAAAAAUCAAGAACAUAUAAAUAUGUUAAAUAAAAACACAAAUAAAAGUUCCCAAUGUUCAAAAAAUAGUAAAAAUAGAAAAAUAAUUUUUGAAACCAAACUUUUGUUGGAAUAGAAAAUAGGCGUCUUCACAUACAAUUAUUUUUAUAAAUUGCCAAUAAUACUUUUAAAAGUAAUUAAUAUUGUAAAAUAAAUUGAAAUAAACUCUUAGAGAGUGCUCUUGUUUUAGUUUUCUGAGAAUUACAAUUAAUUGUCCACGGAUAAUAUAUAAAUAGAGAGAAAAUGAGCGUGUGUUAUUCUUCAUAUUUCUUUGGUUUCCCUUUUCUAUCAUAUAAUAACUUAGACCCACCUCAUUUAAUAUCUCUUUAUAUACAUUGAGACUUAUACUAAAAAAUAUAGUAAAUACUUUUGGCGUUUGUGAGAAGAAAUACAUGGCUAGACACUUUGUUGUUGUUGUUGUUGAUGGUGGUGAUGCAAAUGAAGGUUUGGUGCUCCACUCUCCACCUAUACUUUUGUUUCUCAUGAUUAUUGCCUCUCUUUCUAUGAUUUCAAUCAUCAUAUUUGCCUGUGGAGACGACAACAACAAUAGCAACCGCCGCGGUGGUGCCUGCGCUGGUGGCGGCGGUGGAUAUGGCGGCGGUGGAUGUGGCGGUGGAGGUGGAUGUGGAGGUGGAGGUGGAUGUGGAGGAUGUUAGAAGCUAUCUAUAUGCAAAGUGCAUGGCAGAGUGCACUUUACCGGUAUUCUUGGUGACGGUCUCUUGUUUUCGUUCUUUAUCAUUGUUUUAUACACAGUCUUAGGGAAUAAAUAUCAUUAUGAAGUGCAGCUUUAAGGUUCUGAUAUAUAUAUCCACUAAGAGACCUUAAACAUGUCUUUUCAUCAGACACUGUCUUUUCUCUCUCUGUUAAAAUCAUCUAUUAAUAUUAUGAAACUUUUUCAUGUUGUAUAAUGAAAAUGUAUAUAUUAAAAGUUACUAUUCCGAUCCAAAUAAGAGAAACUUUCAUCUCAGAGUUGUAAUAACCAAGUGUUUUCAAGACACCUUUAGAAAAAUAAAAUUGACAUGUUUUUCAGUAGAUUGAGCAUAUUGAACUGGAACAAGAUGUUCUUUAAAACAAAUUCAAAGGUAUUAAUAUUAAUCUGCAUGAAAUCUUGCACAUGCCAACAGAUAAACAAAAAUAGUACAAAAGAUAAAAUAAAUAAACCAUAUAUGAAGAAGAAGGAAAUACCAAAAUAAGUUUAAAACAAUUAUUUUCUAUUUCUAUUAUUUAUUUUACUUAGUGUAAGGAUUAGGAUUAAGUUAGCCAUUAAGUUGCUCUAAAUUUCCUCUUUCGUAUUUACUUAAUCUAAAUUUAUUUUUAUUUUUAAUUUAAUGACUCUAAGACGUAACUUUUUAAUCGUCAGAUUAAAGAAAAUAAAAAACUAUUUUACCCAUAAAAUGCUCACAAAUUAUUUUAUUAAAAUUAUUGUUUGGACUUCGUCAUUUAAUAUUAUAGGAAUAAACUAAAAAUAAAAUUAAGGGAAUUAAACAAUAUAAUUUAAGAACAAAAUUUAAGUGAUUAGAGGUUGUAAUAUAUAUAUAUAUAUAUAUAUAUAUAUAUAUAUAUAUAUAUAUAAAAGAUAACAUUAGAUUAAUUUGUGUGAUUUUUUUUUAUCAGUAAUGAAUAAAUAAAUUAAAAUGAUACUUUAGGGGUAUCCCAACUCUUAUACAUGACUCGACACACCAAUGUAACCCAUCAAGAUAUACAGAUAGUAGAAGGAAUUACUUUGCCUCUAGAUAAAUGAAAAUCAAGAUAAAGGUUGUUAAGCCAAUAUGAUCCAUCUGUAUAAGCCAAUUUGUGUUGAAUCUAAUAUGAUGUAAUGCAUAGAUAAGCUAUAUUUGAAAGAUAUAUUAUUAAAAAUUAAAAAUAAAAAUAAGUAUUAAUGUAAUUGAAAUUUAUUAAAACAUUAUUGUUUUUUCAAAAAUCAUUUCACAAUUAAAAAUAUUUAAUAUUCCCAACCAUUCUCAAUUUCAAUAAAAUAGUUUAAAUAGAUCAUUUAUUAUUAUUUCAAAAGAAUAAAAAACUCAAAAAAUAUUAAAUUAUUUAUUAAAAUCACCUUCAAUCAUGGGAAAUUAUGGCCAAAUGGGAUGGGGAAGGGACUAAGAAGAUUCAAUGUAAAUUGUGGCUAUAAUACAAAUUAAUCAAUCAAUUAAUAUUUAUAGUCCAGUAUGGACUAUUUUCACAUGGGUGUUACGUCCUAAAAAAUACAUUUCAAUGUGUUCAGAAACUAUAUAUUUUAAUUCUAAAGGUCAUUUUGAACAAAUAUCUUUAUAAGGUGGUUGAAACUAUAAAUGAGGAAAUAUUUAGGAAUUUACAAAUAAUAUAUUACUUUCAAUAUGUUCAAAAACUAUAUAUUUUAAUUCUAAAGGUCAUUUUGAACAAAUAUCUUUAUAAGUGGUUGAAACUAUAAAUGAGGAAAUAUAUAGGAAUUUACAAUAAUAUAUUACUUUCAAUAUGUUCAGAAACUAUAUAUUUUAAUUCUAAAGGUCAUUUUGAACAAAUAUCUUUAUAAGGUGGUUGAAACUAUAAAUGAGGAAAUAUUUAGGAAUUUACAAAUAAUAUAUUACUUUCAAAAUGUUCAAAAACUAUAUAUUUUAAUUCUAAAGGUCAUUUUCAACAAAUAUCUUUAUAAGUGGUUGAAACUAUAAAUGAGGAAAUAUAUAGGAAUUUACAAUAAUAUAUUACUUUUCUUUAUAAUAUAUAUAUAUAUAUAUAUAUAUAUAUAUUUGUUCUUGUAAAAAAAAGAUUGAGAGAACUUCUACAUGAUGAUUUACGCUCCAGUUGAUGAAUCUUUUUUAUUGUAUUAAACAAAUCAAACUGUUUCACUCUCUCUUCUUCUAUCUUCAUUGCUUCACUUCAGUUAAAUUUUCAUUUUCUAUUUUGCUCUUGGUCAGAAUAAUACCUGUAAAAGGUGCUCCAACACUCAAGUAAAUAUUCAGUGUAAUUAAUGCAUGAUAAUGACAUGUGAUGAGAAUAAAAAAUACAUGAAGAUGACCAAGGAUGCUAUACUUGAAGGGUCAUCUCAACAAGCAAAUAAAGAGGCCAUCAAUAGGAGGAAUGGUCAAGGACCACAAUAUUUGAAGUUCUUCCUAUUAGUCUUCUUAAAAAGAUGAGGCCCAAGCCCAACAAGAGGCCCAAGCCCAACAUGAAGGCCAAGCCCAACAUAAGGCCCAAGCUCAAGUCAUAACUCAAAGAACUACUAGGAGCAAGGGCACAAGCAUUAAAUAAAUGAGCAUCAUUUGAUGACUCUUCUUAUUUCUCUUGUAUAGUUGUAGGUGGUGUGGUUAUUAAAUAAAGGAGUGUGAAAAUGAAAAAUAAAGUCACAUUGUCCAUGUGACUUAGGAGAGUGGUGUAGGUGUAGUUUUUGGGAGGUGUCAUAGUAGAAAAAGGUCACACCUCCCAUGUGACUUGUUUUUGGUGGGAAUUUCAAAUGAGUUUAUUUGAAAUUUCCCACCUAUUUUUCAGCACCUCUAGGCUAUAAAUAAAGGUGCUUAGCUUGUACAAUUCAGAUUGGAAUUUUGAAGUAGAGAGACUAUACUCAAAUUUAGAGAGAAAUUGUGAGUCUUGAGUCUUCUUCUUCCUUUGCCUUAUCUUGUGAGCAAUGGUGAGCUUCAAGUGGCGGCACUCCAUCACUUAUCUUGGAUCAAGACUCCAAGUGGCGUGAAGUGUUCUUCCAAGUCUCAAUUUCAGCAAGUUCCAUUCUAUAAAGUGCUUCUUCUUCCUUUUCUUCAAUUUUCAUUCGGUAGUUCUUAAUUUCCUAGUAUUUCCUUUCAUUUGCACCGAUUAAGAUUUGUGUUUCCAGCUUUGUUUCCUUGAUUCUGUUCGGUUCAGUAGCUUAGCAUUUCAAUUCUAUCCAACUUUCAAUUCUUGUUCUUCAUUCCUUGUUGUUUGAUUCCAUUUGACAAUAUAUGGACUUCCAUAUGAGCUUUGGUUGGUGCAAAGUCUUGGUGAGUUCUUGAAUUAGAACAUUGAUCCAAUUCUAAGUAAAGUGCCAUUCAUGACCAACUCAAGUUGCUCCUAAGAAUGUCAAAGAAUCAUGUAUUCUUGUUGUUGCAUUCACAUCAUGUGGUAUCUAGAGUCUAGGCUUGUUGUUGCUUAAAUUUUGAGUUGUAUUGCACUUUACUUUCAAGAGCUCUUUAAUUCAAGUUGUUUACCAUUCUGUUUUAGGAUUUAUUUUGAGUUUCCUUGCUGUUUUUCUUUUGUUACACCAAGUGUUUGUGAAAAGGAUUAUGGCACUCAUUGCUUGUAUGAGUAUGGCUGCUCUUGUGGAAUGACAUUCUCCUUCCUAGAGCUGACCUUAAGCUUCCUUUCACUUGUUGCUAUAUCUUGUUUUAUGUCUUUUAAUUUUGUAAUCAUGUCAAGUUUUGUCUUAGUCAUGUUAUUCCAUAAUUGUCAUUACUUUUUGUAGUACUUUUAUUGCUUUGAUUGUUUCUUGCUUUGGUUUACUUUCUGUUUUUGAGUUUAUUGCUUGAUCCUUUGUGCAUUUUCAUUUUUAGAUUUGAGUUCAUGCCUGUAUUUUCAUUCUAUACAAGUUCCUUUACAUACUUUCCAUUAUGUCUUUGUUAGUUCAUCAUACUGUUUUUCAUUCCUAAAUAGGCUCCUCUGUUUUCUUACAAAUGUGUUACUGUUUUCAAUUUACUGCAAUUAAUUGGCUCAUGGGAAAUUUGUGAAAAUUUGGAUUUACAUUCUUCAAAGUGUUACAAAAGCAUAGAAAAAAGAAUUACUCAAAAAUUCCAAGUACACAAAAAAUGAUAAAUAAAAUACGAACAGUGUACAAUUCUGCAGAAAAAAUACGGUAAUCUGGCAGCGAUUUUGAAAAAUUUAUUUCUCUCAAUUGGCUUACUAUUUUUACCUCAUUCCAGUGCCAUUAUUGAGUUGAGACAUUCAAGUUUCUGUGGUUAAUUUUUCACAUUCCAGUUCGCUUUCAAUCAGUACAGUUAAAUCUGUAAACAUAGCACAGUUUGCAUAAAAAAAGAAUUUUUUUUUCCAGUAGCUGUUUUCUGUUUUCUUCAAUCUACUCUAGCACUUUUCUUUAGGACUCUUUUUGUGUGCCUUCUUUAUUCAUUGAGUUCCUUAUUUUCUUGAUUGGCUUUCAUUCAUAUUCUUUUCAAGUUGUCAUACAUUACUCUCUGUUUUUUNNNNNNNNNNNNNNNNNNNNNNNNNNNNNNNNNNNNNNNNNNNNNNNNNNNNNNNNNNNNNNNNNNNNNNNNNNNNNNNNNNNNNNNNNNNNNNNNNNNNNNNNNNNNNNNNNNNNNNNNNNNNNNNNNNNNNNNNNNNNNNNNNNNNNNNNNNNNNNNNNNNNNNNNNNNNNNNNNNNNNNNNNNNNNNNNNNNNNNNNNNNNNNNNNNNNNNNNNNNNNNNNNNNNNNNNNNNNNNNNNNNNNNNNNNNNNNNNNNNNNNNNNNNNNNNNNNNNNNNNNNNNNNNNNNNNNNNNNNNNNNNNNNNNNNNNNNNNNNNAAAAGGCAGCUCUCAUGGAAGAUUUAAAAAAUGUUAGACAAUCAAAUGCACAACAUGUGAUAUUGCCUUAUGUUCAAAGUGUUAAAGUACCUAGCUUUAGUGGUAAUAGUGAUCCUAAUGUCUAUUUAGAUUGGGAGGCUAAAUGUGAACAAAUUUUCAAAACCUAUGGGGUCUAUGAAGACCAAAAGGUGAAAAUAGCCUCUUUAGAAUUUUUAGAUUUUGCCAAGAAAUGGUGGCAUAGCAUUGUAAUGGACAUUGGAUAUCACAAGAGACCUCCCGUGGUUUCUUGGAAUGAUUUGAAAGAGUGUAUGCGCGCGAGGUUUGUUCCUCCUUAUAGGAAGGAACACUUGUUGAAGUUCCAAAGGCUUCAUCAAGGACAUAGGAUGGUAGAUGAAUAUUUUCAAGAAUUUGAAACAUCUUUGAUUAAAAUGAAUUUGCAUGUUAAUGACGAAUCAAAGAUAAAAUGGUUUGUAAGUGGUUUAAGAAGAGAAAUUAAAGAUUUGGUAAAACUACAUGAGUAUACUUCUUUAAAGAAAGUGUUUCACUUAUGAUGAGAGUCAAGUAAAGGAGGUUUUUAUUAAUGAAGGAAGAGGCAAUUCACCAUCACACUUGAAGUUCUUCCUUCUAGUCUUCUCAAAAUUAAAAGAAGACAUAAAAUAAAGAGAGGCCCAAGCCCAAGCCCAAACCCAAGUCCAUCCUAUGAAGGGCAAGGCCAAGUAUUAAAUAAUAAAGAAUAUUGUUGAAGGUGCUUAGAGGGAAACAUUAGAAACCUCUAUUGUUAAAGCAUCUUUUAGUCUUUAGUUAGGAGUCUUAGGGGGGGGGGGUGUGUUAGUAGAUAGGUGUAGGAGUAGAAAAGGAGGUGCCAAAGUGAAGGAAGAGGUCACACCUUCCUCAUGCAUUGUUUUAGGCGCCAAUUCUAGAAGCUUUUUAGGAGGGAGUUUUUGAAUUUGUGUAGCUUGCAUUUCAGCACCUUAGGCUAUAAAUAGAGGUGCUCCCUUUGUAAAAUUCAGAUUGGAAUUUAUCUAAAGAAACUAUACUCAAAAUUGGAGUGAGCAUUGGAGAGCUUUUGAGCCUUCUUCUCUAGUCUUAUCUUGAAGGAUCCAUGGUGUCCUCAAGUGGCGACAGCACACUCAUCUAGGAGCAACCACACUUCUAGUGGCGUGAUCAUUCAUCAUACAUCCAUCUUCAUGAGCAAUUCUCUUCUCCUUCCUUUCUUCUUUGUUAAUUCCUUGUCCUAGCUUGUUUCCUUGUUGUUUUUGGUUCGGCAUUUUCAGAUUUAAUUUGUGUAGCUUCGGUUCUUUUAUGUUCCUUGCUGUUCUUCAUCUUAUUCUCUUCUUUUUCCAGCUUUUGUUCGGUUCAAUUUAAUUUCCAGCUUUCAAAUUCAGUUUGCUUAGCUUUUGUGCCUUUUUGUUCGGUUCAAUUUGACAAUAAUUGGAUAUUCUAUAUGAGUUUGUGUUUUGGCACUAGUUUUGGUGAGUUCUUGUUCAUAGAACCUUGAUCCAUUUCUAUGAUAAAGUGCCUAGCUCUUAACCAACUCAAGAUGAUUCCUAAGAAUGUCAAGAAUCAUUCUAAUUGUGCUAGUGGAAUCAUAUCAACUUAGCCAUCAAGGUAGAAUCACACCUUUUGAAAACAACUUUCAAAAAUACUCAUGAUGAUAGUUUCUACAACUCUUCUCGGAAGGAUGCAAACAAAGUUUCUACUCAAAAUUCUCCUUCAAUUUUUUCCAAAGAAACCACUUCUUCCCAAAAAGUUUCUACCCAAAAUCCUUCUACCACUAAGUCACCCACCAAAACUUUAAAAACCAAAUGUUUUAAAUGUUUAAGUUUUGAGCAUAUAGCUACCAAUUGUCCAAAUAAACACCUAACAAAGUUAAAUGAGGUAAAACAAGACCAACUUACCAUAAACAACAAAAGCGAAAAUGAAAGAGAAAGAGAAGGACAAGAUAAAUUAGGCCUCAUCCCUUUACCUCCAAGGUGUUUUCCUUCCUUAUCUUUUUCAUUUCCUAAAAAUUCCAAGUACUUGACAUUUUUGUUUAAGAAGUUUAGGGAUGCUAUUCCAAACCCUCCUAAAGGUUCUCACCUUCUACGAGGUUUUUUUACUAAAUAUUUCAUCCCAAAAUCUUCUUUCCCAUCAUGUCUUGUCGAUAAAAUUCAACCAUAUCAUCUCCCUAAACUUAAUGAAAAUAAGUUUGCAUCGCCCCUACAUUCUCCAUCUAAUAUGUGCAAACUUACUUUAUUCUUUGCAGGCCUACUAAAUUCGUGGACGAAUUCUUUCGCGCCUGGGGAGCAUGAUGAGAAUAAAAAAUACAUGAAGAUGACCAAGGAUGCUAUACUUGAAGGGUCAUCUCAACAAGCAAAUAAAGAGGCCAUCAAUAGGAGGAAUGGUCAAGGACCACAAUAUUUGAAGUUCUUCCUAUUAGUCUUCUUAAAAAGAUGAGGCCCAAGCCCAACAAGAGGCCCAAGCCCAACAUGAAGGCCAAGCCCAACAUAAGGCCCAAGCUCAAGUCAUAACUCAAAGAACUACUAGGAGCAAGGGCACAAGCAUUAAAUAAAUGAGCAUCAUUUGAUGACUCUUCUUAUUUCUCUUGUAUAGUUGUAGGUGGUGUGGUUAUUAAAUAAAGGAGUGUGAAAAUGAAAAAUAAAGUCACAUUGUCCAUGUGACUUAGGAGAGUGGUGUAGGUGUAGUUUUUGGGAGGUGUCAUAGUAGAAAAAGGUCACACCUCCCAUGUGACUUGUUUUGGUGGGAAUUUCAAAUGAGNNNNNNNNNNNNNNNNNNNNNNNNNNNNNNNNNNNNNNNNNNNNNNNNNNNNNNNNNNNNNNNNNNNNNNNNNNNNNNNNNNNNNNNNNNNNNNNNNNNNAAAUAAAGGUGCUUAGCUUGUACAAUUCAGAUUGGAAUUUUGAAGUAGAGAGACUAUACUCAAAUUUAGAGAGAAAUUGUGAGUCUUGAGUCUUCUUCUUCCUUUGCCUUAUCUUGUGAGCAAUGGUGAGCUUCAAGUGGCGGCACUCCAUCACUUAUCUUGGAUCAAGACUCCAAGUGGCGUGAAGUGUUCUUCCAAGUCUCAAUUUCAGCAAGUUCCAUUCUAUAAGUGCUUCUUCUUCCUUUUCUUCAAUUUUCAUUCGGUAGUUCUUAAUUUCCUAGUAUUUCCUUUCAUUUGCACCGAUUAAGAUUUGUGUUUCCAGCUUUGUUUCCUUGAUUCUGUUCGGUUCAGUAGCUUAGCAUUUCAAUUCUAUCCAACUUUCAAUUCUUGUUCUUCAUUCCUUGUUGUUUGAUUCCAUUUGACAAUAUAUGGACUUCCAUAUGAGCUUUGGUUGGUGCAAAGUCUUGGUGAGUUCUUGAAUUAGAACAUUGAUCCAAUUCUAAGUAAAGUGCCAUUCAUGACCAACUCAAGUUGCUCCUAAGAAUGUCAAAGAAUCAUGUAUUCUUGUUGUUGCAUUCACAUCAACAUGUCUUUUCUUGAAACUUGUGACUAUUUAUAUGUUUAUCAUGACUCCAUUAUUAUUGAGUCGAACUAGUAUUUGUAUUAUGAUUAAGAAUGUAUUACCUAUGACAAAGAGAGUGCAUGACAUAUGGAAAGAGAAAUUAAUAAUUCAAACCAAAGUUUAAUUUUAAAUGUAUAACCUUUAUUUUGUCUUUUUUUAUUCUAGCCUUUAUUGGCUCUUUGUUUUACUUUCUAACUCUUUAGCUAGAUAGGAUCAUUUGAUAGAUCAAAGCAUGGAGGAGUCAUAUGGGCAUAAAGGACAUAACUUACUUGCUAAAUAAAAGUGGAGAUUGUUGGAUGAAACUAAUGGAAAAAAAAAUGUCCUAGUAUCUAAAUAUGACAUACUCAAAUCUGAGCAAAAUAGGAGUGCAUGAAAGUUUCAUUCAAUAUGGUGGAAAGAUUUAAACAAAGUAUGUGAAGAAGGUAACAAUUGUAGUUCGUUCUAUAAGACUACACAAUGUGAAGUUGGAUAAGAAAAUAAGUUUAGAAUAUGGGAGGAUAAUUGGUUAGGAAAUUAUAAUCUUAAAUCUAGAUUCCCUAACUAAUUCUAUAUAUGUGGGUCAUAAUAAAGUUGUAGUGGAAGUUGGCUUCUAGUCUGAUGAGGGUUGGAUUUGGCACCUGCAGUGGAGAAGAUCUUUAUUUGAAUGGGAGAAAGAACAAGUGCAACAAUUGAUGACUGAACUAGAUUAAGUCCAUAUACAUAGGGAUAAGUUUGACUCAUGGAGAUGGAUACAUAUGAAGAUGAUGAGAUUUUUUUCUGUGAAGAUAGCUUAUGAUGCCAUACACAACAAUAUCUCUACCGGGAACAAUAACUUCUUUAAGGCAUUUUGGGAGGUGAAGGAAUCCCCAUCGGCUCAAGUGCUUGCAUGGAGGGCAAUUCUUGACAAAUUACCCAUUAGACUAAACUUGGUUAAUGAGGGAUUAAUAUUACCAAUGCAUUGUUCCCGUUGUGCCAAAUAUGCCCAAAAUCUUUACAACACCUAUUUUACAAUGUAAGGUAGCACUUUUAGCUUGGAAUACAUGCCACACUUGGGUGGGAAUUCAAUCAUCUCAACAUAACAACCUCUUUGCUUAUUUUGAUGGACUUAUCAUGUCACUCGUUAUUUGACCACUAUCAAACCAACAUAAAUAUCUAGUAUCUUGUACGAGAUGUACAUGUUUCGACAUAAGAGGUGUGCGUUAGAGAUUUCACAUUGACUAAAGAUAAAACUAAUUCAAAAUAUACACUGCAAGGAUAGAAAGAAUCACACAACAAAUUUAUACUGGUUCACUCUUAUACCAAGAGCUACAUCUAGUCCCCAAAACCACUGGGUAUUCCACUAAGCAAUCAAUAACCUUGAUUACAAACUGUAAGAAUUAAUGGCUUAAACAAAAGGGGGGUGAAUUGUUUAUCAAAGAUUUUCGCAAAGAUUGAUUAGGAAUGAAGCUUUAACACAAUUCACAGAUAAAACAAUCAAGGAAAGCAAUCCACUAGUAACCACUUAGAUUACAAUAACACAACCACAAAGAGGUGACCUUGAAAACCACAAGACCCACUCACCCUCUUUACAACCACACACCUCAAGUCAAAACACCCUCUGACUUUGCAGGAUUUCACACACACAAGUUUAUGAAAGUACAAUUACAAGGUUCAUGAAAGGAAUAGAAAACACUUGAGAUUACAGAAACCAGGAAACUCCUAUGAUCAGACCUUGUACCAGUGCACAACUAAAAAGCAAUCUAGCAAAAUUUUUGAAAAACUUCUUUCAAAUCAAUCUCAAUCUCACUUUGUUUGAUGUAAAACUUGUAUAUUUUGUUUUGAAUGAAAGGCUAUGUUUACAGCACACAAAACUAGCCGUUCAAGGCAACUUUGAAUCACAUCCAAAACAAUUUUGAAUUACAUCCAAAACAGAUUAACAGGUUUUCAAAAAGCUAUUAUGAAAUGUUACAAUCAGCCUGUUGAAAAGUCGUUUUAACCGGUUGAAUUAGUUAGGAAGUUACAUAACCAAGUCAAAACAGUUUUAAAACCUUUAAACAAGCCAAGUGACAAACAACCAAUUAUUUCGACAAUUCAACCGAUUGUUUUUCUCUUUGGUUAGAAAAACAAUUUUCUUAUUUAAAACAAAUUGAUCAAGCUUUGUGCAAGGGACUAGGAAAGAUCUUACAAAGAUUCUAAACACCCUAGACUAAACCCAAAACAAAGAGUAGCACAACUUCAAGCUUCAUCAUGGAUUUGAAACAUCAAAGCUCCCAUGUUCAACCUCAUGUUCAACACAAACCACACACCAAAGAGGUGAUCUUGAACUCUUCAAAAACACAUACCUCCUUUGGCAAACCACACACUACAGUUAAUAGAACAGCCUUUGUAUCUACACAAAACAAGUUUACAAAAUUACAGUAUUCAAGAGAGAAAAAGGAUUGAUCACACCUGAUACAGAUUUAAUUUAAAAAUUACAUAGCAGUCCUGUUCCACUCUUAGACAAGUCAAUCAACGCUUGAAGUAAAUCUUGGAGAAAAUUGAUUUGAAAGAUUAUAAUUUGACAUCUUACUACCAGGAGCGUAAAACUAACUAUUUAAACUCCAACAGGCAAUUAAAAACAUUUCAUGAACAAGCCAAAUCUGUUUUGAAUAAAUUAAAACAGAUUUACCAAACUUAACAAAUGUUGUUAAGGAUUUUCAAAAAACAAUCGAUUGAAAUGUCAAAACCACCGAUUGAAUUGGUUUGACAACAAAGUCAACCAAUUUCAAGCUUUGUCAAAACCUGUUUCAAAAACACUAAGUGUAAAACAACCGAUUGAAACAAUAAAACAACUGGUUGUUUUCCACUUCUUUGUAACCACUUGAGAGCUUCACAUUCAUUCAAGAUAAGACCUCAAACCUAAGAGGACAUAAGCCUCACUAAGAGCUCACACAAUUUGUACAGAGUUUCUUUACUUCAUUCAAAUUCAACUUGUAAAAUACAAUGGGUAGGCCUCAUAUUUAUAGGUGAAGGAGCCUUGGAAAACAAGCAAGAGGGGUAGGAUGGGAAAAGUAAAAAAAAUGGGCAGCCUUAGGGUUUGACUAAGUCAAACCCGCACCCUAGGCUUGUCCUUCUAGAAACUAGGUCAAAUUACCUUCUUAAAGGGCUAGGAACAAGCUAAAAUGAUAACUAAACCCCUUAUUAUGCCAAAGGCACCUUAUUCUAGCCUAUCUUUGUUAUUUGGACCCCUAAAGUGAGCCCAAAUUAUUUACAAACAUAUUCUAUUUUUUAAGAAGACCAAUAGAAAGAACUUCUGAUAUUCGGGUUUAUAGCUUCUUCUUCUUUUGUUGAUUCUUUUUCGAGGCUUGGUGGGGUUUGGCUUUGUAUCUUGAGAUGACUGACCCUUUUGGGAAGUGCUUGUUGUGUCGUUAGUUAUUUGUCGGUUUGUAUCACUAACUAAGAGUGGAUUUACAAAUUCAAACUAUCCAUAACCCACACACACAAGCAGCAGCCAGGCCUUCAAGCAAUUCACACAGAUUUGGAGACAUCAAAGCCUUCUCACAUUCAUCAGUCCACGCGAAAUGGUUAUUCUUCUUGAGGUAUUGAAAAUAAGGAUACCCCUUAUCUCACCUGGCUAACGAAAAACGAGACAAGGCAGAUAUGCGCCUGGUCUGCUGUUGCACUUCUUUCACAUUGGCUGGACUCCUCAUAUUUAUAAUUGCUGCACAUUUAUCCGGGUUCGCCUUUAUUCCUCUCUCGGUCAACGAAAAGUCGAUAAACUUCCCUACUUCAACACCAAACACAAAUUUUUCAGGGUUUAACUUCAAAUUAUACCUUACUAUUGUCGUGAAUAACUCUUCCAAGUCGGUCACAUGUUGAUCUUCCUUCUCCGAGGUCACGACCAUGUCAUCCAGACAUGCCUAGACGUUACGCCCGAGCAUUGGUGAAAGAAUUCGGUCCAUGAGCCUUUGAUAGGUCACACCAACAUCAGUAACUGGCGACCUUAGCCAUAAAAGAUGUCUUACACUCAUCUUUCGAGUGCAUGCAAAUAUGAAUAUACCCUUGAAAUGCAUCAAAAAAACUUAAUAAUUGACAUCCUGAGGCACUAUCCACCAAAGAAUCUAUGCUCUGUAGACGGUAAGAAUCCUUGGGGUAGGCCUUAUUCACGUCAGUGAAGCCAACACACAUCCUCAAUUUCCCAUUUUUCUUUUUCACCAACACAACAUUCGCCAACCACUCAGGGUACUGGAUCUCCUGGAUGAGGCCAACUGCCACAAGCUUCCCAGUUUCUUUUCGGAUGACAAAUCGUUUCUCUUCAUUUAACUUUCUUCUUCCCUGGACCACGAGCUUGACCUUUUCAUCCAUGUUAAGCCGAUGGCACAAAAAGUCUGGAUCUAUUCCAGGCAUGUCGGCGGACGACCAUGCGAAAGCGUUCAUAUUCACCGAAAUAACAUCGGCUAUUCUAUCUAAUUCUUUGCCCAACGUGGUGCCGAGCUUGAAUUUCUUCCCUUUUAUCUCCCUCUCCUGAACCUCUUCCGCAGGUGUAGGUCGUCUUUCAUUGUUGAUCUCUGCCUCUGCUAUUCAUCUUGGCUCUCCGGGCUGGAUAAUAACUGCAUACGUUCUCCUACGAUUUUAAGUUGCUCUCUGAACACUUCCGUUCCAUCCUCUGGUCGACCUUUAUAGUAAUUACCCCUCCUUGCGACGAGGGAAAUUUCAUUUUCAUGUGGGCGAUUGAUGCUACUGCACCCAACCUAUUCAAAGAAGGUCGCCCUAAAAGCAGGUUGUAUGUAGAGGAUGUAUUGACAACGAUGUACUUGACAAUAAUCAUUUUGGUCGUGCUUUCAUUUGAGAAGGUUGUCCUCAAAUCAACAUAUCCUCGCACUUCCACUUGAUCUCUUGCAAAAAAUGACCAGACAACCAUCAUAAGGACUUAACUGGUUAGAGGAUAUUCACAAACUUGUAAACGUCCCCCAAAACAUCACGUCGGCCGAACUUCCUUGGUCGAUUAGUACUAUGGCACCUUUCAUCCUACCGUAACAACAAAUAUCACCACUAGAUCAUCCUCAUGGGGGAACACAUCCUCAUGGUCGGAACCUGUGAAAUAGAGGGAAGGCUCUGUGGGGCGAUCAGACCUCCUCGUAUCCAAGGACAUGACUGCUCGUGCAUAUCGUUUUUGCUUGGAGGCUGAGCUUCCCCCUCGUGCAUGCGUUUGAUCUUCGGUUGCAGCUUCUCUUCUUAGUUUUUCUUGGUUAGCCUCGAGAUACUCCUUUAAGAAACCCUCUUUGACCAAACUGGCCAGUUGGUGACUCAAGGUUAUGCAUCGUUCGACGCUAUGCCCAAAUGCCCUGUGAAACUCGCACCAAACAUCUCUUUGUGAUCCCAAAAAUCGAUCUAUCUUUUGGGGAAACAUCAUCUUAUCCGUUACCCCCCGCAUGCUUAAGAGCUCUUUGCACGAUACUCGGAAUCUGGGUCUGAUUGUCGUCUCUUCCCUGGCCCUUAUCUCGGGCUCCUCCUUCUUAGCAACGUAUGGGAUCUGUUCUCUUUCCGGUGGAGGCUUCAUUGCUCCUGUUGGAAUGGUUUCAACUAUUUUCCUUGUGCCUGGGUUGCUUCGAUCGUGAGCCACCAUUUUUCCUGAGCACGACCUCCUCAGCUUCAAUACGGGCGGUAGCUCGCUGGCGUAACUCGGAUAACGUCUCUGUCGGGUUCUUGAUUAGCUAGUCACUGAACGGGCUUGCUAACAUACCUUGUUCGAAAGUGGCAACCACCAUCUCCUCAUCCUGCAUUUGAAGUCUUACCGAGACUGCACAAAAUCUAUACAAGUACGCCUUGAGCGAAUCUCCUUCGCUUUGUCUAAAAUUGAACAGGUCACACAAUCAUGUGGGAUUGACCUUAUUCGCCGAUAACUGUUCUUUAAACAUUCUAGAGAACUGGGGGAAAGAGGUGAUAACCAUCCAGAAUCCCACUAAACCAUUGCAGGAUUGUCCCUGUGAAUGUACUCAUGAAUAUCUUACAAAAAAUUGAGUCAGACCCCCCAGAGAGGAUCAUUUGAGCUCUGAACGCCUUUAAGUGAUUCUCAGGAUCCUCUACACUAGUGAACAAGGCAAUAUUGGGUGUUAUGUAAUGGGGUGGCACAGGCUCGUCUAUAAUUUGCUGGGAGAACGACUUGGUGUCGUCCCUUGAUGACAAAUCUGGGGAACGCUUUCGAGCGGGAUGUUAACCCUGUUGGUGCAAGCUUCAGUGCAGGUCCUCGUUGGUCUUGCGGAAAUCCUCAUUGGCCUGUGCAUGCUCCUCCAUAGUCGCUCGAGAGGCCACGAUCUCGGCUAUAAGGCGUGCCUGAAGACGUUCUUUGUCAGCUCGGGCCUUCGCUCGUAGCUGCUCUUGGUUUGCCUUGGCCUCUUCUCGAAUUUUCUUAUGCUCUCGUCGAUAUUCUUUAUUUGCCUCCUUAAGAGCCCUCAUGGCCUCCAUGAUUUGUUGCCAGGCGGGGGUCUCACUUUCUUCAGAUCCCAGCGGUACUUGCCUCGUGUUUCUCAUUAUGCAGAAUGCUCAAUUGCGAAUAUGUGUAGGAUCAAGUUUUAUCGGGCCCCACAGUGGGUGCCAAAUGUUCUCGCCGGCUGACCUCGGUCGGUCUCCGAGUUGAGCUCUGCUUUGACUUGUCUCCACUUGGUGCUCCAAAGCGCUGCUCCACUGGGACAAAGGGGGCUAUACCUGUUGAUCACACUUCGAUAAUCAAGUCAGUGAGAGCAUUCAAACUAUAAAAUUUUUUCAGUCUAGAAUAUUUAGAAAAGCGUACCUUUACUCAGAGUCUCAAACACCUUUUAUAGCCAUUCCUUCAAUAAUUUUCAUCAACGAGAAUAUAAUCUCAACAACCAGAGUAUAAUAUUCAACCGCAAUCUGUUCUUCGUGUACCUGUUACUUUCAGGUACACACAUUUUUAACUGCUUUUACUUGCAUUUAAUAAUAUACUUCAACCAAUUCAGUUAUUCAUGUAUUUAAUAAUAUACCUCAACCAACUCAAUUAUUUCUUUUGUUAUUUUUAAUUAUCUUUUUCACGUAAACUUACUAGAAAACCUGAGUUGACCUUGUAACACACUUUUGCGUCCAUACCCGACCCAGACCGAACUAGACAUAACUCGCACAAUCGAACUGAUCAUACCUAAAUGCUUGGACCGAGAUCCCGAGCACUCAUGGCCAGUACAACUACUAUCACCCACACUAGUGGAUUUGGAUCAUCACGUGUAUAUGAGGAGUGUUGAUGAAGAUGGAUUUGACUUCUAUGACUCGAUUCGAUAGUGGUAUCCAAUUUUAAAAUCCCCUUAAAUGGUUGGAGAGAAGGUAGGCUGCCAAAAGAAUAGAGUCAUCAACAAUAACCCAUUUGCACACCCUGAAAAAAUAAUAUAAUAUAACAUAAUUGAAGAACAAUAACACUUUCUUCAAUAACUCACCUUAAGAUCCUUCUACAAUGCUGAAGAGGGCAAUCCAGAGACUAGAACUACACAAGGUUGAGUGAAAAACUUAGAAACAUACCAAAGAGUCAUAAUAAAACUACUAAACGAGGUUAUCAAUGGAGGAUUGCAAAUGGCCAAGAAUCCAACCAUAUAAGUAUUCGAUUGCACCCCAUGGAGGUGCCAUAGGCAGGGCUUCCCUUCACAUAUUGUCAAUGGUAGAGGGGUCGAAAAAGCCACACUAAAGCAUUAUGAAAAGUACUAAAUAUUCUAAACAUAUAUGCAUACCAUGAUAUUCAGAGUGUUUGGAUACCCCACGUCCAGCCCAUCCAUUGUUGUGACUGCGGUGUCGAUCUCUUAAGGAUGAAUGACCAUGUCCACCAUGUGCAGGCUCCACGAUCCAGGUUAUAAAAUGUUGGUGAAGUAUUCAUAGUCAUCUUGUUUUUUAACACUUUAGAAUUUUUUUCAGUUAUCAAAUUAUUGAAAGCAUAUAAUUGUGACAUGAAAAUUAUUAUUUUUUGACACUCACUUGCAUUGUUCCAAAUUACAACUUUUAAAUGAUAGAGGUUUUGCAUUGCUCCAAAUUACAACUUUAAAAUGAUAGAGAUUAUGAAAUGUAAAAGGAUAUUUUUGUUAUUUGAAGAGGUUAAUUCUAAUGGGGAAGGUAGUGUAACAAAGUAGAAAAGGGUAAACCAAUAAUUAGUUGGGAUAGAGGGUGAGAAUGGGGAAGAGGUGGUGGAUCUCAGGAAAGGCACGAGGUCCAAAAUAAACAAUUCCAAAUUUAAAUAUUUCUAUUAUCUGGUGGAAUAGUCUUAUUGGUCCUCAGAGAAGAGAGGAAGAAUAGGAAAGGAUUGGAAAAUUCUACUCUUCGUAGAAUUCUGUUUUCUGGAUUUCUCUAUUGUAUUGCUUUUUUCUGUGUUGAAACCUGUAAUCCUUUUUGCUCUGCCCUCUUGUAUAUAGGUUCUUUAAAUCGCAUAACGUGAUAAGGAGUUCUAUAGUAUCACAUUUAUCUUCAUUUCUAUUUGCUGUGACCUCAUUACAUCCUAUUCCUUCCUUCGAUCAAGCAGUUGGUGCCAUGUCAUACUUGAAUCACCCCCUUCAUGCCAAGAAUUGCAGUGAAGAUGUUUUCCAACAUAUAACUGUCAUCUAGAAUAAAAAACAAAUCUCACACUGUAUACACUGAUUAGCAUACAUUCUAUACUUAAGCCAAGUUCUUGGCUUUGUAAAGAUUACAAAAUUCUGAGUAAUGAAAACUAAAGCAAUUGCUAUGCAGAAAUUACAUUAUUGAGUUCACUAUUAAAUAAGAAUCAUAGACACUGUUAAGAGGUUGUCGACGUGCUUUCCUAAGACCAGAUACCUAUAAUUGUUUUCGUCGUCAUUGAAAUAUGAUAAAAAUUACAAAAUAUAAAAAAAAAAUAUAUUAGAAAAAAAAUAUAUAAUUGUAAAUCCUUAAAAUAAUAUUCACGGUCGGGAUAUUUAUCAUAGUUAUAUUUUAAUGAAAUACAAAAUGGUAAAAACUUAAACUAAUUUUAUUAACUUUAUUUCUGAAAAUAUAUGCGUGGCUCACUCGGGAUGACAUGUAUAUAAUUUUAUUAGAUUUUGAUAUGCAUUGGCAAUAUGCAUGGAGAUGAAACAAUAAAAGUGUCAAAGCUGGAGUUUUAUAAUUCCAAAAAUUUCCGAUACACGCAAUGCAUUCCUUUGAAAACUACUCUGGCAUCGUUUGCCAUGUCAGUGCCUCUACGUUAUCACUCUUAGAAAAAUAAUUUGUCCAGAUACAUACAAAACUUCUUAAGAGGUACACAGUGCUGGUAGAGCUUGAGUUGAAAACAAGCACAUUAAUUAAUUAGUUUACCAUUCAAAGUUAUCUUUACUAUAAAUACCACAACACAAUAUAUUUUUCAUACAUUUCACUAGCCAACCUCAAGCAUUUGUUCCCAUAAUUGUCACACUACAGUACCCAUCAUGGUUACCAAAAUUCAUUUGUGUCAUAUUUCACUUGCAAUGCUUUUCUGCAUGGCGUUCUGGGCUUUACAAGUCACAUCUCGCACUCUGCAAGAUGCCUCCAUCUAUGAGAGGCAUGAGGAAUGGAUGGCUCGUUAUUCCAGAGUCUACAAGGACCCUCAAGAAAAGGAAAAGCGUUUCAGGAUAUUCAAGCAAAAUAUGAAUUACAUUGAAGCCUUCAACAAUGCUGCCAAUAAACCUUACAAGCUAGCCAUUAAUCAAUUUGCAGACCUCACCAACGAGGAGUUCAUAGCACCAAGAAAUAGAUUCAAGGGGCACAUGCGUUCCUCAAUCAUAAAGACAACCACUUUUAAGUACGAAAAUGUGACAUCAGUACCAUCCACAGUGGAUUGGAGGCAAAAGGGUGCGGUGACACCGGUCAAGGACCAAGGCCAAUGUGGUAAGUCCUGGAUAAUUCAAUUCCCAAGUCANNNNNNNNNNNNNNNNNNNNNNNNNNNNNNNNNNNNNNNNNNNNNNNNNNNNNNNNNNNNNNNNNNNNNNNNNNNNNNNNNNNNNNNNNNNNNNNNNNNNNNNNNNNNNNNNNNNNNNAAUUGAUUUCUUUGUCUGAACAAGAACUUGUUGAUUGUGACACAAAGGGUGUGGACCAAGGUUGUGAAGGUGGUCUUAUGGAUGAUGCUUUCAAAUUCAUCAUCCAAAAUAACGGACUCAAUACUGAAGCCAAUUACCCUUUCAAGGGCGUUGAUGGAACCUGCAAUGCAAAGGCGGCAUCUAGUCAUGCAGCUACCAUUCGAGGCUACGAGGAUGUCCCAGCCAACAAUGAGAAGGCACUGCAAAAAGCUGUAACCAAUCAACCAGUUUCUGUAGCAAUUGAUGCUAGUGGCUCUGACUUUCAAUUUUACAAGAGUGGUGUCUUCACUGGUUCAUGUGGAACAGAGUUGGAUCACGGUGUCACUGCAGUGGGAUAUGGUGUCAGCGAUGAUGGAACUGAGUAUUGGUUGGUUAAGAACUCAUGGGGAACUGAGUGGGGUGAAGAAGGCUACAUUAGGAUGCAAAGGGGUGUAGAUUCUGAAGAAGGACUGUGUGGCAUAGCCAUGCAAGCAUCGUACCCCACUGCAUAAUUAUAAAAUUUAGACCCUGUUAAGCUAUUUUCAAUUCUACGUAUCUUUUUCACCAUUGAUUUCUGCUGUUGGUCCUGUAUGUUAUUAAUCAAUUUAUCCAAUGAAAAAGGGGUCAUGGUUAUGACUUAAAAGAUUGAUACAACACAAGCUAAAUUAUCGUAACCACGACGCAAGGAAGCUAAAUACAAAAGUAGUAAUGAAAACUUGUUAUCCAUAAAGCAAAAAGUGCAGACUGAAACUAAAAUAGAAAAUACGGAGGAGCUGCUUUAGUGAUUGAAUUCAUGGCAUAUAAACAAAAGAAUUAUACAAUUUCAUUUUGUCAUUCUGUUUCUUUUCCCUCUUUCUCGAGAAAGGGAAAAAACUUUACAAGAUGAGGAGAUGCCUAUUGUACAAAAUCCUAAUCUAUGUCAGUCUUCUAGAGUGAGAUAUAUUGUCAAUUCAAGAAAGAAGUUAUACGUUGGAAGACGUCUUCGGUGCAAGGAAUUGUGAGGCCACCCAUGGGAUGAUCAUAUCCAAAUUCAUCUUCAGCCUGACUCAACAAGCCUUGAAAUGAAGGUUGGUUCAAGUAUGAUAUGGGAAUCACAAACCGCUUUUGUUUCUCUCCAACAUACACUGCAAGAUAGCCCUUUGGGACUUCUGAAGAUUUUGAAGCUGCUUGGCUAGCUGUGAAUGAUGCUCGUCGAAUAGCAGGUAAUCGGAAACCCAUUUUUUGUGCUUGAUUGAAUGAAGUAGAAGAAUCUCAAAUCUUGAAGGAAGGAAUCCAAGUGUUGAAGCUUGAGGGUUGCAAUGGCAUGUGUU